UUUUUUUUUUUUUUUUGUUUUUGUUUCUUGUGUUAUUUUCCAAACAUUUUCAUGGAUUUUUUUUUUACUUUAAAUAUAAUUUAAUGACAUAACAAAUAAAAAAUAUAGAAUUCACUGAAAUAUAAAAAAUAAUAAUUUUAAAAUUUAAAUAACAUAGGACAUAUUAACAACCUAAAUUUGGAAGAUAAAAAUAAUAUGUAAAUUUAAAUAUUGAGCGGACUAAAAUUUAAAAUUAAAUUAAACAUAUAAAUUUUAAAAAUAAAUAAAAGUACAUUCUGAAAAUUUGAGAAUUAGCAAGAGAAGAAAAAAAAUUUAAAAAUAUUGAACAUAUAUUAAAGAUUAUUAAAGAGGCCGAAAAAAUAAAUUAAAAAAAACAAGUUAAGAAGGAUGAAAGAGAAAUAAAAUAGGGAUUUUUGCAAAAAAAAAAAAAAACAAAUUAUGAUAAUAUAAUUUAUGUCACAAUAUUUUCUAAAUUUGUAAAAGUAGCAAAUUUAAAAAUAAUGAUGAUAGUUUUAUAAUUAUCGUCUGAUAUCAUCGUAAUAUGCAAAAGAAAAAUGAGUUGAAUGUUUUGAGCUGUUUUUUUAAAAAUGUUUUUGUUAUUUGAUGCAAUCUUUUAAUAAAAUAAUCUAUUAAAAUUAUAAAUAGCCUAACGGUGAAUGUAGACCUAUCUCCUCGGCCAACUAGAAAAUAGAGACUAUGGAUAGUAGUUUUUCUAUUUUUGUUCAAUUUUUAGAAGCUUUAUUAAAUUUUGAAAACAAAAAAAAUGAGAACCGUUUCCUUGAAAUUCUCAUCAUAUUUUCUGAAAUCUGAAGUCUGUUUUUGAUAGGUCACAUUUUCUCUCUUCCAAGGAAAAAUCCAAAUUUCACAUUUGUGGAAUUCACAUUUGGUUUGUUUUAAGGAUUUUUUUCCCCAUAGAUAAUGAAUUGUUAAAACAAAAGGGGGAUUUGAAGGCAAUAAAUAAACACAAAACCAAUACAACAAUACAACAAAAAGAAAACCUAAACCUAAAGGGGAAUAAAGCCCCACACACAACCUUACAAAGAGCGGUUCCAAGGAAGAUACUCCACACCCUUUUAAUCGUAUUGCUGUUUAUAUUUAUUGAAUGUGACGGUCCAUUUACUAACCACACCUUCAAAACAUAUUUAAAGCAUACUUUUCAUUAUGAACUCAAAAACGUAUACUUUAUUUGUUUUGAGAGUCUAAUUAGGCGCAAUUUUUAUAACUAUCGAUGGUAAAGUUUGUUGGAAAGAAGGGAAAAAAAAAAAAAAGAGCUUUGCCGACACAUAUGAUACUAAGUUUUUAACUUUAAUAAAAUAAAAAGAUGAUCGGUCAAUGCGAAGACAAAUGGCUUCCGGACAAAAUCCCCUCCACGGCCCACUUGCCCACAUUAACUUUCAUUAUUAUUAGGAUUAAAUGCUGUUUUUUCUUUGUUGCUCCUUUUCUUACUCACCCAUUUGUUCAUCAUUCCUGACAAACAAACAAGAUCCGAUCAAAAAGUAAAGUAAACCAACAACAAAACACUGCUGCUGCUCUCCAUUUAACUAUUGCUUCUCACCCAACAUACCAAUUACACAACACCCCUUUGAUUUAAUUCCCAAAAUCCUGCUCAAUCAUCGAUUAUAACCUCUUCCACUUUCCUUCUCUUACAACAGUUUUAUUGCGUACAUCAUAUUCAAACCACCUGCUUCAACUUCAAAUUGGGGUCACCUGAUCGGAUCAAAUCCCGGCCACUCUCACUCCCACUCCCACUGGGACAAUUAUUUUGGAUGUUGGUCAGAUUAUACGGCGACCUAUCCAGAGCCAACCACUGCUCCACCGUGAACAGUUGUUGAUCGCACGGGCUAUGAACCCCUGUUGUGGUCACCUCCAGAUAGUUGCAGUACCAACCAUGGUGCGGACCCGAUCCAUCAGAGGUCAGGUUCAAUGAACACACGGGUCCGCUCAGGCAUGGACCUCUUCCACUGAAAAUAUCGAGAUUACCUCUCUCGAAGUAGUUGUAGCCGGGUCCCAUCAACCCGCCCCAUUUCUCCAGAUCCAUAAUCCUGAUUCCAUCCCCGGCAGCCGUGUAGAGCGUGGCGGUAAUCACCGAGUCCGUCCCUGCUUUCAGGAUCGACCCUGUUCUGAUAUACACCGUGUACACGCAAUCUGGAUUCUGCAUCAAACAAAUCCAAAAUGUACAUCAGUUAUUUUUAUUUCUUUCAAAGGGCAAAAAAAAAAAAAAAAAAAAACGGAGGAGAGUAAGUGGAAAUACAUCGGAGAAAGCUAUGGCAGAGAAGGAAAGGAGAAUGGAGAAGAAGAGGGCAGAUUUGGUGGCCAUGGUUGUGUUGUGGAAUGAUGAGUAUGUUUUGUUCUUGUAGAUAUUAUUAUAUAUAGAAAAUCUAAUUGCUAAAACCAUGCCAACUCAAUUGAGAUUCAUCGGACGGCUGCAAUCAUUUGAUGGCCCACUAUUAAUGGUGAAUGUCAACAAUUUGAUAAUCUUUCAAAUGAUUCAUCCAAUCAUCUGUCUCCACGUACUCACAAAUAAAUGGCAUCGUCUCGAUUCUUCCGAUUUCUCCCUCUUCUUUUCUAAAUAAAUGACAAUAACUACUGACUCAGUAUAUUAUGAAUCCAACAUAAUUAAUCCUCAAAAUAUAAUGCUUGUGAGCAUUUUUUAAAUGUUUCAAUUACUUUUUAUUUCAUCUCACACCACGAAGACCUAAAUGAGAUGGGAAUGGAUGUAGGAUAAACAUGUCAUCGUUUGGUUCAAGUUUUCGUAGAAUCCAUUAUAUAAAUGUCUAUGAACUAUACUCAUUCAAAAUUAUAAGUUUGCAUGGCUAAACACUUGAAAUUCAAAUUCGUCGAACAUUUAACUCUUAGUGAUCCCGAUCCAAAUUGGCUCAAACUCACCUUGUGAAUCUUAGCAAAACAUUUUCUGUCUUUAGUCACGAUCGAACACAACUCUAUAAUUGCUUUAAGAGCCCUUAAAUUUUCUCUUUUAGCCUUCAAUCCCGGUCGAAAUUGUCUUAGAGAUGGCUUAAGAUCUCCUUAGACUUGUUUCUCUACGUCCAAUCUCGAUCGAACUUUGUCUGAUAUUGCUCAAGUUCCCCUGUCCUUAAGCAUUCUUUCCUUCAUCUCGAUCGAAAAAGCACCAAUAUAGUCUCGAGAUCAAUAUAAACUCACAGUUGGUUAAUGACCAAUAUGAUUAACGUAAUAAGAACUAAUUUUUUAAAUAAUUUUAUAACUAGUUUACCAUUAAUUAAUUAUAAUUUAGUACUUCCUAAUUAUAUACCUUCAUCAAAUUUAUCUUAUCAAAUUACUCGUUUUACAAAUACUAGUAAUUAAUAUUAUUAUUUGAUUGUUAAUAAUUAAAUUUUCUUUAAAAGUAUGAAUUUGAAUGUAUUAAAAUUUGAAUGUAUUAAAAUUUUAUUAGAGUUUUCACGAUUAAUUUUACAAAUAAAAUAUAUAAAAAAAAAUUCGUUUAUUCUUAACCAAUCACAGACAUCCUUAAUUAUGAAUGUAAUUCCAAAUACAUCAAUUUAAACGGUUCUAUAUUAUUAACCGAUUGAUAACAAAUUGACUAAUAACUUACCACUUGUAAGAAAUUUAAAUUUUGAUUAGAGACGUUCAAGCUAUAAAAAAAAUAUUUAAUCAAAUUAGUUGAGAAAUCUUAUCAAUGCCUUAUGCUUUAAAAAAUAAUUUUUUAAAUAAUAUUCUGUAUUCUGUAAUCUCCAUUUAUCAAUUUCAAAAUCUAUUGCAUAUUUACUAUUUUGCAGUCUUCAUUUUUUAUUAUUUGAUAGGGUUUUAGCUAUUUUUUAAAAAAUAAAAUAAUAUGCAUUUAAAAAAAAUAGAAACAAUUAAUAUUAUAAUUUAAACUAAAAUAUCGUGGAGAGCCAACUUUCACAAUUAUAACUCAACUACAAUUAGUUAGGUAGAUGAUAAAUAUAAAUGUGACUUUUUAAGUUUAAAUGUAUUUAUGAAAAUUUUGAAAAUUUUAGGGACAUUUUUAUACCAAAUGUAAAAUUGAUAGUCAUCUUUUUUUUUUUUUUUAUUGUGUAAUUUAGCCUAAGAUUAAAUGCUACCUUUUCAUUAUUGCUCCUGUUGGUAAUGGAAAAUAUAAACCAAUUAUUGUUCAUCAGACAAAAGAUCGGAUAAAAAAUAAAGCAAAAAGAAUACAUUACUCUCCAUUAAACUAUUACUUCUUCCCCAACAUACCAAUAACACAACUCCACACAAAAACCACAUCCAUUUGGUUUUAUUCCCCAAAAUCCUGCUUAAUCAUCUCGAUCAAGCCCUUAUUCUACAACAAUUCUAUUACAUCAAUCAUAACCCACACCACCUACUGCAAUUUCAAAUCACCGCGGAUUCCACUCCCACUCAGACACUCAUUCCGGAUGGCGGUCAGCUCAUAAGGCGACACAUCUAAGGCCAACCACUGCUCCACCGUGAACAGGGUUUGCUCGCACGGCAUGUGGACACCCGUUUUGGUAACCUCCACAUAGUUGCAGUACCACCCAUGGUGCGGACCCGAUCCAUCGGAGGUCAGGUUUAACGAACACACCGGUCCGCUCAGGCAUGGACCUCUUCCGCUGAAAAUGUCGAGAUUGCCCCUCUCGAAGUAGUUGUAGUCGGGUCCCAUCAACCCGCCCCAUUUCUCCAGAUCCUUAAUCCGGACUUCGUCCCCAUCCGCCGAGUAGAGCGUGGCGGCAAUCACCGAGUCCGUCCCUGCUUUCAAGGUCGACCCUGUUCUGAUGUACACCGUGUACACACAAUCUGCAUCCUGCAUAUAGAUCAACCAAAACCAAAAUGUGUAUCAGUCUUCUUUUAGGUUUCCAGAUGAAGAAAAAAAAACACAGUUAGUGGAAAUACAUCGGAGAAAGCUAUGGCAGAGAAGGAGAGGAGAAUGGAGAGGAAAAGGAGAGAUUUGUAGGCCAUGUUUGUGUUGUGUGGUAAUGAGUAUUAAUGAGGAGUUGUGUUUUUCUUGUAAUUGAUAUUUCUAUAUAGAGAUUUGAAUCACCAAAACCACGACAGCUCAUCACAGAUUCAUCUCUGCUUUAUUAUAAUCCAUGGCCAUCUUUUUCCAUCUGAAAAUAUCAUUAAUUUUAUUUAAGUUCUUAAAAAAUAUUAAGUUACUAUUUUAUUUCAUAAUAGAUAGACCUAUUGUUUACGAGUUUUGGUAACGAAUUGACUAAUGAUAUAUAAUCCAUCUAACAAGUUUAAAAAUUGAUUAAACACGUUAAAAUAAACAUUUGAUCAAAUUAGUUGAGAAAACCUCAUGAAUAAUAAUGUUAUGCUUAAAACAGUAAUUUUUUUUCAAGAAAAUGAUUUGUUGAUUUUGAAGUGACGUACAGUUGAUUGGUAAGUAGUAUAAUAUUUAUGCAAAUUAAAAUUAAUAAAUGAGAAUAUCUUAUGGAGAAAGGCAAUGAAUAUAUUCCAAAGGACAUGUGAUGCACGUUGUUGUUCUCUAAACACUGAUCUUCAACUUCCACUUGGUCAAUGCUUACCUUAGAGUAUUACAAAAGCUGCCAAACCUAAAAUAAUACCCCCCAUCAAUUUCAUCUAUUAUUCAAUUUAUCUUUACCCAUUUACCCAUUCAAUUAAGCUUAAAUGGUAUUUGAGCAAGUUGGUUUAGGAUCUUGAUGUUUCUGUAUUUACAUAAAAUUGAGAUUUCAAUGUUCCUAUCUUCUCUUUCACUGCUCCUUGAACCAAAUUAUUCAUUUUCAAGAAUAUUUCACCUAUUAAUAUGGCAAAAUAUGUCAAAAUCUACCAAUGGUAGGAGCCCAACUAUGCAGCAAAUAUGGGUACAUUAAUAAUAAAUCAUGAGAGUCUAUUUAAAAAAAUACAUACUUGGAUAAUUAUUUAAAAAAUUGUUGUUGAUUAUACUUACCCCUAAAACAUUUGUCAUCUGCCAGAAUGGGCUUUAGGAAGGGACUCUCCAUGUUGGAGGCCGAACCCAACCAAUUCCAUUGUGUUGGACACGCGUUUGGUAAUGGAUUUUGGGCCUUUAGCCCAUUUCAGAAUUAGUUAAAUAUUUGGGCUGGAUCAAGGAUAAGGCACACCCAACCAUCGGCUCGAUAUUAAUGAUUGCGCUGAGCACACUACUUUUAUAUCAUAUUAUUUCCUUUUUCAUAUAAGAUAAAAGUUGAAUGAUCAUCCAAUACUAUGAGCACAACACUUCUAUGCUUCCUGCUAUUCACCAUUAAAACUUUUGAGUUAGCGAUAAAAUAAGUAACAUUGUCAAUUUUAGUAAAAUGUUAAAGCCAUGGUUGAAUGGAAUAUUCGUUUAUCUCGAUCCACAAAGUCAAUGAAAUUUCUCUUCUAACCUUUUGAAAAGUUCUCAUUUUUAUCAUAAAAAAUCUUUGUGUUAAAUGUUAAUUAUAUAAUUACUCUCGUCACGGUAUAAAAUCAGUGUCUCGUCACUGUAUAAAAUCACACUGAUUAAUUGAUUGAUGUGGAACCAAGAGCUAAUUUCUUCAUAUAUUUUUGUAAGCUUAUAAAGAGAAAUGGAAGGUUAAGGUUGAUAAUAUAAUAUCAAUAUAAGCUAUAAUAGUAUUUCUAAAGUUUGUAGAUUGUGCGAUUCUCUAAAUCCAUGAUUAAUUAUUUGUUAGAUAAACAAUACGUAAAUCUAAUGUUAAUGUGUAAAGCAGAUAUCUAGGGAAAAAGGAACUGGAAUCCAUAUAGGUUUUAUUAAUUAUAAUAUAUAUGGAAAAGAGUAUAUAGUUGUGUAAUGUAACCUAAUAAUUGUGAUUGUUUAAGCGAGAGAGAAAAUAAAGUGAAAUAAUAUAAGAAAAGAAAAUAUGUAUAGUAUUGGUAUUGAAAAAGAAAAGGGAGAAACUUUAAAAAGGGAUGUUACAGAAAGGAAGGGAACUUUACAAGUGUUAGAAUUUAGAACACUGAUGGGUGGACAUUUCAGAACUUAAAAACUUUGGCUUUUACUUUACAACAAAAACACUUUAUAACUUGGCUAAUUUAGAAAUUAUUCAAACCAAAAAAAAAAUAAAAAGGGUUUUGUGUUUCCCACCUUUUACAAAUCAACAUCUCCACAUGGUUAGUUGAAAACCCUGCUUCUCCAUUUUUAUAUAUAUAAUAACCCACCUCUUUUUAUUUUCCUUUAAUUUCUUUCCCACUUCCAAAAAAUUAAAAUAAAUAUGCAUGGCAUGGGCAACAUUAAAAAUGAAAGAUUACACUACACUAGUUGAGUCUGGAAUGGGCAAUAAAUAUAUAUAUUCAUAUAUACAAAAGCUGCUUGUGUGUAUCCAUUGAGGCAAUCGAGGCAAUGUUCGAAAUAUGGUUCUGAAUCAAUGAAUCAAAGAGAAGAGAUGAAGGAAGUUCUUUUUGUAAAUCAGUUAGCUGCAGAACUCAUUUAUGACAAUUCAUUGCAUUGUUGACUGAUACCAAAUAAAUCUAAAAUUUGCAUUAGGCAACGUGUCAACAAAUAAUGAACAGAAGAAGUAGAUAUUAGGAGAUGAGUAGAUAGUAGUUUUUAGGAGUGGGUGCAUUUGGUUCCCUGUGAGAAAGGCAUCUGGGGGCACAUGGGAUUCCAUGUGAGUCUGAAUUUAAAUGGCAGUGUCCACUACACACACACACACACACAAGAAAAUUAGAAAUGAAGAAAAGAAAAGAGAAGAAGAAGAAAAAGAAAACGGCUCGACCCUCAAUGCGGGGACCAACUUCACAUCACAAUAUGUGCACACACGUGUAACAUAUCUAUUUCCAAUUUAAACACCCAUUAUUGGAAGGGGAAGGGAUUUGGUUUGGUAAUGGUAGGCGCCCCCACACACACAUAUUAUUUCAAUUUCUGAUAUAAGAUUUUAUGUUUUUAUUGUUUAUGUGUGGUACCAAUAAUUGAAGCUUCACAAACGGAAAAGACAAUAGUUUUAUUUGAGUUAAGGCACCAAUGAUGGGGGGAAGUUUGAAAUAUAAAACUUAUAUUUAUAUAUUUAUAUAUUUAUAUAUAUAGUGGGAUGUGGAGUGUAUCUUUACACGUCUUAAAGAAAGCAGCAGGGGGGUAAGGGUUUUUGUUUAAAAGGUUAUAUGGAUAUUAAUGUGAGUGUGAGUGUGAGUGUGUCUCUCUAGCUACUUGUAAAACUUCCCAUGUGUUUUUCUCUCCUUCAAUUCCCCUACCUAAAGCAAAGCAACCCUUCUUUUUAAGUGGAUUCCAACUCUUCCCUUUCUCCCUUUCCCCUAAACCUAACAAUCAAAACAAACCCCAUUCCCUUAUUACUUAUUAUUAUUCCCAACCCCACACCCUCUUUUUUUUAAAUUUAAAAAAAAAAACCCUUAAGCUUUCCAAGCAGAGAUUCUCUCUUGUGGGGUUCUUUCAAAUCUAAACACACAUCCAAUACCCACCACUUUUUCCUUUUCUUUUCUGUUUCUCAUAUUCAGCCUUCUGCCCUACUGCUUUGGAGUUCCACCCAACCCAAAAGAUUAAAUAUACAACUCUCACACCCAUUCAAACACACAUAAACAGUCAUUUUUAUUACUCUUAAUCAAUAUGUAGCAUAAAGUUCUAUAUCAAAAAUAAAAACGGAUAACUAUCUAGCUUUAUCUAUUACUAGCUAAUAAAAAGUAAAACAAUUUUCUUACUUUAAAUUUGUAUUAAAUCAACCAUUUAAAUACUAUGUUGGUUGAGAUAUAUUUGUCUUUCAUACGUAUUUUUGUACUUUUGGCAUUUUUUUUUUUUGUUUGUUUGUAUGCCACUCACUCUGAAUAUUCUCUCUUGUUUAUGUAUAAUUGGCUUGCAUUAAUUAUUGUCAAGAAAUCUAAUCGGGUUUAAUUUCUUUGGAACAUUAUUAUGGUUGGAACCUUCCCAUUGGGAAGACUACCGAAGAUUCUUUCUAAUGCAUUAAUUAAAAAUAAAGAUGUAAGUGAAGUCGAUGGUAUUUAAUAAAUAAAAUGGUGCUUUCAGUUAAUCCAAAUCAUAGCCACUUCUGCUCCCUACGUAGCUACCUCCCCCCAGGGGAAGAAAAUCUCUAACACAUUAAAGCCAUUAGCUUAGCGCCAUAUAAUUGAGGCAUUUCAUCUUAACUAUACAAAAUUUAUUAAAUGUACUUUAUGGCAACAAAUUGAGAUGAGUGGUUCUUAAAAUAAUAAUAUUAGAAUUGUUUAAAGUAGAUUAGAGUGUGGAUGUGAAGUGGAUUGCGUGGUUCAUGCCGGCUUAGACGCUUGCCUACAUUCUUUUAUUUCAUUUACUUAUUUGACGUCUGUUCUCUCUCUCUCUCUCUCUUUUUAAUACAUAUAUAUGUAUAUUCUUACUUAAUAUUUGUUCAACACCUGAAAUUAAAAUAUUUAAUGGUUUUGAACAGAUCACAUGGUUCUUCGAUGCAGUAUUUUAAUUGUUAAUUUAAUAUAUGUGAUGAACACCUAUUUAAGUUAAUGGGACAAAAUAUUUUUAAUGCAAAACUUAGAAAUAGUGUACAACAAAUAUAGAGAGAGCAUGUAUGUGUUACCAAAUCUCUCCUAUGUCCAUUUUGUACCUUUUAUUUUUAAGUAUAUAUUCAAAAUAAUAGUUCUAAUUUCUUUUAUGUUAUCGCAAAUUCAACUUUCUUUUUAAGAGUAUAAACAAUGUCUCACCUUAGUCAAGAUAUGACAGUUAAUAGAUAGGUGGGUGGCUAUGUCUAUAUAUUAUAAAGAUGUGAAGUUUUUCUAAUUCGUGUAGAAAGGAUUUGAAAAGAUUCAUAAAUAUCCUCCUUAGGUUAAUUUUUCAAGUGGUUAUUUUAAAAUAAACACUUAUUUUUAUGUGUGAUUAUUUUUAUAUAUCGUUUUAGAAAGAAGAUUUUCAAAGUUUAUUUUAAAAUGUUUUUUUUUAAUCCAAAAUCUUUAAAUAAAUUUUUUAAAAAGAAAUAUUUUAUUUUCUCUUAAGCAUCUGUAAAUAAACUGAAAGACGUUUGGCCAUGUAUCUAGCUAUACGAGGCAUUCACUGUGCUCAAGUGUUACAGUAGUAUUAUAAAUUUUUAGGUAUGAACUGUAUAUGCUCCAGACAAAAGAAAACUAAAGUGGGAUUGACCAGCCUAAUUGUUAGAGGACAAGAAAAUUCUGAGAGCCCUAACAUUAUAUGCCCAUAGUUUAUGUAAUAACACGUUGAUUUUUGUCGUUAUGCAUACAAUAUUACUUUUUACAUUUGAAUCAAACGUCCUCUGAAAAAAUCACUUAUAAUAACGAAUAAUACUUCCCUGUUCGCGUUGUAAAUAAAAAAUGAAAAUUGAUCGCAAACUCUUGAUUGGAGUAAAGGAAGUGAAGGAAGAAGGUAAGGUGGAGAAGAUAAGAUAAUUAAUAAUUAGAUUAAUACCAUUAAUUAACAUGGAUUAAGGUGCAUAUAAUUGCAAAUUUUGGUUGUCUUCCUUUCCCCUGUACACAGAGUUACAAGAUGUACAAGGCCAUGAAGCCAAAGAAAAAGAAAAAGAAAAAAAAAACCAGAGUUCCCACCCAGCUACCUUUUUUGUUCUCUAUUUCCAUAUAUAUAUCUAACUAACAUAUUUUUGAACAAUUAUAAGUUACAUAUAUAUAUAGACCGACCAAUCCCAACCAACCAACCAACCCUCCUCCUCUUUUCCUUAAUAUAUAUUCUAAUUUAUUGGCUGGGAAAAAAAGAAAAGGUAUAUAUAUAUAUAUAUAUUUUAGCUUUUCCUUUCUUUUUUUCCCAUUUCCCUUUCUUCUCCUUCUUAAAUUUCUUUCACAUCUGGCACUGCCCUGGCAGUGGCAAUAUAGAUCUCUUCUUCCACUCAGCCAAGCGUUGCAAAAAGUUCAUAACCUGUGUAUAUACCAAAAUUAAUUAAAAUUCACAUAAUUAAUUUUAUAAUGAGACAAAAAAUAAGACAUUGUACAUAAUUAAAGUAUAUUUGAUGAGGUAUAUAUAAUAAAUACUUGUACUUGCCUCAGAAGGUUCCCGUAGAGAAUAAGAAGCACUCGUUUCCUUUGGAAAUUUUGACACAAGAAUGCCAAACCCUUGUCCUCUCUCUCUUAUUAUCUGCUCAAUUUUUUUUAAAAAAAUAAUUUAGAUUCAUCACGAGCAUGAAACAAAAAAUACAUCCAUUUCUUAUUAUUACUGUUACUAUUAUUUUAAUAUAUGUUGUUUACCUUAAAUGCAUCUUCAUCCGUUCGAUCAUCUCCGAUAUAUACCGGAAAAACAUCCGAACAAUUGUUGAAUCCUGUUAAUUUAUUUAUAUAAAAAAGUUAUUAUUAUUAUGAGUAGGAAAACUUUUCAUUAUUGGUAAAAGGGUGAAAAAGCUCACCAAGUGACUCUAAUAAGAAUUCUAAGGCCUUCCCUUUGUCCCACUUAAUGGUUGGACGAAUCUCUAAUACCUGCACUUCCACUUCAAAGUUAGAAGGAGGGAUUUGGAAAAUAAUAAUUAUGGUAAUUAAUUAAUUAACUUUUCGUAUAUACCUUUCUUCCUUGGGUUAGUCGAAGCUGUGGGAAAUCUUUCAACACAGAUUUAACUUGUUGGGCUAAUUCACUCCAUUUCUGUAAUAAUGAUCAUAAAAAGACAAAUUACAAAAUUAAUCACUAGGACAAGAGUAAAUAAAUAUGAACAGUAUAAAGAGGUGAUAGCAGAUGGUGACAAUGAAAUAUUCAUUAACCUUUUCUUCAACACAACGGUAGUGAACAGAGAGACAAAACUUGUUGUUCUCCACCUUAGCUCCUGGAGUUGAUUUGGUUUUUUCAACCAGCUCUUUGUAAACCUGACAAAAUAAUGAUAAUAUUAAUAAAUAUUAUGAGGGUUUCAUUUAGUUGAUUUAUUUGGAAUAUAUAUUUGGAGGUAGAGUAUUAAAAAGGAAAAUUAAUUAAUUCACCUGGUCGAUCAUGGGAAGAAACUCACUGGCAGGUUGAAAGAGAACAGAUUGGGUACACUGAAACAGUAAAAGAGAAGAUGAGGGGUAAAGAGAGAAUAUAUGUCAGGUAAAAGAUGGUAAAAAUAAAAUAAAAUAAAAAGAAGAAGAGGCAGAGAGAGUCACGCACUUUCUUGUAAUUGGAAUCUUUUGUCGGUCCUUUAAUAUCCAUCCCAUGGCUUCCUGCAUAAUACAGUUCUCCUAGUCUUACAAACCCAUAAACCUGCAAUAAUCAAAAUAAUUAAAAACACACCAUUCCUAUUUUUAUUUUAAAUUUAAUCUCAUCUCAUGUAUUUCCAAACUUCAUUUUAUACCUUGUCUCUACGUCUCCCGCUCACUAUUGCAGUAGGGAAGCUUCUCGCUACCGUUUUUACCGUUUUUCUCAUCUGUAAAUUGUUUUUAACCACAUGGAAGGAAAGUUGAGUUAUUUAUAAAAGAAGAGAGAUUUAAAAAAAAAAAAAAAAACAAAACGUAAGGUAAAUUACGGACCGCAUCGGACAUGAAGGCACGAUCUGGGUCAUCGACAAUUGGGGAAAGUGUGCCAUCAUAAUCCAGAAACAUCACUAUUUGUUUCCCUUUAGAAGCAUCAAUGAUUUGGUCAAACAUGUCCAAAGCCGAAGGAUGGUGGAGCUGUUACAUUGCACAAUAAUCAGAUCAGAUCCCACUCUUGCAUAUUAUAUAUAUUGUAUUUUAUAAUAUAAGUUUAUAGUGAUUCAUUGAGGGAGUACCAUCCAAGAGGAGUUAUUGUCAUGGUCAUGGUCGGAGAGGGAAGGAGUGGGUUUAAUACGACUUGGAGAUGAGGCUCGCAUUGAGUCCACCCAUGUCUUGAUUCUUGCUCUCCCAUCGGGCUGCUGCACCAAUUUUGUGGACCGAGAUAUUGAGAUGUAGCCACCGCCGGUGGUUGAGCUGGGGCCAGCCGGUGGCUUUUGAGCUGUUGCUUGGAAAAUCGACGAGUUUGAUACUGUGACAGUGAUGGCCAUGUUGAUGCUUGAUUUACUCUCUGAAAUUACUACAUUCGGGUUGUUCGUCAUCCUGUUUUUACUCCCCUAGUUCCUUUUUUUGUUUUUAGUUUCUUUCUCACUACUAACUGCAUCGUACCCACAUCAUGAAACGAAGAUCAGUGAAUUAGUAAUAUAAAAUUAAAGAAAAGAAAAAGGCUAGUUGGAAAUUUGAAGAAGAAGAAAACUUACAAUUGUUUUGAAAGAAGAGAGAAGAGGGAAGAAUAAUAUUAAUGGGGGGGGAGAAGCAAAGAGAGAAGAAAUGGAGAGUGAGAGUAAGAAGAGGGGGAAGAGGGGAUUUAUAGUUAAAACAAUGGGGCCCAGUUGGAAAAAUCCAGUAGGCCCCACAUUAAAAACCUCAUCCUUUUUUUUUUUUUUCUUUUCUAAAAUUUAAAAUAUUGUUAUUAUUAUUAACACUUGAGAGACGCCGUUGCUGUGGUGGGGUGAGGGUGGGGGUGGACACGGCCUUAAGCUUAAGCUUCUUCCCUUUUCUUUCUCCCUUCUUGCCAAACCGCCACUUAUGGGUUGUCUCCACGUGGCCAACAUUCCUCUUCCAAGUCAAACCAACCUGGUUUCUGCCCACGUGGCUUUUCUUUUCUUUUUAUAUAUAUAUUUGUUGAUUAUAAUAAAGUUCUCCAAAUAAUUCCUUUUUUGAAACACAAAUUAUUAAGUUCUACCAAAAUUUUGGCAAUGAAGUAGUAGAUAUCAAUUAAUUAACCUCUAAAAAAUUGUUAGAUUCAAAUUAUUGCAUACCAAUUUUCCUAAAAGAUAUCUUAAAGUGAACUGGAUUAAGCUGUAUUUAUUAAAUAACUAAAUACAUUUUUUCCUCCUAGCAAAAAAGCUAUUUAUCAUAGACUUCUGCCUCCAUUAUCUAAAUUAUUUCUUUAUCAUCAAGUGUACUACAUUAAUGAUAUUAAUUGACACUAAAAAGGAAACAAUAGGUAUAAGUAGCCAACCAUAUUGCAUUAUAAAAAGUAAAACAGAUUUUAUCUAUAAUCAUUUGAUCUUUCCUAAAACAAUAUAUACUAUAAUUACUUAAUUUUUUAGUUCAUGAAAAUUCUUCAUUUGCUCCCGUUCUUAAAAGCAUAGUAAUUCUUAACACUUAUUUGCUUUUAGAAAAUAAUAUUUCACGUAAAAUUAAGACUAAGGUAAUAUUAUUGAUGUUUUUUAUUUCUACGUUUAAAAAAUUAUAUUCACAGCACAAAUUUACUUACUUUUGUAAAAAUGACAAAAAAAAAAAAAAAGUUGAUACACAAUUGAUACAUUAUUAAUACAUAUUUGAUACAUUUGAAAAAUAGGAGGGAGAGGGGAGUAAUAGAGUGGGAGCAUUGAAAGCAGUGGAAAGGAAAAGGUGAGUGGGUUUAUUAAGGGAAGAGCUGUUUUGCGAAUUGCUAUAAAUAGUGUGAGUUCAUGUUAUGGGCGGUUGGUACCUUACCUAAAAUUAGAGAUUACAUAGAGAAACUUCGUCGGAUAAAAAACGCCCCUUGUAAAUUCCACCAAAAACAGCGGCGUCAAUAGCCCUAUGUGCUUCGCAUUGCAUUUCCCUCUCCUCAUUAAAAUAAUAAUAAUAAUAAUAUCACCAAUUAUUAUUGUUAUUAUUAUUCUUCACCAUUGUACUCUAUUUAUUAAACAUCAGAGAACUCAAUAAUUGAGCUUGUACUGACCCUUUUUUCUUUAUCAAAUUUAGUCUCUUUAUUAGAAUAUUCACCUUUUAAGUGAAAAAUUAAUUAGUAUAUAUAUAGAUGGAAAUAAAAGGUACUAAAGACUUUGAUUAUUAACACACCUGUCUCGAAUCAACCAAUCGGCCUUGACUUUCACUCAUUUUUUAAAACAUAUAUAUAUGUUUUAUUGAGAGGUAGAGAGUAAUGCAGAACAAGGACAGGGUGCCUAUCUAGCUAGCCUAACUUUUGUAAUUAUUAAUUAUUAUUGUUAUUAUUCUAAGGUCACAUUUAAUUAUGUCAAUAUUAUAAUGUAAUAGUUAAGGGGAGGUGUUUCAAAAAGUCUUUGUUGGGGUUGGGGUUUGGAGAAGGUGGAAAAGAAAGGGUAUAGGAUACAAAAAGAUGUGUGUGUAUGUGUGAGAAUUAGAGUGAAUGUGGUUUGAAACUAAAGGAAAAUUCGUCUCUCUGUACUUUUAUGGCUUCAAUUCCUUUUGUGUGUAUUAGAGUAGAGGCAGCAAAAUCAUCCAUUUUUCCUCUCUUUUUCCUCUUUUGUCCCACGCCAGGGAGAGUAUAUUCCAAAUACCCUCUACACUUGGAAAUUAUAAUAUAUACUUCUUUUCUACUAUUUCAUUUAUGUUCUUUCCUUUUUUAAAAAAAAAAUUAAUAUCAAAUUUCUAUUGAAGUAAGACUUUUGUUUCCUUUUUAUGUUUGGAAAUAUCAACAAACUUCUUUCUAACAUUCAACUACAUUUAAGAUGCACAAAUCAACUAAAAUCACACCACAUAUACAUUCAAAAGCUAACUUACAUGCCCUCUUUAACUCAUUUUGCCGAAUAAUCUUUCUAAUUCCAUAGCAUUUGGUUGUCAGAAAAUUUUAUAGGAUAUUUAAUUCUAUGCACGGGGAGUCGAUGAUCACCUUAUAUUGAACUCAUGAUCUCUUAUUCCUUUUAUAUAAAAAUAGAUCCUUAAAUGAACUAUGAGAUAUUACCAAUACAUUUACCCGAUGCAUUUUAUUUCUCAAUGACAAAAUCAUAUAAACUUUAAACGAAAAACAUUUUUUAGUCUAAAAAGGGCCAAUGUCAAUUUGUGAGAUGAUAUUUUCUUUAUUUAAGACAAAUAAAUGACAUUAUCAAUUCAUAUUGAAUAGAUGAAUAUAUCCUUGAAGUUGCAAUUCUAUAUUACAUUAAUAAAAAUCAUAAAAAUAUAAGUAAAGAAUAAUAUCAAUAGACCUAAUUACCCAAGAAUAAAUACAAGAUCACAUAAUGGUAAUGAUAACUAGAUAAUUAUUGUCUCAAUGAGUCACACAUUAAAAUUUGCUAAAGAAUUUAAAGUAUGUAUGUGGGUAUAGUAGCCUAUUUUAGAUACAUUUUUGUUCUUGAAACAUGUGGAUAGAGACAAAGUGAUUUGUCAAUUAGAUCUAGACCAUAUUAAAGAAAAAUGAAAAUUUCUUUGAAAUUAUAAAGAUACAAGUUGAAUGGAUAGGUCAAAAGUCAUAAGAAUCAAAAUCAUUUGUCUAGGAAACACGAAAAUGUAAACUCACAAUUAUUGUUCAUUUGAUAUGAGCAAAAGUGGACAAACUUAAUUCUCCAAAAAAGGUUAUAAAUAUAUUUUCCUUUUACAUAUUUUUAUUAAUUUAAAUAUGAUAUUUUUUUUCUUACAAAAUAAAGAAUAGACGUACACAAAACCAUUUAUUAGACUUUAACAAAAGUAAAGGUGAGAAAGUUGAAAACAGGAAUAAAAAUUGUGAAAUGACUAGGCAUUUCUUUUUUCUUAUAAGUGAUGAGACUUUGAUGAUGAUGAAGGUGGUGAUGAUCAUGGUUAUUCAUAAUAAUAAAUGAAAGAGAAAGAGAGUUUGUUUGGAUAGUUGUGAAAAAUAGUUCCAUUUUUUUUCUUCCUUAAAAUUGUUUUUAUUGACAAUAUAAUGUUUUUUUAAAAAAACAUUUUUUGUAUUAUUAAAAUUAUUUUCAAAAUCAAUUAUUCAAGACAAUAAAGUGGAUCCAUUUAAGUUAAUAGAAUAUAAAUGGACAAUUCUAUUUUAUCAAUUAAACAUUCAAUUAAAAAAAAAAAAACAUCAACGACAGUAACCAUAAUAUUUUAUUAUUUAUUUUAGAUAGACAGAUUUAUCAUUUAGUUUUCUUUUUCUUCAUAUUUUUAAAAAUAUAACUAUCUACAAUAUUAAUAUUGUUUUAAGGUUUGUAAGCACAUAUUUAGGAAGUUGAGAUUUCCACCUUACAUGAUUUAGAAUGAUAUUAAUGGCAUUAAUAUCUAGACAUUAUGUAUACAUGAAAACUCUUAAUUGAAUUAAAAGAAAGACACAUGUAAAAGUAAUAAUCAUGUUCUAGUUUGAAUUAAGAAAACGGAGGAAAUCCUCCUACUCCCUUUGCAAGCUUAUGAAAAAAAAGAUUAAAAUAAAACAAAAGAUUCUAAAGAACAUAUGAGCAAUAUGAGCAAUAGAGUCAGAAUGAAUCACAUGCAACAAUGUAAUUUAAUGAGUUAAAUUGUGCGACCCAAAGUCAUGAUAUGUUUGGUAGCAUUUGAUGGAUAUUUAUUCUAUUUAGUUUCACAUUAACUUUAUAGGGAUUAGAGAUAUUAUUUUAACUCAAAAAUUUAGAGUUGAAGGUUGAAGUUUGACUAAUAAAAACACCAAAGUCUUAAGCUUGAUUUAAAAAAACAAUAAAAAUAAAAAAGCAAAAGAAUUAAAAUAAUUAGAAUAUAGUUAUAAAGAAAUAGAUAUUCCAUGGAACUCGGCUGGAUCAACGCUUAAGAUAUGGAGAAAAGAAAGUGGAGUUGCAGUUGAGGAGUAUUAUAGUAUUUAAUUUAGGGCAGGAAAGCCGAACCCGAACCCAUCCGCCAAUCAAAUGUUGGCAAUCCACCCAACAAGAAACAUCCAAAAGGUUCAAAUGGUUUAGAGGGGUACGUGGCCCAAUCAGGGAUUAGGUCUUAAGAAAGACUUAAGGAAAUUAAAGAGGAAAGGAACAGAGCAUUAUUAAGCAUAAUCACACGCUGGACGUCACACGUGUGUCGGCUGUCGCGGCACUGUGUAAUGUAUACACGUUGCAGAAUUAACACACACAAAAUAAUUCAUUUAUGUAAUUAUAAAGUUUUGUUACUAAAAAAUAAUUCCACUAUGAAUGAUGCUAUGGCCGGCGGGAUUCUGGGAACCACAAACAAAUUACUCACACUCUUCUCACGUGCAGUACAGCUACUCCUUCCUUCUCUACCUUCCUCUUCUAUAUUUCUCUAACCUGUUCAUUUUUUUCACUCUACGUACCAAACCCCAAACCCCAAACCCCCCCCCCAAUCUCAUAUAUUAAUUCUAUCUUAUAAUCUUUCUAAAAUACAUUCAUUACAUUCCAAUUAUUAAUUCAUUUUUUAAAUUCAAUCUCAUUUUUAUCUAAUUCCUUCACACCUCUCUACUCUUAUAAUAUUAUUAUUCUCAUUUUUCUUUUAAUUAUGCAUGUGCCUCUUUCCUCUCACUUAUAUUCUUUGGGUUAUGCACCAAAUCAUUUCUUAUGUAUAUUAUUAAUCAUAUAGUCUGUGAGCAUUAAUUAUAAUCUCAAUUUCCAGCACGAUUUAAAGCUCUUCAUAUGUAUUACUGAAUUAAUGUGCAUUAUGUUCCUUUAUUAAUUAUUUGGAGUUUGAAACUAUAUAUUAUUUUAGUGCAUCAGAUGCGUGGUAGUGUGUAAACCAUGAUGUCAAAAUACAGAUGUCAUGACUUUAAUCAAUUUUUGCCGGCUUGGAAACAGUUAUCUUUACUUCCACUUCUCCUCUCAAAUUCUUAAAAUAAAUACACUUUUUAAAAACACUCUUACAAUUUUAAAUUUUUUUAACUUAGAUAUAAUAAGAAUUAGAAGAUUGGAUGACAAAACAUAGGAGGUGAAAGUAUUAUAUAUAUAUAUAUAUAUACAAAACUAAAUUGGUUAAAGUUAGUUGAACUAAAAAUGACGUUUAUAGAUUUUGAUUUUCAAAAUGCAAAGGAUUAAUCAAACGGAGUUAUGUAUUCUUAUUUAAGAUUAUGGUUGAUUCUUUAAUUUAAUUUUUUUUAUGUUUAUUAUUCUUUUUCACGACGGUCUUCUAAUAAAGAAAAGUUGGUGUUAUAAAACCAUAGAGUUACUGAGAAAAUAUAUCCUAUUAAAUGUUACUCAUUAUUAAUCAUGUGAGCACUACUGUGUUAUAUGUUAUAAUAAUAUAAUUAGAUAUAGGUAAAAAAUGCAUGGAAUAUAGAAUGCGUCAACAAUGACUAGAUUAUUGGUUAAAAUCCCCAUGGUUAAAGUACUAAAGAAAAGGAGUUUAGGUACAAUAUUGUGUAUCAGUCAUCUUUAAUUGACAUUGGGUUGCCUACUUGACAACUGGACUCGUGUCACCAAAAAUCAAAAUAUUUCGAUCUUAUACCAAACUCCUUUAGCAUCAAUAAUCAUUUAGGACUCACCUAAUUUUACUUUAAAAUCUAAACGUUACAUCAAAUUGUUUGAAAUAUAAUUUUCUUGGUUAAGAUUAUAUGAAAAGUCGUGUUCUUUGUAGAAUAUUCCAACAAAACCUCGAUUACAAUGCCUUUCAUUUUAUUGGGUCGGUUUGUGGACCCUUUUUCAGAGAUAUACAAUUCAUUUAUUUUCCUUCAAUAAAAUUAUUACUCUCAUUUGUCACGUACAUUUUAAUUGGGUUAGUUAGGUUUCGUUUAUUCAUUUCUAAUUAAUUGUGUCCCAUUGGAAAAUUCCACUAUUCUAUCAAAAUAUUUAGAUUUAUUGAAAAGUGGUCAUAUAUAUAUAUAUAUAUAUAUAUAUUAGAUUGAGAGUAAUUAAACUUCCAAAACAAUAUUUAACUUACUGAUGGGUUAAAGAUUAACAUAACAACGAGGCACAUUAGACAGUGAAAUUACACUCUAAACAAAGGUGUGUCUUCCUUUAUAUUAUUAUUUAAAUUUAUAAAACAUAGUAAAAAAAUUUAAGAUACAUAAACAGUGUAUGAAUUUGGGAUCAUGAAUUCUAACUAUGGCUAACUUUAGAGACUUUGAAUACAAGUAAAUAAGAUAAAGAGAAAUUAUUUGGUAAAUAACUUUGUGUUUAGGAAAUAUAUAAUCCCAAAGAAAACAAAAAACAAAAAAAAACAGAAAUUGAAAAGGACGAGUGAUAAAUAGUUUUAUAUCACAACCAGACUUCCACACUAAUAGAUGUAGUUGGGAUUUCAAAAGAGAUUUAACUAAAUCAUUUAAAUAAUAGUUAGGCUUUUUUUAAUCCUUCUAUAUGGAAGACAAUGGAAGUCUCUAUCUUCAUAUUUGUCGAUUAUAUAUAUUCUCCACAUUUAAACUUUAGGCCCACAUAAUUAGUUUCCUUUCUAAAGUGCUUAUAUAUAGUGUGUUAUUAAAAACCAAUAUCUACAAUCAUAUAGAUUUUAAAAAGUAAUUGCUGUAAUAUUUUCCUCAGACUAUUUUCAUAAAUAGCUUACUAAAUUGAUGACUAUUAAAGGAUUAUUAGAAUCCUAAAGCAAGGAAUUGAAUGAUAAUUAGAGUUAACACAUAUUAUAAUGUUGGAAAAAAGUUGAAAAUUAAGAAACACUUUUAAAAGGCAGAGAGAGACAGUACCACUUUCUUUCUUUCUUUUUUUUUUUGUUUUUGGAGUAAGACAGUGCCACUUAUGUACUUGCUAUUUGUGGUCGGCAGGUGCAUCCAAUUAAGUCUUGUUUUCGUGUCAAAAUUAAAGCCAACCUUAUGGUUUAUUUUUCCCCCCCUCUCUCUGACCUUCCUUUCAAAAUUGUCUCUUACCCUCAAAAUCAUUCCGACUCUUUUCUUUUCUUUUUCUUUUAUUAAUCUCUCGAUUCUCUCCUUAUUAUCAUAAAAUUAUUAUAGUUUAAUUAACCGGCCACUUGCUCACUCCUGUCUACAAUUUACAGCACCCCAAAGACACACCUUUAUUAUUUCAACCCACACACCACCACAGUUAGCUACUUUUGAAUUCAUAGUUCUGUGUUCACACAACACAUGCAUUUCUAUGAAAACACAAUGUAUAUUUGUCAUAUAUUUAAAACUCAUAUAACCUCAUCUCAUUUGAUCCAUUUAAUUAACAUGAAUUUCUACAUUCUACUUGAUUAUUGGUUCUUUUAGCUAGGUACAAAUAGUUCAAUGACAAAUUAAACUAAAACAACAUGAAAAGCAAGGGAGUAAAAAUAUCAGUGUGAGGGAGUAGUUUUAAAGUGGGGAAGGUGGUAAGUUCAUUAUCGUGAGAUGACAAGAAAAGAAAAGAAAGAAAAGGGAAAAAACUGAUUUGGAUAAAAGUGAUUAUCCGUUGUGAUGGAGUACGUUUGUGUGUGUGUGUGAGCUUUAGUUGAAAUUGAAAUUUGAAGAAGAAUGAAGUUGAAGAAGAAGCAUAAUUUGAAGGAGGUGGUUAAGUGAUACAUAGGUGGGACCUUCCUAGUAAUGUCCAGGUCGGUUUCAUGGAUUUCCAAGUAAUCAGAAUCUUUGUCGGGAUUCAUCAUUCUUUUUUAAAAAAAUAACUUCCAUAUAUUAUUCCCCUAAAUAUAUUUAUAUAUACAACUCCAUAAUUUCCCUCCUCAAUCACUUUAUUCCUAAUUUUAAUCACUCCUUUUUCAUAUUAAUUAUGACGACCUUAAAUACACCAAAACUUUGAUACUCUCUUUUAAUUUCUUAAUUAAACACCGAAUAUUGAUAUUUCAUCUUUCCCCCCCAUUCUAGAUCAAAACAAGCAUUCAAUUCUAUAUCCUAUCCCCAACCUUUUUUUUUUCUUUUCUUUCUUUCUGCAUGCACCGAAUAUAAUCUAUCCUAAUUUAAAUUAGUUUCUCUAAUCAUGUUUAAUUUUGUAUCAAUUACAUCGGGCCAAUGUUAUCGAAUUAAGUACACCAUGUUCAUAAUAAUAAUAAUAAUUUUGUAACACUCCCUCACCUUAUAGACAUGCAACCGAAUAAAGAUUGAAAUCUUUAACAUAAAGUAAAACAGUUUUUAGUUUAUAAUAUAAAAAAGGUGUCCUUUGCCACGAGGAAUAUAUAUAUAUAUAUGGUAUAUAUGUUAUAUAAUAAUAACCCACCACACCAUUAUCUUGGUCUAAAGAUCAAGAUUUACUAUAUAUAAAAAGAUGUUUUUGAGUAUAUAAGAACGGCUACUUUAUAGUGAAACUCCUCCACAUAUGCGCAUGCCACAAGAUAAAGUUAAAGUAGUUAGGGAAACUAGGGGGCUAAACAUUUAUUUAUUAAUUAUUUCUCAUGCAAUAAAACUAAAUUCUUGUUCCUUUUUCUUUUUUGUGUUUGGGGGAAGUGAUUGAUUUAUGUUGGUUUGAAGUGAGACGAAUAUUGAUGACUGAAAUGAAAGUUUUGUAAUUAAAAUGAUGGUGGGAGUCCUCAAGGGCAAGGUACAACAUUUCAUUUCAUUAACCCAUUUCAAUGGUUGUAAUUUAUUCAUUUGGCAUUAUUUUUACUUCUGUUAAGAAAUAGAAUAUGGAAUUUUUGAAAAUAUGUCUAUUUAUGAUUCACAUUGGAACCCAACCCUCACAUAAAUCUCUCUUUCUUUUGAACAAAAAAUGUUCCUUUCUUCCGUUGACAAUUUUAAAAUGGGACUCUUUGCCUAGCUAUAUAUAUAUAUAUGUUGAAACCCUAGAUUUUCAUUAUUGCCUUGGUAUUUUCUCAGCCAUGGAUUUUUGAUGCUUUUCAUUUCAGCCAUUGGAAGAGGUAACUUGUCAAUUUUGAUUGUGAGAAUAUAAUAACUUUAAAGUCUGAAUAUCAAAUUACUUUUAUAAGAUAAUGAUUUAAUUAGUGGGCUCAAAACAAGUAGUUACCUCACACUUAUUUCUAUAAUGUGUUACAUUAUUCUCUCAAUAUACACACGCACACAUAUAUAUGCCUAUAUAUAUAUAUAUAUAUAUUUUCCCACAAUAAUUAAAUUAAAAUGAUCGAUGCACAUACAAGUGACAUAUGAUAAGAUGUAUUCGCUUCUCUCAUUUCUUCAUAAAUGGGAAGAAAAAAACAAAAACAUCAAUCCUUCAUUACUUUAUCUUGCACAUAUUCAUAACUUUAAACAUAAAGGGUUGCAAACAUCCAAAUUGAUUUUAAAAAAAUGAAUAUGACAGAAUAAAAUAAAAUUUGAAUGAGAUAAUAUGUGUUAAUUUAUACCCAAUUGGGAAAAUUACAAAUCUAAUUAAUAGGAAGUAUAUAACACCAACCAACAAUUACAGUCAAAGUCAAAAUAAUUUGUUCCUUUAUUUGCUGCAAUAUAUUCCAGUGGUUGCUUUUAUCUAAAUUUGGACUGUUCAUGAACGUUCUAAAAUUAUGGUGUAGAGUUUAGAAUAGUAAAAAACUGUGGUCAAAUAAUGGAUGCCAUUCCCUUAUCCUUUGAAAUGAGGGUAUUAAAAUAUGAUAUAGUUAUUAAGAAUGGAAAUACUUUUGUAAUAGCUAGCCGGUGAAAGAGACACGGUCUAACCAAAAACUAAUAGCAGAGUCAUGUUCAUGCAUCCACACACAUUGCUCAAAUAUGGCAAAAAGAGACCUCUCCAAAACAGACAGCCUUAAAUAUCCAAAUUACAUGGAAUCUCUUUUCUUUCAACUCACUCAUCUUUUUAAUCCUUUCCUUACCGAAAAAGUCCAUUCAAAUUGGUUUAAUUAUUAUUGGACCACCUACGCUCCAAACGUAUUCUGAUUAUUUAUAAAUGAAAAAAACGUGUUUAUAAAUUCUUAGAAACUCAAUCCAAACGUAUCUUAAAUGUAAGGAUUACUUUAGCUAUCUACUAAAAGUAAAGCCUUCAUUUUAUUGUAAAUAAUUCUUCUAAGAUAUUUAUGAAUUAUUGCAUUAGUUGAUAUAUAUAUAUUGAAUUAUGGAAACAGAAGUCCAAAUUGUUCACCUUUUUCAAGAACAAUUAACUUAAGUCCAAACUGAAGUCCAAAUACAUUCUCGAAUCAACUACAUGAAUUGUGGGAAUUUAUAUAUAUAUAUAUAUAUAGACCAGCGCGGUACCAUGGGAGUUAAUCUUGGUGGAGUCUAUUAGAGAUGGCUCUACGUUGAUGAACAACAUAGUUAAUCUUGGUGGAGUAUUAAAAUUCACGAACAAGCUUGGAUAGUUCGCAGUUGUUGUUACAUAAUUAGUAGUUAUAUAUCCUAUUGGAAGUAAACAAUUGUUUUUAAUUAGUAUUGAGCUAGGAGAAUUCAUACACUUUUUCUUUUUUUUCUUUUUUUUUAAAAAACAAUAAAUAAAAGUUUAGCAUCAAUUAAAUAAGGAGAUGUUCGUGCAUUUAUAAAUGAAGACAGUCAUCUUUAAGGAUAUGAGAACUUUUGGAUGAAACAGAAGCAAAAUAACGAAAGACAUGUAUGCUCAAAGUAGACAAUAUUAUAUUAUCACGGAGAUAUAUGAAGUUCCAUCGUGCUAUUAACAAUUGGUAUUUUAUUAAAAAGAAAAAAUAGUUAAGAAAUUUGUUACAAACCAUGCUAGUAGCUCUAAAAUAAUUCUUACCAUACCUACAUGUACUGUUUAAAAAUUAGUUCAGCAACAAAAACCUAAUGGUUAAAAUUUAGAAAUUUAGUUGUUUGUUUAGGCAACAUAAUGAUUAUUAUCUUUCUAUUGUAAUAAUCGUGAAUGUUGGUAUAAUAAAGUCUCUCAAUACUCAAUCGUCACUAUAACGUGUCCAAAAUAUAUUUGAAUCAUCGUAAUAAGUAGCAAUUUUAUAAAUAAUAACUAAGUAUUUGGUAAAUCUUAGCAAAACUAAUAAAUCAAUAUUUGGAAUAUGCUCGUAAACUUUGAUAUAUUUGUACUAUAUUUAUAUAUAAAUAUUUUUUAUAAAGUUGUUAUAUAGAUAACUAUUUUAAAUCUAAUGGCAUUGUUUGCAAGGGUUCCAAUAUUUUGCUUAUUUGACGUCUAAAUAUGUUUUGGGCUCCAGUCUGUUGGACUUGAUUGAUUUGCUUUUUGUUGGGCCCAAACGAUGGCUAAAGUCCACGAGUUUGACAUUCCGGGCCUACGGAUCUCCAGCCCCAAUUUGAUGGAUGCACCCAAUGGAUCAAAAUUAGUUAUUAAGGUGAAUCAAUAAAUGUUAUAUAUAAUACUCAUCAACUUCAGAUUGAUUUUAAAAGUUUAUGGACAUAAUUGAAAUCGGAAGGAGAGGUCAAGUUGUUAGUGGGGGAAGGUAGCAGAAAUUAAAACUUCUUUUUUUUUUCAUGAAUGAAUAUGGACAUUAAGAUACAAAAUUAAUUUCAAACAGAUGAAAUCAGCCUUUCGUCAAGCUACUAACCUCUUUGUUAUCUGAAAAGUACACCAUUAUUGAACAUGUACAAGCAAAUAUAUAUGAUUUUCAAACUUGAUAAAUAAAUGAAUGAAAUCUUCUCAUGGAUUGAAAAUAUGUCAGACUAUACACUCAUACAUUUCUAUCAAUUGGAUUAUUUAUAGAUUUAUAUCAAUUACUUUAACACUCUAUUAAACUUCUAUUAGUUUUAAUCACUAGUAGAUUUUUUUGGAGUGUAAAGAAAGUAAAAAAAUUGUUAUAAGUUAUAAAGAGUUCGACUAAUUUUUAUAUUUUUAAAGAAUAAUUGAAGAAAAAAAUAUUUGUUUCUCUAACGUAACUUUACAAAAUACUUGCAAAGUUGAGAUAUAUUUAGAAAAAAUUUGAAUUGUAAGGAUGUUUAGAAAGAGAAGAAAUCAUAAUGAGUGAUGAAUGGUAAUUUUGGGUUGGUUUGACCUACCAAGAAGCUUCUUUAUAGAUUUAGAUUAGAUGAGAAGGGAUUCUUUUCUUCUUUUGAAAAAAGAUUAGAUGGAAAUUAGAUGCUUAACUUAGUCCUAAUUUAGCAUUUGAACUAAAUAAAGGCAAUGAAAUCGCAAAUGCCACAUCACUAGGACCUGUAAAGCAAACUAGGAUGCCUCCAAACCCUUUUUCUACCCUUAAACCCACCAUCCAUAUAUGACUUUACUGUCUAUGUUUCACAUUACUUUUAAAAUUCCAAAACCAAGGGGUGACGAAGAAUAUGAUCAAAUUUUAAGAUAUUGUUUUCUUUUCCACACAAAUAUAUAUUGAUCCGAACAAAAAGAAGAAGAAAAAAAAGUGACAAGGAAUGGCCAGGAUUCAGUUUAUUGUCAAGUUUCAACCCGGGGAUUCUCCAAAUAUGAAACGGUGACUUGAGAGAGCCCACUCUUUUUUUCUUUUUAUUACUAAAACAACAAAUGUAUUGUAAGACUUUUUCCUUUUUGUUUGUGACUCAAAAACUUUGUCUUUGGCGUCACCUAAAGAACGGGAAUAUGAUGCUCCUCUACAUCUUCCUUCGCUUCCCUACUUCAUAAUUCCUUGGCCUUACCCACCAAAUCCAAACGGGAUUGGACCCUUAAUUUAAUUUGAAUCCAACUAACACUCUCCAGAACUUUACACAACCAUGAAACAAGAAGAAGAAGAAGAAGAGACUACAAGAGACCAACAUGUGUAUAUUAAAAACACGAAGUGCACAUAAUUACAUUUUUUUUUGACGUCCAAAAUGGCCAUGCAAGAGAAGAAAAAACAACCUGCAGACCAAAAUGGAAUACAACCCAUUAAAGACGAACCACAAAUCUCUUUAAAGAGGAUUCUUUUUUCAUGGACCGACUCCUAAACUUUCAUUUUAACACAAGAACUCUGCAAAUGCCUAAAAUUUCACUGCAGAAUCUUUGUAACAAAGUUGACAACAUUAUCAAAAAGCACAAAUUACAUUGAAAACAUUACUAAUUAACACUCUGAUUCGGCCAGCUGACUCAGGGCUGCCCAAUCAAUCUCGAUAGAAGGAAACUUUUCCAAACAGAAUGCUUCUACUCCUUCACCCCAUUGAGAAUCUGAAAAAUCCAAGAAACUGAUACUUGAAUCAGGGGAAGAUCCGGUGGAAGUGGAAUAAUCUUCAGACCGUGAAGGAGAUGAGGAUGAAGAUGAAGAUGAGGUUUCCACUUCGCUCUUCAAUUCUAGCUCGCAGAAAUUGUUAACUGCUGAGUUUGAUUCGGAUGGAAGUGGAAUGGUCGUUGGUUUUUCAUCCUCAACAGAACAGACCUCUGUUUUCCCCUGUUUCAAGCUCUGACAAAUCGAUUGAAGUUUCGCGUCCACAGAAGGAUGAAGAGGUUUGAAGUCUCCGAAUUGGUGUUUGAGAUGUGGAAAAUUGAGCCUAGCAAAGUCCCCACGGAGCUUAUAAGCAGCUUGAUCAUAGGCCAAAGCAGCCUCCUCGGCCGUAUCGAAGGUCCCAAGCCAGAGUCUAGUUCGGUUCUUGGGGAGUCUAAUUUCAGCCACCCAUUUCCCCCAGUGCCGCUGCCGGACUCCCCUGUAGAGUUUAUUAGGUUUAGGUGGAGAGCCCAUGUGCUUCAUGGGAAAGGAUUUGGGGGUAAGGAAGUUAUGGUAUUGGGAUUGGAAUGAAGAAGAAGAAGAGAAAGAAGACAUAGUUGGUGAGGGCAGUUGAAUUUGGGCUUGAAUUUGGAGAAUUUGAGAAGGGGUGGGAUUGUUUAGCCCGAUUGGACCUGAUUGCUCAAAACCCAUUUGUUCAAUUCCCGAGAACCCUUGAGAAAACAAGCGGGUACUCGACGGGGAGCAAAAAUCAGGGAUUAAUCUAGGCUGAGAAGAAACAGAAGGAUGAGGAGGAGAAGGAGAAGAAGAAGGAGAAAAGGAGGAGGAGGUUGAAAUAGCACUUUUCAUAAAAGGUUGAAGUGCUUUCAUUAAUUCUUCGCUAAAAGGAUCCGAAUAGUAAACCGGCGUUGAGGUUCCACCGUAAACAUCUAUAACUGCUGCCAUGUGAAUUGUGAAAAGAAACUUACAAAACUAGCAAAACAAAGUGUUAAAAGAUCCCAAGAAAACAAAAUUAUAGUUCAAGAGAAGGAGAAGAAAAACAAGUUUGUUUCUACAAUCAACUUGAGGGACUUAAAAAAAAACACCCUCAAAGCCGAUAAAAACAGAAAAUAUUCACCAAAGAAACAGAGAAAUCUGGAUCUCUAUUCAGAAUCACCUGAGUUCAAAGAAGCAGCCUUCUGGGUGUAGAACAACAGAAAAUGCAAAAUUGAAAAAUUACAAAGACAGAGGAUGAUGACAGAAAGGGAACUCAAAGAAACGGGGAAAUCAGAGAAGGGGGGGAAAUGGAAGAAGUUGAAAAGAAGAGAAUAAUUGCAGAGUAAAAAGAAAGAAAAAGAGGAGAGAAAAUAGUAAUCCCUGUUUUGGGUGUAUGAGCGUAGAAUGAAAUCUGGGCUUGAAAAGAGAGGUAGGUUUGAGAGUGUAUAUAUAAGACCAAAAAUGGCCGUCUCUCUCACAAAAGAGCCACCAGUUUUGUGACUCAAAGACCGCAUUUUGCUCCGGGAAGUUAUCUCGUCAACUUCAAGAUAACAUAAUUCGAGGUGGGAUUCCCAAUGAAGUGAUGCCACGUAAGCAACUUAACACGUGGAGGUGGGGGAAUAGCAUUGGCCCACUUCGUGAAAUAUUCAGUUUAAUUGCAUUUUGUACAGACCAUAGUGGUUUGGUUUGGUUUGGUUUGGUUUGGCACGCGCAGCCAUGUCUUUUUCUUUAUUCCUUAUCCUUUCGAAUCAAUUUUGAUCAUCCCACCAUACAUCGCCCCUCCUCUCCUUCCAAUUUCUAUUUUAUAAUCAUAAUAUAUAUCCCAAUUUCUCUACUACACCUAUAACAUUUUUACAAUUUUGAUAUUUAUUGAUUGAAGACAAACUACAGGUGUUGACCUAAAAUCAAGUGACCAAAGGCUUGGUUUUCCAGAAUAAAUAAUGAAGUUUUCAGAUAUAAAACUAAUAAAUCCAAAAUGAUGUUCCACUCUAAUAUAUUUAAUUAAGGAGCAGAUGUGUUUAAAAUAGAAUAUAUUGUAUACGCGUGUGAUUAUUCACUCUGAUUAAAAUAAUAUUCACUUACAAGUUAAACGAUGAAUUCAGAAUCCAAAGCUAUAAAGUAAACACAAAUGGGUCACUAAUAAAUAAAUAGGACCAUUUUACUGCAUUCUUAGCAUGAUCAUAUAUGUCUGUAUAUAUAUAUAUAUAUAUUUGGUAUUUGAUUCUAUAUUAUAUUCCACAAACUAUUCUUGUAAAAUAUCACAUAUAACUAAUCCUUCCAUUUCAAUUUAAUUAUAAAAAGGUUAAAUAUUUUAUUUAUUUUAGGAAUAUCACUUUAGAAUUAUGUCGUAUAAAAGAUUCAAACAUUCAAUAGGAAUACAUUCACUAAACUCUAUUUUUUAAGUCCACUCUUAUAAAAGCAAUAUAUUAAACCAUUAAUAUCUGAGAUGGAAAAUAUUUUCCCCAAAAGUUCAUUUCCUUUUAAUUUUCUUGGAAGAAACUGACGAUAUUACUCACCCUAAACCUAAUAUUGAAAUAUAAUUUAAUUGAGGAAUUGAAUUUGAAAUCUUUGUUAUCGGUAUUAGCAUGUUAGAAUUAUGAAUCAAUCUUAUUUAUUGUUAUUGUCAUUGUUACCAUUAUCCUACAUUAUCGAUAACAAUAACAAUGGAUAAAUAUGAUAGAUUAUAAUUAACAACAAUAACAAUGAUAAUGAUAACAAUAAAUGUGAUAAAUUUACGAUUGAUUUUUCAAAAAAAAUUAUUAGGAUUAUACUACUUUUUCAUUACAUUUUGGUAACACUAUCACGUUACAUACAUAAAUGAAAAUGAGAGAUUCAUAUAAACAUAAGUAACAAAUAGCAUUGGUGGAAUGGUGGGGAUGUGAAUAAAAACAAAGGAGAAAGUGACAGAAUGGUCAAUUGCGGCGCCAUACAUUUCAAAGUAAGAGUUGGGGGAUGAAUGCUUUUUUCUUUUUUCUUCUUUUAUCAUUUUUUUUAUAUUUAUUUUAAAAGAAAGUAAAGCUUCAAAAAAAAUAAAAGAAAAAGAAAAUAGAAUAAUAGAAUAAUAAAAAAAUAAAAAGGGAGGAAUUAUGAUAGUUGAAUGCAAUUAAGAAUUAGUAAAUUGGUGAAUGAAAGAGUGAAUAUUGAAGGGGAAAGGGGUGGGGGGCUCCUACGCAUUCACCAAGAGCCAAGUUGGGAUGUUCACGCAAACCAAUGACCUUUCCCACUUCUUAACCAUGGUUAAAUAUCGUGGGUUUAGAGAGAGAGAGAGAGGAAUCGGAAUCCAAACGCGUGGAGAGCAUGCAGUUACCACGGAGCGUUGCCUUUUGUCUCAACUGUUGGCGUAAAGACGAAGCGAAUGCCAAAACACAAAAACACACAUCACCAUAUGCCAAAUGGCAAGUGGGGCCUCCCAUUCCUACGUGGGAUUUGCCAACUCAAACGCGCUUUCCUUCCCUUCCCUUCCCUUUCCAUUCUCCGAUUCUUUCCUUUUUCUUUUCAUUUUUACAAAUCUAUAUUAACUUAAGCUUCUCAUUAUAUUUGAUUUCAUUUUCACCCAUCAAUUCUUAACUCUAAAUAAUUCCAAUUUGCUUUACAUAUUUUCUUUCCAACAUAUGAUUCCAUUCCAUCUAUACCAUUAUACUCCUACUUCCUAUAUAUAUAUAUAUAUAUAUAUAAAUCUCUCCAUGUUUAUAACUAUUAAAUUCAUAAAACCAAAAUAUAAAUAUGUGAAUAUACACAGUACAUAAGUAUAGGAAUUAAAAUAUCACUCUAUUUUAAGAUUCUUUCUUUUAGUAUUUUAACAUUCAAUUUGUUUUACUUACAAAUUACCUUUUUUUUCUCUCGCUCCUUCUGUUCUAAAUCUCUUUAGGCAUGAUGCAUGCCAUAUAAGAUUAUCAUCCAUCUAUUUUAGCAUUCAUGAGAAAAAAAGGAAUUACAAAGUUUACAUUGUAAAAUUUUGAAGAAAAAAAAAAUACAAAGUAAACUGAAAAAUAACUAACUAUUAAAUCAUAGAACAUAUAUUUAGUGGAGCUCAUUAUGAAAAUAGAGUAUAGUGUUUGAAAAUAGACAUUUAUAGACUAACUAAGAUCCAAUGCUUAGAUUAUAAGUAACAAGUGUUUGAAAAUACAAAUUUAAUAGUUUUUCUUGUCUUUAAAGUUUAAAUUAAACCCUAAACCAAGCAUUAUUGGUAAUAUUUAAUAAUUGGUAUUUGGUAUGCCACAAGAAGAGAGAUGGUUUGACCUUUAUCUCAAAAAAGGAAUACACACAUUGUCAACCUAAAAGAGGGGUCCAACCAUUAUAAACCCACUACCAAUGCCUCUUUUUGCAUGCAACGACUAUCAGCAUUACAAUAUCUAUUUUUAUUGGAAAACAUUAAACAAAAAUUAACUUUUCAAUAUUUUUUUUUUCUUAAUGGAAAAUGGAAAAGGGAAAAAAUGUCCUUGAUGUCUAAGUUCACUAAUAUUAACUUACAUGCAUCAAAACUCCCCCUAUUUUCGUACUUUCUUAUUGUCACAAUGCAAUCCGUGAAAAAGAAAAGAAAAAUAUGAUUAUUGAGUUAACACGAAAUUGAAAUCAAAAUUAAGAAAAUUUAACUGACAUAAAACUUAAAUUAGAUCGUAUUAUAUAUUUUACAUGAGUUGGAGGGUGAAAGGAAACUUCCUCCUCUUUGACAUUAGGACUUUUAUAAUCAAAAUGUACACAACUCAUUCAUAUUGACUUUCUUUAUUAUAUUAUGCACAAAUUUCUUCUCUUCUUUUAUAAAUUUUCCACCAAAACAGUGGGAAACUGGUGAACUAAGUAAUUAAUGGAAUGCACUAAUUAAUUGGAUUUCCCAUAUACAAUAAACAAUAAAUUAUUCCCAACUUUCUUUUCAUUGUGUUAGUAACAACUACAAAGAGGUUAUUAAAAUAAUCAAACUUAAAUCUGUUAAAGAAGCAACAUUAUCGUUAGAAAAACACAAAAUAUAAAUAAACAUUCAUUGCCAAAUUUAAAUAUAAAGAGAGGAGGGUUCAUUACUCCCUCUUUUGUGUUUGUAUCUAUUUAAUUUUUUAAAAGUUUUUAUUUUGUGGUUUUACAAUUUAAGAAGUGUCCAAUAUAUUCAUGAACUUUUAAUUGUGUGUCAAGUAGGUUCUUUAACUUUAAAUACUAACAAAUUAUUGAACAACUUGAUGUUUUGAACAUUCACAAACCCUAUGAAACACAAUUUAAAGUUCAACAAGACAAAUUUCAAUUUCAUAACUAAUAAAUCAAAUUUUAACUUUUAUUAAAUACAAAAUUGAAAGCUCUAACUACUUCAAACAUUUUUAGAGAUUAAGGAUACAAAUCUAAAAGUUGAGGCUAAACUUCUAAUUUAACCUACUACUACUCAAAAUAAUGACACCCACCAAACACAUUAAAUAACUUUAGACUUACUCUAAAAGAUCAAGUAGUGGUUGAAAAUGGUGCACACAAUAUAUUUUAUUUUUUUAAAAAAAAUCAAAACUAAUGACCAAAAUAACUAAAGGAUUUUUUUAGAACUUAGAUGAAUAUAAGAAAAAAGAUUCAAAAGAUUCCAACUGAUUGAUAAUACAUAAAUUGAGGAAAGAAAUUGCUCAAUUUCAAACUUCAAACUAGAAAAUGCAAAAAAGUUUCAAAAGGUCUUGUUAAUAUACAAAAUAGCUGGAUUAAUUGAAUAGAAAAAGGGAUUAGAGAGUACAGGACAAAAAAUGAAGCUAAUAAAAUUGGUGGAUAUUAGGAUUCAGUCAAAUUAAAGAUAUUAAACAAAAGGGAAUGAACAAAACCAAAAGGCAAUUAAAAAUAGAGGUGCACCUGAACAUAUGAAGCACCAACGAAGCACUCGCAAUGAGCGUUAAGGGUAAUUAAAGUAUUAAACAUGAUGAAGGUUUUUGUGCUAAAGAAGUCAUGGAAUUGGAGAAGAGAAUGGAAGAGGAUAACAUAAAGAAUUCCUAAGUUGACAUUGAUUAAAAAAAAGGUCAACCUGAUGUAUUGCAAUAAUAACGAGGCAUCAACCAACCACUAUGUGGUUGAUAAAAAAAAAAAGAAUGUGGAUUGUGGAGCACAUAUAAUUAAGAAGAUGCAAAUGCCGGCUUACUCUGCUUCGCAUCUCUUUCUCAAGGCUUCCACAACCACAACCACAGCCACAACAUUUCAUUAUUUAUUUGAUAAUGUAAAAUAUUUACAUAUAACUUAUAUAUAUAGUUCAAGCAUGGAUUGAAACGAUAAGUUCUUUUUAUGUUUUGAAACGCUUGCAAAAACUACUGUGAAAAAGUUUAAUAAAAAAGAGUUCGAAAGAAAUAACUUUUUUGAACAGACAAUUCAUUUCAGUCAGCCAUGUAACUGUAUUUGACCAUAUAACUUAUCAUGAGAUAAAAUGAAAUAAAAAUAAUUAUAUAUGUCCCUUUUGAACUACAUUCCUUCCAGCAAGUCUUUCUUUCUUUUCUUUUCUUUUUUUUUUUUGUAGAAGAUUUGAAUUUUAGCCAUUAGUAUCCAAAACAGUUGGGAGAUGAUCUUGAAUUUCUUAAUUCUCAAUAAAAAUAAAAAAAAAAGAAAAACAGGAGUGAUUUUACGGAUAAUGUCUAUAGCAAAAAUGAUUUGCUCAAUGUUUGGGUUAUACAUUUUUUAUUUUUAGACAAUCAUAAAUGAAUUAAAUGAUUGAGAGCAUGUUUGUAAAUGGAUUUAGAAUGAGUGUUUUAGGCAUAAAUGAUUUGUUGAUUCUUUUACUAAGAAGUGUACAAUUAAAAAUCCUUUGUCACGAUUAAUGCUUGUUUACAAAAGUGGUUUUGGAAUCAUGAAAUUACAAACAAAAACUAUUGACAGGAAAAGAAAUUAAAAAUAAAAAAGGCAAAAAAAAAAAAGGAAGAAGAAGAAGAAAAAGAAGAAGAAGAGAGAGAGAGGGCAGUUAGGUAAGAAAUUUAAAAGGGAGGGGCAAAGACUUAGAGGGAGACGAUAAAUUUGUAGCACUUGAAAAAAUGAGAUAAGAUUAGAGAGGAACCAAAAAGUUAUUCUAGAGAUAAUGUUAAGUGAGAUUUAUAAAAUAUUUAGACAAAACGUGUGAAAAGGGAAUAUAUGCGAGACUAAAGUUAGAAGUAGAAAUAUAAAAGUUCAAAAAAAAAAAAAACAUUAGUAAAAAAAUGGAAUGAAAAAAAAAAAAGUUUUUCACAUAAUUUAAGAAUAAAUAAAGAGAGGAAUUUUCUUUAUUUAAAGAUUAGUCAUUUUGAAAAGAAAAAAAAAAUUACAACUCUAAACUUUUAAAGUUUUUAAAGUUUAUAUCAAUUUUGAAGAUUAAACUUUUAAACUCUAUAAUAAAACCUCAAAAUAGUUGAAACUGAUAUUUGCCUUUCCAAAUAAAAAAAAAACAAAAUCUCAACCAAUUCAUUGAGAAUCACCUGAGUAAUGACCAACAGCAGUUUAAAAUAAUCCUGUACCCUCUCAAAAUGAUAACUGUAAACAAACAUUACCAUCUAAAAGAAACUAAUUUUGAACCUUACAAAUAAGUUCAACCAUUCUAAAAUAACUCCAAACAUGCUCGUUGUGUAUUAAAUUGAAUUAGGUCAAAUGAUCCUUUUAACCUAUGCCAAUUACACAAACGGCAAGUACGAACAAUCACGAUUAGACCAUGAACAAACAUUAGGCAUAGGUUAAUUAAAUUUGUUAAAUAAUAGUGAAAAGAUUGGUUUCUUGAGCAUCUAUCUAUUUAAACAUUACGACAACUGGAAAUCAAAUUUUAUUUUAUAAACAAUUAUAUUUCGAAGGCUUAAAGAAUUAAUUUCUAAAGAUUGUUACAGUAAACUCUAGACAGAUUGAUUGAUUUCAAGACCUUAUAAACCAAUCUGCUAAGUUCAGCCUGUUCUUCUCACCCAGUCAAAACCUACAAGUCACUUUUUAAACACUCAUGACCCCCCUAAAAUGCAUUUUCUCAAAUCUCAACUAUGGAAUAGCAAUCUUAAAAGAGCAAGUUCAAACAAGUUACCUGUCUUCAUAGCAGAUGUAUCAAAUAUCUCAAUCUAAUUCAAGGCUGUCAUGCAUUCUGUAAAUAAAAUAUAAAUAAACGUUUAUUAACAGAUAUUAGUCCUAGUAAUUCGUAAUUUUUUAAAGAACUUGUCAUUCCUUAUUAGGAGGUGGGAUGAUUUGAUAUUAUGAAAUAUGAUUCUAUUUAAAAGAUGUCAACCCUUGAACAUUUAUCAAAUCACCUAAUCCAACAGAAUUUGAUAAGCCAUUAAAGUCUAACAUCAUUCAAAGACCAAAGUUAAAAAUAUACAGGAAAACCGAGUAGGAAAGAAGGAUGAAGACAUGACAUGGUUAUUAAAAAAUAGAAUGGAUGAUUUUACAUGUAUUCCAAAUCUAUAAUACACCUACCCUAUCCAUAGCAAGAAGUUCAAAAGUACAGAUAUGGACAGCACAAGUGACUAACCACACGGCCCAAAACCAUCAGACUGGGAGGAAAAACAACAGCACGCUAAUGCUUCUCCAUGGGCAUGGCAUUAAACAUUUCCAAAUUCAUCUUGCAAUCCUCUCUCAGAUCUUUCAGGCUAACAAAACUGCUUUGCUGUAGACCAAGUGAAACGAGAAUUACCACUGCUAUGUCUUUCCGAGAUUCAAGUAAAUGAAAGUGAAGUAGAUAUUCAAGAAUGUAAAAGACUGUACUUUCAGGCCUACACUAGUGAAUCCCUCCAUACCAACAAUGGCAUAAAAUUGUUAUUAAUUUCGUUAACUAAACUCUUUCAGAUUUCCAACAAGGUUCCUCCUCCUUAAAUUGAACAUUUCAAGAGAUCUACAAUAACUUCAUUCUUUCGUAGACAGGGUACUUGAAAAGAUCAAAGUUCAAAGGUAGAUGUACAUUUCUGAUGGGAAAUAGUCCAUACAAGUAUAAAAGAUCCGUACUUACAAGUUGGUUUCCUUCAUGAGCAAACGUAUCUUCCAUAUGACGGAACAGAGACAUCCAUUGACCACAAAGAUCAAGUUCUAGCUUUGAGCUGGAAGAAUUUCCUUGACCAUGAUAAGUCUCUUUCUCUUUGCUGCUUUUCUGAGCCAAGAUGCUUGCAUCUUUCUGGCUUUUCUUAAGUGCUAAAAGAAUGAAAAUACCAUGAUAAUCAAUAAGAAGGAAUAACCCAAGAAGCAUGGUAUUAUGACCACACAAGGAAGAACAAUUUUACCUGAAAUACGUCCUUUAAUGUCCUGGUAAUGGAGAUCUGACCAAAUGUAUGAUGCUGAUUACAAAACAGACCAAUUUAGAUUUUCUGAACACAAAUUUUAAAGAACCCCUAGUUACAUACAUAACUAAUGAACUAAAUAAACUUGCAUUCUAAUUACCUUUCAAGCAGAACGAACAAGAACAUGUUUUAAGCAAGUCGUCAUACAUGUCUGCAUUAGCACAGUUACUAGUCUUAAGUCCUGAGCACCUAUCCAAUCCCAGAGACUUGGAACCCUCUGAAAUAGGCAUCCUCGACCAUUCCGAGGAGUCAUGGUUGCUUGAGCCAAUUAUCCCAACGUCAAUAUCCUUUUCGUCAUUACUUAAAACAGGAUCAACUGCUUCCUCGUUAUUAUCAUUGUUUAGCAUAAUUCCAGGACACUCUUUCUUGUUAUCCUCAGAGCAAGUAGGGACUACAGAUGUGGGCAAGCAAGGAACUCCCAAAGCUUCACUAUCUGUAAUUCUGUGUUCACCCUCAUGCACAAGAUGUGGUUCGUCAAUCGGCAAAUUACACUGCACAGAUUGUUUUGGCAUCUCAGAAAAAGCAGUAUCAGCUUCACUCGAAGCCAGUGAGCAAUCAGAUUCCUGCUGCUCCUUGCUAAAUCUAGACAGCGCCAUUGAAUAACAUUGUUCUCCGCUCGAGCGUUUACAGUUCUCCUUGACAUAUUCGUCUUCCCCAUCCACAGUUUUCCCACAUACAUCCCUUGGUUUAGCACCUGAAUGACUCAAAAUGGAGGAAAGCUUUCGUUUGAGCGGACGAUUGGUUAGGUUUCCAAGGGCCAGACGAUUGUGGCCUAACACACCAUCAAUGUUAUCCUCCCGCAUUAUCACACACAGGAAGGGGGGACGCAAAUCUGAUCAACCAAUCUAUCUUCUAGAACUUUAAUCUCUCGGGCAGAAAAAAUCCUAAAUCAUCAGGUUCAAAUCCUAUUCAGUGUGCUGAGCGAAAAACACAAACACACACACACACAUAGAGAAACCCCAAUUUUGCAAGAUUAUGAAUAUAACAAAAGAAAGACAAGCAAGAGCGAAAAAUAAAUGAAUAAAAACAUAAAUAACACAGUAACCCUAGAAAAAUCGAGAUUCAUGGGCAAAAUCGUAAGUAUAGAAUCGGAUGGGUGAGGGGAAAGAAAAGCAUUGUAAUGUAAAAGUGAGAGAGGCAGAGAUUGCGAGAGUAACCUUGAAAAGGAUUGGAGGUAGAUUUGAUUUGAGUGAGGAGAGGGGAAAAUGGGGAAGUAAGAAGAAGGGAAGAGGAGGUCUCGGGGGAAACGGAGGAAAUGAUAAUGCUUUGGGUUUUAAUUUAUUAUUGUUUGUUUUAGAGGAUUAAUUUAUAUAUAGAGAGAGAAAGAAGAAGCGCGAAUGGUGUAAAUGUGGAGGCAGGGCCCGCGCUUCCCAUUCAAAAUGUUGCCGCAUUCUCGGUGGCGCGCUUUCCCGGCAUCUCUUCAUCCCCCCCUCCCGCUCCCUUCAAACAUCUUUUCUUUUCCCUUUCCCUUUCCCUUUCCCUUUGCCUCCUCUAUUUCUCUAUUUUUCUCUUCAAUUCUAAACAAUCAUACCCAUCUUUUUUUAUUUAUUCAUGUAUAUAAAUCCUUACAAUUUUAAAUUUCUUUUCAAUUAUGUCCUACAUUUUAAAAUUUUCUAUUUUUAUAUUCGAUCGUCUAAAUUUUUAAAAACAUUGUUUGAAGAGUUUUUGUUCCAAUAAAAAAUAUUUUGGCAUACCAACUAAUGUGUAAAAAAGGUCAAACAUAUUUGAUCAUAAAUUUGAAGACAUUUGCAAGUCUGUCUUUUUUGUAACUUGAUGUGAAACAAAUAUUAUGCAACAUUUUCACAUAAAACAAAAUGGUACAUUCUAAUAUUAAUGAUUUAUGUAUAUUAAGUGACGUAAUUGCAAUUUUAUGUGAAAAGGGACGCAAAUGUAUAUAAUGCUAUAAGUUUAUUUGAUUAACUUAGGUGUGUAUGUCAAUAUGCAUAGUCAUUACAUUUUAAAAAAAUAUAUAAUAGGUUUGAAUUUCUUUUAAAGAAAAUGUUUAAGCAAGACUACUGUUAGAUUUAUUGAGCCAUAAAGCAAUGUUAUAGUAUUUAAUAAAAUGUAUAUCAUUUGAGAGGGGAAUGAGUCCGUGAUCUAUUGUCAAAUCUACCCAAUAUAUAAUUGUAAAUGAUAUCAUACAUGCCUACUAAAUUUUAAACAUCAAACUAUCACCCUUUAAAAAUGAGGUCGUUCAAGUUUAUUCAAUAGCAAUAAGUAUUGUUGAAGAACAAAUGAGGUCAUUCAAUUUCACUUGGUCAAAAACCUAUAUGUGGUCAUGAACAUUGGAAUCAUCUCAAGUCAUGAGCGAUAACAGAAAUGUAAAAACAAGGGUGUGAGACUAAAAGUUAUAUUUUUAUUUUCCUCAACGUAGGAGGAGAAGUUAGGAUUUUAUAUAGCUCGGUGGUAUGUAUGUAUGUAUAUGAAUAGCGUUAGCCUUUCAUCUAAAAUAAGUAAAAGAAAAGGGAAAUAUACAAAAGAAAAAAAAAAACUAUAGAAUAUGUAUUUAGAGGUCGUAGAAGCUAUGUCUUUUGGGUAUUACACAAUCCUCAAACUGUCCUCUUGGAGCCGCACAUGAGUAGCCUUUUCUGAACUUACUGCUUCUAUUUCUCAACUCAACCGCCACCCUAAACUCUCCACAAACUGGCCUGUGAUCUGAAAGCCUCGAUUCCCUUCGAAUAUAACACAGCUGCUCUAUCCCAUUCCCUCGCCACAAUAUUCUAUCACACCUGAACCAAACACCCACACAAAUAUACUACUUACAAUUUCAAUACACACGCAUAUCACAUAUCACAUAUUACAUGUCAAUCACUUAAUUCUCACUACUUACCAAGCUGGUGUUCGUCGUUUCUUCUUCGAUUUCACCGUCUCCCCCGUGUAUGAAUCUGAAUUAUGAGUGUACUUGUAAGUGGGUGCAAAUUGAAUCCUCCCUUCAUUGAACCCACUGAACACUCUUCCUGCUUCUCUUUCUACAUUCAACUGUAAAUACUCCCGCUUAAGUAAAACAAGAAGCAAAACACACAGAAACACAAAGUCGUCGUAGUACUUAAGUUACGUACCUGAUCCUUCUCUAGCAAUUUAUCCCAAUCACCGUCCUCUAAUAACAUUUUGGUAUCCUCGUAGCUCAAUGACACCCGGUAGUUCAAGUCUCCCAACCAUAUUAUCCGACUGCAUUUUCACAAUCACGAAUUAAAUUAAUCAUCACAAAGUCCAUAGCAAAAACGUUAUUAUUUUGAAAAGUAAUCAUAAUAGUUGUAAUUACUCAUGGUCCAUAAUUCUCUCAGGGGCUCUUUUAUUGGGCUUCUUACAAAUCUUGCUGAACUGUGUGCUUUUGAUAAUCUCAGCAGCAUCAGCAUUUCUUUUGAUUUCAUCUCCUUCUUUCUCACCAGAUGCCAAAUGACUGCAAACAAAGCAGAAACUUGUCUCAUGCACUGACAUGCUAAUUGAUAUGCAUCCCUGAAAAAGAAAACCAAUACCCAAUUAUAAAUUCUUCCCCUGUUUUUUCAUUUUCAUAAACAAAUUACCAUUUUUUAAAAAAAAAAAAAACCAAACAACCUUGUUUCCAAGUCGACCCAUUAUCCCUCUUCCAACUGUUGAAACUCUAAGAUGACCAAUAUGUGGAACCAAUUCCUGUCUUGCCCAAACUGAAAGAAACAAACCCACCAUCUGUUUGCUUGAAAUAAGCUUGAAUUUCAUCAUAUCCCCAUUCUCUGCUUUUGACGAAGCAAGCUCUGAGAUCGAAACGAAUUCCUCCAUCAUCAACCUCCCAUAUUGCUCAUUUGUUGAAAUAAUCAUAUUCUCUAAAUCCGAUGUCGCUCCUUCAUUCAAUUUCCUUAGCCUUCUCUCUCUCGAUCCUAAUUCAAUUGGGCAAUUACAAGCCUUCAGUAGACUACUGUCAAGUGGCCUCAGGUUCCUGCUAAGCAUUUUUAAAGAGGGCUUUUGAAAAAAAGGAAGAGUCUUCGAAUCUUUUGAUGAUCCUUUUGUUGACCCAUGAUCUGACCCACCACCAAACAUGGAGUCGCUGUUGUUCCUGGAUGGUUUGUUUAUAGCUUGGUUUAUCAGUGUUAGCCAUUUUACUGCCGGUUCGUUGUCUUCUAUAACAAGCACGUUCCCAGCAUUUAGUGGAACAAUUUCUUGAAACCUAUAAAUUUUUCCCCCACAUUACCAAAACUAAUCUGUUAAAAAAUUUAACUUUUAUAAUUAAUAAGAGAGAAAAACCAAUUCAUUUUUAAAUAUUUUACGCACCCAAUCACAUAAAUGUCUGCUGAGUCUUCUACCAGUAAGAAAUCUUCGAGGUUGAUGCCAUUGUUAGGAGUUUUUCCUCCUACAUUCCAUGUCGCUGUGAAAAUCCUGAACCCCAAACCCAUCUUUUUAAUUAUAAAUUUUCAAAAGAAAAAAUAAAUGAUUAGAUCAAUUUGAAUACGACUACCAUAGGCUUGCACGUACCGGAAAUUCUUGGUCUCAUUUGGUAGAGUCAUGGGUGGUUCAAAGUUGGAGAGGUUUAAGCUUUGGAUAUCUGAACUUGUGUGUCUUUCUGAAGAUUAAUAAACAAAAGUGGUAAAAGUUUAGCUCUUUAAUACAUACCAUGAAAAUUAUUAAUAGUAAUCAAAUCAAACCCUUUGGUAAUUUGAAGUUAGGUGAAGAUGUAGACUUUCCUUUCUUCAUAACAUUUAAGUACAUUGCAAUACAAAUUUCUUUCACUUAGUUCUCCUAUUCAGAAAAAGACAAAAGUAACAUUUACAUCAAACAUGUUUAAUUAUGAACAAGAGUAACACUCUAGAAAGUUCAAGAGCAGUAGUUAAAAAUGGUAUUCGAUGAGUUUCCAUCUUUCACAAAUGGCACUCUUUUUAGCUAAUUAUAAAGUGUUGUAUCGAUCCAAACAAUACGGAUGAGGACUAAAUUUGGCUUAUGAAAUAUAAAUUUUUAAAAUUUGAUUGUUUCCUUUCCUUCUCAAAUUUAAAACUAGGGAAUAUAAGAUAAGUGAUGAAACGAAUCAAUUAUUUCAGAGAAAAAUUGACCUAAACAUAUACUUCUUUUUCUCUCCGUUGUUACUCAGUCAGAUCCUCAUCUUGGAUGAGAUACCCAAGAAAAUCCAAAAAGUUAGUAGUUCAAUGUGCUGAUAAGAGUUUUUAAUUUUGAUCUUAAUAUCAUAAGAAAUGUUUUUGUUUUUGUUUUGGGUGGUAACAGAUGUUCAUUGUAGGAUGAAUUGGAGAGAAUGUGGCUCACAUUUAUAUAGAGACAAUCGUUCUGCCCUACACACACCACAAAGGAUGUAAAACAUCGUUUUCAAUAAUUAAUUAAAACACUGUCUGAUUGGAAGCAAAAUUCUUCAUACUGAUCAAAAUAAUCAUAUUGUUCGGUAAGCUACCAAAAUAGUAUUAACAUUAAUCUCUCUCAAGUCUUUAACUCAUCGCAACGUGUCUUAAAAACCACAACACACAUUAUUUUCAUAUAUUUCAAAUGGUACCUGAAAAACUUUUCUUGAUUGUGGGAGUUGACUCCAUGAAAGCUUGUCUUCUUGAAGCAAUUCCUUUCCCUUUAAAACAAAAAUGAAACGCAUUUUAAUUACCAAAAGGGAACAAAACAUAACAAAAGAAGAAGAGAUUUAUUAGUAUUAUUAUUAUUAUAUAUACGUACCAAUAUCAAUGGCGCCAUCCCCAUAAUCUAACUUAAACAUUUCCUCCUCCGAAUUUACCCUUUCGCUCUUCUUUGAACUGAAGAUCUUUGGAAUAAUAGACUGAUGGUGCAUAAAUGCAGGGGAAGGGAGAAAGAACAAACAGAACACAUCCAAUCAAUGAAAAAAAAGGUGUAUUUGGUGAGAAAUUUAAAAGAAAAAGAAAUGAAUAAAAAUACCCGUUUUUUCUUUUCGUUCUUGACGGAGUUGUCCGGUGAAAGAGCGGGAGAAAGGGGGCCGGGGUUCUUGGAAGUGGUGGCAUAGUUCGACAUUCAUUCAUAGAACCCGAAAUUCCAAUGCAUUCAACUCGCGAACAGAAUCGCGAAAGAAGGCACCAGAAAAUGGCCGGCGAAGUAACGGACUGGAAUUAACCAGCCGGAAAAUCUUAAUAACUCCAAGAUGGGUUAUUAUUGUUAUCUUUUUUUUAAUCUGUGGCUGUUUAUUCAUAUAUAUAUAUAUAUAAUAUAAAUAAAAAGAGAAUAUAUAUUUUUUCUUUUUGGAGGGUGUGUGUUUGAGAAGUGAUUGUGUGUUUGAGGAAAUUGGUUAUGAGUUUGUGUAUUGUGGGGGUGAGAAAAUGGGGGCAAAGCUUUCGGAGAAUAUAAUUAGGAUUGAAGGGAUGAAAAUGGUUAGAAGUUACAGUUCGUAGCAUAAGUCCUGAUCAUCCGCUAAUCUCAAACUCUCCAUCAAUAUAUUUACACCUAAACAAAAUAUACAAGUCUGUCUUUUUGGAACCACUUUUUUUGAAAUUAGUAUAAUGUCGAAGAAGAUUCAUAAAUUCACUAAUACGAUCCCAUCCUAAUCAACCUUUAAUUCGGUUGCAUUUCUGCAACACUAGUGAAUAAAAUAAAUUUUGGCAUGCCUAGUCUAUAAUAUGCAAAUUAAAGGAGAUUAUUUUGUUUCCUUUUUACCCCCACCUUUUUAGUAUAUUCCUAUUUUACUCUUUUUGAAUUAGACACAAUCACUUCAAAAUGGUAUCUGAUUAUUUGAAUGUAUGUGUUGUUGGUUAGGAUCUAGAUAGUGUCUGAAUGAAAGUGAUCGUGUAUCUAAUUGGUGUAUCUUUUUAGAUGUACUACGACUACCAUCUCUGUUAGAUGAACGAAGAGAAUAAUUAAAUUUGAUAGACCUAUUUUCAACCCCAUUUCCUCAUUCUUUUUACAUCAAUUUUAUUUCUUUUCUUGUCUGGAUAAAUUCUUAAACCCUCAUCCAAAUGUGACAAAAUAAAAUUGACUAGAAAUUCUAAAAAUGUACAAAAUUGAUUAAACAAUCACUCACUUUGGAGAUUUUCAUUCAUGAGGCUGCAACGAAGAAAAUAUGUUAUUCAAAAAAACAAUAAUAAUAAUAUAAUGCAAUAUAUAUGUACAUCAAUAGCUUAUCUAUGUGUCCAAUCACAUGACAAACUUUUCUUUUAAAAAAUAAAUUUUGUUUUUUGUUUUUUUUUUCUUUGUGAUAGAAUAAAAUGCAGGGAGAGAAUAUAUAUAUAUAUAUUUUCCUUUUUUGUUGAAGUAUCAAAUGAUUCAAACCUUCACUUCAAUGAAUAGGCUUUGUUAAGAUUGUCCGGAGCAAAAGAUUUAGACUUGGUUGAUAUUUAAAUCAAUUAGAUUUUGUCAAUUGUGUCAUCGUUAAUAAUAGUUUUGUAGUUUUUAAUUGAACGAAUAUUGGCACUAAUCCUGAUUAGAAUAUCGGGCAGAAACUACGAAUAUAAGAGUCAGAUAUUUUAAUCCACAACAUUAAAUAAUUAGCAAAUUGGGUAGUAACUAUCAUAAUUAUACUUCGGUUUCUCUACAACUAAACAGAUAUGAACAAUUACAAUCAAGUGCACGGCGUUCCAGAUGAAUGAAGAAGAAAUUUUGUAUCUGUGGCUUCUGUGAAAUACCUAUUUUUCCUGUUCAAAUGCACCUAGUCCUUUCAGGAAGUGCUUGAGCCAGCUGCAGAUAACCUCAAUAACACUCCAGAAACAGAGAUCACUUCUCCACAUACGAGCAACAAACACUUUGUAAUUAGUAUCAACCGUAUGGUUUUAGAACAAGAAGAAGAAGCAAGCCCCUGUGAGUCCACUGGUUUCCUAUUUCAUUAGCAACAACAAAUAAGCAGAUAUCUUGUUUAUUUCAAAAAAGCUGGAAAACUAUUACUUGAGUAGUUGUAAUCUAACAAGUCAAACUUUCAUACCUGAAUUUUAGGGAGUUCAGCAAGACAUUUCGUCCAACUCUUGCCUGUAAAGUGCUAGACUCUGCACAAAAUAUACCAAGAGACAGAUGUUUAUCAAUCAAGUGAUGGGAUGGAGCAAAACAGACAGAAAAAUGUAGCAGUUCUCUGCCUUUUUCCUUUUAAUUUACUUGAGUUGACACAUAAGACGUUUGUCUAUGCUUCCUAAAGCACCAAUAUGAAUGUCAGCAUUUGAUUAAGGAUCCCCAGUUAUUCCAUGGACAUUUUCCAUAUCAAUAUAUACCACAACAGCAACUAAUUUGUUCUUUUUUCCACUUUGGUCAAUUUUAAUCAAUGAUUAGCAUAGCAAUAUUUGAAAUGAAUACUGAAGUUUUGCAAGCAAAUAUCAAGACGUCAAUUAUUAAACGACAUGAGGUCAAUGGAGAGGUAGAAGAUUCUUGCCUUUGUUAAUGCAUAUACACCAGCUUCUGAAGGACCUACAGGACUUCCUCGCUUCAUAAACGAUCCCUCCUUGUAUAUGUAAAGUAAUGGUACCCCAGUUGAUAGUUCCAAGUUAAUUACCUGUCUCCCAGCAUAUUAAUCAUUCACCAUCGAAAAACUAUACUAGAAGGUAAUAACUAACCACAUGAACACAAGAAUAACGUAUAGGAAAUGGUUUCUAUACCUCGCAGGUAGUCAAUUUUUCUAGAUACAUGAUAAUACACCUUAGCGAAUUAGCAUGGGCUGCAACCAUAACAUGCUUCCCAGAUUGCAGCCGUGGUUCAAUCUACAAUUCCUUCUUGCUUUGUGAGAAUCAUUAAAAUAAUCAGAGCAAUAAUUUGAAAGUGCUUACAUGUUCCUUAAAAUAUCCGACUGCUCUCUGUGAGCACAUCUCCAAGCUCUCACCCUCAGGCGGAGGAAUAUCAUAGCUCCGACGCCAUUCAUGCACUUGCUCUUCACCGUAUCUUUCGGAAAUCUCCUGUUUAUUUAAUCCCUGUAGCUCACCGUACCUGUAUUAUACAUAUGCGUAUCAAAAUAAUUAAUCUAAUAUUCGGACUUCAGAUAGAAGGAAAGUAUAAAUCCCAAUGAAAAGAGAGAGUACAUUCUUUCAUUCAAUUGCCACGCUCUAAUAACAGGAAAUGAUUGCAUUUUAGCCUCAUCACUGUAAAUUUGACUCCAUGCCUCUGCCUGUUUACUACAAUCAUGCAUAAUGAUAGGCACCUGAAAGCAUAAGUUUGUCUAAAUUUGAAACGUCUUUUCUGAAUAAUAAAACAUAAUAAUAAUCAAAACUUUAAAUGUAGCUAUAGAGGUUAAGUCCCUUGUUAUUGUUCUCCUCAGAAUCAGUACUAGAAAGUAUUCUUCCCCUAAAUGAACUAUGAAUUCUAAAAUGGAAAGUAUUUUCAUACAAUGAUAAAAAUGUCUUUGUGGAAGAAAAGAAAAUUUCAUAAGCUUUCUUUCCUCCUAUAAUUAUAUCUUACGACCGUCUUGGGCAACAAGUAUGAAGUUCUGAAUUCAUGAAAAUCAGGUCUAGGCUAAUAAAAAAUUAUCCACUUUUCAAGAUGUAAAGAACACGACAUAAUAUAGAUACCUUUUUGCAGCGAUGUUGAGUCAAAGCAAGCACAGCUGUCAUUUGCGAGCGAAUUAAAGCAGAAGUAUACACAAAGUCUAGUGGUAUGUUGCAAAUCCUCUUACCAGCUUCAAUUGCUUCGUCUACACCUCUCCUUGUUAAAGGUACAUCAACAGAGCCAGUGAAUAAAUUCUUCUCAUUCCACAUUGACUCACCAUGUCGAAUUAAUAUCAGAGCUGUUUCAACUUUAAAAUGGGACAUUUAAUGGACAGCACAAAGAAAUUCAAUCUCCUAGCUAGGCAACUAACAAAAUAUUAGAUGCCAUUGUUCCUGAUAGGUGACCAGACUUACUUGAAGAAGGGUUCUUAGAAUCAUCGAUAUUCAAACGAGAAAUAGGUGCAAAAUGGUCCUUAAUUGAAGCUUGUGGGGUGGUGGCACAAACAACAGAAAGCUUGUAAUUUCUUACACGACAAAACCCUCUUCUAAAGAAAGGAAUGUCAUUAUCAUUACCCCUCCGGACAAAGGGUGGAGAAAAUGCAUAGAUGUUAUGAGGAUUUGAAUCAUUGGCGUGAUUACAAAGCUGCAGUGAUCCAUUGAAGUCGUGAAAUCCAGGAGAAAUCAUGCUGAUAACACAGCACAUAUCAAUGACAGAAUAUUAUUAGAAAUGACAUGAGAGAAAUUUGAUAGUACAGGAACAGGCAGCACAAUACAAUUGGAAAUCGGUACGUAAGAGAUGAAAAACGAAAAAUAUGCGAAAUUGAUAGAAGGACACCAAGAAUAGGCAUAAGAGCGUAGUAAACAUCCAAAAUCAAAGAGAGGGAAGAGUAGGGUUACGUUGAGCUGGCAGUCCGAUUUAGUGGGAGUAGAGAAGCAAGGAGAUGGAAAAUAGAUUUGAUCCAAAAUGAGAGGGCACCAAGUUUUGCAGAUUCUGAACAGCGUAGAAGGACAUUUUUUUACAUAGUCGGGCAACCGAGAACACCGGAACGGAGGAUGCGCUAUCUUUAUUCUUUUUCCUUCUUUUGGUGUAUUGUCUUCUUCUUCUUCCUCUUCUUAUUUUAAAUAAGAUCAAAAUUAAUCAAACCAUUAUCUCUAAAAUUAUUUUUAGGGCUUUCUUUCUAUGUUACUCACCCAAUUAAAUAGGUUAAAUUUUAAAAUUAAUUUCUUUUUAAAUCUAACCUACUUUCAAAAUAUUUAUAAAAAAAAAAAUCGUUUAAAUAAUGAUACUUGACGCUUACCAAGAUUUUAAGCACACCCUAUUAAUUUAUUAUAUAUAUAUCAUUUUAGUUUUGAUUUUAAAAAUAUGUAUCUAUGACUACAUUCCUUUUAGUUUGAAAAUUUACUAUACCAAAUAAUAAAAACAACUAUGACGAUCAAAUAACUAAAAAAUAAUAAAUAUCUAAUAGUAAAAACUCUAACAACCUAGGAGUUUUUAAAACGAGAGACUGUUAAAGUCUGUGGCACAAUGGGAUUUGAUAAAUACGAUCUAUAUUUGAGAAGCUUCUUUACUUAGAUAAAAAAUAUUAUUGAGAUUAACUUAAGUUUAAAGUUACGUUAACAAGCUAUCACCAUAAGAAUUCAACCUUCAAUCUCGUAGGACGAUAUUCCAUAACGUUUCCUAACAUUUACAUUUAGAACUUCUGCUCUUUAAGAAACCAAGAAAUAAUUAUACCAUAAGAAUAUCUUUUAUCUUCUUCAAAGAAGAACUUUUGACUCCUUAUUUGUAAAUGGUCCUAAAUAUAAGGAAUAUAUAUUUUUUUUAUUUAAAUAAAAAAAAUUCAUAUUUGUCAAAUAAUCUCGAUUAAAAUCUUUUAUAUAGUAUUUACUAUGGCUAAACGUUUCAAACAGUCCCGUAAAUUUAUGAGAUAUAACAAACAUAGUUAUAUGUACUAAGUACUGUAUUUGGUAUAUAAACUUUAAACCAAAUAGAGACACUAUUUAGGGUUUACUGGUUAUAUAAUCAAACAGGUAUUAACUUUAUUUCGUAUAAUUGAACUGUAAAUCAAUAAAAGCAUGUAUACAAACGAAUUAAUCAGAGUUAAGUUAGUACUCAAUCUUGGUUAAAUAUCUUUUCUAUUUAUUUAUUUUUAUCAUUUGCAAUUGCAGGGAGUAGGAAUGACGCUAUAUGUGUGUAUUUUUAUUCUUUCACGUGGGCGAGUUGUGGACUUAUAUAUUUUCUUAUUCUUCAAACUUACUUUCUUUCUUUCUUUCUUUCUUUCUUUUCCUUUUAAUUUGAAACGAUGCUUACCUUAGGUAUCUUUCCUUCUCUCAUUUAAUUAUUUGGGAGUAUCUAAAUAUUCAUUAUUUUGCUAUCUUUUUGUUAUUUUUCCUAAACCCCCUCUUUGGUUCUUUUUUCUUCUUUUAUCACCAUAAACAUAUAUAAAAAUGCUUCUAUAGUCGUAUGAAUCAAUACUUUUUGUGAAAUAUGUUCAAAAUCUGCUAAAUUAGUAUCAAAAAAAUUAUUUGAAUUAGAAAAAGUUCAUAUAACAUUGAUGACAACAUUAUUCUUUAGUAACAACACUACUAAUUAAUAUAUGCACGAAUCUUAUCAUCAAAUAUUUUAAUUCUUCAAUAAUUUUAAGAUGUUUUCUUUCAAAAAUGUUGACUUGUACGUGACAUCAUGAUAGUAAAUUAGCGAUACUAAAUCUACGUGUCUAAUUCCUAAAAGAAAAUAAAAGUUAAAAGGAAAUAUUAGAUUGCACUUGAUUUACCUAAAAAAUAUUUAUUUGUUGUAGGUUUGGUUUUUAAUAAGAAAAAAAAUGUGGGUGUUGAGAUGCACCCAUAAUCUUACGGUAAAAUCGGAUUAGCACUAUUAAAAUAUGGCAUAGUGACAUUCUUUAAUAUGUUUUUUUCUUUUGCUUGUGUAAAGUGUGGGUAAAUAUAAGCUACACUUGUUUAAUAAAUAGCUUACAAAGGAAUACACCCUGAAAAAAUGAAAGAUUUGUGUAAAUUGAUUUUGUUUGCUGAAAAAUGAGAUGACAUAUUAUAUGAAGUAAAUAUUUUGUUUAAUAAAAAGAAAAAGAAAAUGUGUUUGGGAAGAUGGAAAGGUAAGUGGAAAAAAUUAUAAUGAAAAAGUGGAGAGCAAUAAUUAGUGGGUAAAGUCCUUUUUCAGCUCCCCAAUGAGGCAGCAGCUGAGUGCACUGCAGUUCCCCAACUUUCCUUUUUAUUUUUCUUUUCUGUGGCCACAUGCAUGCCUUAACUUAGGAUCUCCCUAACCCCCAAAAACUAGGUUAAUUAACAAUUACUACAACAUAAUUAAUUCAAAUUAUUUUCUCAAACACCGCAUUAUUACGCUGAUCAAUGCUAUAUUAUAUGUUAUAUAAUCCAUUAUGUGAUAGUUCACAACAUAAUAUAUAUAUCCAAAAUAAUUGGUAUGAUGUCACCACUUUUAUAUUAAUUAGACUCCAGUUGUAUAUAUCUUGUACCAAUUUUUAAACUAAUUAUACAUCGAAGAAGAUCAUGUCAAUUAUCAUGUAUGGAGCUAAACUUAUUGAAAUAUUGGAAGAGGAGUUGUUUUGUAUAUUUGGAGUAAAGUAAUUGCAAUAACUUUGGUGGGUGUGCUUUGUUGAAGGGGGAUUAAAAUAAUAGGGUUAGUGAAAACUGAUAUCAUUAGUGAUUGUGAUGUAAUCCUAUAUGAAAAUCUAUGGUCUAAUUAAAAAGGAAAAUCUUACCUUCGGCGGAAUCAACAAUUGCCACGUGGAAUCUUGUUGAUAUUUUAUCAACAAGGCCCAAGGGUGAUGUGUGUCUCAUGGGUCCAAAAUUAAAUUCAUUGAUUCGUCUGUUUAUGUCUUCGUCAUUCCUUUUCUCUCCACUUUUAUGAUUUCCCAUUCCUUAAAAUUAAUAAUAAUAAUUUAAGACUGAUGAUAUAAUUAGUAAUUGGGUGUAAUUAAUGUUAUUAUCCACCGUAUAUAUAUCCAUGAGGUAGCGUAAAUGGAAUUUAGAAGAUGAGUCAUGUAGUUGUCGUUUUAAACCAAAACGACACCUAGUGGUCCUAAUUGCGGAAAAUGGCAUAAUGCACAAAAUUGGAUUUUGUUUUUGAAGAAGAAGGAGCCGUGGGAAAUUACGAACACUUCCGAAUUGGUUAAUUAAACAAACAAAAACAAAAAUAUUAAAGUUUCACAUGGAUUAGAUAAUCAGAUAAUCAACUAUCUCCAUCGACAUGAGAUUUUAUUUUCCUAUAUUGUUAUAUUAUUGGUGAAGGUAUGAGUAGGAGACAUGUAAAUGAAGAAGGGAUGUUUUGAAGUUAGUUUUAGGCAAGAAAAGCAUAGGAAAAUAGUAGACUAAAAAGGUAAGAGGUUGCUGUGUCCUCAUUUCCUUCCAUUCAAAGUGGAGAAAUUAAGAAAUCUUUCGGGUGCGUGUCAUUGUGCAGUAAAAAGGAUUAAAAAUGUGUGUGUGUGUGUGUGUUGGGAAAGUGGGUUUAGUGAGAAAGGGGAGAUGUGAUAGAAGGGGGAAAAAAAGGGGAUGAAUGAAUGAAUGAAUGAAUGAAGGGAAAGGCAAACAAUGGUUAAAAGGGGGACGAAGGAAAAGAUGGGGAUGUGCCAUUGCUGUCCCAUUGUCUCUUUAGUAUUAGUAAGUGGGAAUAUGACGUUUUUGUCCAUCCCUUUUCCUUAAUUUUUCAUUUUUCUAAAUAUAAUUUCACUCAUCUCAUUAUGAUGUUUCCCUCUCAUCGCCUAAUCCUUCUUCCACUACACAUCUCAUUAUUUCCUUUUAAUCUCCUAACACAUACACAAGAUCUCAUUCUUUUUCUUCUUCAUUUAUAGACUUAGAUGCUAUAUCAAAUUUGUAGGUCCGAAACUCAAGUACUUCAAUGUUGUAUGUUAUUUUAUUUUUAUUUAAUGUUGAUUUUUACUCGAUAAAUAUCCCUCGUUAAGUUAAACUAUUAAUUUUACUACAUAAUAUAAUUUUCUUGUUUAUAGUAUUUUUAGCAUUUAAUUAAAAGAAAACAUGUAAGAUAAGUGGGCAAAUGAACGAGAAGAUUAAGAAGAAGAAAGGAUAAUUAAGUAUGUAUACCAUUUUUAGCAUUUAAUUAAAAAGAAAAGGAAAAUAUGUAAGAUAAGGUUUGGAAAUGAAUGAAAAAUGAGAAAUGGAUAACGAUAAAUGGCACAAGAUUUGCACCUGAUUAAUGUUAAUAAGAUUAACAUAAGUAGUGUGUGAUUAAUUAAGCAUGGGGGCUGUGAAAAGAAAAUAGAGUAUAACCCACUUUACAUCCUUUUCCGUAAACGUCAAAUAAUUGAAAUAACAAUUUUAACUUUACAGUUAUUGGAGAAAAAGAAAAACUAAAAAAGCGUGACGUGGGAUCUCUUGGGCUACGUGGUGCCCGCAAGCAACGGCCAAGAUUCCCUCUCACUCAUCAUCAAAAUACUAAUUAAUCAAUCUCAGUCUCUCUUUCUCUCUCUAACUCAAAAACACUCUUCCUAUAUAUUUCUUUAUUUGCCCAAUUGGCGUAGUUUCUCACACUCCUCCAACUUCCCCCACUCUCUCUUCUUCCUCCCGCCUCCACCUUCAUUUUUCCGCUUCUUCUUCUUUUAAUAUGCUGCUUGGCAAACGCCCUCGUCUUCCCAUCAAGAGAACUACCAGUAUGACCGGAAUCAGAGGGGAUAUCCCCGACGUCGAAUUUGAAGAACAACCCUCAUCCGAUCAGAUCAUCAACAACCCCGGCGGCGGCUACGAUCUUCACCACCCCAUCCCCCCGGUUUCACUUCCUCAUAAUACCACCGCCAUUAAUUACUCCGCCUUGGUUUCUCCUCGAAAUUUAAGAGAUCAGUCCCCACCUAACGAUCACUUCCUCCGCACGUGCGGUCUCUGCAAACGCCGCCUCGCUCCGGGCCGUGAUAUCUACAUGUACAGGUACAGUACCCUCCUCUCUCUCGAUUUCUUUUUCUUUCCCAAUAUCUUAAGAAAAUUAGAAUUUGUAAUUUAAUUUGGGAGAUGUGACGCGUAUGUGCAGAGGGGACACCGCGUUUUGCAGUUCGGAGUGUAGAGAGAAGCAAAUAAAAGAAGAUGAGAGAAAAGAGUACGGAGGGAAGAAGAAAGAGGAGCGGCAAGCGGCGGGGAUGGGGGUAAGGGGGUCGAGGAAGAAGGAAGCAGAGGGUGGAGGGAGGUAAUUAAUUAAGUAACGAUCGAUUAGAGUGGAAAUAUAAAAGUAAAAAAAAAAAAAAUAUUAUUGUGGGUAGAAGUAGAGCGGAGGGGUUUAUAUGUAUUUUAUAAUUACAUAAUAUAUGAAUGUAAUUCCAGUACCGACUCCGAUUCCGGCUGGGGCGGUGGUUGGUCACACGCCAGCUGGGUGGGGUGUUGGAGUAUGAGGUUACUAUAUGAUGAUGGGUAUAUUUUGGUAACUUUGUACAAAUGGAAUAUUUGGAAAAUCUUGAAAAAAGUAAAAAGGGAAAAUGAAAACAAAAAAACUAAAGGGAAAGGAAAAAUGCUGUGGGGAGAGGGGGAGGGGGAGGGGAAGUAUUAUUUAUUUGAUGUCGAUUUUGUAUUAGAUAUAUUGUAAUUUUAUGAUCUGGAACACUUCUAAGUUCUAACUACCUAGCUCUACAACACCCAUUAGAAAAUUAUUGUUUUUCUUUUUUAAUUAUUUAAAACAUGAAUUAAAUGUAUUUGGUAUCAAAUUAUGAGAUGAGACAUAUGAAUUUGGUAUCAAAUUAUGAUAUAUGUGAAUUUCAAGGAAUGGUCGUUCGAGAAUUGAAAAUAGAUUCAGUACCUUUUAAAUUCUAACUAGUAAUAGUAGUUUUUAGAUCAAAAAUAUCUUUCAUAUAAAUAUACUCUUUUCAUAUAUUUUUAAAUGUAUCUUUUUAUGAGUUUACAUUUCUUAAACCUCUUUCAAACAAAGUUAAUUAAAACUAAUCAUAUAAAAUUUUAAAGAAAAAUAUAUUAUGCUGAAUAUAAAUCCACUGAAAAUAAUUAAAAUUAUAAGCUUAAUUUAGCUUCAUAUAAUUAAAUAAUAUCGAUUUAAAAAAAUUACAAAUUAAAAUUUACCAAACGUCAAUCUUACUUUUUUCCACCGCUAAUUUUAAUAAAACUUUAAAGUAACUAGUCUAGAAGAUAAAAGUAUCUCAAAUUUAAGCUUUCCAAGUCUGCUAACCACGAUUACUAUCUCUACAAAUGAUACCCAAUAUAGAUAGAGAUACCAUUUAUUUAAGAUGUAACUACAAAUUCUUGAAAGCUGCCACUUCAAACAUUAGCCCGAAUAGGCCCAUUAUCCCACUUGGCUAGAGCUGGCUGAUUUGUACUUACAAAACCCAACUAUCGAAAUUAUUCCUUUUAUUAUGCUGAAACAAUCGAUGCAAUCUGCUUGUAACUUUUAUGAGGUGAAUAUUUAUAUAUAGAACAGUGUUUAUCAAGAGAGUGUCUCCAUAGCCUAUUGAGCUUGAAUGUUAUUUCAGUUUAAUAACAUUAGUUAUUCCACAUCACUUGCUUUUUGGAAAUGUGUGUUUACACCGUAAAAAUUGUGAGCGUAGUAACUUUAAAAGAAAAAUCAUUUGUAGCAAACUACAAGCCCAUUUCAGUAAUUUUAAUUGAUAAAAGUAUUGGAAAUUAUCUCUGUGGUACAUCUAAACAUAUGAAUAACUACAUCAUUGUUUAAUACCAUGAUCCAAUCGAAGCUGAGUAUAACUAGAUGUGUUGGCAAUUAUACAAUAUCCAAAAACAACAACCAGACCUUUCACAUUAGCUUUCAACCUUUCAACUUAGCUUUAAUUUCAAGUGCAUGUCAAUUACUAUGGAAGACUUGGCUCAUUUACGUUAUCAUUUAUAUGUGUUAUACGCCCUUAUAUUUGUUAACUAAAGUAUGAUAAUCAAACUUUAAUUCUAUCACUUUCUAUAAGAUUUUUCAUUUAGUAAAUAGUUGCCAGCAUGAGUAUAAUUCACCCUGGAACCACACCUUUAGAAAAAUAUAUUGAACAAUUAUUUCAUGUGGUGCAAAAUGGUCCAUCACAUUUCAUUAACUUCAACCAUUCAUUAAGAAUUUACCAAACUAAAUGCUAAACAUACGUAAUUUUUUGGUGUUUAGAGAUAACGUAAACAGCAGAGCAACUGGUAUAUAGUGUUUAUCAAAGAUUAUGGCUCAUGUCAAAGUUUACCAAUAUCUUCAACUUAUAACUACAAUAUUGUUUUAGUUGUAUUGAAAUGUCCAGAAAUUCAGAUUGAAAAUAUAUACCAUUAAUUUGCAAACUGAACAGUGGCUUACCCUUAACCCACUGAUUAUCUACUCCCAUUGAGGGAUGCUGUUGAAUCAGUCAACACAACAGCCUUCACAAAAGCUUACUUCUCUAGAAACACCCAUAAGAAAGAAAAAGAAAUGAACAUAGCUGAGAGGUUCUCCAAAGAACAAUUACAUCAAACUCAAACUUGUAAAGCAGAAAAAGGCAGAAUCUCUCAAGAUCAGUCUUCCUCCUUCGAUCACUUGUAUUCCAAUAUCAUAUUAUUCUCAGGAGCAAGCCCAACACAGGCCCUCAGAAUGUUCUCUAACAUUGCCCUUUGCUUUGAUAGUGCAUUCACAACUGGUGUGCCUGGGGGAACCUGUUUUUCCAUUACUCUCAAAUUUGUUAGGAGUUCUUUUUCUUUAAGUUCAAGUUAGAGCUCACAACUUAAAGAAGAUCGAAUUUGUACUUACAAGAGGUGCCUUGGUAAGGUAGCUCAGUAUUGUAGCCACUGGGUGGAAAGAAUGAAACUUCCCCUGCAAAAAGGAACAACCAACUGAUCUUCAAUCUUCAUCUUUUGUAAGUUUGAAAAAGAUGCAAUCAAUUCUUAAAUUUCAACCCACCUCUCCUUCAGCCUUGAGUUGGAUGCGAGUGCUUAGCUCAGCAAGUAGAACCAAAUCAAGGAUAAUGGGAGCAGCCAAGAGGGAGUCCUCGCAUGUGUUGUGCAGUACAAUGGUGCUCUUUCCGCCCAUGAAUAUCUCUGACGUGUACUCAUCCAUGGCUCUCUUGCUAUCUCCAACAUAUGGCACAUACUAAAAGAGCCAAACACUUUCAAAUCAGGGAAAAAACAAACAAAACAAAAACUUCAACAGAGAAGCAAAGCCAAAAGAGAAAGCACCUUGAUCACUACAACAUGGUCUGGAUGCUCCCCUGGUUCGUACAAGAUGCCAUUGCUCGAGACCAUGUCGUCGACCACAUUGCUCUUUGAUAUUUCUUUCGAGCGGAAGGUUUGUGGAGCAGAGAGAUUCAUUCCAUCAUUGUUUCCAAGAUGAUUGUAGCUCACAAUUGAAGUUGGCUGAAAUCAGAGAUAAUGAUUUGAUUUCACUAGUUUCCUGAGUUAGUUGAAUACCAAGCCAUUUUUGUGUCAGAGUUUUACCUUAAUACCAGCACCAACUAGAAAAUCUACUAGGACAGAUUUCAUCUUGGUUUGACCACUCUUAAAGUCAUCUCCUCCUAUCAAACUGUUUCUCCUAAUAGCCAAAUCAAUCAACCCUGAAAUUGGAAGAUUUUAACCCAAAGAACUCAUCAUCAAAAUGUUUGAUGCUUAGGAACAUACAAGCAAGAGAGCUAAAAAUGUUAAGCUUAUAUCAUACCUGGGACGAAGGUGUUUUGUGGGCUUCCAUUGAUAAAAGGAACAUUCUCAAGAACACAGGCUAUGGCAUACAGGGUAGAAGGAGAUAUUUCAGCCUCAUUCUUGUCCAAAGAAGCUAAAAGGCUCUCCAUUGUGUCAUUCAGUCCCACAACUACAUUGCUGUAUCUCUCUGUGUUGGCGGUCCAAAGCACAACAACUUCAUCCACUUUACUCUUCUCCUUAAACUCCCUAAGGAUUCAGAGAAUUAAUUACAAGAAAAAAAAGGGCAUGGGCUUCUAAACAAUUGCAACAAACAAAACAGAACUAGAGUAACAUAUUACUUGAUAUCACUUAUGAUUUGUUGGACUUGUUCUCUCUUGGUUCCUUUAAUCACAUUGUUAGCUCGAGAACCUUGAUUAGCAGCAAUGAAAUCAGGGUCGUAGAUCCCAGGAAGUGGGACCAUGGAUUCCAUGUAGGGUCUCAACUGCUUUUGUAGGUCAAUAUCAAACACCUUGGCCCUUGCCAUGGCAUCUGCCAAGUUCAUGUCACUAAUGUCCCAACCUCCAAACACAAUGUCAUCUGGAUUAACCUGUAGAUUAAACAAUAUAAUGGAGGUUAAAAAAACAGAGAUGUAAUUAACAUAGCCCUCCUCCUCCUUUAAACUAAAAGGUCACUACCAUAGGAAGCAGGCUUUUAAAUGGGGCAUAGAUCUCCUCUCCAUUGUAAGAACCCACCCGGAUGGACGAAGCCUGAGUCAAUGACCCAAAAUAAUUGGCUUGUUGUACUUUAUCCUUAGUUGCCCAGGAAAUCCCUCUGAGAAUAUUUAAAUAAAUCCACGUUAAAAAAAAGUAAAGAAGUUACUUCAGCAGAAACUCAAAUACAAAAGAACAAAAGAUGUUGGUGCCCAAAAGGAACAACACCCAUCUCAAAAUUUGCAACAAAAAUACUUUUCUAAGAAAUCUUACUCUCGAUUGGCAAUAACCCCCCCUGUAAGAGUACAACCAUUAUUCCCACCCCAUCCAACAAGCAUAACCCUGCACAACACAAAGUCAUAAGAAAUUUUCUUCUCAUAAAAGAAAUUGUCAAAAUAAAAAAUUGUAAAACAAUCAUAAACAACAAACCCUAGCUUUGGGACAUGAGUUUGAGUUUUGAAUUGGUAUUUGACAGUCUUGGGCUUCACCGUCCAUUGAUAGCUACCAUUCUUAAGCUCAUGAACAAGUUCUGUUGUUUCAUAGUUGUACACAGAAAGAAUCUCAUUCGCAGUGUACUCCACAUUUGGACUCUCAACCUUAAAGCUCUCAAUGAACAUUUUCCUUUUUCUGUUUUAGAAAUGCAAGAAGAAAAAGUAGUGAGAAUUUUACAAUGAACCAAACAAAGGCUGAAUUUUUUUUGUAGCUCAGGCUGCUGUAAUGUAUGUGAUCCAUUGCCUUCUGCUGAUGGUUUCAUUUAUAGACGAAAAUGCACUCAAAUAGUUAACACGUGGCAUGACAUGCAUGGAUUACCAUAUAUACAUACUACUUUGUAGAUUAGCAGAUUUCGUUCCCUAUUUCAUUCCUUAAUUUUGGUAAUUAGUUUUUUUUCUUUCUUAUUCUUCCGUUUCGUCUACAAUUACCUUCUAUUCACUAUUCUAACCCAAUUAUCAAUAAUAUAUCAAUUGUAUUCUAACCCAUUUAUUCUACAUUGGAAGACAUCAAAUUAUCAAUAAUAUAUAUAUAUAUAUAUACUAUGAGGUAAUUCAGAGGAGAGGGGUGUAUGGCCCACUAAAGCUAUUGGCUUUAUAUAUAGUUGAUGAGAAAUUGAUUUGAUAUAUGGAAAUGUGUGAAUUUGAUGGAAAAGGAGAGAGGGGAGGGCGUAAUAUUCCGACACGUGGUCAAUUAUGGUCUCUGUCCAAAGUUGAUGUGACCAUAAUUUAAAUAAUGCAAGCUAUAUAUAUAUACACAAUCCAUCAUCAUUAUUUUAAGACGAAACAUACUUGCUUCUUCAAACUUACUUUUAUGUCUUUGCAUUUUUAUCAAACUUUUUUCUUAUGUAACUUCCUAUUUUGAUUUAGUUGUUUUUUUUUUUUUAUAGGACAAAUAUGAAUGCAUGCACUAUAUAAUUUCUUUAGAACUACAAAAAAAUAUCAAUACUCUUCUAAGAAAGCAUAAGUAAUAAAAAAUAAAUGAAUAUGAUACUAUAAAUUACAUGGAAGAUGUUCAAUCAAACUCAUCAUCAAGAGUGUACAAUGGGCCCUUAUUAUAUUUGGUGGUUUAGUGGGUGGUUGUGAACAUUCUUCUAAAAUAAUGAGAAAGAAAAAGGAAGAGAGAAGAAUAUGGGGUUGCUGGGGGCAUAGAUCAGAUCACGAUAAAGCAAGAGCAGCCUAUGUGGCGGUGUAGGAAAAGGUGGGUCUUCUAAUGCCAUGCAGAGGGAGGCUCGUGACCUUGUAUCACCUUUGUGGCUCUCAUCACCCAGCAAUACCAUUCCCCCUUCUUCAUUGUUCUUAAUUAAUGCAUACAUCCAUAUAUAUCAAUCAAUCAAUCAAUCCAUUGUUUUUCUUAGCUUAUAAUCCAGAAUAGUUUAAUUGAAAAGACAUUAUUUACCUUCUAACAAAAGAACUUUCAAUUUUUUUGUUUAAUAAUUCGAUGAAAUUAGAUAUGAAAUUGUAAAGGGUAAUCUAGAAUGUUCCCUUGUAUCCAAUAGGUGGCGAUGGAGGUCCCAUCCUCAUCCCCAUCAAUGUGCAGGAAACCCACCCCAUUUAUUCACGUGAUAAUAUAUUAUGUAUGAUUUCUGUUUAUUUUUCUCAAUUCAAUAAAACGGUAGUUUUAAUCGGUUAAAGAAGAAUAAAGUAAAUAAGUAAAUGAAUGGAAGGUGGGUGGGUGCCAUAAAGUCCAAAAUGAAACGAAAGAAAACUAGAGGUGUCACAUGGGUUUGUAUAACUAUAAACAGGAAAUUGUGCAAAAGCUGAAACAGAGGCAUGAAACAGUAGAAUUGUAUCACAAUAUAGAACAGAGUUGGUUGGAAACUUGUCAAUUCAAUUCUUUGUAAAUUCCAACAACUGAUCCCAAACCAAUGCAUUUCUGAAACUUCAUAUACAUCCCCACUACUAUUUUGUUUGGGGUUAAAAAUUGGUGUGGCCCUUUUUCUUUACCAAAAGCUCUGUUUGCUUUUCCUUUUUAUCCAACUUUUCCGAAGAGUCUGGUAGUUGUGAAUGUGAUAAAGAAGAGAUCUCGUGAAAUUUGAUCUACUUUUUUAGCUAAAAAAUUAAAAAAAUUGCUGUUUAUAAGCCAUUGAAGGCCCCUUGUUUGGAGGCCCCUUGUCGUCCAUGUCAUUGUGAUAUUUGAGGGGGUAAGGGUAUGGUAGAUUACUUAUGAGAUAAAUAAAUAAAACAUUACAAAAGGAGUACUUACACGUUAUAGUUUUUUAAGGGUGUGUUCAAUUAUUACAAUAUAUGUAUGAAUAAUGAGGAUGUGAAUUAAUUCAAAAGUGGGGCUCUGAAACAUACACCAUCCCUUUUGGAUUUUUGCUAUCAAACUUUAGUUGGAAUCCAAUUGUAGCUUCCUGAUUUGACGUUUAUUUGUUUCCCUCAAAAUUACAACAUUUUCUAAUCUUAUUUAUAAAUAUAACAUAACAUCACAAUUUAUCAACCAUACCUAACUAUGUCAAAUCCAAUAAAAUAUUUUGUUAAUUUUUAAAUAGAGGAGAUUGUUUGAAGUGCUAAGUUGGUUAGUGAUUAUUAUGGUUUGUCAAUUAUAAUAGCUCGUAGAUUAUAGUAAUUUGUGUCUCGUCACAAAGUAUUUUUGAGGAAGAUGAUUUUUAAAUUAUUAUACUAUAGUUAAUUUAUAGGUUAUAGUUAGUUGAAAACAUUAUAAUUAAAUCUAAAAGGUGUAGUAGGGUUGCCACUCCACCACUUGAAGUUUAGAAUAAAAACUUAAGAAAGAAUUGAAGAAAGAAAACUUGUGGGAGGGAUAAAUACUUACAAAUUGACUAGGAGAGUUACAAAUUUUUUUUCAUAUAUUUACUAAUUAAUUGUAGGAUGAAUGAUCAAAUCUUCCACCUCCAGAUUAUGUUAAUUAAUUAACCUAAUUUCAGUUAGAUUUAAAAGUUGAUUUUUUAUUUUUAUCGAACAAGUUUAAUGGACAAAAUUAUAAAUGUGGUCUGUUCCAAGUUUAAAUUUUCUCUUGGUAACAAAUUGAUUUAAAGAAUUCAUGGCAGAGCCAUGAAACUGAGAUUUAAAGCUUUAUGUGUGUAUUUGUAUAUAUUUAACUGUGCUGUUCAAAAUCCAGAUGGUUGGUGAGAGAUGAUUUCAGCCAUGUGUUGUUUUGAAAGAAAGGUUCCAUUUGAAAGGGAAAAGGGUAUAGGAAAUGGACUUGGUUCAUUUUGCAUAAAAUUUGAAGAUGUACUCAUAACUUAAAAACAAAACAGGAUGAAGUAAUGAAAGAAUAAACCAAUGGAUUUCUGGUUAUAUAUUUUCAUAUAUGUACAUGAAAGAAUCCCUCCCAAGAACAAACAAGAAUCACUCUCCAAAAGCACAAGGUACUUUCAUCAAGAAGAUGACAUACCGCUCUUUUACGUCCACACUUCCUGUCCUUCAUAGAAAAUAUAUUGUUGUCUUCCUUUCCAGCUUAUUACAAAACAAUGACAAUUUGGAGUGCAAAGGACAACCAUGUGGUUUCAAGUCACCGUAAUAGCAGUCGAGAAUGUUUAAGUAAGACGUUGAGAUGCUGUUUUCCCUGAGCCAUGUAGAAUAAAUUCUUUACCUUAGCUGUCAUCUGUUUCAAUUCAGCAUAUUUUCAUAAACUGGUUGGGGAAAACAUUUCAUUGAAAUAUAAAGAAAGACCUAUGACUAAACCUUUCCAAUGCCUAAUCCUUCCCUUGAAUAAGGAACUGAUCUCAGUUGAUAUCCCGGUGAUGAUGGAGGAGAUUUUCGACUACUUUCCUCUCUGCAAUUCAGCUUCCCAUUGGCUCUGCUUCGAGUUGUUUUGGUGGAUGAAGUCUUCCACUUCUCUUGCAAUAUGCUUGGGAGGGUCGAUUCCUGGUGGAGAAAUUGUUUUAGAUAACUCAUUUGUCCAAGAAGAGCGGCAUAUGUGGUAGAAAUUUUUGUAUACAUACCAGAAAUAGAACAGUAGCACAAUGUUUGAGAACCUCCAAGUUCAUACGAACAUCGUCGAGGCUCCUGCACAAAAAUACUUUUGUCAGUUUGUGAACUAAGAUGAUACAAGUUAACACAUACAAAGAAGGGAGUCGAUCAAUUGUAUUGAUACCUGUGCUUUUGCUGUCCCAACUGAAAGUAAGAAGCCAAUGAUGCCAUCUAAAUAUAAAACAGUUCAAAAUAUAUGAGAACUAUUUUGCCAAACGUUGUAUGCUAUAUGUUAUGGUUUUCAAGGUUCAAAAGUUCGUUAUUUCUCACCUUCAUGUUCCCGGCUCUCUUGCCAAAUUUGUUCGUUAAGACUCCUAAAGAAUCAACCAUCCCAACUGGGAUAGGAGCAGGCCUGCCAAUCUCUGCAAAUGCCUCCUUAAUACGAACACAGUCGAAUCUUCGAAUGUUGUGACCUGCCCAUAUCCUUCCAUUCAAAAUGCUGAAUAUCUUGUCAGCCACUUCCUCAAACAAUGGUGCAGUUGCAACAGCUGCUCUAGUUAUUCCGUCAGGUCGGCUAGACCUCAACGCAACAGCAGAUAAAUCCGUUGGCCUAAUGAGAGUAGUAAAGCUCUCGAGCUCUACAAGUUUCAUUGGGCAGACAACAAUAGCACCAAAUUCCAAUACUCGAAACCGUUGCCCAACUCUUUUGGGUACGGUAGUUUCCAAGUCGAAAAAUACAAUCUCAGCUGCACCUUCUUUGAAUGAACUUGAAGCCUCCAUAUCCAUUGGCAUUUAUGUCAAAUAGUUUCAAGAUAAAGUUUUGUUUUCUUAAUGUUCAAUGACAUGGGAGAUUGAAGAGGUUAUAAAUGGGCGAAGAAAAGAGAGGAUUAUUCUUGGUGUUGAGGGUUUGAUUGGUUGUCUUGAAAUUAAAGUCAAGAGCUUGGUCCGUGGAUGAAGAAGUCCUUAGCUUCUGGAGGGUGUCAAUUGCAAAACCAGCUCAAAUUGAACGGUAAAUUGAUCAUCAAGAAACGUUAAGAAUGACUUUUGUUGUCACUUUCCUAUUGCUUUCUGCAAUCAAAUACAGUUCAUGCAGCAUCGUUUUGGAAUAUUGAUGGAACCUUUCAAGCCAGGUCUUCUUAACCAAAAAUUAUUCCGUCUCAUCCCUUGUUUUGCCUUCCAUAUUUUAUUACUCUACUCUUAAUUAAUCAACCAAAACAUAAAAUAAAAGUUUGUUUAUACAGUUGUGUAAGUUAGACGAGAAUUAUUUCCUCAAUCUCUGUUUAAUAGGAAAAACAGACUAAAAUAAAAUUACAUGAAUAUUUUCCCUUUGCUAUAAAACUUGCAAUCAGAGUUAACUUUCUCAAUUUAGCUAAUAUAAACUAUUCGAUUCAAUUGUAUAAUAGGAACAAUACAAACAAUUCAGUUUACAAAUCCGAAACCAAAACAAACUAAGAAAUUUUGAUUUACUUGGUAAUUUUAAAUCAAACUGAACAGACACAGCAGUAAAGUUUGAGUUUUUGAUUUGAUUCACGGAUUGGGUUCGAUUUUGGCAUUGGGUUCGAUUCAAUUGUAUCAUCCCUCUAAUUUUAACUUUGGCCCAGAAGAAAUGUAACAAAAAAUUACACUAGCAGAAAUAAAAACCUUCUGAGUAGAGAGAAUUCAUCAAAAGUUUAAAACUUCCCCAUCCUAGUUGUGGAAUAAAAAUUCAAGAAUGGACCAUAGAUGCAAAUUCAGGAAGGAAAGGAGAAACAUCAAAGGGGUUGAACCAGUUUUUGUUUUUGAUGACCCCACACUUUCCUUUUAUCUAUUUCCUCAAGCAGUUCACCCUGUUCCUGAUCAGUAAGCAUGAAGAUAACAGAUAAAGGAUUUGACCGGUUAUGAUGCAUUUUUACGAAUAGAAUUGGAUAUUAGAUUUUGAUAUACCUAAUAUAACAACUAAGAGCAGGCAAUAAAAUCAUUAGAAGUGCAGACAAGUUCAAUCCCUUAGAAGCUUUAGACAACAAGAAACAUCACCCGCAAUUUGGUUAAAGGGAAUGAUGCCAAUUGCAAAGUUCUGCGUUUAUCCAAUCAAAACAAUUUACCAUUUUCAUGGCACUAACAAUUUACCAGACCAUUCUAAAAGGUAACUCAUAAGCUACAACAACUAAUAUAACACGGUAGAAUAAAGAGGCAUUUGAAUGACCACCAGUAGAAUGAUGAACGUGACACCCAAUAAAGAGGAAUAGAUUUUGAUACAAGGGAUAGAACUCGAAACCCACACCGGUUAAAAAUGUGGGGGCACGGAUGCACAAGGUAUUGUAAUACCAAAAUCAUACACACAAACUUAAAUUCUAGUACUCGAAGAAUCAAAAUCAUCAGGAGCAACACGAGCAAUCCAGUUAUUGAGCGUUCUCUUAAUCUCAGAGUGAUUAACAUAAGCCAAUUCAUACAUACUACACAGAUUCACGAUCACUGUUUCAUUGAGAGCCACAGUCGGAACUCUUUCCAGUGCAUUUUCAAGCACCUUAAUCGAAUCUGCUAAAUCCCGCAAGUACAUCAAGCAAAGAGCCUUAUUGUUAAUAGCCACCAUGUCCGAAUUAUCCCUCUCAAUACACUCCUCAUAUUCCCUCACAGCUGAUAGAUAGUCCUUGCCCACCAAAAACACCAACGCCUUGUUCCUAUUCACAAGGUUCUUCAUCUCUACUUCGCUUAACGACCCACUACUUUUCCCCUCUUUAACCAACUCCUCAAUCCGAUUAAACGAACGUUUAGCUCCUUCAAUAUCUCCAGCGUGCAUUUGUAUAUACCCAAGUUUCGAAAUCAGAGCAGGAUCUGAGAAAUCCUCACUUAACAAAUUAUUAAUCAAGGUUAAACAAACCCCAAACUCCUUGUUACUUAAAUGAUGGCCAAUAAUACAAUUAAUCACAAACACUACCCUUUUCUUCCACAAGUUCACAGAGACAUCGAGCUUUUUCUCCUCUUUAUCCUUCAAUUUUGACUGUACAAAAUCCAGAAGUUCGUAGAACCGGUCCAACCCAUGUUGACGCUCGCCCAUUUUGAUGGGGAUUAGCGCUUGCAGCCACCGAAGUGAAAAGGGGACCAUGGAGCCGGUUCGAUUAGGGUACACGCUAGGGUACGAUUCAUACCUGUAUUGAGAGCUAUUGAGAUCUUCAAGAGAAUCAAGUUCUGCCAGGGCUUCGGCGAAACGUCGGAGUUUGACAAGGGCAAGGACAUUGUAGGAUAGGUAAGUGAGGUGGUCAUGGGGCUUCUGAAGCAGGGUGAGAGCUCGGGCUCGGGCAACCUUAUCUAAAAUUGAACGCCAUGAACCGCGAGUGGCGAGAUCUUGAAGAGAGAAAAGAUCGUGAGCAAGAUCGUUGAGGGAUCCAAACUGAGUGGUUAAAGGGUCCGAGGAAAUUGCCAAAUUUUCGAAUCCAGUUGUUAGGGUUUCGGGAUCGGAAGUGCUGUGAGAGUGAGAGUCAGGUGACGGUGACGGUGACUCAGUUUCCAUCUCGAGCGAUGAUGAGUCGUUGGACCGAGAGGAUCCAGUUUCCUACCUCCUCCUCCUUGGGGUCUUCUUCUUCUUCUUCUUCGACAACAGUUUCCUAUUUUCUUGUUACAUCGAUCAACCGUGCUGUACAUUGGACCGAAAGGAUCCAGGCUCAGGCCCAAAACCAAAUGAGCUUCGUAUUGGGCCUAUUAUACAUCAUGGGCCAUUUCAUGAAUUUACUAUGAAAAUCUUCCUGACAAUUUGAAAAAGAAAAAGAAUAAAAAUAAUUUUCAAAUAUACCCACCACAUGGGGGCUCUUAGGACAUUGGGUUUUAUUAAUACGUUGGGGUUUCUCAAUAUGUAUUUGGGGUUGGGGAUGAAGUUUCUAAAUAAAAGUUGUGCAAAAUGUUAGGAUAAAUACUUUAAAUAUAUACAAUAGAGCAUGAAGAAUAAAUUAUGUAUCAAAUUUCAUCUCCAAUAAUUAAUGAUGGCUAUAAAAUGACUAUUGGCUUUUUCAACUAAAAUCUGAUUUUUAUCUUUAUGGAAUAUCAAUUAUCAUUUUCACUAAAUCAUAAUCAAUAUAGAAACAUAGUCAAGUUAGAGAUCUUUUGACCUUAAUUAAAUAGAUCGUACCUAAUUUAAUAAACUAACCAAAUUUAAUAAAUUAUUAAUUCACGUAUAUAAUUCACUUUAAUUAUAUAAUUAUAUAAUUAUAAACAUACUAUUUAAACACGUCUGACACAGAAUAGAUAAACAAAUUAUAAAGUUUACCAGUCACGUAGGUGUUAUAAAAAUAAUUAUUCUUUCAAAGACUACAAAUUUACCCAAAACAAAAAUUAAUAAAGUAUAGGUUGAAAUAUCAUUUUAUUCAUUGUAAUUUGAACCUUUUUCAAUAUGAGUUAAUUAUACCUUUAAAUGUCUAAUAUUAAUACUUGUACUUACCAUCAAUAUUAUAUUAAAACCUUCGAAAAAUUAUUAAAACCUGUUAAAUAAUAACAAUAACUUUCAUAUAAUAUGUAAUAUGUUUUCAAAUUGUAUAUUAAAAUGCUAAUAGAUACGAACAAGAAUUUGAAAAUCCACGAUCCACCCGAAAACACCAAUUAAGACAAAAUUUAAAAUUGGUUUAAAAUUACAAUAAUUAAAAAUGGACGAUUGAAAUGGUAUAGAUUAUAAUUGAAUAACUUUCCAAUAGUGUUUGAACCUAAAUUAAAAUACAAUUAUUUGGUAAUUUGGGUUGAAAUUAAAAAAAAAUCACACAUUCCAAAUCUGGAAAAUGAGUAUUUUGAGAAGUAUGAAAAAUGAGAUUCAAAUGUAUUUGUAGAAGAGCAAGUUAUAUAUCACUGUUAUAGGACAUCAUCGAUCAAAUCUGGAUUUGUGGACUUUGAUUUUGAAGUUAAUAGAAUAGGAACUACAUCAUCGUCCAAUCUCUUAAAUUUGUCAAAAACUUUGAAAUUAAUGAGUUUAAGUAGAUUCUUACAUCGCAGACUUGUUCCAAAUUUUAAAAAUAAAUUAUUGAGAGAAAGGAAAAAAAGAAAUGUAAAAGAAUCCCCACCUUCAAGACUAAUUUAGUGGGUAUAAAUGAAAAUGGAAUAAAUAGUACAAUGUCCAAUUUGCCAAAAGAGUGAAAAAGGGAAAUGAAUACUUUUACCUUUUUCAUUUGAUACCCGAUGUCCGUUAAGGAAUUGAAAUUAAAGGCUUAGGGAGGUAGAUGAAUAUUAGUAAGAAAAAUUAAAUCUUCAUAAAUGUUCUCUUUCUUUUUUCUUUUUACAUAAAUACCCAACGUCCGAUUGUAAAAGGUAGCUAAAAAGUUUUAUGAUAUAUGCGAUUAAUUAAAAUCUUAAUUAUUUCUUAAAGAUCAAAGUCCUCUCAAAUGGAAAUGGUAAUGGAAAUAAAUCGUAUUUUUCAUUUUAUGAAAUGAAUGUAUUUAUUACGAAUUAAUUUCCAUCUUUACAAUUUACAAAAUUCCCUUUAAAUUGGACAGUCCCCAAUUUCAUUUUCCUCACCAACACAAAAACCUCGGAAUAAAAAAAGAAAAGGAAAAUAGUAAUCUGUAGAACACAAUCACAAUGCCUAUCUUCCCCAAGCUUCUUGCUGCCCUUCUUGUCCUCUCUCUCAUUUCCACAGGUAUAACUAUAUGGCAUUUCAACUCCAUUUUGUCCUUUUCUUUAUUUAUCCUAACCAUUAUUCUCUUCCAAGUCAUUCCACUUUUUUCUUUUUCCUUUCCUAUAAAAGCAGUUUUAUGAUUAGGUGUGAACAUACCUUUUCUAUAUUCUUCUUUUCUUAAAAAUAAUUUCGCUUAUAGUACUCCUAAAUAAUGUUUUAAAAAAAUCAUUUUUCCCCUUAUCAUUGAAAAGAGAAACUCUUUAGUGUCUUUUCUGAAAGAUGGAUCGUUAAACAACAAAAACUUGUAUCAUGUUAAAUCAGCAAUUAACUCAUUAGAGUAUGGUUAAACAUUCAAAUAUAAUUGUGUUUAAGUAACUGAAGAUUGAGAUACUGAGAGCUUAUGAUUGGUUUCAGGAAACUGCCAAUGUUUUUUGAACAACAUAAAAAUCAGCCAAAGCAUGACAGGAUUUCAGAUCCAUGGAAUGACAGAAUGGAAAGUAACAAUAACCAACAACUGCAUAUGUUCUCAAUCUGAUUUGAAACUAGACUGCAAAGGCUUUGCAACUACUCUAAGCAUCGAUCCUUCCAUCUUAGCCAUCUCUGAUAGCGAGUGUUUAGUCAACAAUGGCCAACCUAUUUUCAAUUCCAGACCCAUCACCUUCAAGUAUGCACAAAGCCCCAAAUUCAAUUUCAAGCCUCUCUCCUCCCAGAUAUCUUGUUCUUAAAAAUCUUAUUCAUUUUUUACUCGGUUCAAAAUUAGUGUCUUUAGACACUUUUAUAAUAAUAAAAACUUAUCUUUAUUUAUUUUGUUUUGUUAAGUUAUCCAUUAUUACAAUUGUUUCACGAAUUCCCAAUUUGCGCAUAUGACGUUGCUUGAACCACGUUAGAUUAGACCAUGACUUGCAAAUUAAAAUACCUUUGAAUAUAAUACAGAAGGAAGAAGAAUAAUCUAAAUCCAUAAUUUUUUCCAACUUGUAUUCGUCAAGAUAAUGAAAUAUACGAAAAUUCGGAAGGAUCGUUUCUAAGAAAUUUCGAAGAAAUAAUGAAAAAAGCACAGUGGACUUGAAAGUUUCAUUAACUUUUCAAUUGACUAUUAUUAUUAUUAUUAUAUUAACUUCGAUAUUAUCUAAAAUGGUUUUACGCGUAUGGGACGAAAAAGGGUUUAUCACGAUGAAAUGGACACUCCCUUUUUUUCAAAAUGGGAUAUAAGAAUUUCUUAAUCCAAAACGGGAAUAAUUUUCCAUUACUUUUUAAUUAUCAUUUGAUUUGGUUAAUUGUACCUAAAUUAGAAUUAUAUCAGAUUUUGUGUACCCAUGAGGUUGUAGAAGAAGUUGAAUGUCCACCCUACAUGAAAAAAUGUUUUGACUUAUCAUCUCAUUUAAUAAUCAUUUACACACAACGUGUUAAUACCAUGUUUCUAAGAAAAAAAUUUGUUCUUAUUAUUAUUAUUUUUUUCUAAAUGCAUUGUAUUACAAGCCAAUUAAUUAGUUUGGCUGAUGUUGACUAUUAUUAAUUGUUAUAACUUGAUGAUGAAAAUAAAAUUUUAUAUAUGACUAUAAUAACAUACUUGGAACUCCUAAUAUUGUUAUUGUAUGUUUAAACAUGUGGUAAAAAUGUUAAUUUAUUGUUGAAAGAGCUCUACCUAACGUCUUUUAUCAAGCCAUCGUCAUAUUUGCUGGAUUCAACGUAAGAACACCUUUUUCUUUCUUUGAAAAAAAAGAUACAUAUGCUAAUUUGUUCAAUACAAUAAAAUAAUGCUACACUUCUCGAUUAAGUUAACAAAGUUUUUUUUUUUUUUUUUUUUUUUUUUUUUGUAUGGCGGAUUGAAUUUUCUUUAAUGAACAAUUAAUAUUAUUUAGUAGAUUAAUCGAGAAUGAGCCAUUAUUUUAUAGUUUAUAUAUAUCAGUUAUGUUUGUUUUUGGCACUAUCGAGGUAAGUAGAAAAUGUAAAAAAGUUCAAAUGAAAAUGUCGCAGCCGCUGCCUUGGACCAAGAUUUGAUUGGGUCAAAGUCAUGCAGGAUAUUUAUAUAGAACCAAUGCUUUCCCCAAAGCAUCAACCUCAAUGAUUUUUAAGCCUUUUGGGUUUUAGAAGAAGCACUCAAACGAUUCUAACAAUGGCUUCGCCGUUACAAAGUACACGAUACCUCUUAAUUCUUCUCUCCUUUGUCUUCUUCUUACUACAAUCUCAAACUGCAGAAUCAAGAACUCUGAACUAUAAAUGGGAAGUGAAAUCUGAAUUGAAGUCCCCCGAUUGCUUUAAAAAAGUUACCUUGACCAUUAAUGGCCGAUCUCCAGGUCCCACUAUCUACGCCCACCAAGGUGACACCGUCAUCGUUGAGCUCAAGAACAGCCUCUUUACCGAAAACGUGGCUAUCCACUGGCAUGGAAUUCGACAGGUACCCCUAAAUUUUCAUUUCUCUCCAUAUUUUUCUUCGUUAGUUUUAUAGUUCUUCUUUCUGACGUGCUCGUACAUUUGAAGAUCGGAACACCAUGGAGCGAUGGAACAGAAGGUGUCACUCAAUGCCCUAUUUUGCCUGGUGAAACCUUCAGAUAUCAGUUUGUUGUAGACAGAGUAAGAGAUACUUGACUUACUCGUUUUGUUUUGUGUCUCUCAAAAACUCCAUGCUUUAAUUUGAGUUUGACCUUUGUGAAAUUUGAAAUCUGCAGCCAGGAACUUAUCUAUACCAUGCCCAUUAUGGUAUGCAGAGAGAAGAUGGUCUCUAUGGAUCCAUUGUGGUUUGGGUUCCAGAAGGACAAACAGAGCCUUUUUCCUAUGAUCUUGAUCGUAACCUCAUCCUCACAGAUUGGUAUCAUAAAAGCAGCCACGAACACGCCACUGGAUUGGCUACCCCUGGCUCUGGAUUCAACUGGGUGGGAGAGCCUGAUUCACUGUUGAUUCAAGGAAGAGGGAGAUUCAACUGCUCUAUUCUGGGAUCUUCCAGUGGUACCUGCAAUUCAUCGAGCACAGAAUGUGUUCUUCAUCCAUUAACAGUCGUACCGGGAAAAACUUACCGAUUAAGGGUCUCCAGUCUCACUUCUCUUUCAGCUCUCAGUUUCCAAAUUGAGGUAAUUACAAGUUCAUCUACUUGAUUUCAUGUACUCUCCUUGAAAUUCUUCUUAAAUGGCUUAAACUGAUAAACUCUCUGUUUUGGAAACAGGGUCACACCAUGACUGUGGUUGAAGCUGAUGGGCAUUACGUUGAGCCAUUUCAAGUAAACAAUUUGUUCAUUUACUCAGGAGAAACAUAUUCCGUUUUGAUAAAAGCCGAUCAAGACCCUUCUAGAAACUACUGGAUCACAACCAAUGUGGUGAGCCGAUCAAGAACCACCCCCCCUGGAUUAGCCAUUUUCAAUUACUACCCAAAUCACCAGAGUAGACUCCCUCCGACAACUCCUCCAGCACCACCUGCUUGGAACGAUGUUACUCCCCGAUUGGCUCAAAGUCAAGCCAUCAAAGCCCGGCAAGGUUUUAUCCACACGCCGCCCAAAGCCGCCGAUAAAGUGAUCGUGCUUCUCAACACCCAAAACACCGUGAAUGGCCGUCGCCGGUGGUCGUUAAAUAACGUUUCCUUCAAUAUGCCUCAUACCCCAUAUCUUAUUGCUCUAAAGCACAAUCUUCUCCAUACAUUCAGCCAGGAAAAACCACCCACUGGAUACGAUUUCAAGAACUACGACAUUUUUAAUCCGGCGCCCAACCCUGAAGCGACGGUAAGCGACGCCAUAUACCGGUUGGACUUCAAUUCAACUGUGGACAUCAUACUACAGAACGCCAAUAUGAUGAGCCCAAACAACAGCGAAACACAUCCUUGGCAUUUGCACGGACACGAUUUCUGGGUUUUGGGGUACGGAGAAGGGAAAUUCGAUCUUUAUAAGGAUCCAAGCAAGUACAAUUUGGAGAACCCGAUCAUGAAGAACACGGUGCCGUUGCAUCCAUAUGGAUGGACCGCUUUGAGAUUUGUGGCGGAUAAUCCUGGUGUCUGGGCUUUCCACUGUCACAUCGACGCGCAUUUCUUUAUGGGAAUGGGUGUAGUUUUUGAAGAAGGGAUCGAGAGGGUUGGAAAAUUGCCUACUUCCAUUAUGGGAUGCGGGGAGAGCAAGAGGUUCUUGAGACCUUAACUCAUUUCCAUUCCGAUUACUAUUCUUUAGAAAAACACAAAGAAUAUUCUUUUAUGUUUAGCCAAAUUUUUUGUGCUGAUUGAGAGUCACUAUGAGUGUAUAGGUAAAUGUUAUUGCUACUUAAUAAGAAGAAAUCGUAAUAGUUUCUUAAAUGAUUUAAAUAACAAUACCAUUGUUAUGUUGUUUAUUUGGACUACUAUUGGGAUGUUGUGUGUGUGUGACUUUUGUUGAUAUCAACUGCUCCUUUUAUAUAAAAUUUCAGUUAUUCAUUCAAUUAUGACAAUAAAGUUUAUCAUUUUAGAGGUUUAGAUAUCACAUCUCAUUCCACUAAAGAAAAAGUUUUACAAUUCACCUUUGAUUUGUGAACAAUGAUUUAUCAAUUUAGUUCAUUAUUUUGUUCUUUUUACUAAAUAUAUUAUUAAAUGUUAAUAGAACUUUUGACCUGUAGUUAUAGUUAACAAGUGCAUUGAAAACCAAAUUUUUGUUUUUAUAAACUAUAAAGACUACACAUUCAUACGUUUAAGAUUUCACUUAAUUUUGAAAAGAAAUUUUUAUGUAUUUAAUGCCAUAAUUAAAAUUUGAGCCUAAAAAGCGUUAAGGCUUAAACUUCACAUACUAAAUUAUGAGUUCAAUGUUGGAAGCCUUUUUUAAAAUAAAAAAGUUGACCAAAAGAAUAUGACUAAUUUAAAAGAAGUAGAAGAAAACAAUUGGAUGUUUAAUUUAUAUGUAUUUUCAUAUUGAAGUGCAAUUUGCAAAACGUAACUUAAACAGGUUUUUUGCUUCUAAAAGAUGGAAAGUAGUAGGUUUUAAGGAGGGUGACAAUCACAGCCCACAGGAAUGACCAAAUGUUUAAUAUUUAUAAACUAGAGAUGAAAGGCAACAGUAGUGACCAAAUGUUUUAUUUAUUGUUUAUUUCAACUUUAUCCUUUACAGUAAGGGACACUCUUUUCCUAUUUUUUUAUCCUCAAGUUUUUGUAGUAUUAGAUCACUAAUAUUCAUCCCUUUUCAGUAUAUCAUUUGGUCCAAAGUGUAGUAACUCUACCAAUUAAUUGAUAUAUCUAAAUAUCAACCUUUAAUAUUCCACUCUCACAAUUCUCUCUUUUAUUUUUCUUAAUUAUGAUUUUUCUCUUCUUCUAAUUUUAUUUCCACUUCAAUUUCUUUCAUUUUCGCCACAAAUUUGUUAUUUUAUUUUUUCAUUUUCUUUUUAUCUUCUCACAUUUACAUAUUUUCGAUUAUGGAUAUUUCAAUAAUGUUAGUCUUGCUAAACAAUCUUUAAGUAUGUUAGUCGUAUAUCCAUAGUGUAUUAUCAAUUUAAUCCUAAACCAUUAUUUGUUUUUUUUUCCUUCUUAUAUUUUUAACUUAGUCUAACAUCUAACAUGACCAUCUAUAAAUUCAAUUUUGAGGUUGAUUUAAAUAAAGAAAACCCUUUUCUUUCUUCUUCCUCCUCUCUUUUUUCUUCUUGUUGAUUGUGGUUGCAAGCAUACGACGAAGAAUAGGGCAAAGCUUCUAGUAUCGGGUAUGAGAUGAAGCUUUCAACGUUAUUUUUUUAUUGGUCAUUCAUCCAGUUGACAACAUAAGUUUUAGAUGAGAUAAAGAUUGAGAGAGUUCUAGAUAUAAAACCAAUGAAUAAAUGUACAUAUGUAUAAUCGUUUAUUUUAUAUAAACGAUAAUGGUUAUUGUCGUUAACAUUUGCGUAUAUUUUUAAAUAAACAAUAAAAUAUUUUAUAGUCAACUUAAGAAAUGAAAAAUAUAUAUUUAUUUAAAUAUUUUUAAAUAAACAAUCAAACAUUUUAGAGUCAACAUAAAAAAUGAAAUGGAAAAUAAAAUCAUGUUAAAUGUCAUCUUAUCUCUUCAAAUGAAAAUAGAAAAAAAAUUAUAUUAAAUGCCUUUUCACUCAAAAUAAGAAAAUAUUAUACUAAAUACAUUUACUCUCUUUUUAAUAAACCCUUAUAAAUGUAAUUUGUGUCUCAUCACUAAAUAAACAUUGAAAAUAGGAAAACAUAUAUUAAUAAAGUUAUUGUGAAACUAUAAAAUCCUUCCUCGAAGAUUUUGAAACUUAAAAUGAGAUUUUUGGAUUUUUAGGUAAAAUAUCUGAUUAAUUAAUUUAUAUUAUAGAGAAUAAGUAUGAGUCUGUUGGCCCAAAAGCCCAAAAGCCCAAAAGCCCAAAAGCCCAAAAUCUCAAAGGCAAUCUUCUCAAUAGGUGGAGGCUCUUAUCCAAAUCCAAUGGCCCAUAUUUUGCACUUGUGGGGCCCUACAGUUCGCCAUAUCUAUCCUAAGUGCGCAUUCAUUCAAACCACUGCCUCAAACAAACAUCACACUGUUACAACUUACCAUUGCCACCUUCACUUUAUUCAAGCUUCACAUACACCUCAAUCUGAUCAUACUAAAAUGGCACUUUCCCCAUUAACCUUCACAACCCCAAGACCUCAAGCUUCCCAAAUUUUCUCCCCCAAGUUAUCUUCCACUGUUAAACCCACAUCUACUUCUUCUUCUUCUUCUUCUUCUUCUUCUUCAGUUUCUGCUACUAAGAAGGCAAUAUCUAACAUGGGCAUUGGCCUUCUUGCUGCUUCGGUUUUGGCUCUUUCGCCCUUGGAUGCAAACGCUACCAGAAUUGAAUACUAUGCCACUGUUGGAGAACCCCUUUGCGAGUUCAACUAUGUGCCUUCCGGGCUUGGCUAUUGCGACAUCGCCGUCGGAUCCGGUGAGGAAGUUCCUUAUGGUGAGCUUAUCAAUGUCAGUUCCGAUCUUCAAUCAUCCACUUCUUGUUUCUCAUUUUACUUUUCUUCGCAUCAUCAAAUUCUACCCUGCUUUUAUAUGACUGCUUGUUUCCGUCCAACUUCUCCUGCAUUGCUUCGUUGCAGUGGAAUGUGCAAUUCCCGCCAAUAGUAUAUCAAUCUAAUAUGUGUCUCUCGUUUUUUGCUGAGUUUGCAUGUGGGUUAUUUUUCUUAAUAUGUAUAUGUUGUGUCACGUGUUGCAAUGAACUGCAAUUCACUACGUUUAAUUUCCCCAUUCCACGCAUAAGGGAUUUUAUGAUAUGUUUUUGCGUUAUUUUACCGUUCAAAUGCAGGUUCACUACACUGCAAGGUUUGCUGAUGGGAUAGUGUUUGACAGUAGCUACAAGCGUGGUAGAUAUCUCACCAUGCGUAUUGGUGUUGGCAAGGUAUUGAUCAAGUGUUUUGUACAGCUUCUUAAGGUGCAUAUGGGCUUGAAAAGUUUGGCCAAUUUGUUUAAGUGCGAGCGGCUACAGGCUUUGAGAGUAAUGAUACUGUUUAAGAGAAAAGUGAUGAAAAUAUAUGUAUUUUAGGUCAUUGGUAACUUAGUCCAUUUCUGCACUUUCCAGAUCAUGUCGUUUCUUUAGGAAAACGUAGUUGAGCAGAAUUCAAUUGUACUUAUAACUAUGAGAAAAAAAAAAAGCAAAUUUAAUUAGAGUAAAACGGUCAGCAGAAUAGCUUUUCUAGGAUUGAGGAACAUCUCUCUUUGUCCCAUCUUAAUAAAAUACGCACCUUGCUGCAUCAACUUGGUUGACAAUCACCUCCCUAUAUGCAACUAUCUUCUAAGAGACCUUGUGUGGAGUUAGUUCUCCUACAAAUCCCAAUUGUUUGUUGACGAGGAUGUAGAAAGAAAGUGGUGGGUUUCUUUAACGAUUUGACAAGGAAAGAGCUGGAUGAGAGUGGAGGCAAGUCUGUUACCAACAUGGGAGGAUCAGGGUACUGAGAAUUUUCCUUCUCAUGCCUAGAUUAGGAGCAAGAUACUAUUUGUAAAACAAACUUUUAAUUUACUUGCAACCAAUCAAUAGCCAUUAUAUGGAUAAAUAAUUCAUUACCUUAGCCACUAACUAUAACUACAUUCAUUUCACCUUGUGGUGAGUGUGGGACCGUGGGUAACUGGGUGGGUGUAGUUACUUACCACAUUGACUCAUCGGAAAGGGACUAAAGUUGAUAAGAUUGUUGCCAGGUAAUAAGAGGAUUGGAUCAGGGAAUAUUAGGGGGUGAAGGAGUACCACCAAUGCUAGUAGGUAUGUCUACUGACGCAAUGAGUAGAAUUUUGUGGUUUUCUUUUUUUGCUGGUUUGCUUCUAAGAAAUUAUUGCCCCUCUGAUUUUGCCUAGGUGGCAAACGUAAGCUUCAGAUUCCUCCACAUUUAGCGUAUGGACCAGAACCAGCAGGCUGUUUUUCAGGUUGAAUUCUUUGAACUGAACUGCUUUGUUUUGCGUGUUGGCUAUCUAAAUUUUCGUGACAAUGUUGCAAGCUGUCUGUAGUUGCUUCUGUUGGCAAGUUAACGGUAGUUUAUUUUGUGCAAAUGCAUUAUAUGUUAGUGUGUAGUUGCUUUGCUCCAGAUAUCUCUUUUUGAUACUGGUGAAACCCAAGUACCAAUUAACUAAUGGACUCUGUUAAUGCCAUUUGUGUUGCCUUUACAGGUGAUUGCAAUAUACCUGGAAAUGCAACUCUUGUGUAUGAUAUAAAUUUCGUUGGAGUCUACUCAGGAAAUAGGAAGUGAUGGAAACAAUACCCAAUUUCCUACAAAAUUCUUGUAGAUAGACAACACAGAGUAAGUGAUUUUCUGACUUUUCUAAAUGUUCAAUCAUAUCAACCUAUCCUUUGUUUGGUUUCUCUUUUAAGUUGUGUUCACAGCUCAGCUAUCUUAACACACCCAUUUGUUUUUUGGUCCAUCUCAUACAGUAGAAUCACAACAAUUAUCUCAGUAGUGUCUCAGAUUCCAUUUCAUGCUUCCUGCUUCAUCUAUUGUUCAUCAUACACUUUUUCCCUCUUGGUUUCCCAGAACUUAAGUUGAAGCUAAACCACGAGCCAAAAGAAGUGCAUUUCUCUCUGGAUUUUCCAAGUAUGUGGAACUCAAGCUUGACUCUUAAGGCAGAAUACUUGGUUUUCUCCAACUAACCACCAGCAGGACUGGCAAUCCUUUUUAGGUGAAAAUCCAGCUAGGCAUGGUUGAAAUUGCUCAAUUCAAACGUAAUUGACCAAAACUAUGUAUUUGGUUGUUUUACAAGAUUAUGACUGUAUUUCUAUGCACGGAUACUAUUAUACUUUGUAAAAGCACGUCUUGUUUCUGAGUACUUCAGUAACUUUAUGCAAAUGGAAUCUAAUGACCGCAUUUUCUUUGAACACAUUCUUUUUUAAUAUGAUCGAAUUGUCAAUGAACACAAAAUUAUUAAACAUAGAUCACCCUAAUUUUUUCUCACCGCGAUUUUUCUUUAUGCUACCUUUGGAUAUGAGAAAAAGGUUAACGGAAAAAAAAUGUUCCGAAAGCCAAAAGCAAAGAAAGCAGGAUUCUUUCCUCACGUUUGGUGAAGAGAGAGAACCGGAAAGGAAGCCUUGGCUUGGCCUUUUUCUUCGUUUGCUGGGACCAAAUGCCGUUUGAAAUAAUUUGAAUUUUGUGUUCAAAUUUUUAGGCUCUUUUCCAAACCGAAAGUAAGUGCAAAUGUAUAGCCAUACUGCUCCUUCACAAUUCAUUAACUUAAUAAUUUCCAGUCCUUUAAAAUAAAGCGACUUUGGUUUUCUUCUUUUUUCCUUUCCUCUAACAGUUAAUAACCAGGUUGGAAUCUUGUUUUCUUUAGGUGAAAGAACAGCUGUGGGGAAGCCAAAGUCGUCUCACAAACAGAAAAUUACAACAUCAUGAAAUAAAGUAAUCUCUUACAUCAGCUAGUAACAACUAACAACCCCAAAUAUUCUAAUUACUCAUCCAUCUAGUUGACCAUUUCUUCUUCACAAAUGAUUGAACACACAGUAAUAUAUAUCAUUACCAUAAUUAUUGAGGUGUUUGACAAAAAUUUAGCAGAAGAGAGAUAUAUAGAGAGAGGUACAAAACAGGAGACUUGUUUUAGCUGCAAAGAAUUACAUGACAGAGCAAGCAUUUGGGUUGUCAUCACUGAACAUGUUGAUGUAAGGAUCUUCAUAUUUGGUAACAGAAGCAGUAGUGGCAGUUUGCUCCACAUUUCUUACAUACCCCGGUGGUGCCUUCUUAUCAUAAGCCUGAGCAAUGUAAGGCUGUGACACUAAGCUGUAGGGAACAUAUGGCCAUAUCUCAGCCUUUUUCCCUGUAGACUUCGCCUUCUUCAGUAUCUUGCUUGCUUCAACAUACCCCGUAACUGUCACUUUCUGCUGCUUCCUGUUUAUCUCCACAGAUUUUACCCCUUCCAAAGUUCAAAAGCAACUGCAUUUUGUUAGAUAGAGAGAAAAGGAAGAAGUAAAAACACAAAAGGGUUGAGUUUCUUUAGACAUAACAUACCACUGAGUGAAGAGAGGGCAUUCUUGACCUUAAGUUCACAGCCAUCACAGUCCAUUCUGACUUUCAACUCCACGGUUUGAAGCUGUUUCUUCUUCUUGUGUUUAUGGGUGUUACCCACCAAAUCUGACAAGUACUCCAAAGUCCCACCAACACCCAUUUUUCACUCUUUAAUCGAUGUAGUUGAAAAGGGAAAGGGACAACAGAAGCUCACAGAAGCAAAAACCAGAGUUGUAGAAAGAAAUGGAAACGUAAGUUUGGGUAGAAUGAUGGAUCUUUCUCUUUAGUCUUUACCUUCUCUUCAAGCAAACAAGCAAAGAAAAGGGCAUUAGAAACAAAGGCUGCUUUCUCUGGUUUUGAGAUGGUUAUAUGAAAGGAAACAGAGCUCGUUAUAUAGCCAUCUGGGUUACAUUUUAAAACUAAAGGAAAAAGGGUUGUGUUUUGGUUGUGGCCCCCCAAUCACCAAAAAUAAUUUGGCUUAGGAAGCUUGGUUCUUUUUUGUUGCUGUGGACGUUGCAUUUUUACUUUAAAAUGGCAAUUCUUUUAAGAUUAUGAAUAUAUUAAAACAAAUCUAUAUGCUUUUCUUAAUGAAGAGGUACUUUUGGCUCUAUCCUUUGGAAGAUUGAUCGCCUUUAUUCCAGUAAUAAAAUUAAGUUUAAUUUACAAAUACCAAAACAAAAAUAUAGAAAACAAAUUUGCAAUUUAACCUAAAACUAAAACCAAUUGGGCUGUCAUUUAUGGAGUGAAGCUGAAUUCAACAAGUUUUAAAAACCAACGCUAUACCAAAAAUGUCACCGCCAUCUUUACCUUAAUGCAUGAGGAGUCUUCUUAAUUUAGUGGUUUGCAUAAUUUUAAUUUAAUCUCAAUUUUUUCACGUAACUUUUUAAAACUAUUUCAUCUUAAACUCCAUUAUAAGAAGCUUGAAGGUGCAUGGUGGUCGGUAGGUGAUUAGAUCAAUUUCAAUUUUAACCUUAGUUUUUAAUUAAAUGGGUUUGGCUGGCUUAAACAACAAGUAGUAACAACAGACAGAUAUGUUGUUAGGAAGAGAAGUAUGUUAUGUUAUAAUAGUUGAAAAGAAAAAGUAGUGGUCAUGUCGUUUUCUGAACAACAUAACACUAAACAUAUAUAUAAAAAAAUAAAGACUUGGGAUUAUUUUAGUUUUCAUAAACAAUAAUUUUAGUGUUUGUUUGAAAAGUGUUGUGUUGGGGACUUGGGGGUGGAGAGAACCCGAAGGAAGGAAAGUGGGCAGCAGCCUCCUUCCUUGUAUGCAAUUGCAAAACUUAAGUCUUUUUCAAUUGUAUUCUUCUAAAAGUUUUAUAAUAAUCUUUCCCUUUUCAUUUCUGUUUUUAUUGUGUAUAUUUAUUGGUUUUUCACAUGGACAGGUUAAUUGGCUUUGAUUAAAUCUUUAAUACUACUACUAAUCACUGAUUGGAGCCACAAAUGUUGAUUACUUGAGUGAUUUAGAUGAUCAAGAUUUUUCAAAAAUUAAGUCAAAUUAAUUUUGACUUAAUUUGUGAAUCCAGAAAUGUGGUUUGGGAUGUGUGUAAAAAGAUCAUGAUGCUGAUUCUUUAUUCUAAUAGAGGAAGGAAGUAAAAUGGGUGUGGCUAAUCUUACCAUUUCUUCCUCUAUUCCUUUUCCUCCACUUUCUAUUUUGUCUUCAAACUUCUCCCCUAAUAAGCACACAUUUAAUAAAGUCACUCUAUCACACUAUGUACUUUUUUUGGCCACGAAUAUUUUUCAUUUCAUCAUGCAACCUCUUUUUUUAUAUAUAGUAAUUAUAGCUACAUUAAUAACUUUGACGGGACCCCCAACUUAUAAUUAAUUAAUUAGCUUUCUAUCAAAUUAAAAAUAAAAACGGUAUUAGAUUAUAUCUAUCCAUGAAAAAAGAUAAGAAAAUUGUCAUGAUCUUUAAAACAUAAACCGACACUAGAGAUCUAACUUUACAUCUCAUAAAAUCUAAUAAAACUAAAAAUGAUGGUAAUUAUAAUUUGGUGUUUAAUUAACUUAGAAUAAUAAUUUGUCCAAAAAGGUAGACAUGAGAUGGGAUAGGACAAAGGCCUGUGCAAAGGAAAAACUGUUCCAACUCUUACACAAAACUGGGACCUUCAAUGUGAAGAUAAGAAUAUUAUUUCUCAUUAAACUAACCACCAUUCUUAUUCUUCAAAAUAUUUAGUAACCAAAGACAGAGAUUUAAAUUAUUGGUUACAAGUUAUUAUUAAUGCAUAUGUUUAAUAAAGAAAAAAAGAAAGAGGAAAAAGGGGAUUCACAAACAAUCCAUCUUCUUGUAGCUUUUUUAUUUUGGAGGUUUGGUUUUGUUAGACAAAGAGCAUUGUCUUUUUUAUUUAUUCUUUUCAAUGGAACAACAACUUUUUAGAAUUGGGAAAAUAAAGGUGACUUUCUUCUUCACCACCACCACCACCUCUACCUCCCAAACACAAUUAUUGCUAUACAUUUUAGCUCUCAUUCCUAUUCCUAUCUAUACUAUGAUUAAUUAUUCAACCUUCUCACUUUCCUUUUUCUUUUGUAAUAUUUGAAUUUACACAAAUUUGACGAUCUCACAAUCUCAUUCGAUAGUUUUUUCAUUUUUCGUUCUGGUGUACUUUUUUCACUUAAAACGCGUAAAAGAUAAUGAAAAUGGAGGGUUAAAUUUGUAAAAGAAAUUAAAUAUAAAGGAAAAACCCUUUAGUGUAUGAGGUAAGUAUCACAUUGUACUAGUCUUUUCUAAUGAUUUCUUUUUAAGAUGACGACAUAAUUUAAAUGUAUCUAUUCUUAUGAAGCUUAAAUUAGUAACAAAAUCAUUCCAUGGCCUUGUUUUUUUUCUUUGGAAUUGUUCAUUUGUACUUUAGAAUAAUUAUAGAACCGAAUUUAUGUAGUCUAAAUUGAUUUGUGAGAUUAUAUUAUAAAAAUUUAUAUAGUUUAAAGGUCUAAAUUGAUUUGUGAGAUUAUAUUAUAAAAAUUUAUAUAGUUUAAAGGAGAUUUUAUAAUUAUGAUUUUACAACAUAACAUGGCAUAGCUAGAAUUAUAUUAACUUUUAGCAAUGGCUUAAACACAAUAACCAAAGUUGGCUUUGGACAUUAUUUCAUGAAAAAAGAAAGUUUUGUUUCUAAUGUUUGUUUUGACCUCAUGAAUAAGAACAGCACACGACUCCUUUUUAUAACGUUUUGGUUAUAACUUUUUUGUACUUUAAGGGAUUGGGCUUUUUUUCUGCCCUUGAUUUCUUGAUUUAUGUUUUUACUUUUUCAAAAAAAGAUUAGAAUUUAUAUUUGAUGCAGAAAGUCAAAAUUUAAAAAGAAAUUGAAAGCUAUUGUUUUGCUAGAUUGUCUUUUUCUUAAAAAAAAAGAAAAGAAAAGAAGAAGAUUAAGUGAAUUAAUAAACAAAUAUAUUUGAUAUUGAAAAAGAAGAUAGCUGUAUAACACAUGCAAUCAAUUAUUGUAUGGUGAACAGUUUGGGUAUUCAUCUAAAAUGCUUAAUUGUUCUUACUUGAUUUAAAUUAAUAUAUAAAGAAAUUGUAAAAAAAAUAAUUAAGUUAGAAGAUAACAAAAAGGGGAUUAGUAAUAUGGAUGUAGAAAUGAAUUAAAAAGUGGUGUGUUGGGGAAAUGAAUAGAGAAGGAAUUGUUGUGUGAAUGAAAUAAUUAGAAGUACUUUGGUGUACGCGGUGUCAGGUAAUGAAGUUCACUCAUUGAUAUAUAUAAUAAUAAGAUGAGUCCUCUUCCCUACAAUUUCAAACAAUAAUUGAAAUUUGGAAACGAUGUGGCCUUCACGCACACGAAGGAACCAUAAUCUAUAUAUAUAUAUUAAAAUGAAAUAUUGGUUAGUUCUAAAAUUAGUUUGUAUUAUUGGGUUCCUCAACUUUAAAAAUUUAUAAUAAGUCUUUAACAUUGAAAAUCUAAAAUAUCUAUUUGAUUUUUUAGGCAUUGUUAUCUACCUUUAUUAAAAAAAUUAGGCCCCUAUGAUAACUAUACUCAAACUUUAUUACUUUCUUAUCUACAUUUUAUCUAUGGAUUAAAAAUCAAACCAAAAUUUGAAAAUUAAAAAGAAAAAAUAACUGACAAAAAAAAUGUUUUCUGUUCUUCAAAUUUGACUAAGAAUUUUAAUCUUUGUAUUUGAGAAAGAAUGCAAAUUAUUGUAAGAUAGGAAAAGGAAAUAGGUAUAAUUAUAUAUAUAUAAAGCAAAGCCGAAAGAAGAAAUGGUUACGAAGUGAAAUUAAAAUAAAUAACAAAUAAUAAGGUUAGGAGAAAUAAAGAGUAAAGAUUAAGAAGGUAGUAAACUAACGGUAAUAUAUAUCAGAAGAGGAAAACAUAUAGAUAGAAGAAUGUAUAGCUACAUAACCAAAAAUGCAACGACUAUCAUCGACCCCCAUUGGAUGGCUCAUAUAAUGCCCCAAAAAAAAAAAAAAACUAAGAAAAAAGAAAGAAAAGAAGGAAAAUGCCAUUGAUGGAACUUGCAAGGACACAAGAUCUACAUGUCGUCCUUGCUGGGGGGAAGAUAGAUGUAAAGAGACUACCUCCAUUUACAUGUAAAACUUACUUAGAUAAAGCUCAGAAUCUACAUCACACGCAAGAAGAAACAAGGCAGAGUGCUAGAAGAAGCAGGUGCGGCAAUCUGAUUGAAUAAAAUCUGGAUGGGAUGAAGCAUGGGGUAGCAGCUGAUGGUUUAGAAGGGGCCCUUCCAGCUACGGCAGGAGCCACCGCGUGCCCCCCUGAAGCGCUCUGCUGUUCAUCGGCUGGUAAUGGGUUUGGCGGUGUCUCUUUUGCAGGAGUAAGAGGCAUUUUCUUUUCGUUACUGAGAUCUUGACCUUCGACAUGAACAUGGUAGAAAUAUGAAUGGAAGUUCAUGAAACGAGUUUAUAAAACAAUGGAAAAGCCAUACUUUCAUUUAACAAACGAAAAUAAUAUACAAUGAACAAUACAAAAAACCAACCCAUAUGAAACGAAGCAAGAAAAAAAAUGAUGGUUAAGACAGUUCAAACAUUUUCUUUCGGUUUUAUCAUGCACAAGAUGUGGGCAUCAGUUAAGAAGCUGCAAAAUCAUGACAAGUAACUACUAGGAGAUGGAAAUCUUACAAUUUGCGUGUGACCAACCCAACUUCAAAUUAUCCCUAUCAAAUACCAUCCGGUAUCCAGUCAUGUAAUUUUCUGCACAAGACAGCAAUACAAAAUUACCAUUUUCAUUAGACGUACGAUUUACUGCACAUAUCGCAUAUAUCAUAUUAGCAAUCUAAAUUUGAGGAGACAUUGUGAGCUUACGUCCCAAUAUUCCGAUAUCUCCAUCAGCAGGUAGUAUAGCAAAACAAAAUCCAGCUAACCCCUGUAUGCAUAGUACUGUUUAGUAUUAACACAGGCAUUAUUUUCUUGUAUUAGAAGUGAUGCAUAGCAUGUGACUUCUUCAGGAUACUUAAAACAAUUAUAUCAUCUAUUGGAUAGUUAGAACUAGAGACUAACUGCUAGGCUGUAUCAAAGAAGAGGGCCCUACCUCAGCUUGAUAGUUUAAGCACACCUUAUUUUUUUUCUUUUAUUGUUUUAGUUCUUAUUCUUCGUUUCCUUGUAGUCUCUAGUUUCUGGAGUAUCUAAAGCUAUCAACUUCACUACUAUGUUUCACAGUUCGAUUUUUAAGUACUUUUAUGCCCACUAAAAGUCAAAGCUAUUCCAUUAAUGGCUAAUUAUGACAAAUUUCAAAGAUCAAGUCCACAUCUUCACCCAUAUUCACCAAAUCAAAUCAUGCACACUUAAACAUUCUUAGAAGGAAACUUCCAUCUACCUGAUCGCCAUAGAUAGGGAAUACAGGAUCAUGAACCACAAAACUAUUGUUUAGUGGAAACAACAAUGUCACAGAUGGAACCUUUGGCAUUGCGUCUGCACUGUUGGAAAAAACGAUAACAUUAAAGUUAGACAUGCACAAGGGUGGGGUUUAUGAAGGGAAAAGGAUUUUACUGGUUAUCCAUCUCAUCGAUAUCACCUGAUCUUAUAGCAAUACUUCCAUGGAUAUCCUUUAAAGGAGACGGCGCUUGUAGUGUUUAACCUUUUAUCAAACUAUGAAAAGGGGAACUGGUUAAAGGACAAACGAACGAUAAAUUAAGUACAAAGCUGAACUACAAAAUGAAUGUACCUCAAUCACAAUAUUUUCAUAAGCUUCCUCUGGAAGAUAUGUAAACGAUGUCCCACUAUCUAUCAAUGCUUUAAAACUUGUCUGCUUGAGGCACGAAUUCUCAAUACAACAUGCUUCCACCCCAACAAUGUAGGUUUCACUGAAAGAUUCAGGUAUCACAAGGACUUCAGUCGGCAUAUAUAACAAAACAUGAUCAUCAUAAACAUGGAGAUAAUUCAUUAUGGUAAUUACUAUUUCCCGUCUAAUGGCACAAAUGAAGUUGUUUGCUGACUUGCAGGUCCCUCGUCCCCAAAAAAGAUUCUUCCAGAUCCAUCCUCAUUAAAACACAGCGAGAAGGAAUUCUGCACCAAUUCUUCUUUCGCAAGGGAACUAAGAACAGAAAUUUCUCCUAACCCUAAUCCAAAAAGACCAUCUGGAGCGACUCCACUUAGAUAACCGCCGCUUUGUUUCAUACCACACCUGUAUUAGAGAGCAAAAAUGGGUAAUAUAAAUACAGUAUCCUUCCUUAUUGCUGCAGUUUACACACAGCAAACAAUUGGAGGAACAAAAUGUAGGAACAAUGGAUCAUACCCUAAAAUGACAGGAGCCUGAAUCGUACAAUUAGAUGAAUUCUCACAACCGGAUGAAAGAUGCAACACAUCCUGAAUUAGUAGUCCUGAACUUGAAGUAUUUUCAGUAAUGUAGUCAAUAACAUAAGGACAUGACUGCUUCGGACUUUGGCAGCUUUGGCCUGAGUCGCACAAAUUAUGGCUGCAAGAUAUAUGCUUGCUCGUGCUUGAACUGGAUGGACGGUAUUCAUUGAGAUCUUUAUCCUGCAUUAUAAAUAAUGCCCCAAACAUGAGGGAGCAGGAGCACCUGCCAAUCAAUCAUCGGAAAUAAGUGCUAAACUUGCUGUCUUAUUAAAAAGACUUCAUAAUCCACUAAUACAUUCGCGCCAAAAAUGAGUUAGCCAAUCUUUCAUCUCCGUCUCCCCUCGGGCAUUUUUUAUUUCCCAUUGGAACUGGCCAUGCCUUUCUUUUCCGCCAAAAAUCACUACAAGACUUCGAAUUCCAGAACACAAUUUGUCCAAGCAUAACCCUUGAUCUAACGGAAAUAAAAAGGCAAUAUGCUUGGGUAUAAAGCAUAAGUCGUGGAUUAGAAGUAAUUAAUGUUUAUGUGGAAAGAACAGAUUCUGAAAAGCAGGCCUACCAGACUGCCAUAGUAACUUGCAGACAAGGGAGCACAUUGUAUGCAAUUACAAGGAACCCAAAGUAGAUCACUCCCAGCAUCCAAUGCAACCAGAAAAGAAACACUCGGUGUCCCGAUAUCAAUCCAGGUGUAAUGCAACCUAUAAUACGUAAACAACAAGAUGAUUUACAAGUGCAUAAGAUAACAUUUUAUAACACAAAAUUUUCUCAUAAAGGUGCCACUAUGCAAAAAGCUAUUAGAAGAUGGUUUUUUUUCCUUUUUUGGUGUGUGGGGGAGAGAGAUUACUAAAAAAAAAAAAAAAAAAAAAAACAAACAAACAAACAGAAAAGUAAUGCAAAACGGAAGAACAAAAAAUAGCAAGAACAAAAAGGAGAAGGAAGGAAGAGUAACGGUGACCAGCCAAAAUCAUUUCCGAGCGCAAUGGUUUUACUGCCUUCAGACGGGAAAAGCAACUGAAACCGAGAACCAAGCUUCAUCUUCUGCCUCCGAAAGUCACCACUAACAAGCUCCUGAUAAUACUCCAUACUCCCCUUCUCAGGCCAUGAUACUCGUACACUCGUAUUCGUACUCCCUGAAGCCCUAAGGGCCUUCAUCUCCUCAGAGAACCUGUGAAGUAUCCUUGAUGUGAACGUAAUAGACACCACCUGGUGAACAAAAAUCACCAUCAGCAGCAACAAAAGCAGAUUCCGAAGCGACAUUGCAACUCAGUCCUUGAAAGGACGAAGGAAGUAGCUCGAAGACGAGAUCUGGAGGUUCAGAAGAAACCCACGAACAAUUCGGAGCUUUAGUUACCCGCCGGUGAACCAAAAUGAAAAACAGAAACAGAAAGAAUCUGAGGGGUAUGAAGAAACCCAAGUUACGGGACAGAGAUCGGAGAAGAAGGCGAACGAGUUACGACGGAAGUAGGAAAGAAGAAAUGAAGUGAAGUGUAAAGAAGAAGCGAAGUGAAGUGAAGUGAAGUGAAGUGUAAAGAAGAAGCAGAGGGAGGGAGGGGGAGAGAGAGAGAGAGAGAGAGAGAGAUAGAAGAGGGCAAAAGAAGAAAAGGAAGGGGAGGAGGAGGACAGAAGGGAUUUGUAAUACACGGGGAAAAUAGCGCGUGUUAUAAAAUAAUUCCUUUUCAGUGUGUGCGCGCCCGUAAGAGAGGUUGUCGUUUUCUUAAUCACCGUUGGAUACAUUUCUUCUGCCUCUUUACUUUUCUUAUUUUUUCGUUUUCGUAUUUUAUUUUUCAAAAUAUAUCGAUGCUUUUGUAAAUUUUUUAUUUAAAUAAAGAUUAAAUGUGAGCUACUACUUUUAGUUUCGGAUAUUUGGACUUUUCAAAUGAAAUAAAUUAAAAUUCAAAAUAAAGGAUAAAUAAACGAAAUAAAUUAUUUGGAGAUUUUAUAAAAAAAAUAAGUUCAGAUUUAUUUGAUUUCUGUGUUCGAAUUAACCCUUUCCAAUAUAAUAAAAAUUACAAACAUAACAUAAUUUAGAUUUAAUUUUUAAAAUUUAUUAAUACAUUAUUAGAAAGUUAAUAGAUAAUAACAACAUAAUCUAGUGAUUAAAGUAUUUGUUAUUUUUAAGAGUAAAAAAAAAAAAAAAGUUGAAUUUUCUACAUUUACAUUUAUUGGUAAGAAAAGUUUCCUAAAGCAAACAUUCAGAUAGAAAAUGUAUGCCUCAAUUAUUGACAAAAUCAAGAAAAUAAAAAAGGUAUCCCAAUAAAUCCCUUUCAUGAUUAUUGGUGGUCUUGCAUAAGAAAUGUAGUUGGGGAUAAAGUUCUAUUGAAGAUAGGACUCUUAGGUAGAGAGACCAAGACUUACUAAAAUUGUAUUUGGUCAAAAUGUAAACUUUUGGUAGGUACAAAAUCUCCACUCUUCUUAAUUCAAUUGGUCCAAAUUAAAAUGUUUACCCAAAUAUGCAUUGCUCCUACUCCUAACUAGCUAAAAUGUUCAGCUUAAGUGACUGGCACUUAACAUCUAUUUUUGUAGGUGUGAGUAAGGUUAGCCACAUACUCAUGUUCAUUUAGUAUUUAUAUUCCACCUUGGUUCGAACAUUUUACCCUAUAUGUAAAUAGUUUCAAAACUUUUGACAUUAAAAAAUAUAUAUAUUUUUAUAAGAAAAGAAAUGAUAUGUGAAUUAAAAGUGAGGAGACCUAAUUGAAGGGAAACAAAGAAAUUGAAAGAUGAACUUUGUGGAGGCACCACACCAAGAAGGUGGUCCAAGAAUUACUUACGUGUCGAUUAAAACUAAAAAAGCGCAUUCAUUCUCAUUGGGCGGCGGCCCUUCACUUGCGAAUUUAAAUGAUAAAAUUCUUUUAAAUAAUUCAUCGCAUUACGUUUCAAAUUUCAAACCUAUCCUCUAAAUACUACCAACUGCUGGCAGUGGCAACCCACUCAUUGUCAUUCACCUGCAGCACUUUUCACUUCUGAUUUCUGAAUAUGAAAACUCCAAACCAAACCAAACCAUUACUAGAAAGAAAAAUUAUUUAUUUCAGGGUAUCCUAAUAUAUAAUUCACAAGUUCUGAAACGAGAGAAAAACUAAGAAAACAGAGAGAACGUCCAGAACAUGUGUUUAUAAGAGGUUCCUAUGCAUACAUUCUUUUUAUAAUAAUAAAUUCACACAAUGAGAAGUUACAUAAUUACAUUAUACAUUACUUUUCCUCAAAAUUGACAAGCAAUUGAAAUCAAUGAAAUACAAACAAGACCAAACCCAGAAAAACUAGUGAAAGGAAAUUUCCAAUUUUCUAUUUAUAAACUAAAAAAAAAAAAAAAAAAAAAAGAGAAAUCUGGAAAGUAUAUUAUAUACACUAUCAUGAUAAAUGCUCAAAAUUGAAAAAAUAAUUCCGCAAGGGGAAGGGGAUGGUCUCCUACUAAUGCAAUGGUGUAGCUUACUUGUUAGACCACUGAAAUUCUAUUUCCAAAUUCCGAGGACCGCUUUUGCUUUCAGGCAACAGGGUGUACUCGCCGGCAACCGCUCCCAACAUUACAACUUUGUCAAUUUGAAUUGUUACUUUCCCGAAAGAGCUCUGUUUUUGUUUUAGAGUACAUGAAAAGAAAAUUAGUUGUGAAGCUUUCAUAUGGAAACAAAUGAAGAGAAACAAAGGAAACUUAAAUGAAACUCGCCUUCCCCAUUUUGCUUUUGUUCUUGCAAGAAAUAUGAAGCUUCUGGCCUUUCGGUGGACUCUCAAAGGACCAUGCAAAAUUCUCAUCCCAUUCUGGAUUUGGACCGGUUGAUACAACCUGACCAAAAUUUAAAGAGAAGUUACAGUUUAGAAAUCUGAGACAAAUUGGGAAAAGGAUCAAAGAACAAAAGAAGCGAUGAUAAUAUUGGUUAUGAUGGAAUAAAAUAGGACCACAAAUUUUCUCCUAAAACCGUUCUGCCAGUAAAAUUUUAAUAAGAUACGGGGGCAUUUCGUCCAUGAACUGUACAAAAGAAUUAUUCAAACAUGGUGCAUAUGCAGAUGAAAAAUGAUAUAUGGAGAUGGACCACACAUGCGACAAGAGAAAGGAACCACACUACUCCAGCACACAACAGACUAUAGUUCCGAUAAUUAGUUAAACAUAGCCACUAUAAUUGACUAAUAUAUAAAUUAUCUUCCAUGGAAUAUUUACAAGUGUAAAAACUAUGAAUAAAAGGAAGAUGCAGAGAUGGAGUACAUUACCUUUGUUUGCCUCGGUGGAGUAUUGCCAAGGGUGAGCUUACAAAACACGCUGGGGUUUCCUACUGACUGCUUCAUGUUGUUGCCACGUUUGAUUAUAACUAAUAAUGUUCCUGGCAAGCACUGUAACAAAAAUUCAGCCUUCUCCUGGAAACGAGGAGGACCUGACUGAAUUAGAUACUGAAGCAAAGGAAUGGCAUCUGCAGCAGCAACAGACUGAGCUCUUGAAACCUCCGCUGGACAAGCUGACCAAGCUUGCCUCAAAAGAAACAGGGAAUCUAACGCAGCUUCUUGAGUUGCCUCAGUACCAGUCUUUAAGGAUGUUACUAGAUGAGGAAUGCUGAGUGUAGCAGGCUCAGUAGCUCUCAAUCGUGGGAAGUUGCUGAAAAGAGAAUUUAGGGCUUUCAGGUAUUCCUCAUUCACGGUUCCAGUGGCCCACAAGUCCUUUUCAAUGGCAGCUGCAAGACCAAAUUGUUAUGACACUAUAUCUUCCGAGGCAGGUAAGUAAAGUUUAUUAGGCAAGCGUCUAAGAAAUUGUUGUAAAAGCAGAUGAUUAAUUCUAGAAUGCAGUCUCCCAAGGGGAAAAAAUAAAGGAAAACAUUCAAAAAUAUAUUCAAUCGUGUAGCAGAUGUGCGGAGAUGAUUGAAAAGGAAAACCCAAUUCUAUCAAUGUUAUUAUGCAUGUGGAGGGUUUAGGGAAAUUACCAGUGAUGGCCCUAACUGUCUCACUGGAUGCGUAUUCCUGAAUGGUAUGAUUUGAGAAAAGGAGUUUAAUAAACAUUGCAGCCUGCACAGAUGUAUCUGGAUCACUGGAUCCAAUUAGGUCCAAUACCACCUGAACACCACCAGCCUCUGCAACUGCUCUUUUGUUUGAUCGACUGUACAUAACAAGAUUUUGCAAGGCACAUAUUGCUACCACUUUCAUUUCUUCUGUUGGUUGGUCCUCAAGCACAUUGACCAGAGCACGGCAAGCUGAAACAGCAUCCGUGCUUCUAGCAAGAGCUUCAUUCUGGAACAAAUCACCAAGUGCCAAAGUUGCCAGCAACCUUGGCUGUUGAGCUUGAGUUUGAGGAUCCAAGAGAUACUGGGAUAAUGGUACAAUUGCAGAUUUAGUAACCUUGGUUUCUCUGAUCUUCACAUUAUUAAGAAGUACUUCCAGUAGUCUAGCUGCAGUUUCCUCACAUUGAUGGCUUCUCAGAAGUUCCAACAGUGCCUCAAUUGCUCCACUUUCCGCCAUUGCUUCAGCACUCGUUGCAUCAUCACUUUCAAGUACAAGUAAAGCAUUCAGUGCACCAACCACUGUGCUUUCCAAUCCAGAACGAAGCAACCUGACCAACACCGCAACUGGGACUUCCAGAUAAAAUUCAGAACUGAACUGUAGAAUACUCGCUAAUACAGUGGCAGCAGAUUCCCACAAUGAAUGAGGAAGUGAAGGAUCAGCUUGCAGAAUGACUUUGGAUAACUCACUGACACCACCUUCUUUUGCUAUUUCAUUUGGCCACGUUAGUGCAAUACUAACAAGAGCCUUGACAGCUCUCUGCUGCAAGAUUUGAAUACCAGAACCAAGUACUCGUAUUAGAGGACCAAUCACUUGCUGCGUAACUGAGUCCUUUUGCAAAUGUUCUUCCACAAGUAGGUGUGAUAGGAGCUCAGCUGCCAAUUGUUGCACAGCUGGAGCAGGGGAAUCAAGUAAAGGAAUGAGGGGUUCAAUUGCUUGGUGACAGGUCAAUGUAUAGUCAGCACGACACUGAGGAUGCUCUAAUAUAUUAACAAGAACCUGCAGUGCACUAUGCUGUCCAUCAGGUCCAAAUUCUGGUCUUGUCAACAAUAGGAAAAGAGGUUCAACCACUUUUGCAGCAGAUGAUCCCUUAGCAAUGUUAGCAUUAUUAGUCAGUAUACGUAGCAAUUCUGCAAAGGCUGAACAAAGAAAAUCAGGUGCUUCAAGGAGGAUAUCCAAAAUGCUUUCAAUUACUCCAGCUUUUACCAUUUCCAUCUUACAAGCAGGUCUAUCUUUUCCUAACUUUACAAGUGCUCUAGACACUGCUUCGUGAAGCAUGAAAUUUCUACCAUAGAGGAGGCCUACAAGAGGGAUAACAGCUCCAUGUGCAGCAACUAGUUCUGCUAGUUGUUCAUCAUCAACUAGUUUAUCCAAUGCACGGACAACUGAUUGUUGAGCAGGACUAAAUUCAGUCACAAGAAGCGAUACCAAAGGCUCGACACAUCUCGCAGCAGCCAUUGUAGAUCUGAUUCUUGUAUUUCCAAAAAGUACACAGCACAACUCAGCAGCAUCUCCCUUCAAGUCCAUUGUACAAUUUGUUGACAGAAUUUUGCAAAGGACAUCAACUGCAUUCAUUUCAACAUCUGCAACUGCAAGGGCUCUUGAUGGGUUUUCACUUAAUAAACGAACUAAAGCAGCAAUGGCAGCAUGUUGCUCCCUCUCUGAGCCAGUACUGAGAAUCUCAACUAAGGGUUGCACAGCUUGUCUGGACGAUUCAGCAUUCCUAAUAUGGUCAGCAGAAAAGAGGCUCUCCAAUGCUUUAGCAGCACUAUACCUUGCACCCCUUCCACCCAAACGCAGAACUGCUACAAGCUGACUGACAGCACCAAAUGCGGAUUCAUGCCUACGUAUCUCAGAACUGCUGAAAAGAAUUCCUAACAAAUCAGUAGCAGCUUCUUCAGUUGCAUCUUGUGGUCCAAGUGAAAGAUAUUUGGUCAAUGCUUCCAAAGCCCCUGAUUCUACCAUAACAAUCUUAUUUGAUGGGCAGUCUUUCGCUAGCUGGGUCAAAAUUCCAAGAGCUAGAAAAGGUGCUCCUGGGCGAUCAGGAAUUGGUUUUAAUAAAUCAACAAGAGCUGGAAUUGCUUUCCGAGAAGUAGCACCAGUCCUUAUGUCAUCUACCCGAAACAAUCUCUCCAAAGCAACUUGCUCAGGGUAGCGAACCAGCAUGAAUUCUUCUGACAGUUCAAGAAGAUCAUAUAUGUCAGCAUCUGCACACCCAAGUAAAGAUAUUAAUCCCCCUGCUGCACCAGAGUUUGCAACUGACAGCAGGGUACCCCUGCUACCAUUACAAACUAAACUUGCAAUGGCCUGGGCUGCAAAAUAUCUAUUUGCUGGCUCCUCUGCUUUCAGUAAAUUUGCAAUCACUGGUAUAGAUUUCAUGGUUGCAUGUGCUCGUAUUAUAUCCCUGUCUUGAAAUAGAAUUGCAAGCAAUAGAGAAGAUAUCCAUAUGCUGCUGUCUUCUUUAAAAUCAAUCUGUGUAAAAAUUGAAUAAGCAAAAGAAAAUUAAAUGCAAUUAGUUAUGAAACCACAAUGAGUAAAAUAUCAAACAAAGGACCAUAAAUCAUGGAAAAACUAAAGGAAGGUAAGAAGUUGAGCACCUGAGCAUACUGUGAGGAAUAAUUGGAUAUUCCCUCUGUGAGAACUUCAACUGCUCCAGCCUCCAUGAUCACAGUCUUACUUCUUCCGUCGUGGCAGGCAAGAAGACAGAGUAGCCAUAUUGCGAGGUUGACACCAUAAACAACAGCAGUAGCUUUAUUGCAUUCUGUACCACAGCUGCCUUCUUUGGGAAGUCUAUAUAUGCUGAUAAAUUCCUUAUCAGUAUCACUCUGAUUAUCCAGUACAGAACUCUGCGAAGAGCUUAACAUUGCAACAAGAGAUUGAAUCAGUAGACUACAUGAACUUGAUGCGUGAAGAUCUUCCAACAGCCUGUGGUGAUUAACAUUAGCGGCACAUACGAGAAGGGCAGUUCCACCAAUUUUGACCUUAAUGUUUGUGGAAUUGAUCACCCUCGUAGAAACAGAAGCUAUGCAUCCAGAUGCAGUAACUACUUCUUCUCCUAUAACACCAGGUUGAUCCCGGCAAAGUCGUGCUAAUACCUCAAUAGCCUUGUCCUGUAGUAUAGGAGUUGCGUCAGUAAUGGAUGCAACUAUUGGGGAAAUGCUUUGGGGGAAUUCAGCUAAGACUGCCCAUGCAGGCUUCAUGGUCCCGCUAACCCCUUCAGAUCUAGAUAAAAUAGCAAGAGCAUCUAGUGCUUCAGAUGUGGAAACAGUUCUGGUGUCUGCAGAUCCUAGAAAUGAGACUAAUGCGAGAACAGUUCCUGCACUAUUCACACAAUCAGUGAUGCUAUGGUCAAUUUUCCGAGAGCGAAGCAAGCGAGCAAUUCCUGCUGCUGCAUGUGUCUUUCCAGACAUUGUGCCUUCACGCAAAACCCUAGUGGCAGGCAAAAUAAUUUCUUCAGUAACAGCCUUCUCUUGGACUUCACUAUCAAGUAGAAGAUUUGCCAGAGCACAGGUUGACAGUUCUGUAACUUCCAGAACUGCAGACUUUGCAAGCACAACUAAGGGAGAUAAUACAUCUCUAGCAGCAGCAGCCACGUCCCUGUUCUCCUUGAUUGACAGAAAUAUGGCAGCAAGGCACCGGGAAGCCUCUGCCAGAAUACUGUCGGAUUCAACUUUAAGUAGUUUUAUGACUGAUAAGAGAGUCUGAAUAGCAAUGCUACUUUCACGCAAGUCUUUGCGGAUUUCAAAUAUUCCAGCUAAAGCUGAUGCAGAUUUGGCUUGGGUCUCUUCUCUAGUAGAAUUCAAUAUUUUAAUCAUGGUCUCAAUUGCAUCAUUAGCAGCAGUACCUUCACGCACAAUAUCAUUGAGGGGGACCACAGAAAGCAUACUUCUAAGAGCAUCCAAAACAUAGACUUUGGAUUCUGGUAAAUCACUGGUUAAUAAUGCAGUAAGUUGGCUGAUGGUUGCUGUAUCAGAUUUAUGAAUCAAAUGAUUCAAAGUCUUUGCUGCAAUUUCUUUUCCAUUAGAGCUUCCAUUCUUAAGCAACCACAGCAGUGCAGGGACAGCAUCAGCGCUUUCAACACAUGCACGUAUGUCUUCACUGUGAUUGCAUAAGUUUCUAAGAAUUGUUGCAGAAUCUUCUUUUGCCUUUGCAGAACCAGUCUCUAGAAUUUGAACUAGUGGAGGUAUGCCACCAGCAGCCGUUAUAGCCCAUUUACUCUCAUCAUUUUCGUUCGAUAAAAGACAAAGCAAUGCAACCGCACAUUCCUGUUGCUGCUCUGAUGAGAGUCCAAGAAGUGAAAUCAACAGCUGAACCCCCUCACGACCUUGCAGGGCACGCCAUAGACUACCUUCAUUGUUGCAAAGGGUAAGAAGGGCUCUUACAAGCUCUUCCUGAACUUCAUUGGUUGCCAUUGUGAUCAAACCAACUAGUAAACGUUUUGCAUCAGAAUUUGCAAGUUUGACAGCAAGUAUGGGAUUACCAUACAAACUAGCUAAUGCUUCUAUAGUUCGUUCCUGCACAAGAAAGGUUACACGGGAUCCAAACUGCUUUACUAAAGUCUGUUCAAUAAUUAUAGGAUCUGAUGCUCUGGUGGCUUCUUCUUUGCUAUCAUAUAUCAUAAGAGCUGAUGCUAAAGCCCCUAAUGUGUCGGCAGUUUGAGCAGCUGAUGAGCAUGCCUCAAGGCUUUGUCCAAGGCUUGAGAUAACAUAAGACAAACCACCUGAAAUGUUUGCUAAAGCACACAUAGCAUUCUCCUGCAAUGCCUGAGCAUACUCACCUUGCAUGAACUCUUUCGAGGGAGCUAUUGUUGCAUUUAUCAAGGCAGGGAUACCAUUUGAACUUGCUACCUCACGCCGUGCUUCUUUGCACUGAGCAGAAAGAGAUUUAAGAGCACCUGCAGCUUCUGCUCUAACAGAGGCUUCAUUUCCAGGUCCUAUUAAUUUGAGGAGCUUUUUCGUAGCCUCUGCAGCCAAAACCUUGGAGCAAAAAGAUGCAUCUUCCAUCAUCACAUGUGCCAGGAGAAAGCACACAUUUGCUUGUGUAUUUGGCUCUCCUGUUGCCAAUAAAUUCACAAGUAUGUCUACACCGCCUGCAUUUAUAGUUGCAGACCAAAAUCCCUCAGUGCUGCUUGAGAGGUUUCUUAAAGCUCCAGUCAGUAAGCCAACAACAUUUCCAGAUUUGAGCCCAUUGUGUAGCUGCUCCCAAAGUACCGGAACAACUCCCUCAGUAGAAAAUAUUUUGGAUCCAACGUGAUCCCUAGCACCACCUUGGGAAACAGCAUAAAUGGUCUUUGCAGCAGCAAUUUGACCCUCUGACGAACUUGAUUUGAGGAGACCAAGCAAUGGGGGGAUGCAUCCUCCAAGUAGAACCUUUACCCUUAAUUCAUUUUCCUUGCACAAGGAACCUAAAACAGUAGCAGCUUGUAUUUUCACCCCAAGGGAACCUGAACGGAGAAGAGAAACUAGUACUGGAACUGCUUGAGAGUGAGAUCCAACAGCACUGAAUGCACUCUCACGUGUAUCAAUAAGUUCCAGCAAUUGCCUCAAAGAAAAUUCUUUCUCCUGCACAGAGGAGGAACUCUGCCGCAGCUGCUCAAUGCAUUGAGCAACACUUGCGAGUGUCCCAUCUGGAUCUUCCAUGCUAUUGCGAUCUCUGCAAGACAUAUGAUCAAAGUAAGUCAUCUGAUCUGGGUAUUAUUGUUCAGCGAUACACAAAUUGAACAAUAACACUUGUAUUUUACUACUUGGAUCGACUCACACAAAACAAGACUGAAUUAUAUGCUAUCCUCAUUUACUAUUGGACUCAUUCAUCAUAUGCUGUCCUUUAAGGAGGCUUGGGCUCUGGAAAGAUGGGGAAAAUGAAGUUCAAACUGAAGGAGAAGUGGACAGCCAACUAAAAUUUAUUAGGUCCAUUCACAUCCGUGUUCUUAAAACAAGACAACACACACACAUACCUAUGUCAAAAAUUAAAUGAAAAAAAUGUGGAUAUGGUAAAACCUCUAAAAUAAAAUAAUGCAUGCAAGUGAAGUGUAUACAUAAAAGCAUAUUGGUUAUCAAACAAAAAUGAGUCUUUCAUAAAUGCCAUGAAAUGACAAAAGGAACAAAAAUUAUACAUACAAGGACAGCCAAUAAAUAAAACCAUAUGGAUUAUCCUUAGAAGUCAGAAUACACAUCUUCCAAAUAUAACAUGAACUUGUUAAAAAAAAUGAAAUAAAUAAACAUUCAACUUUGAUUUUACCUGGAGCCCAUCUUCAUAAUAGAAUGCGGAGUAGGAGGCUCUGAAUCUUGAAUUUUUCCAUCCAUGUUUUUCUCCUACAACAAUUGAACACAGAAAUGAUUAGUACAUAACUAACAUAACAUGUACCACAAAAUCGAGAAAGUAGAAUACUUUAAAGAAAGCAUAGAACUAUCUUAAGCAGCUUAUUUUGUUUUUCCCAAUACAUAAACACUAAACAGGGUACAUACUAAACCACUCGUAUCAAAUUGAAGAUGACAUCCCAAAGAAAACUGCAUUGACUAAGAUUAUCUUUGAAAUUCAGUUAACCAGUCCAUCCGUCUGUCCCCUCUUAAACCUCAAACAAUAUUGAGCUUAGACAACCAAAUAAUUAAAAUAAGCAUACUCAUGAGUCCAUAACCCAAUUUUCUUGAUAUGCAUCAGAAUCACACUCACACAUGCUCACAUUUAAAACAACUAUUGUUUUCAUAAGCACUCCAUGCAAGAAUUGGUAAAGGGAAAAUUAAUUUACAAAUCUAAUGACAACAUUUAAAUAGAGGCCACAAAAUACCAGAUCAUUAGUAGGAUGACUGCUACCGUUGCUGGCAGCUAGUCUCCAAGUUAGUGUCGCCGCCAGUUUCUCUUCCUUUUAAGUUACAAUGAAGAUGAAACAGAACGUCAGAAUUCUACAGAUCUAUGAAAGAAAGGCAAUUAAUAGCAUAGCAUUCUCCUGCAAAACAAUCAUGAAAAAACCAGAUCAGAGACAAUGAUUAAAAUGCCGCGAAUCCAAAUAUUUUAUAACACUUGAACCGUUUCCAUACAACUAACAAAUAAAUAACAAAACCAGAAAAACAGCGAUGCUGCUGAAGUAGCGGUUCUAAGACUAAUUGAGCCAAUUAAAGUUCUUCAGGACUAAUGUGAAAUUAAUUUCACAUCACGCAAGGACACAUAUAAACUGUCUAUACUCCCGACACCGCCUCUCUCCAGUAAAUCAAAUUCCAUCAACAAUUAAAGACGGAAAUGAAAUCAAACCAAGCAACGAAAAUCCACAGAUUUACAUAAACACCGACCAACUAAAAUAAAAAUGACGCAGAUCCAGCAACAAAGAAUCAAAGUACAACUGAUUUAGUGAUCAGUCAAACAAGUCUAUAAAUGCACAACACAAAUAAAGUAAAUUAUAAUAGCAUUUGGCUAAGGCAAAAUCGACAAAUCGAAAACAGGAAUUUCAGUGAAUUUUUUACAUCGUGGCCAAUGCAAGCAGCUCAAAUCCAUUUCAUGCAUCAGAAAGAAAAUGAUAGAGAGAAAAAACCAACCUAAGAAGAGACUGGAAUGAAGAGCAAGUUUCUUACAAGAGAAGCGAGCAUAAAGAGAGAGUGAGAGAGCUUAGCCUCUGAUUUUCCUUUUUUUCUUUCUGGUGCUGUUGCUCUCUCUCUCUCCUCUUUUUUCCUCUUUCUCUCUCUAAAAAAUGGGAAUUACGUCUCCGAAUAUACAGAGAUUGGAACGGAACCAAGCAGGAGACAGCGAUGAAGCUUUAUGAGCUUUUUCCACAUCCACACUCUCACUAAUACACCACCGACAAGCUAAGCCGCCGCUUUCCCGGCUAACCUCGGCUCGGCUCACAUAUUCCUCCAUUUUUUUCUUCAUUUAUUUUACAAAUUAUAAUUGUCAACCAUUAAUUAAUUUUUCUAACUCUCUCUCGUCUUAAAAAUAAUAUAUAAUAAUACUAAUUAUUAAUUAUUAUUAUUAUUAUAUAACUCUCUUUCUCUGUCUACAAUUUAUCUCGUGGUGACUUUACAAUUAAUUGAGUUGAGAAUUUCUUCUUUAAAAAAAAAUUUGGCUUGAAUUAUUAAAAAGUAGAAAAAGAAAAUUAAAAUCAAGAGGAUGAAUUGAAAUGAAAUGAUACCUUAUCUCUCUCUAGAAAUGUUUUAUUAUUAUUUUAUCAUAUAAUAGACAGGUAUUGUGGACAGUGAGAUACACCUAAUAAAGCUAAAAUAGAUUAUAUAAGAUUUGUCUAAUAGUCCCUCUCACUUAACUGAAUUUGAUUUUCACUCCCUAAUCAAAAUGCAUUACGCAUCCCAAAAUUGAACCCAGAAAAUAUAUAUAUAUAUAGAAUUCCCCUUUUGUAAUUAAAGGUUAUACGUCUGAAAUAUUUUACCCUCGAUGAUAAGUCAAUUUUUAGUUUUACAUAUUGGUGAAGCACAUGAGUUUAAUGAAAUUGUGAGUAAGAUUAUUGGGGAAGAAUGAGAAAUUUGGGAGGCAGAUAAGAAAUAGAAAAGACUUGAGGGAGGAGAGUUUGUUGGUAAUUGUGAUGAGAAUGAAAUGAUUGGGACUGUGUAGCAGCCGGUAUGAUGUUAUGAACAAUAUUCUCUGGUGAUUUAUAGCGACAUUAUUUGUAGUUUUGUAUUUAGCUGUGCUGUCACCUCCCACGUUCUUUCUCUUCAUUCAGCUAAAACUAAAACUCUCUCUCCCUCUCCAUAGCCAUGCCCCAUGUUCCGUCAUCUAAUCUCUUCUAUGUCUAAUCUCUCUCUUUAUAUAAUACAUUAUAUAGCUGUUGAUUUGGCAACAAUUGUGAUUAGGGAUAUAAGACCUCCAUUAUGUGAUAACAGUUGAUUAAGACUGUAAUUUGGAGCCAACUAAAGCAAUUACACGAUGAUUUGGUUCGCUGUCACUUUUUAUAUUAUUAUAUCCAAAGAAAUGUGCACUCUUUUUGCACAUCAACGGGCAAUCUUAUUUGAAAAGUAAUAGUAAUAAUAAAAACAAAAACAACACAAUCCAAGGACUGCCUAAAGCUGAUGACGGUAAUUUCAUGAUUAAUUACAAACCACGAUGGGAGAAAAAAGAUAUUUAUUAAUUCUUAAUCCAUCAAACUUGGAUUUGAAGAAUCCGAAAGGACACUUUAUUAAUUGGUCAUCUUCUAUUGGUGCAAAUAUGGAUGAAAUUGCCAGCUAAAGGGGCCGGCUUUGGUUGGUAUGUUUAGAAUUUUUUGCAGUACUUUUAAAGCAAUAUCGAAUUUUAGAAAAUCACAACUUCAACUUCACCUUACCCUUUUAAAAAGAGAGAAAAAAAGAACAGAAAAAAGAAAAAACUUGGUCUUGCCCAAUCCCAUCAUUUCCACCAUACAAAUUAGAUUGGGCCAAAAUGGAGAGAUUACACACCUACUAGUAUUAGUACUAAUUAGAUAUCAAAUAAAAAUUAUGAGUAAUUAACUAACAAACUUAAUCAUCCUAGCACAAUUUUGUCACAUUUCAUUUUUAUAUAUAAAGUAGGUUGUUAUAGCACUCUCAGAAGGUUAUCUUGGAUGAGGAUUUUUAGGUAAGGGUGGAUUUGACUAAAGAUGUUGAACAGAAGCAACAUGGAUUUAUGAAGUCCGAAUUUAUUGGAAAUAUCCAUAGGUUUCCUACCACAUCAAAAUUACUGUUAACAAGCUCCAAAGUGUUAUUAUAACUGAGGUUUUCUAGAUUCACUAUUUAAACCCCACAACAUACUAGACUUGAUGCCAAACUCAUGCCUCAAAGGGCCCCUCAAAUAGUAUCCUAUAUUAAGAAUAUUUUCCUCCCCCUAAUUUUGAAAAAAAGGGUCCGACAAGAAUCAUCUAUUUCUAAGUAAGACGAUUUCUUCAACGAUUUCUUCAACAAUUUCUAAUAGCAGAUCUCCGACAUGAGAAAUGUAUAUCCUUUGAGAAUAACUAUUCAUAAACGUAAGUGCUGAAAGCAAAAUACUACCGCCAAGGUCCCUUCAACCAGAUCUGGGAUAACCACCAAACAUGCUUAUAAUCAAACAUGUUAAUGAAAAGCAAUGCCUUUCGAAGCAAAGUAAUAAAAGUGCCUCUCAAGUGAAAACAAGAACCAGGUAUUUGCAACUAACCCACUUUGACAAAAGGUUGCAAUAUGAGUUUGGCAUUGGCCUGAGAAGUGCCCGAAUGGCUGCAGUUGCUGUUCUUGGCGCUGCAGCAGAAGUAAAAUCCGUUACAAAAUUUUUUAUCAAGGUCAAUACAGAAAGAAUGGUGCUAUCCAAGAAUCGUGCGUUCCUCUUGCCUGAAAACUUGUGAUCUUUCUGUUCCCUGGGUAAACAUAGAAUUUUAGAUGCUCUGUAGAUAGAACCCUCAACUAAGAGGUGCGACAUGAAGCUAAUAAAUAUGUACUACAAAAAAAAGCACACAACCAGUGCCUGUAUACCGGAGACAGAGAUGGCAAAUUACUUUGAGGUGUUAGGUAAGGCUUAUUGAUGAGGCAUAUAGUUGAAGCAGGGUCAGGGCUUGCUCCGUAAUGGCUCGAUUUCUUGCUUGCCUUACCCAAUCAUGAACUACCUCUUCUGCUUUUGUGCCUUUAACACCUUCUUCAAGAGAAUGUGCUGCUUCAGCCAAGUUUCCUUCAGCCAGGCAGGACUCCACUCGGUUGAUGAUAGAUUCGAUCCCAGUACCAGAUUGGUCAGCCUCCUUCACCUAAAGAAGGUCAAGGAAAUUUCAGAAACUACAGCAAUAGGGGAGAGUAAAUGGGAGAUUUAAAGUUCUCUCUAAUUUACCUUAAUCCAGGAUGCUACACGAGCUAAAGAAUGUGCCAAAAUGCCACCACCGCCUGGUGGGAUAAAGCUCAAGUGCCGUAACGGUGCUUUUAAUGCAUCAAACUGCAUGCAAGGAGAUGAAUAAGUUAUAAGCCAGAUACUUUCACCAUCAAAGAUGAACUAGACUACCAAACAGUCAAUAUUGUACAACAAUAUUCCAGAACGAGUCAGAUUUGAUAAAAUCAAAGAAUUACGACGGUUUGAUAACAUUCAAUACAUUUUUGGGGGAAAGAACAAAGGUAAAAGAUAAUAUCUGAUUUCCUCCCCAUAAAGUAAUUCAUGUUGACAGAUAUGGUUGAAAGUAGUAAGAAUUUCUUCGAAAUCAACAACAUUGCUAUUCAAGAACUUUUUUUUUUCUUUAGUUGCCUUUUCUCGUACUUCCAAAUUCCAUCUGACCUACACCAAACUUAAACAGCUAUUCAAUCACGUUUUCACUAAACUUUUGUUUUAAAAAAACAAAUAAUAACUCUUACCAAUGCCAAACAGCCCCACGGUUUUUCAGUAAAGGAAAUGACACUGAUUAUAAUUAGGUAACCUUUUGAGAGAGAAGUAUGCUACAAUUUAUCUUCAAACCAGGGAGAACUUAAUGUACCUUUUGUGUCAUCUGUAACAACGUAUCUGAGCCAUGAUUCAAUAUUUCUUUAGGAAUGGAUGAAAGGAUCAGCUCUAAGUUAGAAUCUUUGUCAAUGCCUUGAAGAUUAACACGUAAUGCUUUUAUUUCAGCCUGGAUCGGUAACCCUCUGGAAAGAGCAUCUUCAAGUGCCAGUGCCCCCUAUAAGAUCGAUGACUUAUAGUUGAUUAAACACUUUGAGAUAAAUUGGAUUGGCUAUGCGCUAGCAAAAUAUAAAAAGGAAAAAAUAUGAUUUACAACCAUGAAAGUUCCUGAGACACCUUGUACUUGAGCACAAUGCUCGUUGAUGGAUUUAUACAUAUAUAAACUUUCUUGACAAAUGAAAUACAAAAGCAAGGGUUUAAAAAUCCUUAGAAAAUGCCAAGUUUAUAAAAAAUACUCUACUGCAGAUUCAAGGGAAGUUUUGGAGAAUUUCCUCACUCUUAAGUACAAUUCUCUCACAAGAUAACUGAGCAAAAACGUACUUCCCUGGCACUUUCUUACUUACAGACUAUAUAUUGCUCAAACCAAAGCUCAUUCUCACUAUAUUCUCAGGGGCCCAUCCCUCUAACUAACUAAUAACAAUUUAAUAUUCCUCAACUGCCUACACUUAUACACAUGCUUAAUGGGGGGGUCUAUCAUAGACUCAUAGUCAGCACAAAUAACCAAAAGAGGCUAAUUACAGAAACCUCGACUAAGGAAUCUCCAAUUGAAUCUUACAGGCUAGAACAUCCACCCUUGACAAAAGAAGAGAAUGAGAUUAUUCAAGCAAGAAUACUAUGACAAGCAAUUUUACAAUGUCAAAACCUGUCUUCAUUCUAAGAACAACCUCGGAUCUUAUUUUCAAAAGAAGCCUCACAAAACGUAACUAAAAAAAAAAAAACAAAUACCGUUUCCAAAUUUCAGCGUACACCCUAAUUUUAUGUUUUUUAUGGAAACAUACUGGUUUCAAACUUUCUAAAAUGCCUACAAAUAUGUAUGUUGUUGCGGAGAGACCUAGAACUAUUUUAACCUGGAAGAUUUUAAACGUAGUUUAAUCCCAAUGUUCAUCAGUUUCCCUGUUCACAUGCAAAUGAUGUAAAUCUGAUAGAAGAAUGAUCACCUUCAAUAGUACCCAAACUACUAAUAUUAGAUGCACAAACGUGCACCAGUAUGUAGGAAGACAAAUCUUUCUCCAAAAGUAAGUUUAACUUCAGUUUCUUCUAUACUACAAGUAAGAAAUGAAAACAUCAAUAAGUAGAAGUGCGAACUUACCAAUGCAAGUUUCUGAGCAGAGUGACUUUGACGAGCUUCUUCAGACCUUGCAUAGAAUGCCAUGCAAAGGGCAUUAAUCUGCAAAAAGAAGUUUCACACAUAAACAGAUUAUUGGUGGUAGAUUGAUUGCCUGGAUUCAGGCCAAAGGACAUGGAGCUAUAUUGGAACAUGCACAUCAUUGACAAGAAAAUAAACUAUUAUAGCAACAAAAGAAUUGCCAAAUUGAUGUACAGUUGACGUGUUUCUUCAUUAUAGUGUAAAAUUUUCAUCAAGCAAUGUCCAUAAAAAUCGGUGAGCAUCUUUCAUCCUAUGAAGGAAAAACUUCCCCCCGAAUGGUGAUAUCGUAAAUGAAGAACUAAACAUUUUUUUUCAACUUUUUUUUUCUUGUUAUGAAUGUCAUUUUUUAAGGAGGCAUGUUAGGUCCUAAUAUUAUCUAUAACUUCCACUUUGAAUAUGCAUGAUGUUUUUAGCUCAGGUAAAUCAAUAGCUUGUGCUAUAUUGCUUACAUGAAGAUUUGCUUCAGCCAUUUUUUCUAUCUGGGCAGCCUUCUCACUUGCAAUUGCUGCAGCUAACUCUGCUUUUGCCAGAUCUUGAAGUUUUCUCAACUUUGAUUCUAACUCAUUUUCCUGCAAUGAAAUCAUUUUUAAAAGUAUUGGUAAAGGGUCAGCAACUUGAGCUUGUUUGUCAUUUAAGAAACACUCCUACCUUCUGUUCAAGUUCCUUCUGAAAUUUAUCUUCCAAAUUCUCUUGUAGUGACAUCAGAGCAGCAGCUGCUUUUGUUUUCUCUCGUUUUAACUCCUGAAAAUAGUUAAAAUCCCAAGAAGCCAAUUAUAAGAAUGAGAGAAACACAACAACAGUGUACAGAUGUACGCUCUCUGUUCAGAUGAUACAUCUAUAAGAGACUCCACGUGCGUAAUUCAAAAAUUGAGAAUUCAACCUUGUCCAACAUAGCAGCCUUUUCUGCAUGCAUAAAUUCCCUAACCCGAGCAUCCCUCAAUGCUUCGUCCAUCUUGUUCUGUACAGAACAGAAACAUAAAUCACAGUCAAUAAUAGUCGCAUUUCAUAAAAAUUACAAUCGUUUCACGUACGAUAUAAAAAAUAUCUAUCGAUCCAUACCCACAGUGCUGUCUUUUCAUCAGCAAAACGACGAUAAUCCAGCUCAGCUUGCCGCUUUUCAGCAGCAUGAAUAGCUUCUAAGAAAUCAAUGACCAAUUUCCCAUCCUUGGAUAUGAAGCCAUCAUUCAACUCCUCAAUUUCAGCAAUUAAAGCCUGGCAUCUUGGAAACAAAACUUUAGAUCUUGUCUAAGACUCCUUUACUCAAUUCCAGAAAAAUGGACAUCCAUCAAGAAGAAGGAAAAAGUAAAUGACCUCUGUUCCUUUGUAAAACUUGUCAGUUCCAUCUUUGCUACCACCACCCAAGGAAGUCAUGCCAGCCUCACCCUUCAAAUGGUAGGCCUCGAGAAGAGAACUUGGCUCCCCUGUAUCUUCACUUGUAUCAUUCAACUCCUGGAUAGAAUACGAGCAGAGACAGAUUCACUUUAAGUUACACAUCUUUACUAGAAAUGAAUAUAUUUGGAUAAGAGAUUAAUAUAUUUAAGAAACAAAAGUUCAGAGAUGAUAUCCUGUGAAUCUAGAAUGUCUAAUUCUAAUGAACCAAUCAUCCUCAUCAAACUUCAUUUCUGGCCCGAAUACUAUUAGGCAAGGGAUUCUAGGUACCUGGUAUUUUUUCUAACUUGCCUCCUGUAAUAAACGUUUCAGUAAUCCCUUUCUGACACUGGAGUGGACGAAUAAUAAGUUGGAAUAGACCAAAUAGGUUCGUCUGCUGUAUGAUGAGAGGCUAGUCAUCUUCUUCAACACCCUAUGCAAUAUUUACAAAUUUUAACCUUCUUAUUAAUCCAUAAGGAUUAUAGACCUAUAAUCUGGUCUCUCCUUCUGCAAAGUCCUCAUCAUAUUUGAGAAGAUUUUUAUCAUGAGAGAUGAUGACUUGGUUUUGCCACUAUCUUGCUAACACGUGUUUCAGUUUCACCCACGUAUCAAAGAUAAGGGGGUUUGGACAUUUGAUUGUUCCAAGUCUUUCUCUUGUGAGCUGGUUUCUGGAAGGUUACACUCAUGAAGAAAACUAAAUUUUGCACGCUUGAUGCCUGGUGAUUUAUAGGAGGAUUAAUCCCAAAUCUCCACAGGUGUUCCUAUUUUACCAGUUAAUUGAAGAUUAAGAGGAUCUACACAUUUUUUUACUUUUCCCUUUUCCCAUAAUGAUUUGGUUUAGGUUUUGCAAUUGUUUGGCAUUAUUUUGGCCCCAUUUUGUAAUUUUCAUUCUAUGAUUGAAGAAGUUCUAGUAGAUCCUUCAGUUCAGGAAAGAGAAAUAGACAAUUGUGGUGGCAGGUUUUUAAUCAACAUAAGAUAUAUUUGGUAGAGAGAAACGUGAGGAUGUUUCAAUUAAGGGUCCUCAGAUAAAGUGUAGCCAGACUCAAAAUUAAGUUCCUCAUAGAGGAUUUUUUGUUGAAACAUUUUUAGUGAUUUUACUCUCAUUUCAAUUACCAAUAAUUAUACCAAUUUUUUCUAACUGUUUUCCUUCUCAUAACCCUUUUAUCUUGGCGUGGGCUUUUUUAUAUACAGCCUCUGUUUACUUUCUUCCCUGCCUCUUAAUAUAAGCUGGUUCACUAUUAAAAAGAAUUUGCAUUGAGCACGUGCAUUGUAUUGUAUGACUUAAACCUUCAAGCUACCAUUACAUCAACAUUUGAUCUGAAUGGAUAAAUUGAAGUUACCUUCAGUUUCUCUUCUGCAACUGUAUCUUCUUGUGGUGGUAUUCUGAUAUCAAUCUGUGCGGGUUCUGCAUCUGUCUUGCUAGAUAUUGGUGAAGUUUGAACUUCAUCGUGAGGCCAAUCCCUAGUACAAGACUCUGCGCUUUGCAUGUUCAAGUUUUCAUCUGUGGAUAUUUUAGAUCCAAGAUUCUCAUCCUCUACUUGACUGCCACUUUGAGUAAAUUCUGGCAAGUUUUCCUCCUCGAUCUUUUCAUGUGGCAGUGUCCUGGAACUGUCUUCAAACUGACCAUCAUCUUUCUCUUUUCCCCAAUCUUCAAGAUGAGGAAGGUGGGUAUCUGUCUCAACUUUCUGCUCAGUAGACUCCACAAUGGGAUUUGAGCUCUCGGUUUCUUCUCUAACACUAUUCGAUUUUUCGGUUUCCUCACUACUCGGUAAAUCAAAUUUCUGCACCACCAAAGGUUGGACAUUGUCUGAAUCACUUUUCUGAACUGUUUUAGUUGACUCUACAGAAGAAUUCUGCUCUAUAUCAACAGUUCGUUGGUCUAGAUAGCCGGCUUGGUAAGCUGCAAAAACAGCAGCACCAAUAACAACACUGCCAAAGACAACUUUUGGGAUGGAAUUUCCAGAAUUAGGUGGCACAUUUGUAGGUUGUGGUUUCAGAUUUUGUUUGGGCGCAGAUGAAAAUUCCCUUAUCUUAGAAAUACAUUGGGGUGUAUGCCAACAUUGCACCUGCAACAAAAACCUGUCAAAGAAUCAGAAAAUAUUUGAAAAAGUACACCAUUAAACCACAAAAAAUAUCAGGAUUGCAUAGUUUGGUCCCUAUAUUUUAUUAUAGACUAGUUUUGCAACACACUCUGUUCGUCCUCCCAUUUCAUUUGUCUCACAGCUUUUGGGCACAGUAAAAUUAAACAUAAGAAUAGAAACAUGUCAAUGGGUUUAACAUUUCUUAACACUGUCAAUUAAUUACAACAGCAGAAGAAAGAAUGGUAUAAAUAGAAAGUUCGUGUAUGUUAUAUGAGAAGGCUUCAAGUAGUCAGUUAAUAAAGACAGCACAACUGCAUCACAAGCACGUAGCAGGCAGAUGAAAAACUAUAUGCAUGUCUUUGCUCCCAAGUCAAAAAUAAAUUUCCAAGCAUUUAUUUUGCAGAUGCUCGUACUACCAAGAAAGAAUAGCAUAAAUAGCAAUUUAGUGUAUGUUAAAAGAUCCCAAUGUUGUACAUUUCCACCCAACUGCAUCUACGAUAACAUAUGUGAAGAACCAAGCAUGUGGAUUUAUAUGCUUAUAAGUCGAAUACACACUUCUCCAAAUAUCUGUUUGUAAAUUAUCUCAGCGUUUGGAUUGUACAAAACGAAUUCUGAUCGCAAAAAUGGGAAAGUCUUAUUUACGAAAUUCUACUUGCCUGGGGUGAACUCUGCCUCGGAGUCCUUCCACCAGAUUGACGAGAUGAUAAUUUCAGAAUUGACCUGCAGACAACAAUGCGAUAAAAAUACUAUCUAUAAGCAUCACCCGCUGUAACCGAACCCAGCGAGAUCCAAAUUCAUACAUAACAUGGCCAUUGACAUUGAGAUUUAUUAUCAUUUAUUAGUAGAAAAUUCCUAUUGCUGAGAAUGCCAAAUUAACCCUCGGGAGAUUAAAGAAUAAGAAUCUGGCAAUUUUCAACCAUUCAAGAAAACACUGCACUCGAAGGACAAUCGAAAUGACUAAUUAACGAAGAACAUCAACAUCACGAGCAAAAUAAAACAUAGUUGAAACAUAGUUCAAGAACAUUUCCGUACCUCCGCCACAUAGCGUAUACCUAUUCAGUGAAAACGGCGAGCGACGAAGAUAUUUGAGCGAAUAACCAAGUAAGCGAUUAAAUGCAAGUUGGGCAGUGGGUGAUGGAAAGUCCGGCCUGGUAGGAGGGUGGAACAACGGGUUCGAAAACUCAAAUUAACAAUCGGUUUACCGGAGGAAGAUCGCCGGAGACGAAGGAAAACAUCCGAUGACACCGGAAUUUUACCGCCUAAUUAGAUGUGUCCGACCAUCCGCAAGGAAUUAUUCCGCGAGUUGCAAUAGAUUCUACAAGGCCCAUUUAUAAAGUUGGGCCUUGAGCCCAAUAGAUUUGUAGGAGGUUGAUGAGCUGGGCUGAACGAAUCUGACAAGACUGCCCUUAUUCGGGUCCAUUGUGAUUCUAAAGGUAUGACUCGAUCAAUACUUUGUAGAUGUAAAUUUGAUAGACGAGCUAGUUUUUUUUGCAACAACAAAUACAGCCUUCUUUUUAAAUCUCAAUUGAAGCAAGGUAAUCUUUUAUGAUAUAACAUACGUGUAGACUUGAUUAAAGAAACAAACAAAAAAUUAGGGGAAAAAACUAAAGAGAUUGUAUUUUCUUCAACUCAAAGUUUCCCCAACUAAUAAUACUGUUGUUGCUAGUUAGGUUUCUCCCACCACAAGAACUGAUAAUGAAUUUAAUAACUGUAAAAAAAUAAAAUUUGGGAUAAUUCUUCUGUAAUAGUAUUUCAAGUGACCGAUACCGUUUUAGGCUAUUUUUAAACAUAGCAUAAUGAAUAAACAUAUAUAUUACACCAACACAAAUUACUAUUUUGUAUUUAUCAUGAUAGCAGUUUAUCUUGGUAUAUCACAUGUAAACAGUUAUAUUUUUUUAUAUUCAUAAAUAUUAUAAAAAAAACGUGCAUUAAAAACACUUUAUCCUUUUUCAAAAGUAACAAUAAUAAAUAUUUUUCUCUAAUAAUAUUCGAAAUUAUUUCACAACCUUUAAAGAUUGUGUGGAUUGCCCAUGUGUUCAAGCAUCUUUAUGUCUAAAAUAGAUUCGACUUAGUUAAACUAUAAUUGACCAAUCAUUUCUCUCUAACAGUCAAUGAUUUGAUUUUUCAUUCUAUGAAUGUUGAAAACAUAUACAAGGGUGUAAAAAUUUGUUUAAAUGAUAAAACGAUUGAAAUAUUUACAAACAUAACAAAAUUUAAUAGUUUAUAAAUUUAUCCGCAUCCAUUUGACAUUUAUUAGAUAAAUGAUAAUAAUCUAUCAACAUUUAUUAUUGAUAUUUUACUAUAUUUAUAAUUUUUUUUUGGUUCAUAUCACUUUAUAGGAAGUGGUUAUAUAUAUAUAUACAUACACUUAAAAGCAUCAAAGUGGAGUGGUAGGGGCCAUGUCACAUGGGAAGAACAAAGAGGCAUCCCAAAUUCAAAGAGUGAACCAUGCAUGUCAUGUCACAUAAAGCAUUAAUUUUCUUUUAUAAUAUUUUGUUUCCUGUUUUUAGUUAAAAAGAGAUAUUUGAGAUAAAAUCCCACAAAAGUGAUAUCUAAUGAAUUUCACUAUCAUAUCCAAAAACUCAAUUAUUAGUUUUCAAAACGCACACACACACAAUUAUCAAAAUGUUUCUAAACAUAUAGAAAAAAUCUACUCACGUUUUUAUACUAAAAUUUCUUUUGAACAUUACUGAGGUUGUCUGUCUCUAAUGGGUGAAUUUCUUUGACAUACUUAUUUCAUUCUUUCAGCAAUCCUUCAAUUUAGAAAUCUAAACACUUUCUCAGAGCUAGAGAUGCAUCAAUCAAAGACUAAUCUUGACAUUUUUCUAAUUCUUUAUUACAAAUUACCAUAUUUUUCACCAAAUAUAGAAUCUAUAACCCAACUAUUUUUUGCUAUUCAAAAAUCGUUUAGAGAGAAAUUGCACAAUUAAGUCCUUGAGGAAAAUCGGCAAAUGGUACAUAACAGCCAUGAGGGUGGAAUAGCUUCCAUAUGAGAACCAAGGCGAUGGCUUCGUUUUAAGAACAGCGGCGACUGUCUUCUCGGCAAACUCGGCAGUAGGGGUGGCGUUAGAGCCCUGCGAGGCAUUGGCCCUGGCUAACAUUGCAGCUUCAAAGGGCUUGAAUAGCUUCAACUCAGGCAUCUGAUUAAAGUUGGCAAUGGCAGAGUUUCCAAUGUUUGAUUUAAUGGCUCCAGGGACAACGUUGAUAACGUCGAUUCCAAAGGGCUUCAGCUCCAUCCUUCAAUGAUGAAAAUAUCGAUCAAGUCAACCAACAUCACAGUGUGAAAUAAAUGCGAAAAUCAAAUGAAAUAUGUCAGCAAAUUGAAUUGGAUAUUCAUUGCGUUUAUUCAAGUUUCUAUCAUGGGCCGUGGCCCCCUAAAAAGCAAAAAGAAAAAAGAAAGUUUUAGAUUUUGAACUUUAAUGUCUUGGAAUAACUUUUCUAAGCAUUGAAAAAAAGAAAGUUUUUUUGGAGGGGUAUUUUUUUGCACAAGAGUUGAGAGUAACAACAUAGAAACAGAAGUAGAAGUGUGGAAUGGUAAACUUCCCCUCUUUAUUUAAACUAAAAAAUUUGUAGGCUUUCACAACUAAAAAACAUCAAUAACCCGUACAUUUUACUCCCAUCAGUUUACAAGUUUCUAGUUUUCAUAACUCACAACUUCACUCUUUGCCUCAAAGAUCGUCUUAUAAAACAAUGUUCUAUAAAGUCAUUUCAAACCGACUUUCAUGAAGAAAUAAGUUGUCUUGAAUCAACAAUAAGUAACCCAUAAAAAUAAACCCAGCAGAAAAAGAAAUAUUUGCUUACCCAUCAGACUUUUGUGGGUUGUUUCUGUUUCUACAGUUCUACUUCAGUGCAUUGUAACUUAAUAUAUUCUAUACAUAUCUUUGAGAUCUUUGAGCUGCUAAAAAGAUACACUAGAAAUUCAAUAGGACCCCGGCACUUAUUUUUCUCAUAUGAAUACUCAAUUUAAACUUUAAGCAUAAAGGUCUCGAACCCACUACAUAAUCAAACAAGCAAAAACAUCAAAAUUUCAAAUCCAACUAAAAAUUAUUCAAAGAUAGAUAAACAAAGUGGAAUGAUGCUCAUCCACUCACAAGAAUGGCUACAAGAAUCGGAACUCAAAUCCAUAGAAAUAUUAAUUUAAUCCCUUGAUUUAAGGUAAGAAUUGCGGUUGAAAGUUAAACUCCACCAACGAGCUUUAUUUGAAUUUUGGUUCUUUAUUUUUAAAAAUUAAUAUUUAUAAACCCUAUUUUCACCUCUAAUUUUCUUCCUAACUCGUUUCUAAAAAAUCUAAACCACUCAAAAACCAAAAAAAUAGUUUUAAAGUAUGUCUGAAAACUUUUUAGUUCUUUUGUUUUUGGUCCUCGAACAAUGGAUUUGUUCUUUUAACAACUUCCCUGUCAUACUAUUUAUCAAGAAAGACCAAAUUUUCUUAGUAAAUUUUCAAAUUGCAAAAACUAUCUUUCUUUACUUUUCAAAAUUUAGUCUUGGUUUUUAGAAUUGCAAAUUGCAAAAACUUUCUCUACCUUUCAAAACUUAGUAUUGGAUUUUAGAAUUAAUGAUAAAAGGUGGAUAACUAAAUAAAAAAACCAAUAGAUGAAAAGUAGAGAGUUUGUAAACUUAAUUUUUAAAAAGCAAAUUGCUAUCAAAUAGCUUUAGUAGUCAACUUUCAUCCCAGAAAAAGACUAGUGAGGUUCAAAUUAACUUAAUAAACUAUCACUAGCGAGGGUCUGGAAGAUCGAGAUAAUUAACUAAGGCAAGGCAAAACAUUUCGUGCAUGAUCAGGAACACAAAACAAUUGUUAAUUAUACCAUUAGAUGAGAAUCAGAGAGGUAUAUACGAACCUCAGACAGUCAGAAAUGGAAUGAAUAGCAGCUUUGGAUGCAGUAUAAGCACCAGCCCAUGGAAGAGGCGCCAAUACGGUGACACUUCCCAAAUUCACAAUCUUCCCCUUUCUUCGUGAUGCCAUGUGAGGAACCACGGUUUGAAUCAAUCUCAUAGUCCCUGCAAAUGCAAUUCUCCAAUUCAUAAAUACUAAUUUAACAUAAUACAAUAAUCCACUCCUUUCCAUAUUGGAGUGUUCAUGUUCAAAUUUUCCCCACCUCUAACUCUGCUUUCUACAUUUCACAUACCAAACAAACAGCUUUGUUUCUAACCAGUGGCGAAUCAGAAAUUUUAUUGACUAAGGCUUUAUAGACUAUUAAAAAUAAUUUGGAAGAAAAUAUAACUAAUAGGACUUGAACCUGAGUAUAGAGGGACUAAAUAAUUUCAUUGUUCACCAACUUCUUAAAUUGGUACUAUUUCAGUUUUCUAUAUAUAUAUAUUGUAAUAUAAAGAUCUUAAGUUGAUGGAAGAAAAUAUAACUAAUAGGACUUGAACUUGAGUAUAGAGGGACUAAAUAAUUUCAUUGUUCACUAACUUCUUAAAUUGGUACUAUUUCAGUUUUCUAUAUAUAUAUAUUGUAAUAUAAAGAUCUUAAGUUGAUGGGACUCGAGCUCCUGUACCUAUGCUAAAUCCACCCGUGUUUGCCAGGAAUACAAUUAUAUACAGUAGCAGAAGCUGACGAACACAGUAGAGCAGAAGAUAGGAUGAUAAAGUCUUCAGCGUUUAUUUCUAACCGACCACUGGAUCAAAUGUUAAUCACAAAACAAUAUCAAACUCAAAUCAAUUCGAAAUCUAAAUAAGCGGCUCAGUCAAUUCACAGUUUCUAAUCCCUAGAUUCGAUAUCAUUCAAUUCUGAAGGAAGAAAAAUGAAAUGGCGAAUCUGAAUAUUGAAAUACAAUUAAUUUCGCUGAUGGAUAAUUUGUUAGAGACCGAAGCUCACCGAAAACAUUGGUAUUGAAGGCGUUCUGCAUAGCGGAAAGUUGAACCUCGGCAAUAGGUCCAAUACAUUGAACGCCAGCGUUGUUCACCAAAAUAUCGAUUCGACCGAAUUUUUCGAUGACAAGAGACGUUAAUCGCUCGACGCUUUGGUCGGACAGGACAUCGAGUUCUUGUAAGAAAAAUCUGGGAUCGUGCUCCAGGUCCGCCAUUGAGGAGCGGGACCUGCUGGUUGCGACUACCAAACAGCCCUGGUCGGCGAAGGCUCGGGCGAGAGAGUGGCCUAUGCCUCCGUCGGAACAGCCGGAGAUGACAACUACUUCUUUUCCGGCAAAUUCCAUAUCCUUUUUAUCUUCUUGAAAAGUGAACGAACCCCGCCCUCCUCCAAAUUAAACCGAUUGAUAAAUCGGAGAUUGAAGUGUUGGGUAGCUCCAAGUACAUCAAUAAGAGCAAUUGCUCACUCGUCUGCACCUAGGCCCUGAAGACUUCCACAUGGCCGGUCUUUGUGGUGCCACUUGGCAACCCCACAUGGACGCUUUCCCUUUUUUCCCUCCUUCAUUUACGGUUAUUGUAUUUCUUGGGUGAUUUUAAAAAAAAAUUGGGAUUUUGGUUUUAAAUUUAUACAUAUAUAUAUGCUCAAUCUCUUCUCUCAUUUAUACAACACUCUUUAUUUUUAAUUAAUCAAUUAAAAAGUAAUAUUUUUAAAAAAUUGAAAUUAUUCUUACCAUGUUUUUUUAUUUAUGUUGCUAAUUCAUUUUCGUUAACUUGUGUUAAAUUGUUUAUGAAUUGUUGAUAUAAGUGGUUGAAGUUUCUACGAGUUACGUGCUGGUUUAUAGGAGUUGAAUGAGUGAGCAUAUGUGAGUUUUGAUUUGAAAGUAUCUGUUGAUAUAUAAAAUCCUAAUAAAUUUUAAACCUUUACUAAAAGUAAAAAUUAGAUUCCUUUGUUGAAGUCCAUCGAUAAUAGACUAUUUUAGUGAGGAGUAUCUAUAAGUAGUAGAUAUGGUAGAAGUCUUUUGGUAACAAAGUUUAACACUUGAUUUUAUUUAAAUUGCAAUUUUGGUUUCUUAAAUUCAAACCAUAGUUGGCAUUGGCUCACCGUUGGAAGGACGAGUAAAUGUUUAACUACAACAUUUAUUGCAUCCUUUUAUUUUAUUUUUCAGUAUCCAUUGUUUGUUUUAUUUGUAAAUUGUGAAUAAAACUAUGGCAAGAGGUAAUUGAAAUGAAACCAUAGCAAAUUUUAUAGAAUUAAAAGCCGUGGCACAAUGCAUGCAUUCAUUUAUCUAAAUAAUUCAAUUACAUGAGUACAAAAAAUAAUACAUUUUUUAAACGUAAAUGUUGAUAGAUUUUCAUUAGUGGAUAGAUUCUCAUGUCACAUCAUACUCUAUAUCGUUCAUAUCAAUAAUAUAAAUUUUUCGUUGAUAGAUUUUGUUAUAUUUUCUAUUUUUUAAAAAUAUUAUUAUACAAUUGUAUACCAUCUCUAAUAUUAUUAUGCCCUCGAUCAUAUCAAUCACUUUUAUAGAUUAAAUAAGUAUACAUCAUUAUAAUAGAAAUAAAAGUUCACUUUGUAUAAAAUUGUUUUAAAUUUCAUAAUACUAUGCAUAGUUUAUAUAUAGUUUAGAGAAUGUGUUCAUGAUACAUUCACAAAUAUUUAAUUGAAAAGAAUGUUAUUAAAAAAUAUAUAAUAUUUGACAAACACUCAAAAUUAGUCUUAAAACAACAUAAUCCAAACAUAACCUAAAUGGUUUUACUAAUUGAUAAUUUGUUUGCAUUUACUUGCUCAAGAAGGCCAUAAGUUUAGAAAUCAUCCCUAGGAACAAAAAAACGAAAAGUUAGAAAUUAUCCAAAGAACUAUUUUCCAUAUUGUUUGUUGGUUCUCAAAAAAAUAUUGAUUAGGUUAUUACAUUUUGGGACAGCAUACAUCUAAACUGACAAACUAAAUUUAGUAGUUUAUUAGUCAAUAAUUGAGUAAUAUAUCAUUAUUGACCACAACAAAUAAUGGCCUACCUCUUCAAAACAAUACUUCAAAUACAAAGUUUCCCCGACAAACAAUUACAUCGAAAAUUACAUCGAACAAAUCCAUAUUUAAUCUCCAUUUUUUUCAAGACUUUAGGAAAUGACAAUGCUAUUCCCCCCAUAAAUUGACCUAUAUAGAUAUAGAUAGAUAGUAUUUAAUUCUAAACCCUCUUAUUUCUAUCUAAACACUGGUACCAACAAGAAGAUGCUGUCUCCUUAUUUCGAGAAAAAAAAAAAGAUAUUGUCGAUAUUGUCUAAAGUCUUCCCUAAACGUGAAUUGAAGAUAAAAAGACGAAAUUUAUCACUAUAAUUGAAGGGAAAUUAAUUUAGUUUCUAUUGUUUCAUAAGUUUAGAUUUAGUCUCUUUUAAGUGCAGAAAGUCUAAGAGAAAUCCUUAUAAUUGAAUGAAGCUAUCACAAAUAAUCCUUGUUAUUGAGACUAAAUUAUAGUUUUCUUAAGUUAAAGUGACCAGUUUUACAAUUUAGAAUAGGAUUAGAAUGUUGGAUCUCAUUACACCAUGGUUGUACUAAAAAAUUACAACUUUGUUUUCAAGAUAUAGGGACAAAUUCUACAAUUGAAUGCAUAAUUACUACGAAUUAAUUAACCAGUUCUCCCAUGUUCAGAAGUAUCAGAAUCAUUUUUUGACUUGUUAACGUGUUUUAAUGAACUAGAACUAUAUUUCAACAACGCUCCAAAAUUCACACCAAAAAUGGAGACGAAGAGAGAAAGAAGAAGAUAUAACCCAUAAUUUGUACCUUCCUUAGUUUGAUUUCUAGCCAGAUCACAUCACCGAAGGAAGUUCAAAAAUUUACACAAGACGUAGAAAAAGAAAAGAAAAGAAAAAAAGCACUAAAAGCUUCGACUCUGGCAUGAAAUUUCUAUUGAGAAAGUAAAAGCCAGAGGAGGCCUGUUUUCAGGAAUUAGAGGUGGCCUGAAGCCCAAAUAGGGUACCCGGAUGGACUUUUUUACUGGAUUUUCCGGCAAUUCCGCCGGCGGCGUGAUGGGAAGUUUUUGGAGGUUUGACGGAAUCUUCUCUCCUGCCAGAUCUCUCCUGCUCCAUCCUCUGCAGUUUUUCCUCUGCUUUCUUUUUCAUUACAUAAACCCUAGCGCAGCUAGCUCCCAUGGAGGACAUGGUUUAUACAGAAGAAAAGGAAAUGAAAUGAAGAAAUUUCUACAAAUGUUUCAGUGGGCUUUUAAUUUGUUCAAUCGGUGGGUAUUGAAUGGCUUAAACCCUUGUUGUAUUUAUAGUGGAAAACGUGUUUGGUGGCCUUGGUGUUUCGUUGGCCCCUAGCGUAGGGGUCAGAUAACCAUAACCCCCAUUUUCUGUACCUUAUUUGGAUUGGACAAUUUCUUUUUAUUUCAAUCAAAUUUAAAUUAAAUUAAAUUUGCAUUUUUGUUAUUUAUACAAUUUUGCGUUUAACUUAAUCAAUGUAUUGUUCAAAAGUUGAGAUCUGCAAAUUCAUUGUUUCUUCCAUUCUAAUUUACAAAGGAUAAGUUUUGUUUUUAAUUUGAUCUGAUUUUUAGUUUAAUUUUAUAGUUUUUAUUUAAUUUUCUACAAUUUAAGCUUCUUUCAAAAUGCUAGCGUAGUUUUAAUUUGAUAUGGUUUGUUUCUUUAUUAAACUUAUAUCACUUCAUUACUUAAAUAGAUAUGUCAUGUUGCAAUCAUGUGCAUAGUUUGUGAAGUAAAAGUCAUGUGAACUUGGUUAAAUUUGUUAUGAACUCAACUUAAAAUUAAACUUUUUUAUUUAUUUGUUUUGACUCCAAUAAUACACUUGCAUAGUUGAGAUGUGUUUAGAUGUGUUUUACUGUUCAACUGUAGUUAGAAGUUUGUAUCUAAAUUUAUACUACAAGACAAAAGAUUAAUAAAGCAAUUGAGAACACAAAUGGAUAAGCAGUUGACUUAAUACAACUCUAAUUAACCAUUACAAGAUCUAAAUUCUCCUAAUUUAAAUGAUACAAGCAUAACAUUGUAUAAAUUUAAAUCUACAACUAAUUUGAAUCUUUCCAUUUACAUUAUGAAAAACACACUAUAUAAAAACUACAAUCUUUCCAUUUACAUUAUGAAAAACACACUAUAUAAAAACUACAACAGUAUAAUUAAUGUUUGAAUUCAUAAACGAAUCGGUUUAUAAUUUUAAUUAGAGUUUCCUUUUAGAAUCGUCAAUAUCUACUUUAAUCAUCUUCAAACUAAUGGAUCGAUGAUUUUCAAAUGUAAUCAUACAUAGAUCAAUUAUCUUUUUAAAAAAAUCUACAAAGUUUGAUACAGUAAUAAAAAAGUUAAUUAUUAGUUUAUGAUUUCACUAAAUUCAAUGUUCAAUUUUGUUUAGUAUGAUACUUGAUAAAAGAUUAUUGUCUUUAUGGAAAAAGAUCACAUGAAUUAUGAUUAAUUAAAUGAAGCUGAAUUUCAAAUUAACCAAUUAAUUAAUCACAACAAUACAAAUGAAUUUACACUAAAUUUUAAAGAGGUAUUUAAAAAUGGGAAGAAAAAAGAGAGAGAGAGAGAGAAAAGAAUUGAGUAAUAGACGCUCAAUAAUGGAAUAUUUAAUUGGAAUCACCAAGAUGGAGAAAACGGUUGAAAGACAACUAACACCGUUUACCGGGAUGGUUUUUAAAAACACAAAGUACACAGAAACGAAUAAAACGGUGGGAAACCCCAAGCUCUGAGGAAAAUAAAAAAAGAAACAAUGGCUUGUAUUAGAUGCGGCACUCACACCACUCCAACUGUGAGGUCGCCCCACGUCAGCUAAAGAUAUUAUAGAUGGAGGCGGCCAAAGGUUCUGCUUACGUGUCUGUUGAUUAUUCGCCCGAAAUUUCCAACAUAACAAAAAAGUGCUCUUCUUUUUUCUUAAUAUAUAUUUUUUUAAAAUUAUGGAAAUUAAAUGUUGGAGAGAUAAGAGUUUGAUUGAGGUCACAAUCUGAGUCGUGGACCGUGAAGGCACCUUUUUUCUUUCUUUUUCUCUCUUUCUUUAUUUACUUUGAAUUAUUUCAUUUGUCAUUAUUACCUUGCACUUACAAAAGUACCUAAGUCUAUUUCUUCAUUAUGCACCCACUCAAAUGCGUUGUGCCGACGGGCUAAUUAACAUCACCAUUCUAGAUAUAUCAUCAAAGAUUUUCUUUAUUAUUCAAAUUCAACAUUAUCCAAGUACUGAACUUUUUCCCCCAUUUGACGUUAGAUACUGUGGGUACAAUUUGAUGUUAAAUCCCACUAUAAUAUUUCAAUUCACCAUUUGUUCAAGUGCUGAUUUUUAUAGGAGUUAGAAGGUUAUAUGGUUGAGUUAUGAAUGGAAGGAGGAGAAAGAUUAUAAUAUGAUAAUGAUUCACAAUUAUAAAGGGGAAAGUCAAAUUAAAGUAAAGAUUGAAUGGUAAUGACGAAAAUAAUAUAAUUUAAUAAUUGAAAAAAAGAAUUAAUUUAAGAAUGAAAAGGAAUUGGCAUUAUGUGAAGAUACUGAAUGAAAUGGAAGGGAUGGAUGAUGAAGGGUACGGUGGUUACGGAGUACGGAAAUUCCAUUAAGGUGAGAAGAAUCGGAGAUUGAGAUUAGGUUGUCUGCCUUUUUCUACUGUUUCGUAUCGUUUUUUGCUUUGAUGUUUGUCCUCACUUUUUAAUUCCUUUUUCUUUUUUAAUUCUUUUUUGGAAGAAAAUUCCUAAAGGUUAGGUUUAAAAAAGGUUAUCUCUUACGUCCCACUAAAACCGUCUUCGGCCGAAAGGCCCAUUGGUUUUUGUCUUUCUCGCUUGGGCCGCACCCAUUUUUCCACUUCUGACACCAAACUCUCUAAACAAAUACAGAACAAUUUUGGUGAUAAAAGUGUUUAACAUAAAUAUAAUAUGUUCGACAAAUUUUGUUAUAUUUUUAUUUUUAAAAAUGUUUUUAUAUAUGUUAAUGCUUUAACAAAAUUUGUAAAAUAAUAAUAAAAAUAUUUUCUCGAGAAAAUAAUAAAUAACAUUUUUUUAAAAGAUAAAUCAACAAAAACAAUAAGAGUAAUUUAGAUGCAUUGAAAGUGCACAAACAAUUUUGUGUAUGUCAUUAACUAAUUACUUCCUUUUGGUAGAAGAAGGACAUUUCUGUAUGUAGUUUUGGAUGCUUGGUACGCACAGGCAUACAUUUCGUUCUUCAACUCCAAAUGAUUUCGUAUAUGAAUCGUGUCUUUUAAACUAAGAGUAUAUGUGUUGUUUAUCUAAAUAGUUGAAGGUUGCUAAUGACAUUCUUCUUCCCUUCCUCAAGCAUGUAUCCUACUAAUUAAGACUUGCCAUACAUAUGUUCAUGCCUUUACAUUAGUAAAGGUCUAGGUUCCUUUCCCUGGUGAAAGACUUGAGGAAUUUUUUUUGAAAUGAUUGAUUCUCAGGUAAAGUGACAUCUAUUUUAUCUAUGUAUAUUAUCGAUUUGAAAAAUUACAAUGAUGGCCUUUCAACAAUACAAGUUAAAAUUACACACCUAAAACUUUAAACUUAAUUCAUCAUCCUCUCAAACUUACAAAGGUUAGUUGUUCGUGAUAACUAUUAAAAACAAAAAUGGGCCAUGCGUGUGUUAAUAAAAUGUUAGGCAUGAUAGUUGAUUUCAUAACAACAUAUAGUUAGUAAUGAAUGAACAAUGAAAAAAAUUGUUGUGUGUGACAGAAAACAAUUGUGAUUUUCGUAGUCUUAUUUCUUCAAUACUUUAUCAAGAAAAUGCCAAGACACGCGUGGUAACAGUUGCCAUUAAUUACCAACAUAAUAUCAAAUUGAAUUCCACCAAAGUUGUUCAAAAGUCAAAAAUUCCACAUUUUGAUUAAAUCCAUUGUUUCCGUACCCAUUUCUAAUAAUUUCGAAAGUUUAAUACGAAAGAAAUAAAUUAAUAUCAUAUUCUAUUAUCUUUUUCAAAUCUUCAAACAUUGACAUCAACAAUUUAAACCGUUCAUCCGAUUAGACAAAAAGAAGGAAUAUAAAGUGAAAUUUUGCGAUGGAGAGAUUUUGUUCGUUUGGGCGGGAGGGUUUGGAGUUAUUAUUGAUGGAAAGGGUAAUUUGAGUAAAAUUGUAAAGUUGUGGCGGGACGGAAAGAGAUGGGCUGACGUGUUGGUUGUGGACUUCGGAAUGGGUCCAAUGGAUCCAGUCUCCUUCAACUUUGUCGGCCCACAAUACUCUUAACAAUAAUAAUAAUAAUAAUAAUUUAUAUUAUUUGAUUAGAGCAGCCGUACGUCCACAGUAAAAUUAGGGUUGUUUUGUUGCUGUUUAUUAAUUCCAUCCAAUUUUACGUCUCUUUCUAAAACUUCAAUUAACACUCACUAAUUAUGUCAAUUUUAUAAUUGAUUUACUAAAACAUGAGAGAUUUCAAUGUUGAAUCAAUUAAGACUAAUUGUACUGAGAUUUGAAAGGUGACAUUAAUUAUCUAUCUGUUCUUUCCAUCUUGUAAAUGGUAAAUAUGAAAAUAAAGAAUUUAGUGGAAACAAACUUCUAUUUCACACACAUAUAUAUUUGGUAACAAAUUAAAAAAUCGAAUUAUAAUAUAAACAAGAUGUAUCGUAAAAAAUAACAAAGCGACCAAAUUGUACAAAAUCAAGUGUAGUAAGUUUUUGUCGUUUCCUUGUGCUAUGGAUUGUGAAUAGUUUAUUUAUUUUGUAAUCAUUUAAAUAAUGGUGUUUAGAUGCAUUUAUACUAUAUUUAUAAAUAAAUAAAUAAGUUAUAAUUGUGAGAAUUGUCAAAAAUAGCAAAUUUGACAAAAUAUUUACAACAUAUAACAAAAUUUCAAAUUCUACUAAUAAUAAACAUUAAUAGACACUGAUAUGAUUCUAUUAGUGAUAUUGAUAAACAAUUAUAUAAAUUUUUAUCUUGGAUAUAAUCCAAAAUUUUGCUAUAUCUUAUUAAUAUUUUGAUAUUUAAAAAAGUGACUGUCAUAGUUACUCAAUAAAUAUUGAUAUUUAUAAAUAAUAAUGUAUUAUUAAUUUAUUUACCAGCCACGUUAAGUAAUUUUUGUAAUAUCAUAUAAUUUAUAAUACAUGGUAUUUAUAUUUUAAUUGAAAAGAAUAUAUAUUGAGUUUAUAAAGUUCAAAAUUUAAAAUCAUGAUAGAACAAAAUUAUUAUUUGUAGAAACAAAUAUCAACAAAAUGUCAAUAAUUUAAAGAUUAAUGGGGGGUGGUGGUGGUGGUCUGGUUUUGGUAUAUUGUUUAGAAAAAGCCAUUUAUGGGGAAAAUUAAUUGUUAGAAAACAUGGGCUUAUUAGGAAAUAUUUCAACUCUCUUUCUUCCUUCUCAUUUCCCUUAUAUGUAGAGAUGCUUUUUUAUUACACCAACUUUGUGUAUUUGGAUAUAUUUGUUAAUGUAUUAAUUAUUCCAAUCAUUAACAGACAAGUUAAUAGAUAUAUAAAACCAUUCUUGUAUAUAAUAAAAAUGGCUAUAGAGUUUGAAGCAGCCUGAAAAACAUCUCAAGUUUGUAGAAAUUAAAAAAAAGAAAGAAGAAUAAAAACGAUAUUCAUAAUUUCAUAUUAAGAAAAGAUAAUUAAGUAUGGAUGGUCUAUGAGUUGGCCAAUCCAACAAGAGAUAAAUAAAUAAACAAAGGAGAGGCAAAGGGAUUGAUUUUCUUGGAAAUUGGGUAAGUUCAAAACCAACUCAUUCUUUUCCCCAAUCAAUUAUUAUUUAACGUCCCAAUUUCCAAGUUGAUCCAAACUCAAAACACAAAACCAUUAUCAUAUUUAUUAUUUUUGUUCUAAAGUUUAGAGUGUGUGUGUGUGUGACAGUAUAUGAACUGUAUAUUCAUAUCUUCAAAUUUGUAUUCAUAUAUGUUUUAUUUGUGCAGUUUUUUGCUUUCUUUAAUUUGUCAAUUUCACGACACCUUUAGGUUAAGAAAUCAAUGCGUCACACAAACCAAACUAAAAGAAAAGAAAAGAAAAAACUUAUCUUUGAAACAGUCAAAAUAGAAGAUUGAAAUUAUAACAAUAUAGUUUGAUUUAAUUGUCCACUUGAAUGAGAUUAAUUAAGACAUCAUAUUGCAUCCUCAUCUACGUCAACCAAUUAAAGCCCACGUCUUAAAUCGACUAAGAACAUUAAUGAAUUUAAACCAUGAUUAUUGUUUGGAAGAAAACUUCUUAGAAAUUUUUGUAUUGAUAUCUUUUGGAAAGUUAAACACAUAUUGGAAUCUUGUUUUAAUUAUUGUAUAGGAUGAUGUUCAACUUAGGUAUGAACUUUAUCUAAUGUAGUUUAAAGAAUAUGAAAUCCAUAUUUUAAUCAAAUGUGUGUGUGAUCUUAUCCAUAUUUAUAUAAAUAAAAUAAAUGGUCAACUAUAUUGAUCAUUUUUUUUUAAAUUACACAAAUUAAUAAAUAGUUGCAAACAUUGAAACACAUAUCGAAACGUUUUGUAAAUUUAAGAUAUUCUUUAGUAUAAAUCAUACCAUAUAAUGAGAUCGACGUUAUUUAUAAUUUCUUUCAGAUAUAUAUCUAAGAUUACUGUUACAUGUACUUCCAAAAGGAAAAAAAUAAACAACCGUAUUAAUAUUUUGAUAAACUAUUAUAUUGUCUUAACUAGUAGAAAACCAAAAAAAUUUAAUGAGUAUGUAAAAGUAAGAGGUCUAUUGAUCGUAGCAUAUAUGGUUUAUCGUUAAGUUUUAAUUACAAAGUUUGAUAUAAUUUCUUAUAUUAGUUUUUCUACCAAAAAAGAUAGAGAAUUGAUGAACUCAAAGGCUUUGCAGAGUAAUUGGAACGAAAUUAGAGGUUGGAAUUUAAGUAUGACAUCAAAAUGAAUACAUUAAAACCCAUUUUGAGCUUAUAAUCAAUUAAUCUAUGUUCAUAUAUAUAUAUAUACAGAGAGAGAGAGAGAGAGAGAGGAGAGGAGAGAAAGAGUAUGAUAUUUUGGUAUAUAUGAAAGUAACACAUAAUCAAUAAUUGAAUGUAAAAUAAAAUAAUAAAAGUAUGAUUAGGGAAAGAAAAUAAUAAUAUAAACGUUGGGUGGGGGUGGGGUAUCCUAAAACGGGGUUUGAGGAAUUCCACGUGUACCGAAGUGAGGUUGGUUGUAUAGAAAUUCUAUAAAUCCCGGAGUUUGAACAUUUUUGUAACUAAAGAAAAGGAAAAGGAAAAUGAAAGAAUUGAAAGGAAAAGAGAGAAUAUAGUGUAGGAUGAAAUUUUCACAAAGCUUAUAAAAUUAAAAAGAAUUGAAUUAUUGGGUAUCUAUCUCUGCCUCCUCCUUCUCCUUCUCCUUCCCCUUCCCCUUCCCCUUCCCCCCAUCUCUAUCCGGACGAAGCUAUGGGAGCUCUCUCCGAGUUCUUCUCCCACCUCCACACAAUGACCGCAGUCUUCUUCACCCUCUUACUUCUCGAAUUCGUUAUUCUCAUUCGUACCAUCUUCGGCUUAAGACCUAACUCCGACAAGCGCGUAAUCACGACCGCUCAGUUUUUCAAACUCAUCGAAGACAAGAAUCCCACCAUCCGUUUCUCAAAUAAGGUCACCCCAAGUAUCGCCGAUCAGUGUGCCGUUUGCCUCUCUGAAUUCGAGGAAGGAGAGAAGGUACGGAAAUUGCAAUGCAACCACACUUUUCACAAGGAUUGUCUCGAUAAUUGGUUGAAACUCUGUUUCGCUACCUGUCCGCUUUGCCGGAGUAAGGUUUUGCCGGACGAUAUCGUCGCCGGCUACCAUAGGCUUCGAGACCGUGUAGAGUACGACGGCAGUGACGAGGAGCUCAUCUUUUUGUUAUCGGCAUUACAUGGUAACAGUAUAUAUAGAUUUUUCUAGGGCGAAACACCAAUUUUAUUUUGUUUUUAAUCACAGAAUAGAAUUAAACAACAUAGAAUGUUGAUUUUCUGUAGAUUAACUAGGGAAAUAUUGUUUUUCUCCCCUUCAUUGACGAGCAAUAACGUUAAGGGAACAGCUCGUUUCUGGUUCGAUCGAUCUCUCUAGCUAGAUCGAGAUAAAUCUAAAUCGUGUAUGUUUCUCUUUACUUGCAAUUACGCAACCCAACUGUUAGAUGUGUUGUUUGCAUGAUUGCUUCCUACUCUUCUUGGUCAUUCGUCAACGAAUCAUUAAUUUUGGAGACACCCAAUUUACAUCUUGACGGAGACCCUUUUUUUUUUUUUAACCCAAUAACGCACUGAAAUCCUCACUAAAAUCAUCCAAAUCACAACAACUUUUUUCCAUCAGGUUAAACUAAUCCAAAUGAUCUAUUGAGAUCUUUAAGAUAUUGGAUGAUCGUCUAUUAGUCUCUCUUGAUGUGGGCUUGUUGUCUCCGUAGGACCAGGAGUUAUGGUGCGAACUUAAUUCUAUAAUUUUAGUGGAUGCGAGUUGGUGAUCUAAUUUAUGGUUCUCUUACAAUGUAAAUAGAACAUGGUAUGUGAUGGCAUUUAUUAAGAACAUUGAGUGAAAGGAGAAGCAUUCAAAAUUUGAUGGAUUCUCCCUUGAUAUUUUCAUGGGGAUUUAGGUGGAGAUGGUAGGAGAAGGACUUAAUGCUCUGUAUCUAAAUGCACAACAAACUGAUUGAGCUCAUUUUCUCUAUAGUUAAACCCCGAUGGCGAAAGUGAAAACUAAUGGAUUGUGUUUAGCUCACCAGCACAUUUAUCGAAGAAUAGGUUUGCACGUUAAUCGAAAAACUUCAUUUUACACCACUACAACCUAAAGACAAACUUACUAAACACAACAUAUUAACUCUAUACUUAAACAAACUUGAAAUGUUUCUCAUUGGGAUGAUCUGAAACUAAAGCCACAAGCCCCCCUCCCUUUUUUUUUAAUGUUUGGAUCUCGUUACUUCCUCGAAGCUUUUGAAACAGUUUGGAGUUUGUUUUCUUCCACUUUUGAACACCCACCAAAAGAUGAGGGCAACUGAGGACACGGUCUUUAAAGAACAGUGAUUAGGUGAGAUGAGUUGCAUUAUUGAAGUCAGUGUGUUUAACUUUUUAGCAUUACCAGAAUCAGGGGAUGGGUGAAAGAGGAGAAGAAGCAAAGCAAAAACAGGUUUUAGAUGAUGAAGCCAAAUACCUAUUUACUGUUGGUGAGAAUAAGUUUGUCCUAAAUGGGGUUGUGGGAGCUACAGUAGUUCGCAUGAUGUACUGAAUUGUUCUGUAUGUCGGACAAUAGCAAUAAGUUGAAAUGUUAAACAGGCAAAAUCUCGUGGUGGAGCAGCGGAGGGUAAUUCAUAAGAUUUGACAUUUAAUGUCAGAUUCAAAAAAGUGGAUGAACAACUUCAAUAGUAAAGUAAUAGUACCACAAACCAGAAGUAACGCAUAUGGGGGAGAUGAAUCCUUAUCUAUUUUGGAAAUGGGGUUUGUUGUUGGUUUGAUUCAUUCCUUUUUCAAUUUUUCAGGGUUGAAUUUUAUUUGGUGCAUAUCCGUUUCCCUUUUUAACCAUGGAAUAUAUUGCUGAAAAUAAAAAAUAUGACUCUGUUUAGGUCAUGAGUUGGUAAGAAAUUAAGAUGCAACAGAUUCGUUUGGGUAAGAGUAAUAUUUGAUUGAAGAUGUGCGCCCAUUUCUAUGUAUCUCUUUCAAUUACAAAACAAAGAAUGAUUCAAACAAAAUUAAAACAACAUGGGGUAUCCUAAGCAACACAUAUAUAUUCAUCUAAGUGUCCAAUCAUGGAAUAUGCUACGUAUUGUUGUUAUUCCUUUCUUCAAUCGUGGAAUACAUCGUGAAAAUGUUAAAGUGAGCCCUGUCUGUUUAGGUCAUCGGUCAUGAGUUUGGUUAGUAAAGUGCAAUUGAUCUCGUUGAAAAAGAGUAAUGUUAGGGUCAAGUGUUGCAUCUAGUUGUGUAGUUCCUUCAAUUGAUCCAUCAAAAGUUGUCAUGUAAUAAAGUUUCUUUAUUUUUGCUUAAAAAAUUAUUUUAAGCCUCUUUUUGUUUGUGAUGGAAGAAAACAAGUAUAUGUAUACAUACAUUUAUACACGAUAAACUUGUAAUUAAACAUUUGAAAUGCGUCUCACCUGGUGAGUUGAGUUUGAAUUGUGAAGAAAGAAAUAAUUUAAUGAAUUGAUUGAAAGCUACAUUAUAUAUAGGUUGGUUUAUUGAAGUCAUUAAAUAUACAUUAUACAAAGAAGUAAUCUUUUAAAAACACAUGGCCACCACCAACUCCUAUCUGUAAGUUUGGUUCAGGGCUCAAAAUUAGAGACAUUCAGGAUGAUCAACAUCAUCUCUCUCAAUAAAUACAAAUGAUUAUAAGUCGAUUAAAUCUUUCUUUCUACAAUAAGAUAGUUAAAUAAAUGAAUUAAAACUAAUCAUUAUUUUUGCACAUCAAAUCAACCACUAUCACAUUAAAUAAUCAAUAAAUUUGAAGGAAAAAAAAGUCUUAAUCAAUAAAUUUGAAGGAAAAAAAAGUCUUAAUCAAUAAAUUUGAAGGAAAAACAAAGUCUUCGUCAACUUUUAUAAUUGUAAUUUGUGUGGGAGUAUGUAUUUAUAAUAUUUGUCUAAAUAAAAUAACUAUUAAAUUAGCAAGGGUGUUUGAGAUUUAUAGUUGCGUAUUGAUUUUAGAAAAACAAAUUUAAGUACAAUUUUUCUUUUAUAAAAUUGAUAUGAAACUUGUAAACAAAAUUUUUAUAUAUUUAGAAAUGAUUUUGAAUCAUUAUUGUUUAGAUUUUGAAUCAUUAUUGUUAUUAUAUUUUUUGAUUUGAGAAAUAGUUAUGUUAGUAUAUAAUUGUUUGUUUUAUAAAUAAUUUAAUGAUGUACAUUCUUUUAUUCCAAUAUUUUAUAAAAAGAAAACUGAAUUAGACAUCCAUUUUGGGAGUGGUUGAUUGAAAAUCACCCAACAAAAAUUACCAAUAACCUAAUUCGUUUUUUAAACGAUUUUAUAUUUAUUUUAGUUCAUGUCAAACAAGAAAAAGUGAUUUUGGACAAACACAAAAAAGUAUAUAUCUAAAUAUGGUGAUAUGGAUAGUUAUUAUGGCAACCAUGGAUAGAACUUGGAAUCAACUACAACUACAACUUUGGAAACAAAACCAAACCAAAACAAAAUUCAUAAUUCAUUAGAUGAACUUCUUAGUAAAUUAUUUUUAUAUACAUCCGUAUAUAUCCCCAUUAGAUGAUCAAAUUUACACUUUAUAUGAGAUUUAAUGUAGAAAUAGACUUUGGAUGUUCAAAACCUAACUUUUAACAGCUUGGACUUGAAAACAAUGAAUUUGAAAAGUACUUUAAAAAGUAACUUUUCCUUCUUACAAAAAAACCAAACCUAAAUUGACGAAAUUUUGAAUAAAUUAAACCAAAAUGGCCUCUCAGAUAAGACACAAAUGUGUCACCAUAACAACCUUUACCAUCAUUUGAUUUACACUCUUAAUUUCACUUUCACUUUCUUUGAAUGCCACCAAAAUUUCAUAACUAUAUAUCAAUUACAUAAAGAGAUAUCACGACCAUAAUUAUAAUUACGAGUUGAAAAGCUCACAAGGUAAUUUAUUUAAAAUUUUGUCUACGAUUUAAUAUCAAAUAUAAAUAUCAAAUUAUUAUUGAUACCAUCUUAGAUGGUGGAUUGAUCCCAAAUCAUAACUAUGAACAACUAAAUUCAUUGAUUUUUCAAUAUGGGAUCUGAACAGCCUCAUCCAUCCACCAUAUCACAUAUUUAAAAGCACCAACUAAGUGGCCAACUCUCGAUGAUUUCUUGAAAACCAAAUCAUCCAUCUUUUCCCAACAUUCAUAUGGUUAAUUCAAACCCUAUAAUAAUCAUCAAAUCAUAAUACAAUCCCACCCUUCUUCUCUCGAAUUCAAAAGCAUUUCAAAACUAAUAGAAUCCAAAAAAGGAAAAAAGAAAAAAAAAAUGUACAGAUUUGAGAGAGAGAGAGAGAGAGACGAGAAACAUUUACAAUAUAUAUAUAUAUAUAUAAACCCAAUAGAGGAACUCAAGCUGAGAAGAACCCAGUGGAAGCAGCUCGACCAAUUUGAGAUUUGGGUUCAAAAACCCAAUUGAAUUCCGACAUCUCAGCAGAGUAAUUAUGCUUUUUUGCCAUUUCCAUCAUCUUCUUCAUCCUAAUUGAAGUAGCAGUUGCAGAUAUGGAAACCCCAGAAGAACCCAACUCUUGAAGCUCUUGCCUGAUCAUCUCUUGACCUCGCCUUGGAUUCUUCGUCCUCCUCUCGUAUUCCUCUGCUACAAGAAUUGCAAUAUCCGCCAUGGCUGUGAUUUUUCAACUCUCCCUCUUAGUUGAUUUUGAGGAGACCCCUUUAGGAGGAUGACAUAAUUUAUAUUCAGAUUGAGGUAUGAUUGUGGAUAAGGCUGACAAGUCGGUGUAGUGUAUAAAAGAAAUAAAAAAAAGUGACCUUUGAUGACUUAGUCUGGUUUUUUGGGCAUUUUGGUUUUACUUUUUCUAUGGGUGGACCCUUUGUGGAGAAAUUUGAUUGUAUUAUAUUGUAUAUCUAUAAAAUAUACACAUGUAUAUUGUAUUUCAUUGAAGGGUCUUCUUUGAUUGUGCCAAUACCCAAAUAAAGGGGUUUCUUGGCAACAAAGUUGGGAUAGUUGUGUGAAUUAUAAUAGAAUAUAUCAGUAUUUCAAAAUUCUAAUGGAACACGUAUUCUUAAUAAACUUAUAAAGAAUUUACAGAUUGUUAAAUGAUACAAGAAUUGUUAAUUGAGAACAAUGAGAUUAUGUAUAUUGUGAUAGAUAGGAUAGAAAACCUAUCCAUUAUAAUGGAUGUCUUGUGGUGUUUUCAAUGAAGUUGGUGGUGGAAAUUUUGUAGGCAAUAUUCUAGUGGGUUUGGUGGGGGGGAGGAAUGGUAAAAGGCAAUACCAAUAGUUCAGGACUUGUAAAUGAUAAAGAAAAAAAAAAAGAAACCAACUCCACAAUGUUAAUUAUCUCAAACUCUUUCUUAAUAAAUGUCUGUCCUAUUCAACCUUCUCCUUCAAACAAUGAAGAGAGGGUAACUCUUCUUUGCUUUUCAAUAAUAAUAAUAAAAAAAACAUAUCUUUCUUUUGAAGCAAACUAGCAAAAUUGUUGAAAAAAAUAUUGAUAAAUAUAGUCAAAUUUUAUAUAUUUCUUAGUGUAAAAAAUAUGGAAACGGAAAAGCAAAAGGAAAGUGGUUUUUGAGAAUCGGAAAACAGCGAAACUGAGCAAAUGGUUUUGAUCUCAAAAACCAAAACCAUCACCGACAAACGCAUAACACAUCAGAUUCAUGUAACUAAUACGUGUCUAAUUACUAUUUGUUCUUCAAAUUAAUUAUAUAUUUCGUAGUACACAAUACGUGGCAUCAUAUUACUGGUUGUGGGCGGUGACAAGUCCACAGUCCACGCAUUUUCUUUUGUUUACUCUUUUAAAUCAUUCAUGCAUCUUAUUAAUUAGCUUCUAAAUAAUUCAUAAUUUAACCAUAGUAAUCAUAAUAAUGUCAUAAAUUAUACACACAUUUCAAUAAAUUUUAUUAAUGUAAUCAAUUUCAGUGUUUGGCAAAUAAAUUUCACUCUUCCAAUAUAUACCUAUUAAUAAUGAAUUUGAUUGGAGUUUUUCUAGUGCAUUAUUCUAUCCUUGUGAUAUUUAGAAGCACAUAUUUUAUAAUUAGGUUAUUCUUAAUGGAAAGUAAACUAAUGUAGUCAUAGUUAGUACUUAGUAAUUAGGCUGCAACUUACCCACUUGUUUAUAAAUCGAUGGUAAUUUUAGUUAGUGUAUUUCAUUUUAUUACACUUUUUUUUAAUCUAUAUUUCGUAAUCCUAUGAAAAUAAUGAGUUCACCUUGAAUUGAAAAAUUGAGAGUACUCAAUUGGACUGCAUUUGAGAUUUAUGUGAAACUCACUUUCGUUAUUGUUACUAUCACGAUAUUAAUUAGAAUUAUGAUAAAUGUUAUAUUCUUAGUUAUUGUUAUUCGGUAACAAUAACUAGUGAUAAAUUAUGUAUAGCAAGAUUGUAACUAUAGAUGCGAUAACUCGUAAUUGAAACUCAUUUCAAUUGAUUCAUUAAUAAAAUUUCAUUUUUAAAAAAUAAUAAAACUUUUUUUAUUAUGGUUUGGUAAACAUAACUCUAAUGUUAUAACAACUUUCUUUACAUCUCGAUUACAAUAACCAAUUUAGGCGAACAUAUUCCAGUCAAAACUUGAUCUUUUUAUAAUAAAAAUCCUAAGGAAAGUCCACUUUUAAAAUGCUAAGAUGUGCUUAAUAUUUACAAAAGUGUCGUUUUAAAAGAAUUGAAUUAUCUAUCGACUCAUCAGCAAGAAUCUCAUACUUAUCACCAUCCAGUUCUUGACAAAUGGGAGAUAAGAAUGAGAAAUAUAUAUAUAUAUAUAUAUAUAUAUAUACCUGCAGGCCAAGGGAGGUUUAGUUAUUUUUAAAAAGAAUGAUAAAAAUGUGCCUAAGAAAGAGGAAGACGGAAGUGAUAGUAGAAAACUCACAAAUAUAAUAUACUUUAUACUCAGUAAGAGAAACGUUAAAAGCAUAUUAAUUUGGAGACAUUUGUCAGUUUUGAUUGUAGGUAUUCAAAUUCGUUCCCAUUCCCUUUCCUCAAACGGAUAAGACGAAAGAAAGUAAGAAAGAUCACGAGCUUCAUCAAGCUAGCCAUUCUAAGAAUACAGAAGAAAAGGCUGAGGGUGUCACACAUCUGAGAGCAUAUGUAUAGGACUUUCUUGGUCCAAAGUAACUUGUAGUAAGUGCAACUGAGCAGCAAAAGCAUAUGGUGAGUUCAAGCUUCAACAGGUGCUCUUCUGGGCAAAGUGAAAAACUGACACAUUUCAUCUCAUAAAAGGCCAAGAGUUUUGAGCUGUUGAACGUGCUCUGCAGGAAGUGGUGGAGGCAACCAGUCAGAUCCUGUCAUCUCCCCAUCUACAUCUUCCACAACAUAUUCCUGUGAGAAAUCAAAACAUCCCAAAAAUAUAGUAAUCAAUCAAAAACCUAACCAACCAACAUAUUAUUCACAAGUGAAACUUUCUAGUCGUAAUUAGUCCAUUCUUGCCAAUUCAAGAAUAGCACAAAUUGCACAAUUACCAUCCGAAAAUUGCUGGUUGAUCCUCCAACCUCCUACAAAAAUGGUCGAUUCACAAUCAAUCCAUCCAUGGGAAUAUGUCAUUUGGUUUUAGUGUCCCCCACUCCUGUUAUCUUUCUCAUCCCAAAGACCAAUAAGACAGCCCUCGUGAAUGGAUGUGCUCGGCCAGCUGGGCAUCCACCUUCAUCCAUGAUGUUUGGCUUUUAUUUUCAUUUUCUAACGGGGUGUGUUUGGACGACUAGUAAUUUUGCUCUCUUUUAAAUCAUGGGAUUUACUGAAAUUUUUUAAGAGUACUUCUAAUCUAAAACACUUUUCUUUAAUCACACGCAGUUUGAAAAUUUGUAAAAGUAGAUAAAAGGCACUUAAAAAAGUACUUUUAGAUGAAACAUUUCAUUAGUUUUGCUUACAAAAUAAAUGCUUCACUUAAGAACACAUUUUUCAAAAUGAAAUCUCAGACUCGCCCAAAUUUAGUUGGUUCUGUUUAUUUCAAUAGCCAGUCUAGUGUACAGAAAAAGAAACCAUAUUCAAGUAUUUACACUCCUAGCUCAGAGUUUGAAAGUUAUGCACAAAUAAAUCUCAAAAGAGAUCAAUCAACUCACCUUUGUUAGCAUUCUUUUCGCAAGUAUGUGAUAGUGUCGUUGCCAUAUUCGUUGGCCAACCAUGGUAGCCACCAAGACACUAUAGAAUAUACCAAUCACUGUGAACAAACCAAGAACAAUCAAGGCCAUUAUAAGUAAUAAUGGCAGUCCUGCUUCACCAGCACCUCCUAGGCAUCCACAUUCAGUUGCAAUGCUUCCACAACUUUCGAAGCAAGUGGUACAGUCGGUCCACAUACAAAGAGUACCAGGUAAAUGACAGUCUGCACAUAGUCUGGAAAGAUGCAAGAAACACAUAAAAAUAUGAUGCUGGUGAAUAAACUAAAAAUACUAUUGUUUGGAAAAUAUUUCCAGCAUUUAUAUAUUAUAAUUUGAUGAAGAUAGAUAUAACGAGCUUUGAUAAGGAUUUUAGUCAUCAAUCUAAAAUAGCUUGAACGAAUUCUUAGCUUGGCUAAAUAUUGAAUAUUCUAUAUUUCCAGCAACAUUCUUUCACUACAAUGGGACGGGAAGCAGAAUAGAGAAAGAUCAGUCGUGUUAGAGAAUCAUCACUGCAUGGCAGCAGUUAUGCCAAAGAAUGAGCCUACGCUCCUCAACAAGCAUUGUUAAAAUUUGAAAACAAUAAAAUUUUAACAUAAUUAAAAAAGAAACUGCAAAAUAUGGAUUUAUACCCAGGGUGGCAACAACAUAGACACAAUUCUCUACAUGGUUGAGCCAAAUCACUCCUAACUCUUCGAUCAUAACAAGUGAUGAAGCAGCCAGAUACGCCGAGCAAUGCAAAAAAUAAUAAAGCCCCUGCAUAGGAAAUAACGCAAACUAGUAAAAACAGAAUUGAAAGAACUGAAAUAUGUCUUUCGAUUUUGUAGAACAGAAUAGCAUCUAACAUAAAGAAAUAAAAUAAAUUAAAAUUGUCUCUCUACUUUGAGGUUUGUUCAACUUUAAUCCACAUACUUUCAAAUAUUCAAUUUUUGCCCAUGUACAAAGCUUAAUAUUUUUCUAAAAAAAUCAAAAUUGGCUAAAUAAUAACAAUAACUUUCACGUAAAGAAAUAUGAUAUGUGAAUAUAUUUUCAAAAUUUAUAGUGAAAAUGCUAAGAAAUAUCAAAAAAUUAUUUUAAAAAAACAUUAAUAAGCAUGCAGGAGGGACUAAAUUAUAGAUUACUUGAAAAAGUUGAGACAAAAAUUGAUCAUUUAAAAGUACAAGGACUAAAAUUGAACCAAAUUUAAAUUAUAGGGACCAAAUUGAUAUUGCAUAUUUCAAGUUGACUCAAUAUAAUACUCAUACAGUGAAGGACCAUAAUCCAUUAACUACUUCCUCCUUAUGAGGUUCAACAACAAUAUGAAUAAAAUAUUGCGAUAAUGUAAUAAGCACAUUUUUUUCAGCUGUUGUUCUUUGCCCUCAAACUUUCAUUAGUUUUCAUUAAUUUCUAUGAAGCACAAAAGAUUUCCCAUCUCUCUACACACUUUAUCUCACAGGCUUUUUUUCCAUACAUAAUCUCACCCUGGUCUCUCUAGUCUCUACACUCCUCUACUACACAGUUCCUCUCAUCAUCAACUUCUUUCUAAAAAGUAAAAACAACCUCUCAACAAUUCUUCUCACUAUCACAACUUUUACAAUUUUAGAUACACCCCGACUAGUAGCUUACCAAUUCUUAAUAUACUUUUAAUUAAAACUUAAAAGACACUCCUUUCUAACUAAAGCACACCGCAAAAGUACUUAAAAAGUUAGAAUUAAAUAAGCAAACGAUAUAUUAUUACUUAUCAUCAAAGUUCUUAUGUUAAAAGUUCUUUGGAUGUGAACCCAUAAAAGUCAGAAGCGCUCUAAGCAGACCAGCAAACAAGGUCACUAAGACAAACUGCUUGAAGCUAUGGGCCAAACAAGAUUAUGCCCUAAUGCUAUAACAUAAAUUGUGCAUGCAAAGCUUGAAUCAGCCAAUUGAGAUUUUACCGCAUAUGUAAUAAAAACUAAUUUUGCUAUCAAAACCCCAAGUAAGACGAAGCCAGUAAUGUUGACAACCAUCUAUUAAGUAUGUCAAAUAUCCCAGAGAAGCAAUUACCUGCACAAAGAUAAACAAAGGAAUAUAAACUAUUCUACAGAAAAAUAAUCUCAUGCUACAACAUAACUUGGUUUGGCAAUAAAUUAAAUAGAAACAAAAUAAAACUUACAAGCUGAACCGCCAAAAAUAUAAAUAUAAUGUCUCUAGUCACAAAAAAUCGAAAUUUCAGGGUUCGCCAUUUUCUGUCAGCAACAGCAUGUACUCUCAAAUGGUAAGGGGCCUUACAUGUGGUACAGUGAGCAAAAGCAAACCCUUCCUGCAAUUUUAAUCACGGAUGACCAAAUGUAACUAAAUGAUGGCUAUAGAAAUUUCCUUAUUUAUUUUCCUAAAUAAACAUAGAACCAGUCUAAGAAGACAAAAACGAGACUGUAAAUAUGACUGGUGCGGGCGGAUACAAAUACCGCCCAAGAGUAGUGAUAUUCUUUAUUUUGUUAAUUACCCUAAAUUAGAGUCAAUCGUGUGAUAAAAAUUGAAACUUAAAAAAUGCUGGUGCAAGGAGAACAGAGUUAAUAAUGGCAAAAUACGAGUUAAUUUCUUAAGCAAUAAAAGGUAUCGUAACAAUCACUUGUUAAGGCUGAACUUAGUCAUUAAGGUGAGGAAAAUAUAACCAUGCAAAUUCAGGGAAUCAUGGGUGUAUUAUCAGCAACUUCAUUUGAAAAUUCAAUCACAAUAACUAAACUUACAUUGAAACCACCAGCAUUCAAGAUAGCAUUCAUACCUUCACGGCUCGCCAAUGAUCCAGACAUUCUCGAUGAACAUAUUUGGAUGUCCCUUUGCAUUUGCAAGGAGCAAUAAAAUCCCUACCUGAUCAUGUAAUGAAACACGCACAUUGGUUAAUUUAAAUACUCCCAUAGUCUCAGUGUGAUACCCCCCUCUCCUACCGUUAUACAAACUUUCAAGUGAACAGUCAACUCCAAAGAAUUCUAAAGCACGAAUGGCCAAGUGGAUGGGGAAUGUUAACAUCGCUUGUCAAACGAUCAAAUUAACGAAUUUUUAACACCGAAGAACCUAAUUAAUUAGACUUCAAGUCUCACGGUAUUGAAAGAAACAAUGAUCAUAAGAAAACACAUCGUAAUUUCGGAAAAUUAAGAUUCUAGGGUCCAAAGAACUUCGCCUAAAACGCUGCACUGAGCCAUUGAUUAUAAAGCAAGCAGAAGAAAUUAGGUUCCACAAUGAUUUCCCGGAAGGAAAAUGUGGAACAUACCCAAACGAAAACAACCCCACCAACCGUACGAAAACAGUCGAAACCUAACAAAAACUGAAAAACAUAGGAACGAGGAAUUACCAUCGGUCUCAAGGCAAAUUCUACACUGAAUUUGUUCCCCUUGACCAGCUUCAAGGUCGAUCUCACUAGGGUCGGUGAUCGGCGCCGGAGGAAUAAGAGGGGAAGAAUCUGACGGUUGACCCGCCAUAAGGAGUUAAGAAGCGGAAAAACACAAAAAAAAAAAAAAAAUGGUGGGAAAAAAGUGGAGGAGAAUUAGGAUAGCAUGAAGAAGAAAUAAGGGAUCUCCAUGUAAAAGAGUUGUAAGCCCAGAGAGAAUAAUAAUGGUGAAGCAGGAAGAAAGCAAGAGAUUGUGUAGAAGUGUAGAGCAGAAAGUGGUUGAAUGUCUUUCUUCCCAAAAUGGCCACAGCCUUCACCAUUUUUUGACCAACUUAUCCUUCAAUCCCUUAAAACUCUUUUCUAUUUCUAUCACAUCAAAUUUUAUAACUCAUUCUUUUUUUUUUUUUUUUUUCAAUUACAAAAUUUUAUAUCAAUUUAGUUCAUAAAUAUUUUAAUACUAUGAAGCUGGAGUAUGAAGUUUUGUUUGCCAACAAAUUGGCUUAUAAACAGUCACAAUCAUAACUACUAUAUAUAAAUUGAAAUUUGAAUUAUUGUUUGUUUUUUUUUAAUUUUUAAUUUAAGUAUUGAUUCGAUGCCUUUUCAAAAAUACCAAAUCCUCACAACUUUUUUCAUUAAAUUUAAGUUUUCUUUUUCUAUCCACAACAAUUCCAACGUAAAAAUGAUAAAUGUGUUGUAACUUCUAUAAGAAAUCUUUUUUAUAAGAAAAACAAAUUAUCUAUACGUUACACGUAAUUUGCAGUUAGUUGGGUUUAUAUGAUAAAUUUACAAUACCUUAGUUUAUUACUUGGUAUAAGAAUAAUAAAAAUCUAUUUACGUAAUAUUUAUAAUAUUAUCAUUAUUAUUUAACAUUUCUUUGGUUAUUUUUAUAAUGUUGUCCUUAUUACUUAUUAUUUAACAUUACUUUGGUUUUUCUCCAAUGAUAAUUAUUUAUUAAUAAAAUGUGAUCUCCUUUCAUUAUCAAAAAGAAAUAUAAAAAAAUCUGAACUCAUAUUACUCUUUUAUUUCCUUUGUUGCCCUUUACCCUUUAUAUGAAAAAUAGGGAGAGAAUAGUUUAAACAAUGUGAUUUGGGCAGCGAAAAGUGAACUCCUUCCAUUAUCAAAUUAAUUAAAGCAUUGAAACUAAUCGCCGUUUAUCACUGCUGCAGCUAAAAAAGUUCAAAGGUACUCUAAAAUUAUGCAGCGGAGACAUAAUUACUAAUUUGGAACACAUCCUAACAAACGUUCUCAAGAAGCUAAAAUAAAAAUUUUUAAAAGAAAAAAAAAAAAACCCAAAAGUCGGGGGAACAAAGCUACAUAUGAAAAGUGUCUAUGUCCGCUUUUUCAUCUCCCUAUUUUUUUUUACUUCUUCCUCUUCUUGGGAGGCUGGAGUGCUUCCUCGUCUUCGUCCUCGUCCUCUUCGUCCUCGUCAUCUGCUACUUCGUCUUCAUCCUCUCCACCAUCAUCAUCGUCGUCGUCAUCACCAUCUUCGUCGUCGUCAUCCUCAUCGCCAUCAUCGUUAUCAUCAUCAUCAUCACCAUCAUCGUCUUGAUCCUCCUCCCCGUCAAACUCUUCUUCUUCCUCUCCAUUCUCUUCCGCCCCACCAGCUCCACCCUCUGGAUUCUUCUUAGAAUUACUUUUGUUAUUAUCGUUGAGGUUGUUGGUGUAGUCAUCUCCAUCUUCAGAUGAUAAAUCCUCUUCACCUUCACCUUCACUCAAGUCGCCAUCCCCAUCACCUUCAUCGUCAUCAUCAACAUCUCCUCCAGCAUCGAGCGGUGUGGACGAGGGGCACAGGGUGGAACUAUCUCCUUUCAUUUCAGGAUUGAUCAGAAAUGCACCAAGAGAAUCCUGCAACAAAAUUCCCAAGAGUACAAUGGUCCAUAAGGUUAAGCAUGUCAGCGACCAAAAACAUCACUUCAAAAAUGGUCGUUGCAAUCAAAGAAAAACAGACAGAGAAACCACACAAGGACUAUCAAUUUCUAUGUUCCUUAUACACUUGAACUCAACAUAGUAGGCAAUAGAUUUUAAUGAAAACAUUAAUGCUAAAACAACGUAGCCGCUACCAGUUCACCUGAAUUUCCUUUUAAAAAGUCAAAUUGAUAGUAAUGCCUCAGAAUUUCUUUUGUUUUACAAUUUCAAAACAUGAUGAUUAGUAACGAUAAGGACAUAUUAAAAUAUUUAACAGAAUAUGAUGGGACAUAUUAACAGAAAUGAAUAGUAUGGCAGGCGUACAUUUGUUUAUUCCCCCCCGUCUCAGUCCUCCAAUUUGACAAUCUCUGUUUUUACUUUAACCUCCUCCCCUUUUUAUUUUAUUUUUUCCCCAUGUCUUUUCUUGUCGGGAUCUGGUCACCAACCAAAGUGAUAAAGAACCCACUUUAACGUUUAAAUUACCCACUAAUUUUAAUCAGCUACUUCAAUUGAAUGUCAUAAAUGGCAUCCAUUAAGAAGCAGAAAGGCAGAGGAUGGUGGGAAGGGAAUAAACUUCCCAAUCACAAUCGGGCGGGCACUAUCAUAAGCUAGAAAUAGAUACAGGAAGAUGAAAAGAUAAUCUUUUGGGCACUAGAAACCACGUAUUAAGAUUGAUUCCUAAUCCAACAAUUCUCAAAAAAGUCGCAAAGUACUCCAAGAAUUAUUCGACACCGAGUCCAAAGCAUAAUAUUCCAACAACAAAAGAAAAAGGUGACAUCUCCCUAUCUUAACAAUUGUUUAGUGAAAUAUUUCACAUGAAACGAAUAAACUUUGGAGCAUAGCUUUAUUUAUUUUAUUCUUAAAUGGAAAUAAAAUGAAAUUCCGUGUCAAUCAUCAAUAGUAUCUUCAACCACUGAAAUGAAGUGAAUUAAAAGAGGGAUAUGGCGUGUCAUUCAAGUUGUCGGUUGAGGGUCAUUUCCGUAAAUUCAGCAUCAAACCUCAACGAACCCAUCAAGUGGGGUCAAGAAAAUGAUGGCCCAAUAGCAAAAAAACAAAGGGAGAAAGAUAAAUCCAAAAGAAUCAAUCCCAUGACGCGUGAUUACAGUAAUUUCCUUGAAAAAAUAAAAAUGAAAAGUUUUCAACUUUUUAUUUUAUUAAUUUGUAGAAAAAGUUUUUGUUUUUUGGGUUUGAAAAGAUCAACCAAAAUAAUCUAAUGGAAGCCGUACGAUGGGAAUCAGUUAGCCAAACGGAAGGAGUGGCAGUGAAUGGAUCUGUUGGAUAUUUUUCUCACCUAUCCUACAGCUUACUUUAUCGACUAAGGCUCAGCCGAAAUCGGCAAACAUCAAAACGGUUGGCCGAAGCCGGGGGACUUCCAUAAAAAAACACACAAAAAACCAUCCAGUAAAAACCCAUUUGAAACAUAAUUUUUCCUCGAUAUGAAAAGCAUAUCAACUAGAAACAUUCAUUAACUGGGCAGAUAGAACUCAGAAAUUACAGAUAAGGUGGUAAUUAAAAAGGUUAGAGACAGAGAGGGGCCUUGCCUGAGCCAGGCGCUGGGUGUUGACCAGAGCCGAAGCUAGUAAAGCAGCUAAGCAAUUACUGGCGCAUGCCAGUGAGCCAUCACCGAGCGUGACACCUAAUGAAGCAUUUGCUAUCUCCAUUCGCGCGGCGACUGUUCCCUGCAAAUGGAUCAAAAAACACUGAUGAGAGAUGUGGUCGCCGUCAGAUCUGUCUCCAAAAAUUCAACAGCCGUUAAAAAAUGAAAAAAUGAAAACCUAAAAAUUAUAACAAAACAUAACUCCACCGGAAAUUCUCUCAGUCUCUCAGUCUCUCAGUCAGCCCCUUCCCCUACCGUGUUGAUUUGGUAGUUUCUACCGCCUAUCCUGAGGUUUGACCGCAGACAAUAAAUCCAAAAAGACUCAUUCUAAGACAUAUUCAAAUACCUUUUUUAAAAAGAGCAUAAGAAGUUUUCUGACGCAUCCUCUAACAAGCAGAGGGACCUAAACUUUCAGUGAAGCAAAAAAUUCCAGUGUUCAUAAAGUCAACGGUAAAUCCAUCCCAAAAGUUACAAAAAGCGUAGAUAUACGAGAAAUUAAACUCCACACAGCACAGAAAUUCAGUUAAGUCGUUCAGAAACGACCCCGAAACACUAGUAAAGUGAAGAACAGCAAAGAAGGUGAAGCAAAAAAAGCAGAAAACAAGAAAAGAUGAAGCUCAAAUAGGGGAAACAAAACAGAAACAGAUAGAAGGAAGAAAAAAAAGGAAUUAAGAGAAAAAGCAUACCGAGAAGAGAGAUCAGAGCAGAGAGAUGGUAGAUCUGGAGGUAUGGAGAUCUAAAACCACAGAAAAGAAGGAGGAGAAGGGAGGUUCAUUGUGGACCGUCGGAUCGAGAUCGAAAAGACAAAAGAGAAACGAAGAUAUAGAAUUAUCGGCGGCACUCAGAGAAGGGGGGGGGGGGGGGGGUUGAGAGGGAAAGAGGUGAGAGAGGGGAAGUGAGAGAAGCGAGUGCGAUUACUGGAGACCGACUGCCCGUAAUUUUCCAGUCCGGUAUCGGGCAGAUCGGGCAGCGUCGUAAUCUUGUAAAAAAGACCGCGUUUUAAGCUGCCCAAUGAGCCUCGAUGGACAGGUGUGGGUUCGGAUAAACUUUUCUCUUCUAUUUUUCCCUUUGGUCCUUUCUUUUUUUCCUUUUUACUUUUUCAGCAACCAGUUUUUCCAUUUAUUACACAAACCUUCCUCCAACGAAAACUGUCUUUUUCAUAAAGUCUUCGUCCCCCCCCUUUUUUUCUUUUUUCCUUCCCCCCCUCUUCUUCUUCUUCUUCUUCCUCUUCCUCUUUUAAAUCAUUCUUAUUUAAAUUUAAUAUGGCUUCAACUUUAAGCAUCUGAACAACUCUUUAUCUUCAGACUAAAAGUAUAGUAUUCAAAUUAUUAUUAUUCCUAAAUAAGAACAGUAUCGUCAGACCAGACUCAGUCCACCAGGAACUCCACAUCCUUGAUUAUAAAUUAAUAUCAAUGAAAGGAUAUUGUUAAUUUAAGAAUAAACCGAUAGAGCUUAGAUUUUAAGCAAGAGGGAGGUAUGGGCCUGUUUUAACAACCAGGCCCAGGCCCAUUCUUGGUCCAAUUAACCAUCUUCUUCUGGAAGGAUCAAAAGCUCCUCCACUUUAAAACCAUGGAAGAUGUUUAAUAACCCUAAUCCAUGUAUUUUCAGGAAUGGGGACACAGAUGGCUUAUAUUUUAAAUUUUCAAAACAAUUACCUUUUGAAAUAUGUCAUUACCCGUAGUUAUAAUCUAUGAACUAAAUGCAGUCAUGGUAGGUUCUUUGGCAAAGCAGAGAACGCCUUCUCUGGAAAAGGUUCGGAUAAAAGAAUAAUAGAAACUACAAAAUAAAUAUCACACGGGAAGCCUCGGUUCUUAUUUUGUUAUAAAUCAAUAGGUUGAAGCAAACUUAGCUCAACUUGCAUUUCCUUUCUUAAGAGAAUGAAGAUUUGAUUCAUUUUCGUUAUUAUACUAAAAAAACCAAUAAAAACUUAUCUCGAGACAACGAUUCAAUGUAUUUAUAAAUGUAGAAUAAAUGUUAGGUGAGGUGUGAUUCAAAAUUUAAAAGUUAAAAGGACAAACUUGUAAGGAAGUUAAAAAUUAGAUAUAACAUAAAAUUGGAGGAGCAAAUUAUGAAAGAAAGGAUAUAAGUUCAAUAAACCACAAACAAUAUGGAUUUUAUUGUUUAUGUGCUUUUGGGCAUAAAUUUGGGAGCUGUCUUUUGAAAUGAACCACCACUGGCAUCUAUCUAAUACAUAUUCUGCAGUAGUCAAACAUAGGAAUGCUGUAAAAGAAAAAAGAAAGAAAGAAAUGUUCUUGUUUGAUUAGUGGACCAAACUAUAUGCUCCCACCACCAAGUGAUUACAUAAUAUACUAAUUGGUAUAGCAAAACUUGGAUGCUUCUCAUACACCAUCUUUUUGGUGUACACCUAAAUCUCAUAACAAAAAAAUAGGUUUCUAUGUAGCAAACUAUAGUUGAACUAGUAGAUUUUGAAACCUAAGAAUCAAAAUAGAUAUCAAACUGAUGGAAGAACUCAAAAUUCAAAAGUAAAAAUAUAACCUUUUGAAAUCUAAAGAUCAAAAUAGAUAUUAAACUAACUCAAAACAAACAUUACUUUUAUUUCUGUUUUUUAUAUAAUACAGUGACAUAGUUAUUAUUUCCACAAUGAAUUGAGGUGUCAACUUGUCACUAAUACAUUGGAGAGAUCGUUAAAUAGACUAAAACGUUAUAAACUCACCAUUUAUCACGGCAGUUUAUAAAAAUGGAAGUUGUAAAAGAGAUCCAAAGAAAUCAAAGUCUUCAAAAGCCAGCAGGAGCCCCACCCUUUCUGGGGUCACUUACAGCAACAAGCUUCCCGAAGCCAUCACCUUGUCUCAAUGAGCUAGAACCUUGAACAAUGAACUGACAAAUUGUUCCUCCGGCAAGCCCUUCUAAGACGUGACCUUUCUUCGCAAGGACUGCCCUUGUUUCAGCCGGAACUUCAAAAUGAUCCCCCAGCACAGUGGUCCAGUUCUCAUAGUUCAAAAUGUUUGGAACCAGCUGUUCGUUUACCAAAUUAUAUUAAUUCCCAAACUUCAAAUUGCACUUCAGUGACUAAUAUUUUAGUGUAAGAAUGUUUGGAUCAGAUGAACAAAUGGAGGAAUAUUAUGAGAUGGGUUGGUGAAGGGAAGCUAGAUGAUGAAACGAACCUGAUGGUAAACUCUGGGAGCCAUCACAGAUGAGAAAGGACUCAUUCCUUUUGCAAAAUGAUUCAACAAAACCUCUGCUGUUCCAGCAAUGAUGAAGCCUCCUCCACUUGCACCGACCACAGCUUUCAGUUGACCAUUCUGUGGAUGAGUUUUACGAAAAUCUUCGAUUAUAACAUAUUUAUAGAGAGAGUGAAAUUUGGAAUUCAAGUUCAUUUGUGAUUGGAGGAAAUUAGAAUGAAAAGGGACCUUUAGAACAAUAGUAGGAGACAUGGAUGACAAUGGCCUUUUUCCUGGCCUAAUGAAAUUGGCUGGUGCUGGUGGAAGUUGAUUAGCAGAAACAUUAGCCGGGAUAGCAAAAUCGUCCAUUUCAUUGUUCAAGACUAUUCCUGUACUUGGGGACAGUAUAUGUGCUCCAAAAUAGUAGUUCACAGUGGUAGUCAUGGAGACGGCAUUUCGUUCUCCAUCGACUACAGACAAAUGACUGGUUCCAUGGUCAUUGAUUGGAUUCCAUCUGUUACAAACAGAAUAUAUGUUACCAACAGGCUCAACUCAAAGGAAGAAAGUAGAGAUAGAAGGUCUUGCUUGGAACGACGAGGAAGCACUUGGAAAUGCUUACAUUUAUAUGAGGAUAUAAAGGAAAUACUAACGGCGAAUCCAUGUAGGAGCACUGACCUGCCACCAUAAUGGCUUGGAUGAAAAGUUUUGUUGUCAUUGAUGGUUUUCUUCAAUUGUUCAGCAAAUUUGGGUGAGAGCAUAUCAGAAAGAACUUCGGUAACAUUGUAGAAAUCAGGGUCACCGAGGUUCGUCCUUACUGCAACCACAUGUUUCAAUGCUUCAAUCUCCCGAUGGAUACCAAGAGGGCCCAAAAGCCCUGAAGGCAGUUUAUAUUGAGCCAGAAUAUUAAGCAUCUGCAGUAGAACGUGGUGUUACUAACAAAAUGAACUUUUAACAAAACUGCUCAUAAAGACAAGACAACAAACUUACAAGGAUCACUCCAGAGCCUCCUGAAGGAGGAGGCAUGGUGGUUAUCUCGAGAUCCAUUGUACGAGAUAAGAUGGGGACUCUAGUUUUAACUUGAUAACUCUGCAAGUCCUUCAUUGACAGUAACCCUCCAAGCUUCCUGAUGUCUCUUAUCAAGUUAAUUCCGAUCGAACCAUUAUAGAAGGCACUGACACCAAAUCUAGAAAUAGUUCUUAGAGUUUCUGCCAGUUUCUGGUUGCGGACAAUAUCUCCCUGUUUCAACAAUUUUCCACCUGAUGUUAACAAGUUCCUGAGCCCUUCAUCCCCUAAGAUCCCUGAUUCUGUUCUAACCAUCUGCAUAUGAAGGUAUGGAGAUAUUUUAAACCCCAAGCGAGCAAGACGUUCAGCUGGUUGAACAAGCCUUGCCCAUGGAAGCUUUCCAUGUUGUUUCCAAGCCUCAUGAAGCCCUGCAAGUUCUCCUGGAACGGCAAUGGAAAGGGCUCCGGAUGCUUUUGAUGCAACAUUGCCAGCAUACAUAUUCUGUAUAUGAAUGCAAAAAAAUUUAAGAAACUGAUUCAAUGAGAAAUUUUGGAUGAGUGAAGUUAUCAGGUUGUGUAUAGCCAAUUGAUAACAACUCAUUAUUCAUCAGUUUCCAAAUGUUAAAACUCAAAAGUUACACCCAAAAGACUUUUAAGCAUAUGCUCGUGUAAAGUUCAACACAAUGAUGAUGAAAGAUAUGAACUACUUAAAUAACACUAUUCAAUGCCAUCAAACUAUCAAUCACUAUACAACAUUUGAAUUUCAGACAUGAAUGAACAACAUGAGCUUUCCAACAACAAUAAAAUGAGCAAGAAGACUAUAUGACCAUUGUGCUUCUUUUUUUCUUCAUGAAAAAUGAUUAAGUUGGAAAUCUAACAAAGAAGAAGAAAAAAGCGGAGUACCAUUUACCUCAGAAGCUAGCAAAGGUGCGGUCUCCCUCAUAUCGAAAGCCUGAGCUUUUCCACUGGCUGAUCUGAUCAGCAUAAAGGCUCCUCCACCAAUGCCACUUGAUGCAGGACUAACAACCCCCAGGCAAAGAGCAGCAGCCACUGAUGCAUCAACAGCAUGUCCUCCUUCGCGUAGAACAUCCAUACCAAUUUUGGAGCAACGGCGAUCAUCUGCGGCAACGGCACCAUGGCUUGCUACAACAACUUCAGGUCGAGCUAUGGAGGUCGGAGUCAGUAACCCAAUAGAAACAAGAACAAUCACAAGCCACCGUAUCAACAUUGCUGCAGCCACACAUGCAAACCAUUAUAGAUUACUCAGUAAAUAAUACUGAUCAGUUUAAUUGGGAAAAAAAAAUGUAAAUCACUAUCAGGAGAGCAUACAUUGAUAUAUUCUUGCUGGCCAAACUAUGUUUAAAGAUAUGAUACAGAAUAAAGGUUUUAAUUAAUUUUUAAAGUUUUUCAAAUCAGCCCAUUUGCCGAGGAUUUAUAAUUAUAUUAAAAGCAACGUAACUAAAACCGUGAUUACGAUCAGGGGCGCAUUCAUUGACUUUUGAAGGCCAAACCAUGUUUAAAAAGAGCAAAAUGGCUUUGAUCUUUUAUACAGUUUUCUAAAUCAGCCCAUGUGGAAUUUGAAAAUAAUGCCAGAAGCAGCACAAGUAAAAUGAUUUCAGUAUCUUUAAGGUGCAAAACAAUUCCUUAGACCAUGUUUUGUUCCUGUAUUGAUGAGAACAAGAUUUUGAAAAUAGAACACGCCACAAAAGAUAAGAUUGAAUUUAGUGCGUUUGUUGGCCUUAGAAGUUCAUUUGGCAGUAAAAUUUGCCAAGUGGAUGUUUAUGUGGAAAUUUCUGUUUGGUACUUGGAAUGAAAAGAAUCUGUGGCAGAAUCUAACUGCUAGAAGUUGACAAAUUGGAAAAGAUUUUCUAAGAGAGACGGUAAGCGGAUGAAGAAAGAAUGAUUAGAACAAUAGAGAAAAUGAACAAAUAGUGUACAAGCUCAUGCCUAUGGAGGGAAAAAGGGUGGCCGUGUUAUUUCUUCUAGAAAAUUUUGAGUGAAAAUGUUUUAGAUGGCAAUGCUAUUGAAAAUGUUUUUUUUAAAGAAGUAAAAUUUUGUUAGAUAUGCUAUAUUUAAAACCAUUCCAAACUAUAAUGUUAUAUUAUUACUAAAACUAAAAUAACUCAAUGUUUAAUUUUAUCAUUUUGUUAAAAUUAAUUUUAAAUAAUUAAAAACCUUUUUUCUAAAAUAAUUUUGAAAAUAACAAAAUCCAUAAAACCUAUACCACCGUCCAAAUCUAAUUCAAAACACCAAUUAUCAUUUAAAUGUGAAUAUCCUUCCUAAAAAAAUGUCAAAAAAGUAAGCCACCACAAAGUGACGGUGAUUAUAAGUACAAAGUUUGUAAAAAUAGUAAAAAAAUUAUGAUAAUAGAGUUCAUGUCACUUAUCUUUUUAAAAUUGUAAAAAUAACAAAUUUAGAUAUAAAAUAUAUAUAUAUAAAAAUAAAAAAUAUGUUAUUAACUGUUUUUUACUCAAUUUUUUAUUAGCUGUUUUUUACUAAAUAUUUUUAUCAUCCAAUCCAAUUUUCUAAAAAUAUCUCCCAAUUUGUAUAGUUGUUAAAAUUGGCGUUGUAACCUUGUAGAAGUUUGACCAAACAUUUGCAAAGAGCUUUCCGGACGAUCUACGCCAUCGUCGUUACGUUGGUCCUCAAAUUACUAUUCUCACUCUUCGCACCCCCAAAUGUAUAAUCAUUCUCCCCACUAAUAUUACUUCAAUUUUCCAUGGAAGAUUGAAAUGAGUUCAAUUUGAGGAAAAACCUUUCCCCAAGAUUCUGCCAUGAAUGAUUUCAGAACGACGAAAUAAAAUGGAGAGUUCUGACUCAAAUCACCAAUUUAUAACCACAAACAAAAACCCAGAAACCAAAAGGCGAGAAUGGAUCACGUUGAAGCAAGAUUGAAAUUACUCAUUCAAACAGUGACUCACUUGGGAUGAUUUAUUGGCUAAGUAAGAGAAUCAGCUCGAAUCCGCCCUUUCUUGUCGUCUUCUUCUUUCCGUAGUCGAUUUAUUUGGCAGCAGCCUUGUUCUUUCCUGGGAAUUAAAGAAGAAAAGCAAUCGCAAUAAGGAAGUUGCAUUGACAAUGGGUGAAAAACAGGAAAGAAGGCGAUAUAUCGUUAUCAUAAUCGACGACUUUCGUGACAAUUUUUGGGCGUUGUUUUUUUAUGAAUCGGAUAAAUUAGGAUUUAGGGUCUAGUUUUCAUCUUUUGCGGUUUCGUCGAAGUUCACUUUACCUUGUAAAUUCUGCACUCCACAUUUCUCGAGUCGUUCGUUUCAGAUAAUUUUCCGAAUUUUCAAGGGCUAAAACUACGUCCUGAUUAUCCAGAGGAAAAGAGCCGUUGAUCAUCCGAUUCGACCCAACUUGGCGGAUUGAUGAGAGAUUAGAGAAGAAUCAAAAGAGGUCGCAUAGUGCGAUAGUUACUCUAGGAAUCUUCCACCAUGUGAACCUUUUUUCCAUGGACCUUUGAAAAAGUUUGAAACUUUCUUUGUUAGAACUUUAUUUCCAUCGUGCGAUAUUUCGUGGAUAAUACUAAGAUACAAAAUCUUGUAAUCUAAAAGUAAAAGAAUCUAAGUCAGUGACUUGAUAAUUUUACUUAUUCUAUGCUUGAAUUUCAUGAGUAACUCAGCAAACCCCGUCUACAAGAUACAAUCAACCAUCCUUUGUGAAAACACUCUGAAAGUUUUGAAUAAAAGGUGAUGAAAAAGUGGUUCUAAAAUGCCAUUUGAAAAAGAAAAAGACACAUUAAUGAACUAUUUGUUAGCAUUCAAAUACUUCGUUCUUAGUUAAUUAUGAAAUUCGAAAAGACAUGUUCAUUGCAACCACAACCUAAAAGUACAUCUUCUGCCUAACUUUAUUUGGGUUAAUCCUAUGCCAAAACGAGUAUCCCCUCCGUCCAAGAAAAAUCUACAAUCCUACUUUACAAUCUCAAAAUGAACCUUUUCUCUCCUUAUAAACAUUAUUAUUUUAUUUCUUUCCACUGAUUUAAAUUCAUUCUGCUAACAUGUCUUUUAACAAUGGAAGCUAUUGAAGAGAUCCAAGAAUUCACAAUCUCAAAGCCAGCCGGAGCCCCACCUUUCCUUGGAUCACUUACUACCACAAGUUUAUCCACGCCACCACCUUGUCUCACUCACCCAAAACUUUGAACAAUGAACCGACGAACUGUCUCUUCUAAGACACGACCCUUCUUAUCAAGGUCUGCCCUUGUUUUAGCAGGCACUUCAAAAUGACCCCCAAACACAUUGGUCCAAUUCCGCAUAGUUCAAAAUGUUUGGAAUCAGCUGUUUGUUUGCUUCAAUUCAACAAAAAAUGUAUUAGUUCCCAAAUGACUAACAUCUAGUAGUGCAAGAAGGUUUAGAUCGGAUGAAUCGAUAUAGAAGUAUUACAAGACGGAUCGGAGAAGGAGCGCAUUAACCGGAUGAUAAACUUAAGGAGUCAUCACAAAAUGAUUCAACAAAACCUCUGCUACUCCAGCAAUGAUGAAGGCUCCUCCACUUGCACCAACCACAGCUUUUAGUUGACCAUCUUGUAGAUGAAAUUAAGUUCAAAGAAAUCUUCAAUUACAAGACACCUAUAAAGGUAGUAACAUUUUGAAAUUCAAGUUAAGAAAUUAGAAUGAAAAGAACACCUUUAGGAGAUAGUAGGAGACAUGGAUGAUAAUGGCCUUUUCCCACAGUCAGCGAGACAGCGUUAUCAAGUGUUGAAUAAAGAAGUUGGGCUGAAUUUCAUCACCUUCUGGGCUGGAGGCCCAUUAUAGGCCCAUAUAUAAUAUCCGACCCGCGUUGUUCGCAUCCCGUCAACAUUGCUAUUAUUCAAUUUCAAACCACCAUCUUUCUCCCGCCCAAUCUUCUUGCCCACGUCUCAACAUCGGUUCUUCGGCAGAGCUCAAAAAGAGGAAGAGAGAGAUUUACCGGUGUAAAUUAAUCCAUUUUUUUCCGUCUCCGGCAGCUACAUUUCUUCAUGUUUUAGAAUCCCACUGCGAACUUCAAUUAAUUUCACUGUGCACUACAUUAGGGUUUGAAAGUUUUUGUACAGUUGAAAAUCCAGUGACGAAGUACGGAUUCAUCUCAGAAUGCUGCAAUCUGAGUAGUCCAGUAAAGCCAAGAAAGACUGGUAGCUGAGAAUGGCAAGGCGAAAGGCGAAGAAAACGGUUAAGAAGUCCAGCCCUUCACCUAUACUAGAAGCAAAGGAUGAAGCAGCGAAUGACGAGGAUGGUAUGUUGAAAUUCGUGGUGAUUUCGAUUCUUUUACUGAAGCCGGAAUUUAAUUGAAAGAAAAUUGUUUUGUUUCUCUUCCCGUUAACAUAAUUGUUCCUCUGUUUUCCCUUUUACUCGUGUUUAGUUGAACGGCAUGCUGCUGCAAUCCGUGCCAUUCGGGAUGUGGAGAUCGGGCGUUUGAUUACUGAAUUGCGGUUGCUUCGUUCGUAUUUCAACAAGGAGCAAUUGCAAACUCCUUUAUUGCAAUUCUUCGAAGAAAAACUUCCUAGGUUGUCUAUUUCGAGAACAGGCGAACAAGGAGAAAUUGAAGUACAAUGGAAGGAUACAGAGGAUGAACUACGCACCAAUCCAGCUGAUGGAAUAGAUAUACAUGCGUCUCUCCUUCACCGCCUGUCGAUAGCUUAUCCUAACUGCUCUGCCGGAAUGCGAUCUUUCAAUGGAUUCGAAUUUUCCAGUAAAUCAGGUAUCUGUAGAUUUUGGAUUUUGGAGCGCAAAAUCAUUUAGUAAGUGCCCCCUUAUACGACGCUUCUUUGCUGCAACUCACCUUCUUUUCUCUACUGAUGGCAGUGAAAACGAAUCCUUUCAUUGUCGAGAACCUGCAAAUUCCAAACUUUGUAAGUAAUAUUUGCAUAUGAUAUCUUAAAUCGUACAGUAGUAGAAUGAGUUAUAUGGUGCGAGCACACAACAUACGAUGUAGUUUGUCUAUAUCUUUUGUUUCAUGUUGUUGAUUUGUGGAAGAACGCUACUAGAAAUAAAACCGUGAACAAUUUGGUAUUGACUCAUAGAUUUGUUAACAAUUCUUGAUUUUAGGUUUUGGAGGAGCCCUCGGAUAAUUUGGUGCUCGGCAUGCCAGACAUACACCAAACUCCUGGGGUUUGUAUCUUUAUGGUUUUUGCACAUCGCUUAUUGCAUUGGCCUUUUCAUGUUAAUAUUCUAUAGCUGUCUGUUAUUGCCAUUUUUUUAGGCGGUGUUUUCACUUAAAUUAUCUAGGCACAUUGAUUGUCGGGGUCUAAGGAAUGGAAUUACUGUAGUGAUAGAUGGGUGGCUGCAAUCAAUUAUUAAUGUUUUAUUUUCAAUAAUUAACGGUGUUUUGUUUAAAUAUUUAAGGGUGUCUAAGCUAAUUCAUGUCUAUAAGUAGGGAUUUAUUGCCUCAAUCUGUCAAUAAGUUUGAGUUGUGACUUCUUGGUUAUAAGUUGGGAUCUUGUUGCCCACCAUCAGUUAAACUUUGUGGUUAAUGAAGUCUAAAUGUAGGGAAUAAGUUCAGCACAUAGUGGCCAUCCCACUACCAAAUAUUUGAAAAUCAAAGUAGAAUCACAUUAUGAUAGUUUUUUCUGUGAGGAUAGUUGAGGCUAACAAGCUGACCUUAAAGAAAACAUGGCCUUCAUAUACUCAUUAGUAAAUCGGAAAUGAACUUUGAACCUAGUAUUUGUCUUGCAAUCGGAUGCUAUUUGAAAUUUUGGAACGUUGGACUAUAGUUUUGUUUUUUCUUCUCUCUUUUAAUGGUUCAUUUUGGAUUUGAAUAUUUCUACUCCGAAACUUCAGUGUAAAUGUUCCUAUGGAUAUCAAUACCAUGAUAAAAGUUCAUAUUUAUAUAUGUUUUCUGCCAACCAACUAGGGGAGAUAAAUUAAGUUCCGAGCUAAGUUGCAAAAAAGUUAUUGGGAGCCGGGAGGCAAUAGUCGAUCAUUUCAAAAAUCAAUCAUGACUAGAUCGUAGAGGGAAUGAUGGAACACGGCUUCAUUUCUAGUAAUUAAAUAAUUUAUUUGUUAAGACAGGGAAAAUCUUGAACCCAUGAAGGAAGCUGCAAAGAUGAAUUCUAAGUACAAAGAUCGGCAUGGUUCUUACUAAAAAAUACAUGUAAAGAUUAUAUUUUAAUAACAUCUCAGGCUUGUUCGAGGGAUUAUCCCUAACAGAACUUGCUUAAGGCUGUUUUUGUCAUUGUUGCCUCUAUUUAGUGUAUUAUACUAUAACUAUAAGCUAACUAGCCUUCCUUCUACAGGUGAGUAACCAACGAUUAUCCAUUGGGAUGACUCCGAAAACCCGAAGACUGCCAAAACCAGGCGAGAUGCUUGUGUCCAUCCAUGGAUCCCCCUUGGGUGUUUACAAGGAAGACAACAUGGAAGCAAUCCAUGGUAUGCUCAUUUAGGUCAUUUCCAUUUCUAGACAUGGAGUAUUUUGGUGGGUUUAUAUAAAUCGUGCUUCUACAUUUUUCUAAUGGGUAAAUUGAUAUUGUGCAGAAUCGGAAGAGGGUUGAUUUGCUGAUUCAACGCGACUUGACUGCUUGUCAAUAGAAGUGAUACUCCAAAUGCGAUCAUCUCGACCAUCGUUUUACUUUUACCUGAUGUACUUUCAACCUUCUUGUCUUGUAAUCUAACCUUUUGAUUACUUCUUAAAAGUUACUCUUACGUGUAUAACUAUAAACUAGUGUGUUUUAACUCCAAGGAACGAGCAUGUACAAACACGCAAUUGCUCCACUAGAUUAUUGUUCAUUGUUAUUUGUUACGAAAGUUGACGUUGGAUUAAAGGUAAAUCUGGAUUGUUGCUUUGUCUUUAUUUCCAACAUGUUUUUUGUGAUUACCAACACAGUCUCAGAUCGCUAAUGAGGCAGAAAAAUGGUUCAGACGGUUGCUUAGGCUCUCCGAUGACAAUUGAAUCAAUUUAUAUAAUCCACAAAUACAAAGCACACUUAGUUUGUCUGUACAUCCCAAUUUUGUGAGGAGUCGGACCUCAUCAAAUCAUAAAAUUUCAUGGGAAAAUAAAUGAGCAUAUAUACAAAAUUUUGGUUUCUUUUCAAAACUCAACAUUCCUGUAAUUUUUGUAAAACUGCCGUACCAUUCUCCAAAUUUUAAGAGGAGAAGUCAAGAAGCUUCUAAAGAAUGUAGAUUGACCACAAAAAGGAAAUUCUUAAGCUAACCCUAGCUCUGGAGCAUGGUUUUCCACACCACUUUCUGAGUUUCGUGAACCUGUUCUAGUUCUUGAAGAUCUUGGUUUUUGCACAUUACUUUCUAAGUUUCUUGGACCUGAUCUAGUUCUUGAAGAUGACUGUUUUUCCACACUACUAUCUGAGUUUCUUGAACCUGUUCUAGUUCUUGCAGGUUCUGGUUUUUCUUGUGACGAUCCAAUGGUUCCCAAAGCAUCGAGGAAGAAUCUCUUAUUUGGAAUGAUGCCAGCUUUGUCCAUAUUCUUCAAGAGCUUCUCCAGAAGUUCCUUCUUAUCAGCUUUGGUGUAAGCUUUAUAAAGAAGCUUGUAUGUUGUUGAAUCUGGAAAUACCCUCAUAUUACCUGCACUCUCAAAAAGCAAAUCGGCUUCCAAGGGUAAACCAUUGAUGCAGUAAACAUCAAGCAUGGCAUUGAGGGUUGAGACUCUCACCUCCUUCCCAGAAUUAACCAUUCCAUCAAAGAUUUCUCUAGCCUUAGAAACACAGUCACAAUGACCAUACAUCAUGAUCAGGCUUUCACAAGUAACAUAGCUGGGGUCAUAUCCCAUAUCCUUCAUCUUCCUAAAAACCUCUUCAGCUUUCUCUCUAAGCCGUGCCUUCCCGUAGUUUGUGAUCAUUGAAUUGAAAGUAGGCAGUGUUGGCCUCUCCUUCGAUCGUAGUAAGCUCUUAAACACCUGUUCCAUCUUGUCAAAUAACUGUUUCUUCCCAUAUGAAUCAAUCAACAAGUUAAAGGAUAUGAUAUCUGGUUUAAUUUGAUUGCUUUUCAUGCGAGCAAGCAUCAAUUCCAUCUCUUUAAUGUUCCCAUUUUUCCCAUAUGCAUCCAUCACUCCAUUAUACGUAUAUAUAUCAGCUGAAACAACACUCUCAUCGAGAUCUUUAAACAAUGUAUUAACUUGAUCCACUUUUGCAGCUUGAGCAAAAGCUCUGGUAAGAAUGUUGUAAGUAACAAUGUUUGGCUUACAUCGUUCCAUUCCUUUCAUCUUCUCGAAGUACGAAAGGACUUUAACUAAAGCUUUAGCUUUGUCCUUAGAAUGAAGAUGUGCUGUGAUAAGUGCAUUGUACACAGAAGUAUCAGGUCGACACCCACUAUUUCGCAUCUCAGAAAACAACCACAUAGCCAUCCGAAUUUGACCCUUCUUUCCCAUAAUAGAUAUUAGUUUAGAAUAAACCCCAUUGUCAGCAAUAUACCAACGUUGUUUCUGCAUCCAUCUGAAGACCUGGAGAUGAAAACACAUCAAUAAAACAUAAUAGCAGAAAAAUGUAGACUCUCCCUUCUUCAUCUAUGCCUAAAUAGAGCUUGAACUACAGUGAAAAUUCAAUUAAUUCUGUGUAAUGUUCACAAAUUGAAAAUUCAUAUCCUCGAUUUCAAAUUCAAUCAACCGUCUUUGAGCAUUUUCACCACUACCCAUCAAUCCAAGUUCCAAAAGUCAAUACCCAUAGGCUCAAAUUCAGAGUUCAAAAGAAGAGAAGCGAACCUCGAGACAUUCAAGCCAUUUAUCUCUUUUCCCCAAUUCCUCAAAUAGAAGAAAACAGUGCUCAGUUCUCAUAACACGAACGUAUUUGUCCAGUGUCUUGAGCAAUGGUUCUUUGUCGCUGAAAUUUCUAAUUAUACCUCGAACCAGUUCUUCAGCCUCGGAUCUGUCGGUUUUAACCCCAAAUUUCCUACUGGGUCGAGUCGAAAUGCAGACCACUCGAGUCGAAACGGCUUUCUUUAUAGAUGAAGGGAGUGGAAGCCAUAGCCGGGAGAGUUGGGAAGAAGAAUAAGAUGGAGUGAAUGUGGGAGAAAAUUGCAGAGAAAAUGAAAGAGGCAUUGGAGAAUUUGAAGUACCUUGGAGUUCGACAGGGAGAGAGGAUAGCAAAAUCCGAUGAAGUAAAUGGUUGAUUUUGUAAAUUCCUCGCGUUGGAGAAAAAAACAAAAAAAAAACAAAAGAGGGAAUUGAACCCGACGUGAAUCGAACACGCAACCUUCUGAUCUGGAGUCAGACGCGCUACCAUUGCGCCACGGAUCCACUUGUUGAUUUCAUAAUUAAGUAAAAGAAUUAAACCAAUAAUAUUUUCAUUGUAAGAAAUAAAAAUGAUCUAAACAUUAAGACUAAAGUUUGGAUAAUUUUUUUGAAAAUGUUCUCUUUGUACAAUUAACACGAUUCUUGAAAAAUCAUUAAGCUACAUUGUAACAUCUUCAAUAAAUAAUUUUAUUCUCCACAACUAUCAUCUAAUUUCCUCGAAAUUUAACAAAAAAAAUUGGAGGUUAUGAGUAAAAGGAGGGUGUCAUUGUUAAUAAAAAAUGUAAAACUGUGGGUUGGAUUGCCUCUACCACAAGGAGAAAUAGAAAAAGACGUGUGUGGCGGUUUCUUCCUGCACCAAACCAAUAAUGUUUGACCAUUACAACCUAAGCCUUCUUUGAAAUUAAUGCAUCUCCUAAGGAUUUGCCAUUGAAAAAAUGGUAGUUUUGUAUUCUCUUUUUUUUUUUUAAUAACAUUUUAAAAUUUUUCUGUGUGUAGCCCAUGAAAUUAAGUGCAACAAUCCAUUGCUUUUUUUUUUUUCCUUAAUGUGUGCAACUUUAGAAAGCUAUGUAUAGGUGAAAGAAGAAAAAAUAAUUUUCAUUGUUGUUUCAAAAAAAAAAACGAUCCAUUUCUCGUUUCUAUUUUUCUUUUUCCAUUUAUUGUUAAAGGAAGGAAAUUCUUUCAAAAAACAAAAGUAAAAUUGAAUUAUCGAGUAAAGGCCGUGACAGAAGAGAAAUUAAUUUUCGUAGUUGCAAGGUUAUUCUUAUUGUCCUCUUACCUUUUUUCUUUAUUAAAAGAGAGAAGAUUAGAAGAAAGAAAAGACGUGCAAGAAAUGUUAGCUUUUCUAUCCAUAAAAUAGAAAACAAAAGCAGAGAAGAUUUUGAAAAUAAACAUAGAUUUUUCUUUUCUUUUUGGAUAAAGUUAUAGAGAGAAACAUCAUAUAAAAUAAAAAAAAGUGUGAGAAAAAUGAGUUAGCACAUAUGCAUGGGAGACUGGCCGGAGAUUCGCCAAAAAGAUGGACGCAUGUCACCGGAGGAAAGUUCAUCGACAAAUAUUUAACCACAGGUUAAGUCUUCUUUUUUCAAGCCUUGAAAAUUAUUAAUAAAACUAUAAUAUACGUAACCUUUCAUCACUUAUUGCAUACCAUGGCUUGGGUUUCGGCUACAAUAAUUGGGUUACUGCUUCUUCUUCUUCUUCUUCUUCUUUCAAAUUACCUCUUUGAAAUAUGGCUAUUCAAGAAUAAGAGUAAGGGCAAGAAAUUACCUCCUGGCCCGAAAGGGUUUCCCAUUUUUGGCAGUCUCAGUUUGCUCAAAGAGUUUCCUCAUAGAGAUCUUCAUCGCCUGUCUCAAAAAUAUGGUCCUAUUAUGCACAUCAAAUUGGGACUUGUAAACACGAUUGUUGUUUCUUCCCCACAAGCUGCUGAGCUUUUUCUCAAAACCCAUGAUCUUAUUUUUGCAAGUAGGCCUCUCACUAUGGUCUCUAAAUUCUUGUCUUAUGGCCAAAAGAAUUUGGUUUUUGCUCAAUAUGGAUCUUAUUGGAGGAAUGUACGUAAAAUGUGUACACUUGAAUUGCUUAGUAAUCACAAGAUCAAUUCUUUCAAAUCCAUGAGAAAGGAAGAGGUUGGGCUGUUGAUUGAGUAUCUCAAAGAGGCUGCAAGUGAUGGUGUUUCUAUUAAUAUUAGUUCAAAAGCUGCGUCACUCAUUACAGACAUGACUUGCUUGAUGGUUUUUGGGAGGAAAUUUGGCGAUGAAGAGUUGGAUGAUAGAGGUUUCAAGGCUAUGAUGCAAGAGGUGAUGCAAUUAAUUGCUGCUCCUAAUUUGGGAGAUUUUAUUCCCUUUAUCGAAAGAUUUGAUCUUCAAGGCCUGAAUCGUCGGAUGAUAAAUGUUAGCAAAGUGUUUGAUGGGUUCUUUGAGAGGAUUAUUGAUGAACAUCUCAAGUCUAUGGGCGAAAAGAAGACAAAAGACUUUCUAGAUGUCAUGUUGGAUCUAAUGAAUACUGAAUGUCUUAGUUAUGAGUACCGAAUUGAUCGAUCCAACGUCAAAGCAAUAAUACUAGUGAGAAUUCCAAUCCUCUUAAUCCAGUAAAAAAAAUGCCAUAAUUAGAAUUGAGUUACUUCAUUAUUGAACAAAGUUUCAUAAAUUUAUAACUUUUUUUAAAAAAUAAUUUAUAAAGUAAUUUCAAAUGAGCACGUAAAUUAUGAAUUGAAAUAUUAAUAUUAUUAUUUUAGUUUCUAUCUAUUUUUAACAAAUUCAUUCUAAUUAUUAGAUCUAUAUUAUUAACUUUUUGUUCAUUUUGAGAUUAUUGAAUUUUAAAGAAAAAAUCCAUUUCCAUCCAAUAAAAAUGAGGACAACUAAAUGAAUCAUUUCUUUUAAUGAAGUAUAAAAGAUCAAAAGGAAAUGAAAAGUAUGUAAAAGUAGUGCAAUAAUUUAAAUAUGACAUAAAAGAUGAAUUGGUUCAAUAUAUAUAUACUGAGUUUGAUUUUGUUGAAGGAUAUGCUUGGUGCUGCAAUGGACACAUCAGCCACAGUAAUUGGGUGGGCACUACCUGAGCUCAUAAGACAUCCACAGGUAAUGAAGAAAGUGAAAGAUGAACUUGAAAAUGUGGUGGGCUUAGAUACAAUUGUGGAAGAAUCACAUUUAAUUCACUUGCAAUAUUUAGACAUGGUCAUUAAGGAGAUUCUUAGGCUCUAUCCUCCCGUUCCAUUGUUAGUUCCACACGAAUCUCUUCAAGAUUGCGUUGUUGAUGGUUUUUUCAUUCCAAGAAAGUCUCGUGUAAUAGUAAAUGCAUGGGCAAUUGGACGAGAUCCAACUGCUUGGAUUCAUCCACUAAAGUUUCAUCCAGAGAGAUUCAUGGAUAGCCAAUUGGAUGUAAAAGGAAGAGAUUUUCAGUUAAUUCCAUUUGGAGCUGGUAGAAGAGGGUGUCCAGGAAUUCAUUUGGGUUUGACUGUAGUUCGUUUGGUAUUGGCUCAACUUCUACAUUGCUUUGAUUGGAAGCUCCUUGGUGGUAUGUCAAUAGAUGAAUUGGAUAUGACCGAAAAUUUUGGUUUGACUUGUCCUAGAGCUCAAGAUCUUAUUCUCAUUCCUGUUUAUCGACUUCAUAUUUGAAUUUAAUUAUUCUUCUCUCAUGUCAAUUUGAAAGUUUAAUAAUAUGUAAAAGAAUCAUAGUCGUUCAAUAAAAUAUCACGUGUACCAUGUAAUGAUUGGUUAACUUAAUCCCAAAUUUUGAGUUUAAAUUUCAAAUGGGAGGAAUCAAAUGAUUUAUUGUAAAAUUUAAAAUUCUUGAAAUUUAUAAAUUGGAAAAUCAUGAAAUGAAUUUUGUAAAUUGUGUUUUAUACAGUUCAAAAUGAAAUUCUUUUACAUAUUAUUAAUUUAGAGGAAGGAUCUAUAUGUAAUUUUUUUCAGUAUUUCUUUUUAUUGAAAUGACUAUAUAAUUCUUUUACUUAUUAUUAAACUCAACUUGGCACAAUGAAAAGGGUAAUUAAAUUCAAAUAUGAAGUCGAUAAAUAGGAAUGACAAUAAGGUCUUGAGCUCUUGGACAAGUCAAUCCAAAUUCUUCGGUCAUAUCCAACUCAUCUAUUGACGUACCAUUGGGAAGCUUCCAAUCAAAACAAUGUAGAAGUUGAGCCAACACCAAACGAAUCACAGUCAUACCCAAUUGAAUUCCAGGACAUCCUCUUCGACCAGCUCCAAAUGGAAUUAAUUGAAAAUCCCUUCCCCUUACAUCCAAAUGACUUCCCAUAAAUCUUUCGGGACAAAACUUUAGAGGAUGAAUCCAAGCACUUGGAUUUCGACCAAUUGCCCAUGCAUUCACUAUUACACGUGAAUUUUUUGGAAUGAAAAAGUCUUCAACAAUGCAGUCUUGAAGAGAUUCAUGUGGGACUAGCAAUGGAAGUGGUGGAUAGAGCCUAAGAAUCUCCUUAAUGACCAUAUCCAAAUAUUCCAAGUGAAUUAAAUCUAAUUCUUCCACCAUUCUAUCUAACCCCACCACAUUCUCAACUUCAUCUUGCACUUUCUUCAUCACAUCUGGAUGUCUUAUGAGCUCUGCUAGUGCCCAUCCAAUUACUGUGGCUGAUGUGUCCAUUGCAGCACCAAGUACAUCCUAUUCAUGUAUAUGGAAUGUAAUAAGUGUAUUUUAAAACACAAAAAAUUACAAAACUACAAAAUAUAACGAAAUUUUAGAUAUAUCAAAUAUAGGUACCGAUCAAAUCACAUUUUUAAAUAUAACAAAAUGAACCAAAAUAUUUACAAAAAUAUAACAAAAUUUAAAUUCUAUUAAAGAAAAUUGUAAAAAAUAACAAAUUUAACAUAAUAUUUAUAACGUAUAGCAAAAUUUUCAGAUUUUAUCAAUAGUAGACAUUAAUAAACAUUUAUAUGCAUCUAUUAGCGACAUUAAUAGAUAGUGGUAAAAGUCUAUCAAUUUAAAAAUAUUUAAAUACAAUAUUUUAAUUAACAUAAGACAAAAAUGGACAUUAUUAAUAAUUCCAAUGACCAAAAUAAAUAUUUUGAACCAAAUAAUCCCAUAUUCUUAAAUUACCAAUUGAACUAACAUAAUUUGAAGUAUAAAAAUAAAUAUGACCACUAAAUAAAAAAUACGGGACGUGAAGAGGCAUUCAAACCUAAACAAUAAUAAUAAUAGAUUUUCAUCUACAAAACUAUGAGCUCAUCUGAAAUUACUUUAUAAGUCAUUUAAAAAGAAGUAAUUUUAUGCACGAAAAUAAAUAAUUCUUCAGACAAGAACUAACUCAAUUUUUGACCUAGUUUGAUGAUUAAAACAUUUAAUUAAAUGUCUUUAACUAGAGAUCAAAGGAUUUAAAUUCUUACCAAUAUUAUUGCUUUAACACUGGAACGAUCAAUUCGAUACUCAUGAGUAUCUUCAGACUUCAUUAGAUCCAACAUGACAUCUAAAAAAUCUUUAGUUUUUUUUUCACCCAUGGACUUAAGAUGUUCAUCAAUAAUCCUCUCAAAAAACCUAUCAAACACUUUGUUAAUAUUUUUCAUCCGACGUGUCAACCCUUGAAGAUCAAACAUUGCAAUAAAAGGAAUAAGAUCUCCCAAAUUAGGAGCAGCAACUAAUUGCAUCACCUCUUGUAUCAUAGCCUUGAAACCUCUAUCAUCCAACUCCUCAUCCCCAAAUUUCCUCCCAAAAACCAUCAAGCAAGUCAUGUCUGUGCUGAGUGACACAACUUUUGAACUAAUAUUAACAGAAACACCAUCAUUUGCAGCCUCUUUGAGAUACUCAAUCAACAACCCAACCUCUUCCUUUCUCAUGGAUUUGAAAGAAUUGAUCUUGUGAUUACUAAGCAAUUCAAGUGUACACAUUUUACGUACAUUCCUCCAAUAAGAUCCAUAUUGAGCAAAAACCAAAUUCUUUUGGCCAUAAGACAAGAAUUUGGAGACCAUAGUGAGAGGCCUACUUGCAAAAAUAAGAUCAUGGGUUUUGAGAAAAAGCUCAGCAGCUGGCGGGGAAGAGACAAUAAUUGUGUUUACAAGUCCCAAUUUGAUGUGCAUAAUGGGACCAUAUUUUUGAGAUAAGCGAUGAAGAUCUCUAUGAGGAAACUCUUUGAGCAAAUUGAGACUACCAAAAAUGGGAAACCCUUUUGGGCCAGGAGGUAAUUUCUUGCCCUUACUCUUCUUCUUGAAUAGCCACGUUUCGAAGAUGUAAUUUGAAAGAAGAAAAAGUAAUGCAAUUAUUGUAGCCCAAAUCCAAGCCAUGGCAUGGAGUUUUAUUUGUCCCAGCUAAUUAAUGAUGAUGAUAUUGAAAUAAAAAUGGGAUUUAAUAAUAAGCUUUGAUUGUUAUAAUUAAUUGAACUAUCUCCAACCCUUUUUAAAUGAUAGGCAUAGUUGUUAGAUGGUUUUGUUUUGUUAAUAUUUUAAAGCCACCAAGAAAAUUUUCAAAAUUUCAAAUUCAACUUUUGCUAUAUACUCUAGGGAAAUUCAACUAGUGGAGGUGUGGGUAGGAUGGUUUUCAACGAUAUCGGAGAUCAUGUAAAAUUAAAAAAAUUCUCCUUGUUAAUUUUUUCUCCAAAGAUGUACGAUAUUAUAUUAGAAGUAGAAUGAUUUUCAAAAUAUAAUUUUGGAUUGUUUUCUUCAAUAGAUCAUACAUGCAUGGUGUGUAUUUGUAAUAAUUUUGGAAUGUCAAGAUUGGGGUGCGGCCAGUAUAAGUUUGAAGAUGCAAAAAUAAACUAAACUUCCUUUUAAAUAAGACAGUUGAGUUCAAACUAUUCAUUCUAAUUAUUAUUAUUUAUUAUCUACAAGAUACUAAUGGGAGAGAGGGACAACUGCUCAACUGGAUUUUUUUCUAGAAAGUAGACAAAUUACUUUGGAGUUUUGUUAUUAUAAAAAUAAAUGGAAACAGGAAAGAGGUAAUGAAAUUAAAAAAGGGAGAUGAGUAUAAGAGUGGCCAAAAGUCCAAGCCAUGCCCAAUCUAAUGAUACAUUUGUAAUUAUGCUUGGACAAAGAAAGUAUUUGGCAGUAGUCUAUAUAUCACAAAAGAGUGUAGCUUUGUAAUUAAUAUAUAUCUCACGAACAUACUUUACACAAAAUAUAUCAAUCAUUUAUUUUAGCCCCGAGCAUCAAGUCAAAUCUUUAUCGAUUUAUUUCAAUUCCAGUACUUUUAAAUAUUGAAUUAUUAUUGUACAUUGUUAAUUAAAAUGACGUCUCCAAUUUUUUUUUACUAAAUUUACAUGGUACAUGAAUUCAAAACAAGCAAUACAUAAUUGAAGACACUGUUUUCAUUCAUAAUGAAAAUGUCUACUAACUAAAUUCAAUAAAAAUAAAAUGAAAAUGAAUAAAAAGUUUAAAUGUAGUUGUGGUAAAAAUUAUUGAAGUGAUAGACAAUUGAAAUUACAUCCCACUCGAGACUUCCAACUAGAUCUAGCAAAUCUGAGAUAGAUAUUAUUUUGAUAGUGAUUGGGUGUGUUGGAGUUUAGCAUCUCAAUUAUGAUGGCUCAAAAGUUGUUUACGUCGUCCAAGUCAACUCCAGAACAGUUGAAUAAAACCCAAGACAAUUUUUCAUAUAAAUGUUAAAUAUAAUCUUAUACUCUCCUUCUAACUAGAUCAACAUCUAAUUUUAAACUAUACAUUACAUUUAUUUGAGGUUAGAUGAAUAAUUACUAUUUUCAUUAUAACAAAUUACAUAUUCAAUCAUAAAAAAUAAAAAAAAUACUCUAGUCACUUUACUCAUUCAUAUAAAAUAUGUAGCUGUUAGUGAAAUUCUAAUUUUUUAAGUUACAUUCAUAAAGGCAUGUUGGUAAAAUAUUGACGUCAAUAAUUAAGUUACUAAAUAUUGGUUGAUGAUGUUUUUAUUUGUUUAGACAUAAAUAUAGAUUGAUGUUGAACUAUUAAAAUAAGCAACAUUGUUAAAGCAAUGUGGGAGGACCCAUGGCUAUUAUGUUAUGGGAUGUUAUUAACUUUAAUUUAAUUAAAAAUUUGAUUGGAUUAGAUUAGAUUAUAGUUUCCUAUACAACUAUCAAAUUUCAAGAAUAGAAAGUUAUUUAGUGACCACUACAAAAAAGUAAGUAUAAAAAAAAAUAAGAUAAAUGAAAGUUGACAAUAAUUAGACGUAGGUAUAGCAUAAGUUGCAUGAUAAUUUAUAUCAUGUAUAAUAUUUUUUAAAAUUACAUCUAUCUUUAUUAAAUUAUUUUUUGGGAUGCAAAAUGAUUAAUUUUGUUUAAUCUGUGUUUUGAUGGCCGUAAUUAAAGUUAGGUCACAAACAAUUAAUCCAAGAAAAGGACAUGCAUCCAUUGUUAUCAAUGUCUAUACCAAACGAAAAAUACCCAUCAGCCAUUUCUCAAGUAAAAAUUAAAACCCAAAAAUACCCUCACCAGUCACCACUCAACUCUUCCAUUAUUGCUAACGUCCAACGCAAAUUUAAAUAAAUAUAUUGAUUUUUUAGUUUCAUAGUUAUAUCACAAAAUAUCUUACAUGCUUUAAAUUUUAUUUUCUUAAAAAAAGAGAAACAUUAAAUAUUUUAAUUUAUUUUAUUAUUUUUCAUAAGAAUAAAGAUAGACCAUUUGAGAUUGAUUUAAAAUAAUUUAAAUCACACUGUAAUCUAGUUUAUUUUAAAUUAUUCUAGAACACAAUUUUACAAUUUCAGGUUGAAUUUUACCGUCUUAAUCCAAAAUUUUCACACUAACAAAAUUAAAAUUCAACUAAAAUACUUUUUCUUAUUUUCAAACAUGGUUGAUAUUUGAUCCAUACCUUUAUUAUUUAACAUUUAUCCUUUUUUCGCACAACCCAACCCACCUAUUUAUAAUCUCAACAACAUAUCCAAAACCCCAACACUCUCAUCUCAUUUGAACAAAAUCUAAGCCGUUCCAACAGUAGAGAGAAACUAAGAAAAAGCCUAUGGCUUUGAUUUUGGUCGUCGUCGUCCUCAUCACUCUCCUCCUUGCUCUUCUAAUCUCACACUCAUGGCUAUUCAAAUCCCAAAUCAAACCCAAAAAAUCCCCUCCAGGGCCAAAAGGGUUUCCCAUUUUUGGUUGCCUUCAUUUACUAGGAAAACUCCCUCACAGAAAUCUCCACGAAUUAUCCCAAAAGUAUGGACCCAUAAUGAGCAUGAAACUAGGGCUUGUUCCCACCAUCAUAGUCUCAUCCCCUCACGCCGCCCAACUCUUCCUCAAAACCCACGACCUCAUUUUUGCAAGCCGCCCCUCUUCACAAGCUUCAAAACACAUCUCUUAUCAACAAAAAAAUUUAGUCUUUGCUCCAUAUGGUCCUUAUUGGCGCAACAUGCGUAAAAUGUGCACUCUUGAAUUGCUUAGUAACCUUAAAAUCAAUUCUUUCAUGCCUAUGAGAAAACACGAGCUUGGUUUGUUGAUUGAGUACUUAAAAGAAGCUGCUCAUAACAAAGCUGUUGUGAAUCUGAGUGCUAAAGUUACGUCACUUACAACUGACAUUAUUUGUUUGAUGGCAUUUGGAAAGAAAUAUGGAGAUGAAGAAAUUGAUGAAAGGGGUUUUAAGGCUGUAAUACAAGAAGGUAUGCAGUUGUCUGCUGCGCCUAAUUUGGGGGAUUUUAUUCCGGCAAUUGCUUGGCUUGAUCUUCAAGGAUUUACUCGUAAAAUGAAACGUGUUCAUAAGGUGUAUGAUGAAUUUCUUGAAAAGAUUAUUAAUGAACAUCUUGUGGCUAGAGGUGGGAAGAAGACUAGGGAUUUUGUUGAUGUUAUGUUGGAUCUUAUUGGUUCUCAACAAACUGAGUAUCAAAUUGAUCGUUCUGCUAUUAAAGCUAUAAUGCUGGUAUGCCUACCUCUUUCUUCUAUUUCUAUCUUUUCAAUCCUACGUCUUCUCAAACUUUUUAUAUUUUUAUUUUUGUACAUCACUUACCUUAAAAAGAAUAAUAAAUUGCUAUCCAAUUAUAAUGAAAGGUUAAAAAAACAAACGUUUUUUUUUGUGUUUUUUCUUAUAUUUUUUUAUUAACCUAACAAAUGUGGUGGGAAGGUUCUUUAACAUAUGUGCUGAAGAAAGGAGAUUGUUAUGAAUUUUGUGUUUGAUUUUGAUGAUUAUUGUUUAAUAAAUCUUUAAAAUAAUUUUGUGUCAAUUAUUGAUUAUUAAAAUUUUUAUUUAUGUAUUUAAUAUAGGUCAUUAACCUAUCAUAUUCAACAUUUUUAAAGUUCUAAUUUAGUUUAUAGUUAUAUUAAACAUGAAAUUUAAAUUAGUGUCGAUUGAACAACUCAUUUUGAAAAUUUUUACCUGUCCAUGUUGGUUAAAGACAUUUAAUCUUACAUUUAAUGUAAAAAAAAAAAAACAAAAAACAAAAAAAAAUUAUCAUGGAGACACUUACUUUACAUUAAAUUAUAUUAUCCCCUAAUUAAUGAACUAAGAAAAACAGUAUAUUUACUUUUUAUCGGUGCAAUUAUGAGGAUGGCUGAAGAGCGAUAGAACAGAAGUGGACAGAUAUCUUUGAAAUAUAAAAGAAAUCACUAAAUAUUUACCCAAGAAUAAAUAUAUCACUAAAAUUCAAAAGUGAUUUACAAACCAUUUUUUGCUUUUGGAUAAAUAUUUUGUCAAUUAUUGGAUACUAUUUUUAGAAAUAAUAAAGGUGUAUAAUAACAUUACUAAAAAAUUUAAAAUAUAAUGGAGUUUGUGAUUUAUCCCUAGAUUUUCACUGCUAUUUUUCAAUAAACUUGUACUUAUGAUAUGAUUUAGAUUUUGAAAACUGGUUGUUGUAAACUUUUUUCCUUGUUCUACAUUAACUUGUCUAUUAUAUGAGAUCCACUAACAUUGAUUUAAAAUUUAUUGAUAUUUAUGUAAUGAAAUAUAUAAUGUGAAAGAAAAAUAUAUGGUAACCAUACUUGUGAAGGUCGGCAUUCAAAUUAUCUUUAUUAUUUACCUUUAUUGAACAACACAAAAGAAUAUUCCACAAAUAUAGGGAAAAAAAACUUGGUUUAUCUUAUUUAUUUAUUUGGUUGUUUGUACUAUUAAAUGCAUUGUCAUCCCCAUACUCUAUCCCUUUAGUUUAUAUUUAUUGUGUUGGGUACUUCUUGUAGGAUAUGCUUGCAGCAGCAAUGGACACAUCAUCAACAACAAUAGGAUGGGCAAUGUCAGAGCUAAUAAGACAUCCAGAUGUAAUGAAGAAAAUGCAAGAUGAAUUACAAGAAGUUGUUGGUUUACACAGAAUGGUUCAAGAAUCUGACUUAGUAAGCUUAGAGUACUUAGAAAUGGUAGUGAAAGAGAUUAUGAGGCUAUAUCCAGCAGGUCCAUUAUUGAUUCCACGCGAGUCUCUUGAAGACUGCACUGUCGAUGGGUUCCAUAUUCCCAAGAAAUCAAGAGUAAUGGUAAAUGUAUGGACUAUUGGGCGAGACCCGAGUGUUUGGAAUGAUCCACACAAGUUCUUUCCUGAGAGGUUUAUUGGUAGCAAAAUAGAUUUGAAGGGUAAUGAUUUUGAAUUGAUUCCAUUUGGUGGUGGGCGUAGAGGAUGCCCUGGAAUACAAUUGGGCUUAACUAUGGUUCGGUUAUUGUUGGCUCAACUUGUGCAUUGUUUUGAUUGGAAGCUUCCAAAUGGUAUGUUGCCAUCUGAAUUAGAUAUGACCGAAGAAUUUGGAUUGACUUGUCCUAGAGCAAAAGAUCUCAUGGUUAUUCCUACCUUUCGUCUUAAUGAUUCAAUUAGUACUAAGAAUUUGUCUUCUUGAAUAACCUAGAUAAUAUAUAAGUAAUGAUUGAUAAUAUAUAAUAAUGGUCAAGAUAAAGAGUGAUUGAAAUACUCUCUUUAUAUAAAUAAUAAUAUACAUAGAAACUUUUAUCAUCCUUUACCACUUCUUCCCGUUAGUUGAAAUAAAUGAAUAACAUUCGUCUUAUUUGAUAAUUAUUUGAUUAUUUAAAUUAAAAAUGAAGCUCGUAAAAUGAUAUUUUACGUAUAUAGUUUUGAAAACUUUUUAAAAAUAUACAUGGUCUUUUUGUUCACAAAUUUUUUAUACAAAUUACUUUGGAAUUUUGUUAUUGAAUUUUGAUUUAUUUUUAUUAAAAAAAUAAAUGGAAACAGGAAAAAGGUAAGGAAAUUAAAAAGGGGGAUGAGUAUAAGAGUGGCCAAAACUCCAAGCCAUGCCCAAUCAAUGAUACAUUUGUAAGCAUGGACAAAGAAAGUAUUUGGCAGUGAUCUAUCAGUACAAAGAAUUUGUUUUUGUAAUUUAUAUCUCACAAAGACGUGAACAAGAGUGUACCAACUUUACACAAAUCAUAUUGACCAUUCAUCAUAAUUAUCACGACCAUCACAUCAAAUUUUUAUGGGUUUAAUAUUUUAAAUAAAAUAUUAUUUCGAUUCCUAUACUUUUAAAUAUUACAUUUUUAACAAAUUUAAAAUAAACUCAUCUCUUCUGUUUUUGGUUAAAAUUAUGUACCCAAACUGUUACAUGGUAAAUAAAUUCAAAGCGAUAAACAAUUGGAACAACGUCCACCAUGGGUGUUUGAACUAGAGUGAGAGAAUGUGGGAUGGACUUUACUUUGAACAUUUAAUUUUGAUAGGGAAUGGGUGUGUUGAAGUUCAGAACAGUUGGAUAAAACCACAACAAUUUUUCAUUUUCAACUCACAUAAUUUUUUCUUCAUUUUAUUCAAAACAAAAUAUAUGUACUUUAAUAAAUGUUAAAUAUAAUCUUAUAGUCUCCUUGUAACUAGAUCAACCUCUAAUUUUAAACUAUACAUUAUAUAUUUAUUUAAGAUUACAUGAAUAAUUACUAUUUUCAUUAUAAAAAAAUUAACAUUAAAAAAAAGAAUCUUUUUUUAUGGUGAAGAAAGAGAUCGUAUUCAUAUUCCAUGUUGUCAACAUUUGAUGAUAAAAGAAUACACAAAAAAAAAAGAUAUUCUCGUCACUUCACUCCUCUAUGUCAUCGAAUAUAAAAUAUGUCGAUGUUGUUAGUGAAAUUCUAAUUUUUUAAGUUCUAUUAAUAAAAUAUCGACAUCAAUAAUUAAGUUACUAAAUAUUGGUCGACAUGUUUGUUUGGACAUAAAUCCGGAUGGAUGUUAGAACUAUUAAAAUAAGCAACAAUGUCGGAGGACCAAUAAUGUCUAUUAUGUUUUGAGAUAUUGUUAACUUUAAUUUAAUUUUAAUUUUGAUUGGAUUAUGCUGUAUUGUAGCUUGGCAUGAAACCAUAAAAUUUCAUGAAUAAAAAGUUAUUUAUUUAGUGGUUGCAACAAAAAGUAAGUAUGAGAAAACCAAGAUAAAAGAAAAUCGACAAUAAUUAUGUGCAAAAUAGGUUGCAUUUAUAUCAUGUAUAAUCUUUUUUAACAUAGUAAAAAAUAAUAAUAAUCAAUUUCUUUAAAAGAAAUUAAAACCCAAAAAUACGCUCACCAUUCACCAAUCAUCACCUAAAGACACUCCAAAGGUUAAAAUUAAAAUAUGUCUAUAUUGAAAUUUUAAUUUUAUAGUUAUAUUGAUAAAAUAAAGGUAGAGAUCAAAGAAAGUGUAGGUUUGAGAUCGAUUUUAAAAUAAUUUAAAGCACUUGUUUAUCUAAAAUUAUUCUAAAACACAUUUUUUUUUAAAAAUUUCACGUUGAAUUUUACCGUCUUAAACCAAAAUUUUCAUACUAAUAUAAUUAAAAUUGAACUAAUACUUUUUCUUAUUUUCAAAACCACUCUCAAUCUUAGUUGAUAUUUGAUGCAUAUCUUUAUCAUUGUUUUAUCCUUUUUCACACAACCCAACCCAUCUAUUUAUAAUCUCAACUACAUAUCCAAGACCCCAACACUAUCAUCUCAUUUGAACAAAAUCUAAGCCGUCCCAACAGUAGAGAGACACUAAAAAAGAGCCUAUGGCUUUGAUUUUGGUCGUCGUCGUCGUCAUCACUCUCCUCCUUGCUCUUCUAAUCUCACAUUCAUGGCUAUUCAAAACCCAAAUCAAACCCAAAAAAUUCCCUCCAGGGCCAAAAGGGUUUCCCAUUUUUGGUUGCCUCCAUUUACUAGGAAAACUCCCUCACAGAAAUCUCCACGAAUUAUCCCAAAAAUAUGGACCCAUAAUGAGCAUGAAACUAGGGCUUGUUCCCACCAUCAUAGUCUCAUCCCCUCAAGCCGCCAAACUCUUCCUCAAAACCUACGACCUCAUUUUUGCAAGCCGCCCCUCUUCACAAGCUUCAAAACACAUCUCUUAUCAACAAAAAAAUUUAGUCUUUGCUCCAUAUGGUCCUUAUUGGCGCAACAUGCGUAAAAUGUGCACUCUUGAAUUGCUUAGUAACCUUAAAAUCAACUCUUUCAUGCCUAUGAGAAAACACGAGCUUGGUUUGUUGAUUGAGUACUUAAAAGAAGCUGCUCAUAACAAAGCUGUUGUGAAUCUGAGUGCUAAAGUUACGUCACUUACAACUGACAUUAUUUGUUUGAUGGAAUUUGGGAAGAAAUAUGGAGAUGAAGAUUUUGAUGAAAGAGGGUUUAAGGCUGUAAUACAAGAAGGUAUGCAGUUUGCUGCUGCGCCUAAUUUGGGGGAUUUUAUUCCGGCAAUUGCUUGGCUUGAUCUUCAAGGAUUUACUCGUAAAAUGAAACGUGUUCAUAAGGUGUAUGAUGAAUUUCUUGAAAAGAUUAUUAAUGAACAUCUUGUGGCUAGAGGUGGGAAGAAGACUAGGGAUUUUGUUGAUGUUAUGUUGGAUCUUAUUGAUUCUCAACAAACUGAGUAUCAAAUUGAUCGUUCUGCUAUUAAAGCUAUAAUGCUGGUAUGCCAAUUCUUCUAUUUCUACUUUUUUUAAUCCUACGUUUUCUCAAACUUUUUUAGAUUAAAAGAAAAAUAUAUUAUAUUUAGGGUAAUAUUUGGAUGCAUAUUUAUUUUUGUCCAACACAUACCUUAAAAAAAUUAAAAUAUUUCAAAAAUGAACUAAGUUGCUACGUUAUUAUAUGUUAUAAUUGGAUAAUUUGGUGUACCAAAACAAAUAUAAUCUUUGUGUUUUUUCUUAAAACAAAUGUGGUGGGAAGGUUCUUUUAACAAAUGAACUGAAGGAAAUGAGGGUGUUAUGAAUUUUGAGUUUAAUACUGGUUAUUGUUGUUUAAUAAAUCUUUAAAAUAAUUUUUUGUCAAUUGAUUACUGAUUUGUUUUAAUUAUUUAAUAUAGGUCAUUAACCUAUCUUACAUUUUCUCAAAAAAAAAAAAGAAAAAAAAAGAAAAGAGAAAACAUCAUGGUGACACUUACUUUAAAUUAAAUUAUCUUAUCCCCUAUUUAAUGAACACUAUAUUUAUUGCUUAUCGGUGCAAUUAUGGGGGUGGCUGAAGAGAGAGAAAACAUGUGGACAGAUAUCUUUGAAAUAUAGAAGAAAUCACAGAAAUAUUUACCCAAAAAAACAUCACAAAUUCAAAAGUUAUUUACAAACCAUUUUUCUUUACAAUUUUAGAUAAAUAUUUUGUUGAUUUCAUCGAAAACUUUUAGAUAUUGAUGAGGUGAUGUUUUAGAAACAAUAAUUAAGUGUAUUAUAGUAUUUUAAAAUUAUAAAUAUAACAUAGUUAAUUUAUAUUUAUUUUAUACUUUUAUAACUUUUUUUUGUUUGAAAACUGGUUAUUUAAUUAUUAUUUUUCUUUGUUCCACAUCAACUUGUUUACAUUGAUGUAAAAUUUAUUGAUAUUCAUAAUGUGAAAAAAGAAAAAAAAAGGGUAAACAUACUUGUGAAGGCCGGCAUCCAAAUUAUUAUAAUUAGUUAAUUUUAUUAUUUAACUUUGUUUAUGGAAGAACACAAAAGAAUAUUCCACACUUAUUGAAAAAUAAUACUUGGGUUUCUAUUUUUUAAUUAAUAGUAUGAAAGAUUUAAUUUAAAAGUAGAGAGACCCACAAUAAUAAAUUAGAAGUAAUGAAAUCAAUUGUUAUUAAUAGUUUUACUUAAUUACGUAUUUCUGUUUUUGGUUGGGUUCUUUUAGGAUAUGCUUGCAGGAGCAAUGGAUACAUCAUCAACAACAAUAGGAUGGGCAAUGUCAGAGCUGAUUAGACAUCCAGAUGUAAUGAAGAAAAUGCAAGAUGAAUUACAAGAGGUUGUUGGUUUACACAGAAUGGUUCAAGAAUCUGACUUAGUAAACUUAGAAUACUUGGAAAUGGUAGUGAAAGAGAUUAUGAGGCUAUAUCCAGCAGGUCCAUUAUCCAUUCCACGCGAGUCUCUUGAAGACUGCACUGUCGAUGGGUUCCAUAUUCCCAAGAAAUCAAGAGUAAUAGUGAAUGUAUGGGCUAUUGGGCGAGACCCGAGUGUUUGGAAUGAUCCACACAAGUUCUUUCCUGAGAGGUUUAUUGGUAGCCAAAUAGAUUUGAAGGGUAAUGAUUUUGAAUUGAUUCCAUUUGGUGGUGGGCGUAGAGGAUGUCCUGGAAUGCAAUUGGGCUUAACUAUGGUUCGGUUAUUGUUGGCUCAACUUGUGCAUUGUUUUGAUUGGGAGCUUCCAAAUGGUAUGUUGCCAUCUGAAUUGGAUAUGACCGAAGAGUUUGGAUUGACUUGUCCUAGAGCAGAAGAUCUUAUGGUUAUUCCUACCUUUCGUCUUAAUGAUUCAAUUAGUACUAAGGAUUCGUCUUCUUGAAUGAUGUAGAUUAUAUCUAGGUAAUGGUUGAUAUUAUAAUAAUGAUUAAGAUAAAGAGUGGUUGAAAAGCUCUCCAUAUAUAUGAAUGAUAAUACACAUAGAAAAUUUUAUCUUUCUUGCCACAUCUGGUCGUUAAUUGAAAUAAAUGGAUAAUAAUAAUCAUUUUAUUUGAUUUUUUAAAUUGAAAAUGAAGCUUGUAAAACGAUAAUUUUAUCUAUAAGUUUAUUUAUUUCAUAAUCCACUUUUAAUCAUUUGUUUAAACAUGAAGUUAUCUAGUUUCAAAAACUUAUAGAAAGAGAUACUGGACUAUUCUGUUCACAUUUAUUUUUAGUUAUAGUUUCAAAAACUUAUAGAAAGAGAUACUGGACUAUUCUGUUCACAUUUAUUUUUAGUUAUAGUCCACAUUUGUUUUUAGUUUGUAUAAAUAACUCAACUUGCUUAUAUUUAGUUUGUAUAAAUAACUCAACUUGCUUAUAUUUAUUUGGAUAACUUGUUUUCUUUUACACUUCACAUGUAUUAAGGAAAAUGAUUUUCUAACUUCAACCUAACUUCAUACUUACUGUGAAUUUAAAUACUUACCUUAAGAAAGAUGACGACUCCAACAUCCAAAAUGGGUAAUUUUUUUUCUCUCUCAAGUGUCCAUUUACUUGGGUUGAACUAUUAGUUUGAUUUGAGAUGACAUUGAGUGUAGAUUUAUAAAUAAUUACGACAAAGACGAAAAAUGGGAACCACCUUAAGAUUUUGGGCUCUAGGACAGAUCAACCCCAAAAUUUCUGUCAUGUCCAAUUCAAGGGGUGACAUACCAUUGGGAGGCUUCAAAUCAAAACAGUGUACUAAUUGAGCCACUACAAGACGAACCACAACCAAAGCUAAUUGUAUUCCAACACAGCCUCUUCGACCCGAUCCAAAUGGAAUUAGUUCAAAAUCUCUUCCUUUCACAUCCACUUCACUUUCCAAAAAUCUCUCCGGAUCAAACUUGUGAGGAUCAACCCAAGUAUUUGGAUCUCUUCCAAUGGCCCAUGCAUUUAUUACUAUUCUUGAUUUCUCAGGGAUAUGAUACCCAUUUAUAUUGCAAUCUUGUAUGCAUUCUCUUGGAAUUAAUGGAACUGGUGGAUGCAUUCUCAAACUCUCUUUUAUUACCAUCUCCAAGUAUUUCAAGUUACUUAAGUCUGAUUCUUCCACCAUUCUAUUCAGUCCUACCACUUUUUCUAAUUCUUCUUGCAACUUUUUCAUUAUGUGUGGAUUCUUAAUAAGUUCUGAUAACAUCCAAUUGAUUGUUGUUGUUGUACUAUCCACGGCUGCAAUAAGGAAAUCCUGCAAAAAAAUUAAGAAAUAUUCUCAGGUUUAGUUAUACAUUCUUUAAAAUAAUUUAAAAUGAGAGUUUAGCAAAAUUUCAUCUAUUAUAGAGAUCUAUCCAUUUUUUGGCUUAUCACUAAUAAACAAUAAUUUCUUUUUGCUGUAUUUAAAAACAAGCUCUUUCAAAUUAAACACUAAAGAAAAAAGAAAUCCAAGAUACACUCUCAAUCAAUCAAUUCACUUACCAGGAUUAUAGCUUUGAUAUUUGAUCGAUCAAUUUGGUACUCUCGAGAUCCCAUCAAAUCCAACAAAACAUCCACAAAAUCCUUGUCUUUAUUAUCCCUCUGGAACACAACAUGUUCUUCAACAAUCCUCUCUAAGAACCCAUCAAAUAUUUUCCCAACAGCUUUUGCACGACCCCCAAAUCCUUGAACAUCAAACCUUGCAAUUAAAGGAAUAAAAUCUCCCAAAUUAGGAGCUGCCGCUAAUUGUGUAGCCUCUCGUAUCAAACCCUUAAACCCCUUUUCAUCCAACUCAUUAUCUUCAUAUUUUCUCCCCAACACCAUUACACAUAUCAUAUCUCCAAUAACACAAGAAAUUUUAGAAGUAAGAUCCACAGCCACGCCAUCUGUAGCAGCCACUUCAAGACCUCAAUCAACGAACCAACCUCUUGCUUUCUCAUUGAGGAAAAAGAGUUGAUUUUUAAGGAGCUAAGCAAUUCAAGAGUGCACAUCUUGCGAAUAUUGCGCCAAUAAGGACCAUAUUGAGCAAAAGCUACGCCCUUUCUACCGUAAGAAAUAUGGUUGGAAGUGAUGGUAAGAGGUCGGCUCGCAAAAUGAAGGUCGUGAGUUUUAAGGAAGAGCUCGGUUGCUCUAGGGGAGGAGACGAUAAUGGCGGGGAGAAAACCUAAUUGGAUGUGCAUUAUGGGACCGUAUAUUUGGGAUAAGUAAUGAAGGUCUCUGUGAAUGAGUUUGCCUAAUAGAUGAAGGCUUCCAAUAAUUGGAAACCCUUUUGGGCCAGGAGGGAGUUUGUUGCAUAAGGACUUGGUCUUGAGAAGCCAUUGUUGAAAGAGGUAAGGGAGAAGGAAGAUGAGUGUAAUUGUGGUCAAAAUAAUCCAAGUCAUGGCAAUUAUAUUAGAGAUGUAUUUGUGAGGUUAUGUGUAGGGUUUAUAAUAUAUUGAUAUAUUUCUAUUUAUAAAACGUUUUUCAUCGUUAACUGACCGUUUUUAGUUUUUGGUUUUGAAAUUUAUGAUUGUUUUAUCCCAAUUUUUUAAAAAUCGUUUUGGUUUUUCUUUAGUUAGAACAAAAACACUUUCUUUUUUUUUAAAAAAAUUAAAGUAAGAUCUAACUUUUUUACAUUUUUUAAAAUUAGUUUUUAAGGCUACAUUAAAUAAUUACCGUUUGAUUUUUGAAAAUCAAAGUUUUCUAGGAAUUGUUGUCUAUAUUUUAUGACUAUUUUCAAAAUCAAAACCAAAAAGUUGAAAACUAAAAAAGUUGGUUCAUGUUAAUUGAUCUAUAGCUCGCGUUAUAAUUUUCGCCUUCACAAAACAUUAUCAUAUUGAUUAUGCCGCACAUAUUUUUAAUUUCUACAUUAAAUAUGGUAACUGACCUACUAGUUUCUAUUAAUAAGCUAAUUAAUUACUCUAAUAACGGCUUAUAAAUUAAAAUAUUUACAAAUUAUAAUAAAAUUUUAGAUUUUUUAUAUUCGUUAUUAAUGUCACUCAUAAACACAUAUAAAUGUCUAUUAUUGAUAUAUAUUGAAAUUUGACAAUUUUCUUAAAUUAAAAUAUAAUUGUGGUCAUCACAAGAUUAUCAUUUAUAACUAUAUUUGUCGUAAUAAGUAUAUAUACCCUUGCUCACAAUGUUGAGUGCAAAGUUUGAGGUUGGAUUUACAUCCCCAUUUUUGUUACCCUGGAUGAUUUUUUUGCUUAUGUCUUGUGAUGUUUAACCGUUUCUCGUGGAGCUUUUGCCUCUCUUGCAAUAUGUCUUAAAAAAAGUGAGUUUUCAUAUGUAGUAAAUUUUUCAGGUAGAUUACUUAUGAGUUAAAACCAUAAUAACCAAAUUGUUAGAUAUUAUGUUAAAUUUGUCUUUAUCCAUAAGUUUAAAUAUUUAGGUCAAUUGGUGAUUUAGAUGGAUAAUUAGAACAUGUGGUCUAGGAAAGUUAUGUUUUCAAGUCCAUGUGUAGUUUCUUCUCCGAUCAUUAUUAAUUUUCACUUCAAAUUUUAAGCUCAUAAAUGAGAAGGAAAGUUAGAUAUUAUAUUAGUUUUAAUUAUUGACUAAACUUAAAGUUUUGAGUCGAAACUUUAUAAAUCAAAAUAUAUAUAAAAUAUAUUUUACCAAAUUAAAACUAACUUGGAACAGUAGGAAUUAAAUUGAAAGAAAAACUCUGAAAUAGUUAGAAGAAAAAAUUAAUUAAAGACUUAACAAGAUUAAAAAGUACUAUAAAAUAUUUUCUAUGGAUAUAUAUGCUUGAAUGUUUACCUUACAUGUUAAAUGAAAAAAUAUACUUAAACUUUCCUUUAAAAAAUAUUAAUUAUGAUUUGAAAAUUAUAGAAAAAUUGUCCAAAAAUAUUUAAAUUUUAUAAUAUAAAAUUUUGUUAUAUAUUUGUAAAAAUUUAGUUUUUAGAUUCAAUUUUGUUAUAUUUUAAAAUGGUUCGGAAUUCUUUUGCUAAAAUAUUGAAAUUAAUGAGGUCAUUUAACUAAUUGACUACGGCGAUUUCGUAUUUAUGGUCCUUAUUUGGAAAUUUAAUAACUUAAAAUCUAAUAUCAUAUAAUUAAUAAUUAGGUAUGCACUUAAUUAUGAUUCACGAGUUUUUGUACAAAAAUGAUUGAUGGAGUUUCAUUUCAUCGAUUAAUUAUUGGUGGGGUUUUACAAAUUAUGAUUGCCCUUUGAAUAUAUAGCUCUACUUUUACUAACAUGUGGUGUUGGUGCAUUCAACCUCUAACUAAUUCCCUUAAUAAUACAAACACCAUUCAAUUUCAUGAAAUUAUAUUUCUUUACUUUUCAUACCCACCUUUUUUUCUCCCAUUUUCAUUCAAUAAUUUUUUAAAGAUUCAUAUUAUCAUACUUUUAGCUCAGUUAAUGUGAUGUUUAUCUCCGUGAUUAACGGUUAAGUUUACCUUUUUUUUCUUUACAAAGUUUUAACUUUAGAUAUUACGAUACAAAGUUGAUAAAUAUAACAAAAUUUAGAUUUAGCUUUCAAAACAGUCUAUCAAAAAUGAUGGUUUGAAAGGCUAUCAGCAGUGGUUAUUGAAAAAUGAUUGUCAACGGUUGUGGCAUGAAUAGUGGUUGGAGGUUGGCUAGUGGGGAUCAACGAAAGUGGUGACUAAAUUUUUUUACACAAAUUAGAAGAGAUUAAAACCGUUAAAACAUUCCAAGUUUAUUUUUCUAAAAGUUGGUUUGUAAACAUUUACCCUAAAAUAACUUAUUUUAUAAACUUGAUUUUUCAAAAUUUAUUUUAGAUAAUUGUCAAAUACAUGAAUUUUUUUUUUCUUUAAAACAACUUAUUUUUUAAUUUAAACAUUUGGAAAAGACGAUCCAAACCCACAAUCUAAAUUACCUUAAAAGGUAUGGGAACGCACUUUAGUCUUUUGCUUAAGUUGCCUCUUGAAAUCUUGUAUUUGAAUGGAAAGCUGAACUAAAAUUAAAUUGAAACAAAAAAGACUUUGUUUCUAGCAACCUUGAUUGUAUUUUCCCAAGAUUUUGUUCUUUGCAGAUCAGCUACGUAGUACGAUCAAUUGGGUAUUUGGAAAAUAGUUGCGGUUCAAAUUCAUCCACUCUGCCAAAGAAAAAACAAAAACAACAGAUCAGUAUCAAUAAAUCAAGUAGGGCCUAAACCAAAAAGAUGUUUAUCUUGACAAUUAGCCCAACCUAACUUUCAUCUCUAUAUCCUUCUUCCAUUCCAACACCAAAUCCCCCAAACACUGAAGUCUCCAAAAUUUGGUUCAUAUGGCUUUGAUUUUUGCCAUUAUUUCUACAUUAGCUCUUCUUGCUCUCACUCUUCUCUUCAAAUUCUACCCCUUCAAAGCCCAAAAAUUGCCUCCUGGUCCUAUAGGAUUUCCCUUUGUUGGUAGUCUCCAUUUAUUAGGAAAGCUCCCUCAUAGAGAUUUUCAUAUAUUAUCCCAAAAAUAUGGACCCAUUAUGCACAUAAAAUUAGGUCUUGUUCCCACAAUCAUAGUCUCUUCUCCUAAAGCUGCUGAACUCUUCCUCAAAACUCAUGACCUUGUUUUUGCAAGCAGGCCCCUUUUAGAAGCCUCAAAGCAAAUGAAUUAUGGGCAAAAGAACUUAGUUUUUGCCCCAUAUGGUCCUUAUUGGCGCAACAUGCGUAAAAUGUGCACUCUUGAAUUGCUUAGUAACCUUAAAAUCAACUCUUUCAUGCCUAUGAGAAAACACGAGCUUGGUUUGUUGAUUGAGUACUUAAAAGAAGUUGCUCACAACAAAGCUGUUGUGAAUCUGAGUGCUAAAGUUACGUCACUUACAACUGACCUUAUUUGUUUGAUGGCAUUUGGGAAGAAAUAUGGAGAUGAAGAGAUUGAUGAAAGGGGUUUUAAAGCUACGAUACAAGAAGGUUCACAAUUAGCUGCUACUCCUAAUUUGGGGGAUUUUUUUCCUUUUAUUGCAAGGUUUGAUGUUCAAAGAUUGAAUAAUCGAAUGCAAUGUGUUCAUAAAGUGUUGGAUGGGUUUCUUGAGAGGAUUGUUAACGAACAUCUUGAGGCUAAGGGUGACAAGAAGACUAAAGAUCUUGUGGAUGUUAUGUUGGAGCUUAUGAAUUUCCAAGAAGAAACUGAUUAUCAGAUUGAUCGCUCUGCUAUUAAAGCUAUAAUGCUGGUAUGGAUCCAUGCUAUAUAUAUAUAUAUACAUAUAUUCAUUCAUUUUAAUACACAUUUACUCCCUAACUUACAAACAAAUGUUAUGAUAGUACGUGAAAUAAUUCUAAUUUUGUGUUCAACAACUCCAACAACUCCUUAAUAUAUUUGAAAUUUUAAAAAAUUAGAACUCAAUUAGCAUAAUGUAUUGACUUGGUGUGCUCUCUUAAUUUAAUCUACUUUGUUUUAUUGUGUUUAAUUAAACGAUGGUUGCUUGGAUAAAGGAAGAGAAAACAAAUUUCAGGUAGUUUCGUUAAAUAUUACAUUGUAGGAAAAGCAGAGCAGGAAUGAUAUAUGUAAAAGCUCAAAAUCUUUUCUCUCUUUUUUUUUCUGAAAAAAGGUAAACAUUAUAUAUAUAUAUACACAUACAUAUAUAUAGUGUAUAAUUAUGUUGAAUAUAUAAUAUUUUUGUAUUAUGUAUAGGAUAUGCUAAGUGCAGGAAUGGAUACAUCAGCAACUGUGAUAGGAUGGGCAAUGUCAGAGCUAAUUAAACAUCCACAUAUAAUGAAGAAACUACAAGAGGAAUUAGAAAAUGAAAUUGGUUUGGAUAAGAUUGUGGAAGAAUCAGAUUUAGAAAGAUUAGAGUAUUUGAAAAUGGUGGUUAAAGAAAUUUUCAGACUAUAUCCACCAGCCCCAUUAUUAUUACCCCACGAAUCACUUCAAGACUGUAUUGUUGAUGGCUUUCAUAUACCUAAGAAAUCACGUAUAAUAAUCAAUGUAUGGGCCAUUGGAAGAGACCGAAAUUCGUGGAUUGAUCCUCAUAAGUUUGAUCCUGAAAGGUUCAUAGAUAGUCAAGUGGAUGUGAAAGGAAGAGAUUUCCAAUUGAUUCCGUUUGGAUCUGGUCGAAGAGGCUGUCCUGGAAUGCAAUUAGGCUUAACUUUGGUUCAAUUUGUGUUGGCUCAACUUGUACAUUGUUUUGAUUGGAUGCUUUCAAAUGGUAUGCCAGCUUCUCAAUUGGAUAUGACUGAAGAAUUCGGUUUAACUUGUCCUAGACUUCAUGACCUUAUAGUCAUUCCAAGAUACCGUCUUCGAAUUUAAUAUGCUUUUUUCAAUAAUGAUAGCUUUUAACUUUUAAAGUUGUGUAUGUUCCAAUUAUUCAGUUUCUUUCCUCUUUCAAUCAAAAAAAACUUUCAAAAUUGAAUCUCCCCAUUUACAGGUGAAAGAUGCAACGUAACAAAAGAAUAUCGGAUGGUUUCACAAGUUGUUGUAUCUCAAUUAAAAAUAAAACAAAAAACAAAGAAAAUAGCAAACCACAAUCUUUAAUUACGUGACUUUUUUAAAAAAUAAAGGUCACAAUCGAUGAAGGGAGAAGACAAAAAAUCAUAUGAGUGUGUGUGAUCAAAUGUAAUUGUUGGCAGUGCUUAUGAAGAUACCUUGAGAUUGUAAGAAUGACGAGAACCACAAGGUCCUAAAAUGCAACGUGAUUUUCUACCUCCAUUUGUUUCAAUCUCUGUUCAUGACCACAUAUAACAUAAUAGGGUACGAACUAUUCUAGAACGAUAAUUUACACACAUAUUAUAAACACAAACUAGUGAUAUAAAAUAAAAUUCACAAUUAAGAUUCUCAACCCAUAUAAUUGCUUUAACAUGUUUCAUUUGAAGCCACAUCUUAGAAAAGAAAUUAAUAUAUAUCAUGGAGAUAGGAUAUAAACAUCUAGCUAAUACAAAAAUGUAUAAAAACUUGUGAUCGAAAUCAGAGAUUUUAUUAAACAUCCAAACAAAAAAUGUAGCCAAAGUAUGUAAGACCUCUAAUAUUUAUAAAAUUGAUAGAAAUCUAUCCUUGUCUACCAUAAAUAAAAUUCAAAAUUUAGCUAUAUAUUGUGUAUAUUUUCUGCAUUUUUGUUAUUUAUAAUAAUUUUCUUAUAUAUAAUUCUCAAAUGAAAAAUAAUGGAGCUUGUUUUAGACGGAAAGCAUGGCUUGGAUUUGGGUGAUCGUCGCUAUUACAAUAAUUGUUCUUGCGUUUCUCCUACAGUACUCGUGGGAGUUCAAAGGCAAGAAUUUGCCUCCUGGUCCAAAAGGGUUUCCCAUUUUUGGAAGCCUUCAUUUGAUAGGAAAGCUUCCUCAUAGAGAUCUUCAUCGUUUAUCCCAGAAAUAUGGACCCAUAAUGCACAUGAAAUUAGGCCUGGUUCACACCAUCAUAGUCUCAUCUCCUCACGCAGCCAAGCUGUUCCUCAAGACCCACGACCACGUAUUUGCAAGCCGGCCCCUAAUCCACACUUCCAGCAUUAUGACAUAUGGUAAAAAAGAUUUGGUAUUUGCUCCAUACGGUUCGUAUUGGCGCAACAUCCGCAAAAUGUGCACGCUCGAAUUGUUCAGCUCUCUCAAAAUCAACUCAUUUAAAUCCAUGAGGAAGAAGGAGGUUCGGGAGUUGAUUGAGUAUCUUAAAACAGCUUCGACAGACCGCAUGGUUGUGAGAUUGAGUUCGAAAGUGACUUCUUUGAUUGCUGACAUGACUUGUUUGAUGGCGUUUGGGAAGAAAUAUAGAGAUGAGGAAUUUGGUGAGAGAGGGUUUAAGGCAGUGAUACAAGAAGGUAUGCAAUUAGUAAUUGCUCCUAAUUUGGCGGAUUAUAUUCCUUUUGUUGCUCCAUUUGAUAUUCAAGGCUUGAAUCGUCGUGCUACUUUUGUUCUGAAGGAAUUUGAUGGGUUUUUUGAGAGGAUUAUUGAAGAACAUAUUGAGUCCAAAGAUGGAAAUAGAAACAAAGAUUUUAUGGACCAUUUGUUGGAUAUCAUGAUGUCCUCACAAGACCCUGAUGGAUAUCAAAUUGAUCGCUCUAAUAUUAAAGCUAUUGCUCUUGUAAGUACAUUUCUUUCCAUCUAUACUUUUUUUUUUUUGGGUAAAAAUGAAUUUGUAUUGCGUAAACCCCUCAAUUAAAAAUCUAAUUUAUUCCAAAAUAUUUUUCGUUUUAGACUUGUUGAUGCAUUUCUAUAACAUUUUCAUAAUUUUCUUCUUUUAUAAUGUUGAUAUAUAGCAACCUCAUUGUAGAGAGCCCUCAUGGGACAUAAUUUGAAAGUUGAAAUUCUCUUAUGCCAUAGGACUUGUCUAUGAGGAAGAUAAAUAUUUAUAAAGUACAAAAUUUUUGCAAAUACGAUUAACAUGUUUCUUUAAUGUAUCCAAAAGAGGCAUUUUAAUAUUAAACAAGAACUAUAAUUAAAAAAAUAAAAGUAGUGGAAUGCAUCUGUCUCAUUUCGAAUUUUCCCCCAUUUUUGAUCUCAUAUUAAAAACCUCACCAUUAAUUAUUACUAAAUAAAUAUGUAUAUAUUUAGGAUGUGCUGUCGGCAGCAAUGGACACUUCAGCCACAGCAAUUGAUUGGGCACUAGCGGAGCUCAUCAAACAUCCACAAGCAAUGAAGGAAUUACAAGUGGAAUUAGAGAAAGUGGUUGGUUUAAAUAGAAUGGUUGAAGAAUCUCAUUUAGAACACUUACAAUAUUUGGGAAUGGUCAUUAAAGAGGUUUUAAGGCUGCAUCCACCUGCUCCCUUGUUAGUUCCACACGAGUCUCUUGAAGAUUGUACGGUUGAUGGUUUUCAUAUUCCUAAGAAAUCGCGUAUAUUUGUCAACGCUUGGUCAAUUGGGCAAGACCCAAAUGUAUGGAUUGACCCACAAAAAUUCUUUCCGGAAAGAUUCAUCCAUAGCUUAGCUGAUGUGAAAGGGAGAGACUUUCAUUUGAUUCCGUUUGGAUCAGGUCGUCGAAGUUGUCCUGGAAUACAUUUAGGAUUACUUAUAGUUUCACUUGUGGUGGCUAAUCUUGUGCAUUGUUUUGAUUGGGAGCUUCCAAAUUGUAUGUUGGCAACUGAUUUGGAUAUGGAGGAAGAAUUUGGUUUAACCUGUCCUAGAGCUCAGGAGCUUAUGCUCAUUCCUACUUACCGUCUUCGCAACUAACAAGUUGAAGUUAAACGUGAUUGUUGGAGUGCUGCACACAUCCAUUAUAUACGAACAAAAAGUUGGAUUUGGUUUAAGUAUUAUUGGAUGUUUAGUCGUGAAUUUUUAUGCUAUUUUUCUAUUUUAUGUCUAAUAAUUAUUCUUAUAUAUACUUUCAAGCACAUGUAUAUUUGCUCAAAAUAGCAUAACUAUUGAAAACUAUGGACCUUUUUAGGCAACGUAAACCUGCACAAAAUAUGCAUUCUGGAGUUGCUUAGCAGCCACAAAGUUAAUUCUUUCAAAUCAAUGAGAGGGAAAGAAAGUGGAGUUAUUGUUGAUUAAGGAGCUACGUGAGGCUGCAAGAAGUGCACAUGUUAAUGGUUUUUAGAAAGACAUAUGAAGAUAAAGAACUUGAUGAAAAGGGUUUAAAGUAGAUCGAUGGUAGAAGAGGCCUUCAAAGUAACUGGAGCUUUUAACUUGGGGGGAUUUCAUUCCUUUUAUUGCUGCUCCUGAUCUCCAAGGAUUGAGCCGUCGGUGCAAAAUCUGUUCAUAAAGUAUUUGAUAGUUUUCUUGGAAGGAUCAUAGACGAACAUCCUUGAAUAAUCCAAGAAUAAUAAUAACAAUUGAUAACAAAGAAGACGUAGAUGCCAUGUUGGACAUCAUGGAAUCUCAAGAAACCGAGACUACCCUAUUGAUCGAUAUGAUCCACCAUCAAAGCUAUCCUGCUGGUAAGUAAUUAAACAUGACUGUUUAGUUUCCACUAAUAUAUUCACUUUUCAAUUGCUAAAAUAUAUGAUUAGACAUAUGAAAAUGUAAUUUCCAACAAAACUCCUUAUCACUACUCAGAUUUUAAAAAAAAAAAUGCCAAAAUUUAUCACAUGUCUAGUUUUAUUAUUUUAACAAGUUUAUUAUUUGGAUUAGCUCAACUUUUACAUUGUUUUGAUUGGAAGUAGCUUUCAAAUCUUCCAAAUUGUAUGUUGUUAGUUAACUUGUCCUUUAGCUCAAGAUUUGACAGUUACUUCAAUUUACCAUCUACAAAAUUAAAAUGAAUAACACUAACGAUCGUAUUAAUUAUCACUUACUAUGUUAGUAUGCUUUUAACAACAGCACAGAGUCAAUCAAUACUUAGAAAAUAAUAUUUACGAAGUGAAGUUAGGUUUUUAUGUGAAUAGAAAGAGUAGGUAUACUCUUGUGAUACCAGAAAAUUACCGUGUGUUAUGGGCUUCGUUGCCUUUGUGUACCCUAGCUCUAGUAAAACUCAUAUCAUGGACCCUCCUUGCAUAUAUUAAUUUGAUUGUUACGUGUAACAUAAUGUAAUUUAAUGAAAUUAAUAUUAUAUUUUUUUUUGCGAGUAACUACUUAAUAAUAAUAAUAACUUUCAGACUCUUAAUAGUAAUACCACCAAUAACAAUAAACCUUUUUUCUCUCGAUUUUACUAUAUUUAUAAAUUUGUGUAGUUACUACCAAAUAAUAGCAAAUUCAUGUGUUUUAAAGUGGGUAGACUACUUGAAUUAGAUGAAAUUACCAAUAUUAUCUUAUUUUGAUAUUUGAUAUAAUUAAUAUAAAUUUAAGACAGGAUGAUUUUAUCUCUCACCGCCGUCGAUUUCGAAUUUCCUUUUGAGCUUUAUAAAUGUGCUACAGAAUUAAUAACCCAACUUUUAAAACUUCAAGGAUGCAAUCAAUACUAUAUUCAAAUUUCAACCAUUUAAGACCUCAUUUAUGUAACUUUUUAAAAGUUCAUUCAAAUUUAGAAUUGGGUGUAGCGAUUUAGAAGUUUAAUUUCAAAACAUAAAUUUGGAAUUAAGAUAUAUUUGAUAAAAACAAAAGUUGUAUUUUAUAUUUUUGUAUAUGUGUUUCGUUCUAGAUUUAGAAAUUAAAUUUUAAUUCAAACAAUUGUUUAAUAUGUGUUUGUGUCUAUAUUUAUAAAUCAUAAACUAGUUAUAGUUGUUUGACAAUAAAUUGUUAUUAGUUUAUUUAGUAACAUUUAUGUUAAAAGAUGGAGAAAUUCUCAUGGAUGACAGAAAAAAAAAUUAUAUUUAAAAAAUAAAGCAAAAAAACUUAAUAAGUUUUGGAAAAAAUGAUAGAUUUCGUAAAAAGAUUUAUAUAAUUAUUACAUAAUAUAAUGUUAUAUAAUUUAUAAUACAUAUUUUAACUUUUGAAAAUAGAUUGAAUUUGUAACAUGAUAUAUUAUGUUUUUAAAUGUUUGUAUAUAUUUAUUUAUUUUAUAUAAAUCUGCAGUUUAAAAUUUAAAAUUUAAAAUAUAUAUGAAUUCAAUGAAAGCGUUGACAAAACUGUUCCUUACGGAAUUUGAAGUGUUUAAACCAUAGAAUCUAAAGAACAGUUUGCAAAAACAAAGUUCGUGAUGUCUGCUAAAAAUGGAUGACUGAAGUUCCCAACAAUGCGUUUGUGUAUCAUUAUUAAUUGAGGUAAAGCCUAUCAUUAUCAUCUCUUGACAUCAUAUGGAACUAAACAACAUACAUUAAAGACAACCUCCUUGGCUCCUUGCUCUUCAUCUUGUAGGAAAAAGUACAAAACAAAAACUAGGUGAGAUACAUUGAUUAAAUAAGAAACAAAUAAUUACAAACAGUAAGUUUAAAGUUUUUUAAUAAAAUAUAAUGAAAAGGCAAAAUUGCACUAUAAAAGCCUCAUAUAUAUUACUUAUAAAAGUUAUAGUAUACUAAUGUAUUUGUCAAAUAUAUACCAUAUAUCACGAUAAACCAUCCCAAUAAGGAAACAUUCUUGAUUAGAAUUUCCCAUGCAUCCAACAACAUAUCGAUCACAGAGGUAUUAAUAUCAUUUAGUUAACUUUUCCUUCUUUUAUUGUGCAUUGAAACCAUCAAAUCUGAUAUCAGAAUAUGGAAGACGUGACAAACUCUGAUCCUUGUACUCAUCACUUGGGCGGCCAUUCUGCUUUUAAAAGAACCCAAUCUCCAAAAGCCUUGUAUGUGUGAAAUUUUACCUCACCACAGAUAGGGUUUGAGGAAUAAAUUUUUCCAAUCUCCUUAUGGCUUGGUAUUUUCUCGCUGUUGCAUUAGUUGGUCUUGCUCUUCUGUUGAGAACAAGGCUAUAUAGAAGUCCUAACAAAUUGCCUCCUGGUCCUAGAGGGUUCCCUGUUUUUGGUUGCCUUCAUUUGCUAGGAAAGCUUCCUCAUAGAGAUCUUCAAAGUUUAUCUGAAAAAUAUGGAUCCAUUAUGUACAUGAGACUCGGCCUUGUACCCACUAUCAUCGUCUCUUCUCCUCAUGCAGCUGAGCUCUUUCUCAAAACCCAUGAUACUGUUUUUGCAAGUCGCCCAUUUGUUCAGGCUUCCAAGUACAUGGCAUACGGUCAAAAGAACUUGGCGUUUUCUCAGUAUGGCCCUUAUUGGCGUAAUCUGCGUAAAAUGUGCACACUCGAAUUGCUGAGCAGCGUGAAAGUUAAAUCUUUCAGAUCAAUGAGAAUGGAAGAGCUAGGUUUGUUCGUUGACUAUCUUCGAGAUGCUGCAAGAAAACGUGUCAUUGUAAAUCUCAGCUCCAAAAUCUGUUCUCUCAACACAGAUAUGACAUGUUUGAUGGUUUUUGGAAAGAAAUAUAAAGACCAAGAGUUUGACGAGAGGGGUUUCAAAUCUGUGAUACAAGAGGCCAUGCAGAUAGUGGCUAGUCCUAACUUGGGAGAUUUUAUUCCUCAAAUUGCAGUACUUGACCUUCAAGGGUUGGACCGUCGCUCAAAAGCUGUUAGUAAGAUAUUUGAUGAGUUCUUUGAGAGAAUUAUUGAUGAACAUCUUGAAUCCAGGUAUGAGAAUAAGACUAAGGAUUUUGUGGAUGUCAUGUUGGAAAUCAUGGACUCUCAAGGAACCGAGUAUCAGAUUGAACGGUCUAACAUCAAAGCUAUAAUCCUUGUAAGUAAACUUCCUACGUAUUAAAUAAAGGAGUCGAGAAGGAUAUGGCUUACUGUGGUCAUGAUACAAUAGCAUGCUUUUCUGAUGUUUCCUUCUUUUUUUUUUUUUUUUUGAAAAAAUAUAAUAUAUCUCUGAAUACUGUCACCAAAAAGUAUGCAUAAAGCUAAUUGCUCCUAAAUUUUAGUAACUCAUCGGCUUAAGUAAAAGAAAUUUCAGUUAUUGGUUCUAAUUAGCUUGACCCCAAUUUUAGGAUAUGCUAGUGGCCGCAAUGGACACUUCUGCCACCACAAUCGGAUGGGCAAUACCUGAGCUCAUCAAACAUCCACAUGUGAUGAAGAAAAUGCAAGACGAAUUACAAAAAGUGGUGGGUUUGGAUAGAAAGGUGGAAGAAACUGACUUGGAUCACUUGCAAUAUUUGGACAUGGUCGUUAAGGAAAUUCUCAGGCUACAUCCACCAGCUCCAUUAUUAGUUCCACAUGAGGCUCUUGAAGAUUGCAUUGUUGAUGGUUUCUAUAUUCCUAAGAAAUCACGUAUAAUAGUAAAUGGAUGGGCAAUUGGAAGAGACCCAAACUUUUGGAUUGACCCAGAAAAAUUCUUUCCUGAAAGGUUUAUUGGUAGUCAAGUGGAUGUGAGAGGGAAGGAUUUUCAAUUGAUUCCCUUUGGAUCCGGCCGAAGAGGUUGUCCUGGCAUGCAAAUGGGUCUAACAGUAGUUCGUCUAGUGAUAGCACAGCUUGUCCAUUGCUUUGAUUGGGAGCUUCCAAAUGGCACGUUACCAGUUGAAUUGGAUAUGACAGAAGAAUUUGGAUUAACUUGUCCCAGAGCUCAAGAUCUAAUGGUUACUCCUAUUUAUCGCCUUAACAACUAAACAAGCCAAACAGUUGCACAUAACUUUCAAAUAAAUAAAGAGUUCAAUAUAUUAUCAGAUUGUACGUGUGAAAUCAAGUGAAAGAUGUGCAUGGUUUGCAAGAUUCAGAAUUCCUGUCAUAAGAAGAGAAGUUAAUAAAUUUGUGCUUGUAUGCUUAGCAAGUAGGUCUGCUUUUGUUGGGUCUCAAUGAAUGGGCCAUCCGCCAAAUGAAAACUGUGUAUUUUAUAGACUCAAACCCUAUCUGUGUUGUCCCGGAAGGUAACCAUAAGCCAUAAUUGCAUUAAAGACAUGUUACAUGAACUAAUAAACAACGUUCGCAAAUGAAAACUAAGUCUAAGUAAUAUUCUAGAGUAACUCACGGUACACAAAAUGAUUGUUACUCUAUUAUAUUUCAUUAAUGGUGACGUACAUGCAACGACGCUCAAAAUGCUUCGUACUUCAAAAAAAUGAAUUGAAGACAGAAGGUUGGUGGAGAUUCUCCAUCUUAAUUAUCAAUACACAAUAAACUUCAGGGUUGCGUACUGAUCAAAACACGCUCUCAAGAUAAAAUACAUCCCAAGUUCAAUAUAUUUUCUUUGGAAGAGAAUACAAGAAAAGUUCGAGAAAAUGGUGGAUUAGGACACAAGACGGUGGACAAAUGAGAGUUGGGUUACUUCAAAGUAUCGGGAAGUGGUCACCCAGAAAAUGCUCGACUCAAGUCGUUGCAUCUACCAUUCUAUUGUUAGUACUACUUUAGUCUAUCGUAGGUAGUAAAAUCAAUCGCUUCCCAUACUCCCAGAAAGUGCACGUAAAUAUUAAACAAAUGGGUGAGUUAAAAGUGAUCUUUGAAAAAUAUUGACUCUCUUUUUAAUGUUUGGUAAAACUGUUUGUUUGUAAAUCUACUGAAAUCACUUCUGGAGAACAUGCUCAGUUUUUAGGAUCUUUGAAGUAUGUUUUCUUAAUUUUCAGAAGGUUAUUUACGGUUUCAAUUUUCAAUUAUAAAAUUCUACUCUUCAAAAAAAUUAAAAUUUAUUAAAUCAUACAAUUUUUUAUUUUAAAUAUAUAUAUAUAGAGUAAGAUGACAAUUUUAAGUCAAAUGUAUAAAUUUAAUUCAUAUAAUUAUUAUCAAUUCAGUUAGUCAAACGUUCAGAUCGUUAUUUAAAAAAAAAUAUUGAGUAAUCCAUGGACAAUAAUUUUAAGAAUAAUAAUAAAGUAUAUAAACAUCUUUUAAAAAAAUGUGAAUGUAACAAAAUCUGUAAAUGAUAGACGUAUAUUACUGAACUUACAAAUAGCAAAAUCUACGUCACAUAUCACGUAUAGUUGACAGAUUUUCUUAUUUUUACAAUUCUUAUAAAAUAUGGUUAUAGACUAAUAUUUUAAAUUUAAUUAUUAUAUUUGUUAUAAAUAUACGAAAUAAUAGCAAAUUCAGUGAGUCAACUUUUUAUAAACUUCAAUUAAAUGAAAUUGUUAAUAUUGUCUUAUUUUGACUUUACAUAUAAUUAAUAGAAAUUUAAGUACAAUUAGAUUACACAAAAGGUGAUAUUGGCCGACGCAAAUAAAUUUUUUCCAAAAGGACUCAUCGGUAGUGAAAUAGACCUAAAAGGAAGUGACUUUAAAGUAAAUAUUCCAUUUGGAUAUGGAAGAAGUUGUGUUGUAAUACAAUUCGGUUUACCUUACAAUUCGAUUUGUUUUAUCUCAACUUCUACGUAGUUUUGAUCGAAUCAAAGGCUUUCAAAUCUUCCAAAUUGUAUGUUUCCUACGUUAACUUGUCCUUUAGCUCAUGAUUUAAUGCUUACUCCAAUUUACUAUCUACAGAGUUAAAACGAAUAACACACUAACGCUUCUAUUUAUCACUUACUAUGUUAGUAUGCUUUUGAAAAAUAGUAUAGAGCAAUCAAUACUUAAAAAUAAUAUUUAUGAAGUGAAGUUAUAUAUAGAUUUUAAUGUGAGUAAAAGAGUAGCCACUCUUAUGAAACUAGAAAAUUAUGGUGUUUGUCUUUGUGAAUCUCUAGCUCUAGUAAGACCUAUAUCAUGAACCCUCCCCUGCAUGUCUUAAUUUGAUUACUGUGUGCAACAUGAUGUAAGUUAAUGAAAUGAAUAUUAUAUUUUUCUAUGCAUGCGAGUAACUACUUGUUAUACAUGUGUAAAAUAUCUUAUUUAGAAAGGUUUAAUUUGAGGAUUAGCUCAACUAUUGAAAAUGUUAUUCAAGUAAUGCGUAUGUGGGAGAAAGAUUUUAUAAAUCAUUGUCGUCCAAAACGUGUGUAACUGUCAAUAUAUAUAUAAAAGGCUUUUCGAGUUAGUAGAUCUUAAAUCUCGUACGUCUUUCUAGAGAAGAAGAGGAAGUGAAUGGGGAAAUCAGUUGUUGGAGCACCAUAAGAGUGGAAGAAGAAGAUGAGAAUUAAAUAAUUGAGAGUGUGUUGUAUCAAUCAAACUAACAAUUGUAUAGAAUUAAAUAAUUGAGAGUGUGUUGUAUCAAUCAAACUAACAAUUGUAUCAGUUUUAGACUCUAAAUUUUUACAAGUUUAUCAACUUAACCUCAAACUUAUGUAAAUCUAUUGACACAGAGGGUAUGGUGGUUCAGGGUGCACAAAAUAGAUACCUUUAGCCCUCUCAUCAUCUUUCAAGGAAUAUUUAUUCAGCACAAAGGAUAAAUACAAACAGUUUAGGGCUAGAGUUUAGAUACAGCAGACCCACCCUAACAAUAAUAAUUAUAACAAUUGUUGUCGUUAUAUAAAUUGUGUGUUAUGGGAAUACUAUGCCAAACUUAUACUUUCCUCCUCCACAUUUACCUUUCAUGAGCUAAACUUUGCUUAGCUCAAAGUCAACACAAAAAAUGGGUUUCAUUUGGAUCAUUCUUAUCAUCAUCCAUCUGCUUGCUCUUCUACUUAUCCUUUGGAAAUGGUUGCACAUGAAUAACAAAACCAAGAAAUUACUGCCUCCUGGUCCUAAAGGGUUCCCCGUUUUUGGUAGCCUUCAUAUUUUAGGGAAGUUUCCUCACAGAGAUUUUCACCGCUUGUCUAAAAAAUAUGGAGCCAUAAUGCACAUAAAACUAGGCCUUGUAAACACCAUUGUUGUGUCUUCCUCUGAAGCCGCGGAGCUGUUUCUCAAAACCCAUGAUCUUGACUUUGCAAAUCACCCACCUAAUGAUGCUUUGAAGCACAUUUCUUUUGGUCAAAGCAGCAUGGUGGUUGCAAAAGAUGGGCCUUAUGUACGCAGCGUGCGCAAAAUGUGCACUCAGAAGUUGCUUAACAGCCACAAACUCAAUUCUUUCAAAUCAAUGAGAAUGGAAGAAGUUGGGUUGUUUAUUCAAGAGCUUCGUGAGGCUGCAAGAAGCGGGUUGCUUGUAAAUCUUACUUCUAAACUCUCUUCUCUCGGUGCAAAUAUGAUAUGUUUGACGGUAUUUGGGAGGAAAUAUAAAGAUAAAGAACUUGAUGCAAAGGGUUUUAAGAGAAUGGUAGGAGAGGCCCUCAAAGUAAUUGGAGCUGUUAAUGUGGGCGAUUUCAUUCCUUUUAUUGCACCUCUUGAUCUACAAGGAUUAAUCCGUCGUGCAAAAUCUGUUCACAAAGUAUUUGAUAGGUUUCUUGAACGGAUCAUUGAUGAACAUCUUGAAUCCAAGAACAAUAAUAGUACCAAAGAUUUUGUUGAUGUCAUGUUGGAAAUUAUGGAAUCUCAACAAACUGACUACCAAAUUGAUCGAUCCACCAUCAAAGCCAUCAUGCUGGUAAGCAAACAUUAUUUUGUAGGUAACAAUCACACAAUCGUAGUAGAUUUUUCUAUAUUUGCAAUAAUGUAAAAGAGUUCUAUUACACACUUAACUAUCAAAGUAAUUUAAAGGGCCACCUAUUGCAAUUAAUUAUCAUACAACAAAUUAAAAGUACACCAAUGUCUGCUUUUCUGUUUUUUGUGUGUGUUAGGAUCUUCUUUUUGCCGGAAUGGACACUACAACGACUACCAUCGGAUGGGCAAUAGCUGAGCUCAUUAGACAUCCAGAGAUAAUGAAGAAAGUGCAAAAUGAAUUAGAAGAAGUUGUAGGUUUGAAACGAAUGGUGCAAGAAUCAGAACUGUCUCAUUUGAAAUACUUAGAAAUGGUUGUUAAAGAGGUUUUCAGGUUGCAUCCUCCAGCUCCGUUACUGAUUCCACAUCAACCCCUCAAAGAUUGCAUAGUUAAUAAUUUCCAUAUUCCUAAAAUGUCACGUGUAAUUGUGAAUGCAUGGGCAAUUGGACGAGACCCAUGUGCUUGGACCGAUGCACAUAGAUUCUUUCCAGAAAGAUUCAUCGGUAGUAAAGUGGAUGUAAAAGGAAACCAUUUUGAACUAAUUCCAUUUGGAUCUGGAAGAAGAGGUUGUGUUGGAAUACAAAUGGGUUUACUCAAGGUUCACUUUGUUUUAGCUUAACUUCUCCAUUGUUUUGAUUGGAAGCUCCCAAAUGGUAUGUUGCCUGUUGAUUUGGAUACGACAGAAGAGUUUGGUAUAAGUUGCCCUUUAGCUCAUGAUGUUAUGGUUACUCCUAUUUAUCGCUUAAAGAACUAAUUAUAUGAGUAGUACUUCAAUAUAUUACUUGUCACAUCAACAUGCUUUUAAAAGUUGUACAAAAGACAUUAAUACUUGAAGAAUGUUUAUGAAGUUAUAGAUUUUUAAUUUAUAUGAAUUAAGAAAGAGUAUGUGUAUACACACUCUCGUGAAGUUAGAAAAUUUCCAUAUGUGAUGAAUGUUUGUUGUCGUUGUGAUAUCCUCGCUCUAGUAUGACUUGUAUGCAUGAACCCUCCAAUGUGCAUUAGGGCACUAUAUAUAUGUAACAUUGUAGGGCACUAUAUAUGUAACAUUAUGUAAUAUAAUGAAAUGAAUAAUGUGUAUUCAUGUAUAUGCUAGUAACUGUGUUGUUAACAUGGAAAAAACCAUGCAAAAUAGAGUUGAAAGGUAAGUAAUAAAAAAAAAAUCCUCUUUUAUCAAAGGUCUAAUAACUUAUGUUAGAUUCUUACAAAGUGAAUGCAAAGAAAAUAAAGAAAAGACAAGAAAGAGCUUAUGCUUGUGAUAAUAUAUAGGUUGUUUAAUGAUAAUUAAGAUGAGGAGAAAGGGUAAUAUUACAACUAAGGACCCUAAUGUAUAACUAACAACAAUUAUUUUAAAACUAUAUAUGUGAGUGUGGCUCAAAAAUUGCCUUUCGUCUAUCUUUUCAUUCAAUUAAGUUUGUCGAACGUCGAUAUCAGCUACUUCCCACGUGGUUAGUUCAAAAGACAACUUCCUUGGCUCCUACCUUUUCAUCUUGUAGGAAAAAGAACAAAACAAAAACAAGGUGAGAUACAUUGAUUAAAUAAGAGACCAAUAAAUUACAAACAGUAAGUUUAAAGUUUUUUAAUAAAAAAUAAUGAAAAAGCAAAAUUGCUCUAUAAAAAAAACCCAAACAUAUUAUUUUUAAAAAAAUCUAUAGUAACAGAAGUAGUAUAAAAGAGUUGUGUAAAGACUACAAAAUACAUGAAUAAAUCAUUUAGUGAAGAGUUAAUUAAUGGCAAGGGAAUAAUAAGUAAUGGUUCCAUAUAUUACAAUACCAUAUUUGUUAAAUAUAUAUGAUAUAUCACGAUACAGCAUUCCAAGAAGAAAACAUUAUUGAUUAGAAUUUCCCAUCCAACAACAUAUCGAGGUAUUAUAUCAUUGAGUUAACUUUUCCUUCUUUUAUUGUUCACUGAAACCAUCACAUUUGAUAUCAUAGUAUGGAAGACGUGGCAGGCUUUGAUCCUUGAAUUCAUCACUUGGACCGUCAUUCUGCUUUUAUAAAAGAACCCAAUCUCCAAAAGCCUUGUAUGUGUGAAAUUUUGCCCCACCACAAAAUCUGAGUCUCCUUAUGGCUUGGAUUUUUCUCGCUGUUGCAUUGGUUGGUCUUGCUCUUCUAUUGAGAACAAGGCUAUACAGAAGUCCGAACAAAUUGCCUCCUGGUCCUAGAGGGUUCCCUGUUUUUGGUUGCCUUCAUUUGCUAGGAAAGCUUCCUCAUAGAGAUCUUCGAAGUUUAUCUAAAAAAUAUGGAUCCAUUAUGUACAUGAGACUCGGCCUUGUACCCACUAUCAUCGUCUCUUCUCCUCAAGCAGCUGAGCUCUUCCUCAAAACCCAUGAUUCUGUUUUUGCAAGUCGCCCAUUUGUUCAGGCUUCCAAGUACAUGUCAUACGGUCAAAAGAACUUGGGGUUUGCUCAGUAUGGUCCUUAUUGGCGUAAUAUGCGUAAAAUGUGCAGACUCGAAUUGCUGAGCAGUGUGAAAGUUGAAUCUUUCAGAUCAAUGAGAAUGGAAGAGCUCGGUUUGUUCGUUGACUAUCUUCGAGAUGCUGCAAAAAAACGUGUCAUUGUAAAUCUUAGCUCCAAAAUCUGUUCUCUCAACACAGAUAUGACAUGUUUGAUGGUGUUUGGAAAGAAAUAUAAAGACCAAGAGUUUGACGAGAGGGGUUUCAAAUCUGUGAUACAAGAGGCCAUGCAGAUAGUGGCUAGUCCUAACUUGGGAGAUUUUAUUCCUCAAAUUGCAGUACUUGAUCUUCAAGGGUUGGACCGUCGCUCAAAAGCUGUUAGUAAGAUAUUUGAUGAGUUCUUUGAGAGAAUUAUUGAUGAACAUCUUGAAUCCAGGUAUGAGAAUAAGACUAAGGAUUUUGUGGAUGUCAUGUUGGAAAUCAUGGACUCUCAUGGAACCGAGUAUCAGAUUGAACGGUCUAACAUCAAAGCUAUAAUCCUUGUAAGUAAACUUCCUACGUAUUAAAUAAAGGAGUCGAGAAGGAUAUGGCUUACUGUGGUCAUGAUACAAUAGCAUGCUUUUCUGAUGUUUCCUUUUUUUUUUUUUUUUUUGAAAAAAUAUAAUAUAUCUCUGAAUACUGUCACCAAAAAGUAUGCAUAAAGCUAAUUGCUCCUAAAUUUUAGUAACUCAUCGGCUUAAGUAAAAGAAAUUUCAGUUAUUGGUUCUAAUUAGCUUGACCCCAAUUUUAGGAUAUGCUAGUGGCCGCAAUGGACACUUCUGCCACCACAAUCGGAUGGGCAAUACCUGAGCUCAUCAAACAUCCACAUGUGAUGAAGAAAAUGCAAGACGAAUUACAAAAAGUGGUGGGUUUGGAUAGAAAGGUGGAAGAAACUGACUUGGAUCACUUGCAAUAUUUGGACAUGGUCGUUAAGGAAAUUCUCAGGCUACAUCCACCAGCUCCAUUAUUAGUUCCACAUGAGGCUCUUGAAGAUUGCAUUGUUGAUGGUUUCUAUAUUCCUAAGAAAUCACGUAUAAUAGUAAAUGGAUGGGCAAUUGGAAGAGACCCAAACUUUUGGAUUGACCCAGAAAAAUUCUUUCCUGAAAGGUUUAUUGGUAGUCAAGUGGAUGUGAGAGGGAAGGAUUUUCAAUUGAUUCCCUUUGGAUCCGGCCGAAGAGGUUGUCCUGGCAUGCAAAUGGGUCUAACAGUAGUUCGUCUAGUGAUAGCACAGCUUGUCCAUUGCUUUGAUUGGGAGCUUCCAAAUGGCACGUUACCAGUUGAAUUGGAUAUGACAGAAGAAUUUGGAUUAACUUGUCCCAGAGCUCAAGAUCUAAUGGUUACUCCUAUUUAUCGCCUUAACAACUAAACAAGCCAAACAGUUGCACAUAACUUUCAAAUAAAUAAAGAGUUCAAUAUAUUAUCAGAUUGUACGUGUGAAAUCAAGUGAAAGAUGUGCAUGGUUUGCAAGAUUCAGAAUUCCUGUCAUAAGAAGAGAAGUUAAUAAAUUUGUGCUUGUAUGCUUAGCAAGUAGGUCUGCUUUUGUUGGGUCUCAAUGAAUGGGCCAUCCGCCAAAUGAAAACUGUGUAUGUUAUAGACUCAAACCCUCUCUGUGUUGUCCAAGAAGGUAACCAUUAGCCAUAAUUGCAUUAAAGACAUGUUAUAUGAACUAAUAAACAACGUUCGCAAAUAAAUACCAAGUCUUAGUAAUAUUCUAGAGUAACUCACGGUACACAAAUUGAUUGUUAUUACUCUAUUAUAUUUCAUUAAUGGUGACGUACAUUCAACGACGCUCAAAAUGCUUCGUAAUUCAGGAAAAUGAAUUGAAGACAAAAGGUUGGUGGAGAUUCCCCAACUUAAUUAUUAAUACACAAUGAACUUCAGGGUUGCGUACUGAAAACACACUCUCAAGAUAAAAUACAUACCAAGUUCAAUAUAUUUGCUUGGGAAGAGAAUGCAAGAAAAGUUCGAGAAAAGGGUGGAUUAGGACACAAGAUGGUGGACAAAUGAUAGUUGAGUCACUUCAAAGUAUCGGUAAGUGGUCACCCAGAAAAUGCUCGACUCAAGUUGCAUCUACCAUUUGAUUGUUAUAUCGUAGGUUGUAAAAUCAAUCGCUUCCUAUACUCUUAGGAAAGUGCACAUAAUAUUAAAUAAAUGGGUGAGUGGACGAAACUCAACUGUCCAGAUUGAUCAAGUGAAGUUGUUUUCAGCGAGUUACGUUAGAUGCCAAGUGGAUGUGAGAAGAAAUUUAACUAAUCCUGUUGGGACUUAGUUGAAGAGGCUACCCAAGAAUGCAAAUGGGUCCAACUAGCUAAGUCUCUGCAUUGCAUUAAUUGUGAGAAUCAAAAGGAUAUAAAUGUUGAUAAUCAAAUCGGAUUUGAAAGCAGAGUUUAGAUUAACCUGUCCUAAAGCUCAACAUCUUUACGGUUAUUCAUAUUUAUCAUUUUCAUAACUAACUAAAGAGCUUGGAAUGUUGUUGGGUUCGAUAGUGUAGAAUAUAAGGUUUCGUCAGUAAGUUGUAAUAAUCCAAAGUUUCUUCUUGUCUGGAGAAACAUGACCUUUCAAUUUAUUAUUUUUUUUAUAUCAGUGAGUAUUCGGGCCAGCUUACGCGCAUCUCGACUAAUCUCAUGGGACACCUGCAUGACCCUACAACAUUUUGGUGUCAAAGGAGCAUACCUUUCAAUUUAGUAGCUAUACAGAUAGUAAAGUUCUAUCUUUGGUGAAGACAAGUACACAACGAAGAACAAUCAUUGAAUCAAUGAUUUGUAUUUUCAUUUCCACAAAGAGAAGCCUUUCUGUUAUUUUCAUCGCCUGGUCACACUGUCUUUGAUCAUCCUUAAGCUAUGCUAAUACCUUUUCAGAAACUAGCAGCAUUGUUUAAGUGGUUGAUAAUUUUUAGCUCACUUUUUUUUUUGAAGUGAUUAUCAUUGAGAUCUCUAUGGAUUAUUUGCCGUAGUGUCUUGUGCACAGUCAGACUCAGAUAUCAAGAACAUACUUAUCUGGCAUUUUAUGGGAUCAUAGGAGUAACGUCAUAAGGAGAUUUAAGCAAGAAAUUGGAAUUUGAGGCACGUAUGAGGUUUUCAAAGCAGUAGGCUUUCCUGCGUAUCUUUGAGUAAAUGCUAAAGGGAACACGGGUAUGAAAAGAAAAUGGACGUGAAAAUGACUAUCACCUUCAGAAACUUGACAUUCUAUUCUUUUAUUUCCUUAAUAUCUGUGAGUAUUCGGACCAGCUUACGUGUAUUUCAACUAACUUCGAGAAACUUGGCAUUCUAUUCUACCCUUGUGCAAUGAAGAAUUUUACUAUUAACAAUCAGAUUGAAGCUUAUGAAACAAUCUCUAAUUGUAAUUUACCCUAUUUUGAUAAGUUGACAGGAUCUUGUGGUAUAUAAAAAUGCUGGAAAGUAAAAACAAAUUUGUUAAAGAUCACACUUACAGAGAAAUAGUUCCCUUGUCACGGUUGAAGAUUAUUGGUAAACGCAGCUUCAUAUCGUAUCAAGCUCAACCCACCUCUGAGCAUGUGACGAGAAUUCUUUUUGUUUCAUCUGCAUUGCUAAAUUUCCCAACGCUUCAUAAAUAAGCAAACUGUCGUGAUGGCUUCUGUCCUCAACAAAAAACACGUGAGACAUUCCAUUCACUUGAACAACGCUUUUCCCAGGGGAUUUCCUCAUUUGGUUUGAUCUCAUCGUUUUUCUCAUAGCUGCAACUUCAUCCCAUCUUCCAACUGAUGCAUAUAUAUUUGCCAUCUCGACGAACGAAACUGCAACCCGAGGCUGUAAUUCAAAGAGAUAACGAGACACAUACUCACCGAUUUCCAUGUUGUUGUGAAUCUUACAAGCACCAAGCAAUGCACCCCAUAUGCCCUCGUCAGGCUUCAUAGGCAUAUCUUGAAUAACCUCCAAUGCUUCAAUUAGCUUCCCUUUCCGUCCAAGAAGAUCGAUCAUGCAAGAAUAAUGAUCCAAACCAGGAUUUAUACCAUAUCUUUCAGUCAUCAUCAUAAAACAUUCCCUUCCUUUCUCGAGAUAGCCUCCAUGACAGCAAGCUUGAAGAACAGCUAGAAACGUGAUAUUAUUUGGCUCUAUUCCUGACUCUGACAACAGUGAGAAGAGAUCUAAAGCUUCUCUAAAUUCCCCAUUCAGAGCACAAGCUGCAAUCAUGGCUGUCCAAGAGACAACAGUUCUAUUAGGCAAACUGUAGAAUAUCUCUCGAGCAUCAUUCAAACUCCCACAUUUUGCAUACAUGUCUAUCAAUGCAUUACAAACUACCACAUCUUUUUUCAAUUCAUGUAAAGAUGCAUAGUUGUCAAUCCAAUGUCCAAGCCCAAGUGCCCCUGUUUUACCGCAACCUGAUAUCAGGGAAAGAACAGUAACUAUAUCAGGUUUUUCUCCAGUUUCUUCCAUAGCAUUAAAUAAUACCAAGGCAUCAUCAACUCGCCCCACCUCACUAUACCCACUAAUCAUGGCCGUCCAUGAAACACAAGUUCUAAUAGACAUACCAUCAAACAAAAUUGUAGCAGAGCUAAUAUCUCCACACCUUGAAUACAUUGAUAUAAGGGUGUUAAUUAAAGAAAUAUCUGAAUCGCAUCCUAAUUGGAAACCAUGGCCAUGAAUAAGGAAACCAUAAAUUAGUGCUUCAGGUUGCUGGCAAGAAGAAAGCAAACUAAUAAUCGUACUUGCAUCAGGCUUAAAACCAUCACAGAGCAAUCCUUUGUAAGAUUUUACAGCAUCUACAUAUUUCCCAAAGUGAGCAUAGCAUGCAAUCAGUGAAUUCCACGAGACAGAAGAUCUUGCAGUCUUUUGAAUCCCAUGGAACACCAUCUUUGCAAGCUGCAGUUCACCGCAUUUGGAAUAGGCAGCAAUCCAAGUGUUAGAAACUGAGGUGUCAGCAUCUAAUCCUGUUUCAAUCCCAAUAGCAUGAACAGCUUUUAAAAACCUUAAACUUUUGGCAGAUAUAACUGCUCGAGUCAAUCCAAUGACAGUAGCUGCAUCUGGCCGAGUUCCCACUAAUCUCAUCCCCAUAAACAGAUUGAACACUCUAUCAAGUGAGCCGAUCUGAGAAAAACCAAUAAUCAUAGCGUUCCAUGAUGCAAUAUUCCUAACAGGCAUUUUAUCAAACAAGUUAUAUGCAUCAUCCACUUUACCACACUUGACAUACAUAUCAACCAUGGCCGUCUGGACAUAGAUAUCAGAGUAAAAUGGGGAUUUGACAACAUGGGUAUGGAUGAUUUGGGAGUUAGUAAGAUGGGAGAGCUUGGCGCAAGCUUUUGAUAAGAAGGGAAAUGUAAAAUUGUUUGGUUGUAGACCAUUUAACUUCAAUUGAUGGAAAAGAGCGAGAGCUUUGCUCGCAUUGCCUUGAUUUACAGCGCCUCGUAUGCUGGAGUUCCACCAAGUGAGAGUUGAUAGCUUUGAAAAGCAGUUGAGAUGUUGAGUCAACGUAGACAUCUCCACUUCUCAUGGUGUUUGGCGGGCGUCAAACAGCCGGACGGCCAUGACGAGGUAAAAUAGAAUUGAAAUAUGACUCUUGAUUUUUAGUCUUCCAAAAUUAAACCAAGAAGCUCCAACGUAUAACGUAUACCUCAAGUUUUGUUUUUUUUUUUUUUUAGGAAAAUAAUUUUCAAUUUUAAUUCUUAAAUUUCAAAAUAUUAUAAUUUUAAAUUGAAUAAUUUGUUUUAUUUCAAACAAAUUGUCAAACAAUUUUAUUCGUAAAGAGUUUGUUUCACCCCAACUUUUUAUAAGUGAAUGCUUUUUCUACUUUUCACAUUUGAAUUUUCUAUUUUUGAAUUUUGUUUUGAAGUAUGUUCAAAUUGAUUUUGCUUGCAAAGUCAAUUCAAACAUGCUAUUAAUAUCUAUAAACUGAAAAAACAAAUGAGAAUUCAUUUUGUAGCACAGUUAGGAGUUGUUUGUUUGAUAAGAAGAAGAGAAAAUGAGAGGGCAGACAAUGAAAAGUGAGCAACAUUUUUCUUCCAUUAACAUCAAACUGAAACUCUUGUAGGGGGAGAAAAAAAAUCAAUGGAUGGGGGUGGUGGUUGUCCAUUUACAAGAAAAUUUCACGGAGAAAAAAAUGGUGACAAUUAGCCCAAAAUCAGUAGGCUGAAACCAAUACGAAGCGAAAAAUAAGAAACAAAAACAAUUGGGGUCGAGGAACACUGGAAAAAAACUAAUUCCAAGACGCAUGUACACGGGGGGUUGGAAGGAUGAGGAUGAAAAUCAAACACAUAUAGCACAUAAAUCAUCAAACACUUGUCUGAUGUUAGGCCUCUCAUUUACAGGACGAAUGCACUUGAGAGAUACACCCAACAGUUCAUCCAUAGCUUUCGAAGGCUCUUCUCCAACUACGAUAUCUCGGUCUAUACAGUCCAUUCUUCGUCCUUCUUGAUCGCAUAAACGCACCCAAUCUGUGAGAUCGACGGCCCCCGAUUGACCCGAUAUUAUGUCGCCUGCACUUCUUUUGGUUAAAAGCUCCAUUAAAAUUACCCCAAAUGAAUAAAUGUCAGCCUUGAAAGAUGGACCAGGUUUUGCUGCACAAGCGAGUUCUGGAGCGCAAUAUCCAAGUGCCCCUAGAUUCAAUAUCUGCUCCGCAAUGCCUGCUGGUGUCAUCAAGCGGUGAAGUCCGUAGUCAGUGAGCCGGGCAUCGGAAUCAUGGCCUGCCAAGAUAAUAUUUGUUGGCUUUAAGUUUCCAUGAGGGAGGCCCCUAUCAUGAAGGUAUAACAGACAGCGAGCAACUUCCACUGCAAUUUUAAGUCGUUGACUGAACGAUAACCGAGAAUACCUUCGUGGUGUAGUUUCUGCAAGAAAAGGAUAUAAUACAAUCAAUUACUAGAACACAUGGUAGUAAUCUUAGAGAGAGUCAGAUUGCACGUGAAAAUACUUCUGCAAGAAGAAUACAAGCAUGUGAAGGAUGAUGUUAUUCUAGUGAUUAUGCAAAAUCAAUUCGUAAUUAUUCAGAAGGAGAAACUCAUGAUGCCAACAAGAGGCCGGACAUUCUUAAUUCACAUUCCAGAGAUAUCUUCGGCCGUGGCGGUUGUAACAAGAUAAGAAAUAUAACAAGGACACAGAAAUUGCAUCGCUGGAAACUGGCCACCAUUUUCGAUUGUAGUGCGGCCACUCAUUCAAAGAAAUAAGAAUCCUAAAUAUGCCAUUCAAACUCUUUUGUACAAGGCUUGGGAGAAAGAAAAGGAAAAUGAAUUUAACGUGGAAUGAAACCAACAGGUGCUACUUUAACUUUCCAUGUAGAAAGUACUAAAAUUAACAAAUAACAGAAUCAAGAAUCAUAAUUUAUUCAAAAAAAAAAAAGAGAACAAAAUCAUGUCAAAUACACAAAAUAAUAAUAAUAACGAUUUAUAAAUAAAUUUUAAGAUUUAAAUGGCAAUGGCAAUUUAAGGGCACGAACUACGUGAUAUACUUUUGAGGAUGAGACUAGCAGUUAUUACAUGAGGUCUAAGACUACGGCACGGAUCAUCAGAACUAACUGACAAUCAAGUGUUAACAUGGCAAAAUGGACAAAUAAAUUUUUUCACAAAUCCAAAAAAAAUUGCUGGAAGAUCUUAACACCACAAUGAAAGCAUAAGACUUGCAUCCUUUUGAACUUCCCUAAAUUUUUCAGAAAUGUUAUGUAUCAAAAGUUUUGGUACGUUAACAGCAAGUAAAAAAAAUAUGAGAUCCACCUUCUGCUUUCUCUCAAACUAACACUACAUUUAAAUUUUUCAUUGUUUUGUAUAAACAAUACACAGAAUUUACUUGUUUGGAAGUCAGCCUAAUGUACAGCUUUGUAAGAACAGGCUUCUUCUUAUGGCUGUUUUUCAGGCUAACGGAUUCUAUAGGAGACUGCCUGUAGAAAUAUACUUAAUGCGAGUACAGCUUUCUACAGUAUGGACAGACAAGGAGAUUUUUAGAUCCCUACGUCUGUGGGAAGGCUGGCUAUGAACAUAAUUAGGUAAGAAAAAAGGAACGCAGCGAUACCCCUUGUUGCAACUCACAACUUAUCUUGUUAUUUCUACAAUGAUAAUCCAGACAUACAUGUUGGACGGACUUCAAACUCUAUCAAAUCAUCAUUAUAUUAGUCAUAUAAGGGCAUACCAAAACGUGACACACACAGUCUAAAGAAAGAGAAGACUCCAAUCAAGUAAAAUAAAUCCAUGAAAAAUGUUACUCAAGCUAUGCCAAUACAAAUAAAGUUUGAUCGUGUAUUGACCUUGAAAUGAAAUGGAAUGAGCAAAAUCAAAAUCAACAGUUCAAAAACAUUUGGAUUAAACAAAUUUUUGGAUAAGAAUAAUUAUGUCAAAGAAAAGAGAGCCACGAACGCAAGAGUGUUGAAUUAGUACACAUCCUUCUUGGAAAUUUGACCUAUUGAUAAUAAUAGAGGCUCUCAAAAGUGUUAUGGAAAAGGUCUCAUUCCAGGCUUCAAUGAUACACAACAGCAACAAGAGGUUUGGCUUCAGCUUAUCAAGAGAAAACUAUUUGUCAAAGAUUUAUAUUCCAUUUGCCGACCCUUAUGUACACAAAAUGCAAGAGCAUGUCCACGAAUUUAGAUACCCCCUAUAAGCUAUUGGCAUUUAGAUGUUGAUGCUGUGACAAAAAGGGUAAUUUCAUAAUUUUUCUCUACAAUGUUUGCCAAUGUGUCAACUACACAACAGGUGGAGCCACAGAAACUUUCUAAAAAAAGUAAUAUAAUUAGAUGUCCAUUUUGACCCAUAAAAUUCAGCAGCUAAAUUUAAAAGGAACUGUUCUUGGCAUGUACAUUUGAACACUAACAAAACCAAAGUCAAAAUCACAAAUUUCUUUUCAGAGCAAUUACUCCAAGGGUUAAAAAUCCAGAUAAUAAUUGAAUCAGUGACAGGACACCAAAAAGGGAAUGUGCAGGUCCAUAUGGCUAGCGACAGUAGAAUAUAAGCAAAGAAAUAUCUGAACAUAAAAAGGAUGUUUCUAACAAUCUUACCGUAAAGAUGUAGAGCUAAGCUAUCUCCCAAAAUAUAGUCAGCUAAAAGAAGUCUUUCUUGUUCUCUUGGACCCCAAUAAUAUGCUCGUAAAGGAACAAUGCUUUUAUGCCUCAUUGAUCCUAUUCUUUUAACUUCCUUGGCAAAUUCCUUCUUAUGUUUGACCAGCCCCACACGUAACCACUUAACAGCCAGCAUAUGUCCACUAUCCAGAGUAGCUUUAUAUAGUGUUCCAUGGCUGCUUCUACCGAGAACUUCAGCUGGGGCUCUGGAUAGUUCCUCAGCAGUGAAUAGCAGUGAAUUGUCCAGAAAAAACAAUUCUCCAGCUAAACGAUCUGGUGAAUACACAUCUAGUGUCACAGGUUGUUCACGCCCGUCAACAAACUGGUGUGAGGAAGAUAAUGGGGAACCUGGGGAGGAAUUUUUCCCAGAAGUAACAGGAUCGUCGAGUAAAUUAGGAAUAAUCAUUGAUGAACUCGCUGCAGCACCUCCAGGUAAAACAUGUUCAGAAAUCUCAGAAGAGAAUUCUGCCUGCCCAGAUAAUGUCCUUGAAGUGGAGGUUAGUAAAUGGUCAUUUGAAAAACUUGAAGAGGUUGGUGGAGGCUGAUUGUUUGGUUGGAACUUGAAAAUGGAAGGCCUGAAACGUUCUAUCUUAAUGUUCCUUUCAGUACCUUGGCCGCUAAAUAUACUUCUUCCAUGGAACUCUUUAAGUUGUGCUCUAUGAUAAGCAAGUAGAAGAAAAACAAUCAUCACAACUGCUCCAACUGAGGCAAGAAUAAUAGCUAUUUGGAUAUUAGCUUUAGAAGUACGACGUCUUCCAUGCUCAGGGAAAUUAUUUGGAAUCGAGUUCUCUGAACCUAUCUCUUUUGGUAAGUUAAGCUUAUCAUUUCCUGGACGAAAUGAUGAGAUGGGGAAGUUCCUUAAAUUAUCUGGAACGUCACCUGAGAGAUCAUUGUAGGAUACAUUAAAAACAUGUAGGUCGGGAAGCAUACCAGGAAUUUCACCUGUAAAUUUGUUGUUUGAUAAAUCAAGGUACUCCAAGUUACUCAAUCUGGUCAAUUGAUCUGGAAGUGGCCCUGAUAAUUCAUUCUUAGCAAGAUUUAGCAAUUUGAGCCUCGCCAGUUUAUCUAUUUCAGAAGGCAACCCACCAAUCAACGAGUUAUUGGAUAGAUCAAGAUAUUCCAAUGGCAGAUCUGAUGGUUUAACUAACAACUCGCUAACACUUGAGCCUUGAAGGGGAAUGGGACCGGUUAGCCGGUUUCCGGACAGAUUGAGGCUGAUCAAGGUAACAGAUGUAAAGAAACUAGCAGGGACAGUACCGCUAAAACCAUUUAAACUGAAGUCAACUGCAGACAUGCUAGGAUAGUUCACCAAUGUAAACGGCAAAGGGCCUUCUAAGGAAUUAUUUCUGACAUUAAGCACCUUCAAUCCCUGAAAGAAGGAAGUUAUGUUUGGGAAGCUUCCCGAGAACUUAUUUGAACUUAAAUCAAGAACUUCAAAAUUGGCUUCCCAAGAUUGCAAAACUGAUAUGUCUCCCGACAAAUUAUUUGAAGAGAGGUCCAAAAAUUUCAAAGUAGAGGAGUCAACCCGAAGAUUUGAACCUGCAAGGCAAAUAAUGAAUUAUGUUCAGCAAAGUAUAAUAUCGACCUAGCCACACGAAUGACCGUAUAGGUUCAUAAAAACGAAGUUUAUUUGCACAUGUAGUGGAUAAAUCUUCUUAAAAGUUCAUUAUUGAAAUGGUGACAAGUCUUCAUGUAGUACAGAAAAAUACAAUAAAUGGACCUUUCUUGAAACCAGUUGAACUGAAUAGAUUAUUAGUCUAUGAACACGACAUCUCCAUAAAUGUGAUUUAGUGAUUUCGUAUAUAGACUAGCAAAUAAUGGUCUUGCAAAUAUAAUCAAACAAGAGAAAUUAUUGGUUAAAUUUCCAACCAUUAAUUGCAUUUCCAAACCUCGCAAAAGAAGAAAAGGAGAAGAAGCAGAAGAAAGAAAACCCCUUAUAUGCAUGCCUUGGGAAAAUCCCAGAGAGAUGAGAGAUCUAAGUUCGGAGAACAUAAAUUUGAAACUUAAAAGCAUCUUCUCACGGUCAAUAAAUUUCCGGUAAGUCAUAAAUAGUGAAAUAAUAAGUCAAGUGAUUCUUUACCUGUAAAUGCAUUACCACUAAGAUCCAAUUCCUCCAAUUGCAAGGACCUGUUUAACAGUUCCCCAGGCACCGAGCCAGAU
rnacentral:lncRNA from 1 species